rnacentral:lncRNA from 1 species
GCUCCUGCAAUAUCAUUGCUGUGUAUUUGUUUUCCCCUUAGACAUACUCUACAUUGGUUCAGGGUAAAAAAGCUACAGCUUUUCCUGCUAUGUGCAACAAGCUGUCAGAUCAGAGUGAAAUCGAAAACAGGGUUGUGGUUGAUGGCAACCUCAUCACCAGUAGAGGGCCAGGAACUUCUAUGGAGUUUGCACUGGCAAUUGUGGAGAAGUUUUUUGGCCGCAACAAGGCACUUGAGCUUGCAAAGAUAAUGCUUUUCACUCGCGCCUAACGUUUGUACGGGGACCUGACUACUAUUAAACUAGUGUGUUUAUUUCUGUAUUGCGACUGCUUGUAGAGAGGGGAAAUGGAAACUUGAAUUCAUGUUUGAAUAUGGAUUCACUGUGUGGGUUUGUACAGCAGUUUGGUUUAUAAAUAAAUGAGUUCAUAGAGUCACUUCAAUUAUUUGGAAUAAACCUGAGUUUAGUUCUGUUAUCAAUGGUCGGAGUCCAAUUGCGAUCGACUCACUGGGAAUUUUAAUUAUGAACUAAAAAAUUGUUAUGUUAUAUUCCACCUUUCAUAUAUAUAUAUAUAUAUCAAAUGUUAACCCGAUUUACAGGAUAAGAAGGAAAAGAAAGACGCUAAGAGAGGAGCAGAGACCCAAAAAGAGUUGACCACUUUGUUGGAACAUAAAUCUCUAGAAUAUUGAAAUAAAAAAACACAUUGCAAAAGUUGCAUUAACUACUUGUAGCAACAUCAUCCAAGAACUUGACUUUAUUCUUCUUGAGCUUCGCUGCAGCAUCUGUCAUAUGCAUUCUCUUGUCAGGUGACUCCAUACAACAGUCCAAUGCCAAAUCCAUGAUGCUUAAUAAACAAUCCAUUUUGGCAGAAAAAGCUUGCUCUUCUCGCACCAAAUUUGCGUCAACAACUUCACUCAAUCCGUGAAGUAAUGACUCCUUUACCCAUCUCCUUAAACUCAUUUCUCCUGUGAACAUUUCAUCGGUGGACCUCUUUCUCGUGAAAGUUUCCAUCAAUAACACACCAUAGCUGUAGACAUCACAUUUGGCUGAAACAAUUCCUUCUAAUCCAUACUCUGCAUUUUUUAAUUUUAAUUAUGAAACAACUGAUAAAACAAAUAAUUUUUUGACAAUUAAGGUAACCCAAACUUUGCUGUGCUUGAAAAAAGAGCAAGAUUUUUAAUUACAAUUGAAACUUUACCUGGUGCCAUAUAACCAAUUGUAGCCAUUGUCAUGGUUUCUGUCACAGAAUCUUCUCCUUCACCUAAGAGUUUGGAAAUGCCGAAGUCGCUCACAUGUGCCACCAUAUUUUCAUCCAAGAGAAUGUUGGUGGGCUUUAAAUCACAAUGAAUUAUAGGUGCCAACGAAUGACCAUGAUGGAGAUAUUCAAGAGCCGACCCCACAUCUAUCAUUAUAUUCAACCUCUGUAGAAUGUCUAAGAAAUAGUUGUGAGAAUACAACCACUUCUCGAGACUACCAUUCGGCAUGAACUCAAGUACCAAUGCUUUGAAAUCUGGAUUAGAACAACUGCUAAGGAUCUUUAUGAGAUUUCGAUGACGAACAUUCCGUAAAACUUCACAUUCAGAAUCAAAACUCCUAAAUGCUCUUUCUAGUUGCAGAUUGAAAAUCUUUACUGCAACAUUAGUCCCGUCGGAAAUGGUUCCUUUAUAAACUGAUCCAAAACUACCUGUACCAAGCAAGUUACAUUCAUUAAAUUCAUCAGUUGCUCGUUGAAUGUCUUGGUACGAUGUUCUUCUCCAUGUUGCAAGAGGUAGGAAAUCUUCGUGAUCUGAUUUUGUUGUACUCCUAUUUCGGCAUCUUAUGUACAUAAUGAUGGUAAUCACUAUAAGUACGGUGGAUACUAUCGGAGGCAAAAUAUAUUUAAGGAUAGUUAGAGCAACUUUCUUGGUUCUUUUGCUGUUAUCUUGCUUGCAAGGUGGGACUCGGAAUUUAGGUGGACCACAGAGUGCAUAAUUUCCGAAAAAUGAUUCAGCUGAGAAGUUUUUAAAAGACCCCUUAACAGGAAUUUCCCCUUCUAGCCUAUUAUGAGACGCAUUAAAUUGUUUGAGAUGUGAAAGUGUCUCCAAUGACUUGGGAAUUUUUCCAGAGAGAUUGUUGCCGGAGAGAUCUAAGGAUUCUAAGCUUAUCAAACUGCCAACUGAUUCAGGAAUAGGUCCUUGAAAUUGAUUACUAGCCAAGGAUAGAGUUUCUAGAUCUACGAGGGCACCAAUGGUUGAUGGAAUAUCACCUGAUAAUUGAUUCCUUAAUAAAUCUAAAACUCUCAAGACCUUUAACUUUUGUACAUUGGAAAGGAGAGGACCAUUAAAUGAAUUUGACGACAAGUUUAUCUCUAAGAUGUACUCAAGGCUCCACAAGGAUGACGGUAUACUAGAAGUGAGCUUGUUGGAGCCUAAGCGGAGUUCUCUUAGAGAUGUCAAACUCGCCAAGCAUGGCAGUAUAUGUCCAGAGAGCUUAUUUCCAUUUAACCUUAUUCCGUACAUCAACGCCAAGUGGCAAAGAUCAUAGGGAAUGGAUCCUUCCAAAUUAUUUUCUUCAAGAGAUAAACCUUGUAGCCGCUUAAGUCUUCCCAUCGUUGGUGAAAUAGUUCCAUUCAAGUCAUUGAAGCCGAGGCUUAAGAGGAUCAGGCCACGCAACUUACCAAUUUCUUGAGGAAUGUUGCCCUUGAGUUUGCACUCGUAUGCAUAGAAUUUUUGAAAAGAAGCAGAGAAAUUCCCAAUUACUGGCGGAAGGAUGCCGCCUAAUGGAUUAGAACCGAAGGAUAAAAAUGUUAAAUUUCUGCAAUUAGUCAAAGAAGAGAGAAAACUCCAUUGAUCUGCUGAAGAUGAUUCUGUCGUCAAGUUAUUCAUCAUAAGGCUGAGCACGCUGAGGUGUCUCAAGUUGCCAAAUGUAUUUGGAAUGUGGCCUGAGAAUGAGUUUACGCCCAAGUCUAGCAUAAUGAGUUUAGUAGCAUUGGUAAUAGAGUUGGGAAUUGUCCCCAUGAGAUUAUUGGCCCACAAGGUUAAAUACCCUAUGUUCCGAAGCGAUUGGCCAAUCGUUGACGGUAAGCGGCCUGAAAGUUGAUUGCUAAGUAGAUUAAGGAAUCUUAUGGUUGAAAUAUUGAAGAUCGUGGGUGGAAUGAGGCCACUUAAAUUAUUCACACCAAGAAUAAGACGCUCCAAAUUUUGCAGAUUGCCAAUCUCGGUUGGAAUUUCACCUGCCAUAAGGCCAACAUUGAGGAGUCAUUGAGGUUUUAGCUUACGGUAAAUUGAGUGUGACAAUGUUACCCUUGAAAAUGUAAAAGGAUCAAAUUAAAUUUAUUACAUAAUAAUUUCAGCCAAUAAUGUUCUUUAAAAUAUUUCAUAGAUAAUUCUGCAAAAUAUGCAUGCAAAUGGAAAAAUAUGCGUCAAUUAUAAGAGGUGGUGGAACGUACCUUGAAGAUUGCUGAAGCUAAGAUCCAGAUUCACGAGUUUACUCAAAUUUCCAAUCCUUGAAGGAAUAUUUCCACCAAUAAUAUUGAACCGUGCACGCAGCAUCUCUAGCCUUGAUAAGUUGAAGAGAGAAUUAGGGAUGGGUGUUGGGAAAAUAUGCUCUUUAAAAGCAUAUGUGUUUAUUUAAUUGUAAUAAACAAUUUUUCUGAUUAAUAAAAUAAAUGAGGUAUUUUAUUCAAAUAUCUUAAUUGCAUUAAUAUUUGUAUUAAAGUCCAUUUAAUCAUAUUAUAUGUAUUUAUGUGAUCACCAUGUGGAUUCACAGAAGACAUAAAUACAAGUUAUCUUAUGAUUAAAUAAAUUUAGUUCGCAGUUGAUAAAUAAAGUUGGACACUUUAUUUAGGUAUAGACUGUAAUAAAUUCAUUGAAUGAUUUGUCUUAAUCAUGUAUGAAUUUAUUAAUGUAGUACGACUACAUUGAACAGGAUCACAUAUGAGAUUUAAUUAACUUUGUAAUAACUGUCAGACUUAUUAAAUCUCAUAGGCGUUGAUUUUACUGUAAUCUUAAUCUUGAGUUAAUUAUGAUUUCAUGAUUGUAAUUGUUAUUCCAUUUGAGUUACCAAUGGGCACGACACAUUCUUGUGGUCAAGAUUACCCGAUAUCUUGGUGGGAGCAAUUAUGAGUAUUGGAGUUAUGGAUUAACAAUAUAGAAUUUGUACAACACAUCUCUUGAUGGGUUUUCGGCACUUGAUCAUAGAAUUCUCUGGCCAGAGUGUGUCAACAUAUUUAGUAUGUUGAAAAUGAUCAUUAGAGAAAACCAGUAAGGAUCAAGGAAUAAGAUGUUAUUAAAUUGAUUGGACAGUUGAGAUAUCAAUUUAAUUAACGAUGUGGUACAAAAGAUUGUGCAGUAAAGAAAUCAAUGUGGCUUGGGACGAAUUAUUAUUCGAGCAUACAAUUAUGGAAGUCAGUUCCAAUCUUUUAGUGGAGUAGAUUUGGAAUUAAAUAAUUGGGCUAGUUUAAUUACAGGCCUAAUUAUUGUAGCUACUAUUGUAUGUUCCCAAAUGAUCCCCGGGUUAGCUCAUUUAAUUGACUGCACCACUACUGGACUAAUAAGUAAGAUAACUAGCGAUUUGGGUCAAAAGCCUAAAUAUAUCAUUUAGUGGGAGGCUCCAUUUAAUUAGCUUUUGUAUAAGGGGCCUUAUGUUAUUUUACAAGGUGGGUCCCCUAUUGAAAAAGUAAAUAAACGUGAGUUUUAUUUAGGGCAUUAUUUGGAGCCUAGGGUUUUCACUAAAGGGAGAUAUAUAAGGCUUAUUUUUCCCUAAAGAAAAGUAGAGAAGCACUUUUUAUACAGAUCAGAGAAAAAGAUUUUUCUCUCCAUUGUUGAGAGAAAAAUUUUCUCGUGCUAGUUGCUUUGGUAGUGAUAAAGGCGCCCGCACGUCAAGUGCAGAUCGAACCUGAGUCAUAACCUGGAAGAUCAUUGGAGACAGUUCGUGAUCUAACAAGCGUGGUGGUGACGGAUCGUGAUCUAACAGGAGUGGUGGUGGCGGAUCGUGAUCUAGGAGCCUAAAUCACUUCAGCGGAAAAAGCCAACUCAGAUUUUCAAGGUACGAUUUCUGAAUUACGUAUUCCUAUAUAUUAUAUGAGAGCGGUCCUUAAAAGGUUUUAUAAAAAUUUUAAAAACCUGAUUUUUCCCCAACAAUGGGACCUGUGAAACUGUUAUUAUCAAGAAUCAAUAUUUGGAGGUUAGAUAAUACACCAAUCCAUGAUGGAAAGCUUCCACUCAAUUUAUUGUAAGCGAAACUCAUGACUCUGAGUCGACGUAAUUGCCCCAGUUCUUUCGGCAGAUGGCCAUGAAAAUUGUUCUCACUAAUGUCAAGAGACACUAGAAAUGAGAGAUUUCCCAAGUGUAGUGGAAUGGUGCCUCCGAGACCCAUAUCUGAAAGAUUCAAGGCAGUGACUCUUUGAUGGCGUGAACCACAAGAGAUACCAACCCAGCUACAUAUUGGAUAAGAUAUAGACCAAUUAUUUGUCAGGACACUUCGAUAAUCAACGACACGGGCUUUGAAUGCAAGAAGAGCCGAUUGAUCGGUUGUUAAGUUGCUCAAAGUCGUCAUAGCUAAGCUAGCUAUGAAAUAUUGUAACAACAACAUAGGAACAAAGAAGAAUGAUAAGCGCAUAUUGGUCUUUUUUUUUUUUUUUUAUAGAUGCAGCAAUCUAAUUGCUAAGUGAAGUUGAUACAAGUUUUAAGUGAAGGUAAUUAGCAUAUACUUAUACAAGAGACGUAUGAAUUUGAAAACAAGAAAAUAAAAAAUGUACAGGAGAGUGGAGACUUGCAAAUUGUUAUAUUCUAUCAUUGAGCGAGUCGUCCGAGUAAACGCAUAUAGAUUUUUAAAUUGUUAUACGCCGCUGUACUCGAACCCUGAAUAAAGGGCUUAUGGCACUUUACUUACCAAAAAGAAGAAGAUGCUCCACAUUGGCAAGGCCUAUGCAUUCUGUCUAUUUGUUCACAUUAUGCCGAGGCUCAUGGCAACCACAAUUGUUCUUUUCCUUUCCUUUAAAAAUAAAAAAAAGACAGACCAUGACAUUUGGGCUAAUAAUUAUCACUAAACAAUUAAUAAUGCAGAGGGUCAGUGCUAAUAUAGCUUUAAAAUAAUUGUUAUUAGUUGUGCCUUGAAAAAAAAGAAAAAAAAUAGAUAGUUGUACCCCCAUAAUUUAAUGAAAUAAUCAUGUAAAUUCCUAAGCUUUUAACAAUAUACACCAAGACCCCCUUCUGUUACUUUUUACUAUUUAUUCGGAUGUCACAUGCUUUUUUUUUAAAUUUUCACAGUGGAUAUCAAAUGCUGAAUUUACUGUUAUUCCCAGAUCAUGUCAUCGCUUACUUCUACACAUAUUGAUUGUUUUCCCAAAGUUUUAAUUGAAUUAAAAUCAUUCUAAUUAACCUAAAAAAAAAGCAUCCAACCAGAUAUAAAUUUUCUAAUUAACCUAAAUCUUCAUUUUUGUCAUGAUUUUGGAUCUCGAACAGGUUGGGUAUAUCCAACUAGACCUGCCCCAUUAGCAUGCCAAUAUAUUCUGGAAUUGGAAGAGUAUCAAGGAUUUAAUGUGUAAUUUUAAAUUUGUAACGUUUAAUUCUAAUUUGAGGAUUCAAAUUGAAAGAAUUAUAAAAAGAGUUGUUUGUUUCUUGAGGAAGUAUUAAGAAAAUUCUAGAAGAGUUGUGAAACUGAAUUCGUUAUUUUCUUAAUCACAGAAUGUUACAAACUAUGGAUAUUUAUACUUACAUUUCUCAACUUUGAUCAGUGUAACUAAUCAAAGAAUUAAUCAGCUAACUUUCAUCACAAUACAUUUUGUGUUUCUAACAAACUGUAACUAACUAAGCUGAGCUGGCAGCUACACUUCUGCAACACUCUAUAUUCUUCUUUAGCUUAAUUAAGCUUUUCCUUCCUCUGUUUCUCCUUGCUUCGUUCUCCAUAAUGAGCUACUCUAACACAAAUGAAUUUAUGCGGAUCUAAAAGGGGACUGAAGAUUGGCAUGCAUACAUACAUAAAUACAUACAUAUAUAUAUAUAUAUAUAGAGAGAGAGAGAGAGAGAGAGAGAGAGAGAGAGAGAGAGAGAGAGAGAGGUUAUAUAACAUUCUUCUUGAUGAAGAUUUUUGUGCCAUACGAAUUAAAGAGAGUAUUGGGUCGAUGGUUACAUUGCUUCAGAGGUGCUUAGUAGAAACUUUGGUGAGGCAUCACAUAAUUUAAAUUACUAGAUUUACCGAGAUAUAUAUGUAUGUAUGUAUAUAUAUUCCACAUUGGAUUUACAAGCAUUUCGAGCAGGAUAAUGAAUUUCAAUUACUCGGAAUUGUAAACAGCGAAGAAAGUGAAAUUGCUAAGAAGAUGAAUAUUGUUGUUUUGUGGUGUAUGCGGACUCGUCCAUGAACAGAGGGAUAGAAAUGUUAUUGCAAAAAAGCAGACUGACUAGCAGUGACGCUUUGAAUAAGUCCACCAAACAUCUCCUCCUCCAGGACCACCAAUAUAUUCUUCCAUCAUUCAACGUCGUGACGUGGGGAUCAGAAUUAAAUUAUAGGAUGCUUGUAAGUUUCCUUUGUGGAACCUGUGAAUUUGUGACGUCAAAAGUCAAUGAUGCAUGUAAAUAUUGAUAAACAUUUACACUAGCCGGCCCGUGUAGAGUCCGUUUGACUCAUAAAUAUUUGUCACUUUCACUCUUUUUCAAAACCCAAAAGCACGCUAAAGCUUAAUCUUUAAAGAAUUUUUGAUUGAGUGCUGACAUUUUGGGCUUAUCUUUAAGUAAUCUUAUACCACGCAUGCAUUUUUGUCAUUGUGUGAUCGUCGUUACUUCUAAAGAUUGUAAUCUUUAAGAAAUAAAUUACUUCUCUUGAGAGUGAAAGCAGGGCAGCUAUUGGCGUAUUGCAAUGCAGCUGCUAUGUAUAGUAGUCAAUUCUUGAAAAGAACUAGUUUUCUUAAAUUGUAAAUGGUCCCCUUUAUGACUGGGAGAUUUUGAACAAAAUGAAUAUGAUGAAUUCUUUCCUUGAAGUCUCAUCUUUCAUAAUGUUUUUGAAAUAAAGAUAUUACCAUCUCUGGCUAAAUGUUUACUCUUGAUUUGGACCACCUAAUCUGAACUUAAUGAAAGAUUAUGAUCUUGCCUGAUUUUAUGGAUGUGGUCUUAUCUCACUAAGUCAGUAAUGAAUUAAUUAAAGUUUACUGUCAAAUUACGAACUCAAAAACUGCUGCUGCUUCAUUAUUCACAAUACCCAAAUUCAGUGCAGAACUUAUUAUAAGCUUUCCGAAAGUUUUACGCUUUCUUUCCCCCAAAUCCCAAGUACUUCUUGUAAUAUCACUCCCCUGUAGAUGUCUUCCCCUAAGACAUGUUUAACUUUGGUUCAGGGUGACAAAGCUAUCGCUUUUCCUGCCGUGUGCAACAAGCUAUUAAAUUAGAGUAUUUAUUUCUGUAUUACUAAUAGUAGUAAGAGAGGCGAAAUGGAAACUUGAAUUCAUGUUUAUACAACAGUUUGUUUAUAAAUAAAUGAGUUGAUAACAAGUCAUUUUAAAUAUUUGCCAAAAAAAACGGUGAAUGAUGUCUAGUUCUAUUUUCAAUGUUCAGAGUCCAAUUUUGAUUACUGGAAAUUUUAAUUAUGAAGUUGAACUAAGAAUUUGUUAUAAUAUAUCAAAAACAGUAAUAACUCGAUUUACAGGGUGAGAAAGAAAAGAAAGACGCUACGAGGGAAGCAGAGAUUCAAAGACUUCGCCACUUUGUUGGAGGAACAAUUUCAUAAAUCUCCAGAAUAUUGACAUAAAACACAUACCAUAUCUAGCGUUAAGUGUAUUUAUGUAUGUCCAAAGAUAAAAAUUCGAAGAUAUAAUUUAUCAUUUCAAUUUAUGUUCUGCCCAAAGCAAUGGCUUUUAUUCCACAAGCACAAACAAGAAAGAGUACGCACAAAGUUAACAAACACACAUAGCAAACGUGACAUCAACUACUUGCAGCAGCAUCAUCCAGAAACUUCACUCUAAUCUUCUUGAGCUUUUCAGCGGCAACUUUCGUAGAUGCCCUCUGUUCUGGUGACUCCAUGCAACAAUCCAAUGCCGAAUGCAUGAUGCUUAAUAAACAAUUCAUUUUAGGAGAAAAAACUUGCUCUUCUCUCACCAAGUUUGCAUCGACAACAUCACUCAAUGCACGAGGUAAUGACUCCCUUACCCAGUCUCUUAAACUUAUUUCUCCGGUAAACAAUUCAUUUGUGGGCUUCUUUCUGGUGAAAGUUUCCAUCAAUAAAACACCAUAACUAUAGACAUCACCUUUGGCCGAAAUCAUUCCUUCUAAUCCAUACUCUCCAUUUUUUGGUUUCGAUAGAUCAAAUGGAUAUGACAUCAUAAAACAAAUGAUAAACAAAUAAUAUAUUUGACAGUCAAGAUGGCCCAAACUUUGACUGUGCUUCGAAAAGAGCGAAAAUUUGAAAUUAUAAUUGAAACCUUACCUGGUGCCAUAUAACCAGUUGUAGCCACUGUCAUGAUUUGGGUCACAGAAUCUUCUCCAUCACCUAAGAGUUCGGAGAUGCCGAACUCACAUGUGCCACCAUAUUUUCAUCCAAGAGAAUGUUGCGAGGCUUCAAAUCACAAUGAAUUACAGGUGUUGAUGAAUGAUCGUGAUGGAGAUAUUCAAGUGCCAGCCGCACAUCUAUCAUUAUAUUCAACCUCUCUAGGAUAUCUAGGAAAUAGUUGUGAGAACACAACCAUUUCUCAAGACUACCAUUGAGCAUGAACUCAAGCACCAGUACUUUAGAAUCUGGAUUGCAACAGCUGCUAGUGAUCUUUGUGAGAUCUUGAUGACGAACAUUCCACAAUACUUCACAUUCAGAAUCAAAACUCCUAAAGGCUCUCUCUAGCUGCAGAUUGAAAACCUUUAUUACAAUAAUAGUCACAUCAUAAAGUGUGCCUUUAUAAACAGAUCCGAAGCUCUCCGUACCUAGCAGGAUACAUUCACUAAAUCCAUCAGUUGCUCGUUGAAUAUCAUGAUAGGAUAGUCUUCUAUAUGUUGUCGAAGAGAACAAAUCUUCUUUAUCUGGAGUUCUUGUUUUCCUAUUUUGAAAUAUUAUGAAGAAUCAUAACAAUUGUUAUUAGUGCAUUGGAUAUAAUCGAAGGCAAAGUAUAUUUCAGGACAAGCAGAGUAGCAUUCUUGGAUCCUUUGCUAUUAUCUUCUUUGCAAGGUGGGACUUGAAGGCCUGGUGGACCACAUAGUGCAUAAUUCUCAAAAAACGAUUGAGCUGAAAUGUUUUUAAAAGGUCCUUUGAUAGGAAUUACCCCUUCUAGCCUAUUGUGAGACACAUUAAGUUGUUUGAGAUAUGAGAGUGCCUCCAUUGACUUUGGAAUUUCUCCAGAGAGAUUGUUGCUAGGGAGAUCCAAAGAUUCCAACCUUAUCAAACUACUAAAUGAUUUAGGGACCAGACCAUAAAAGUGGUUUCUAGCCAAGGAUAAAGUUGCUAGAUCUUUGAGGCCACCAAUACUUACUGGUAUAUCACCUGAUAAUUGAUUUCUUGAUAAAUCAACUCUAUUAAGACCUUUAAGUUUUGUAUAUCUGAAGAUAGAGGACCACUUAGAGAAUUUGUCGACAAGUUUACAUACAAGAUGUACUCAAGAUUCCACAAGGAUGAUGGGAUACUAGAAGUGAGCGUGUUGUAGCUUAAAAAGAGUGUUUUUAAGGAAUUGAAUAUCUAAAAUCUUGUAUGUAAAUAUUAACACUUAGAGAAUUUGUCGACAAGUUUUUAAGGAUUUACUGAUUAAAUAAUUUUUCAAUUUGUUUGCCUGGAGGAAUUGAAUAGUUAACUGAUUAAAGGAUUUCAAGGUGGUUAGGUCUAGCCGAGCAUUGUAAAUAUUAACAGUCAUUAUGAAUGUGUAAUUCCUAUAUGUGAAAUUGAAUUUCCAUGGUAGAAUGGUAAAUUUCUGGUAGGGUGUGAUUGUAUGGUAGACAAUUGUGAGCAACAGAUCCACAUAGUAAUAUAGACUGAAAUUUUGCGUCUUAAUCCAUGAAGAGAUAUAGAUUUUGGCAAAUAUUAUACAAGCACUUGGGGCAGGGGUGGCUUUAGGUAUAGGCGAAUAAGGCAGUUGUCUAAGGCCCCAUAUUUUGUGAAGGCCUCAUUUUUUUUAAAUUACGUAUUUUAGGAAAUCAAAAAGUUUAUUAACAUCUCUCUAAUUUAUUAAUUAUCCUAUAGUUAAGAAUUAUUUUUUAUGAAAAAUUUAUAUUUGAUAACAUUAAGUUAAAGAGAUAUAACUAAUAAUAUUAUUUAAUUAUUAGUAUUUCCAAAAAAAAUUAAAUUAUUAGUCUUUUCAAUUUCCUAAAAAAAAUAAUUAUUUAAUGUUAGAAUCUUUGACUUUUAGUAUUUCUUUUACUUUCUAUUAAAAACUUUGUAAUCUCAAAAAUCAGUAAAUCAAAAAAUUUCUUCCUCUCUUCUCUACAAAGAAAAUUAUUAUAUUCAUUGGUUCAUUUAAAAAAAAAUCAGUUUAUAGAAAUAUAAAGUCCAUUUCUAUUAUCUGAUCAUUAAUUCAUCAUCUCAACUUUUUAUAUUCUAUCAUUCUAAAUAUAUUAUUUGAAAAUAAUAUUAUUCUUAUUUAUUUGUUUGUUUAUUUUGUAAUAGUUUUAAUGGAAUAAAAAUGAUAUCUUCUUAACUUUUUUUAGGUUUUAUUUUUAAAAUUCAAGAAUUAAAAAUGGAAUAAAUUUUGAGCCUUUUUUUAAAAUUUCUUUGAGUAUUGAAAUUGCAAUUUUUUUUUUAAAUUUCUUUGAGUAUUGAAAUUGCAAUUUCUUUUUAAAAUUUCUUUGAGUAUUGAAAUUACAAAAUAAAUAGAGGCCUCAUAAAAAAAUUUCGCCUAAGGUCCCAAACACUCUAAAGCCGGCCUUGACUUGGGGUUACCUUAAAUAUUAUGGACUUGUCAUUGAUCAUUGAUAGAGUUUCUUUUACCUAGUUAUUGAUAUUUCUUUCAAUUUUCUAUUUUACUGAUACCACAAUUUUAGGUGGCAAGACAACUUUCGAUUUCUAUUAAGCCUGAAAACCUGCAUCUACCAUCACCUCUGUCUGCUUUUGGGGAAUACGAGUUUCCUAUGCGCUUACCCAAAAUACGAGGUCCAGUGGACUCUCAAUGUUAAAGUCCACGGCAAAUAAACAAUCGUUUCAUUUGUUUUGUAUCCAAAUUCCAAAUUCCAUUGAAGAUAAUACAGGCAACAUUGUUUGCAACGCCACAGCUAAUUUGCAGUAGGAUGAAACAAUCAGAAUUUUGCCUUUUUCGUGUAUAAAAUUUUAUUUUUUUAAUUGUGAUAUUACAGUUUUGCCCAUCAAGCAUUAUGAAGCUUAAUAUUUAGAUAAAUGUUAGGUUUAAUCUAUAAAUUUUAACUUCAGUGUUUAUUUAAUUUUUAUAUUUUGUAAAAUAUCUCAAGACAGCCCUAUUCUCAAAUAUUGGCUUGAUCCGUAUAUAUUAACAUCAGUGCUUAUUUAGGUUUUAUAUUUUACAAAAUACUUUAAGGCAGUUCUAUUAUCAAAUAUGUUAUGCUCUUGCUUUCAUUUUUUCUUUGUUUUUAUAAUAAUACUCUGAUAACAAAAUUUUUUUACAUUAAUUUUUUAAUCAAUAAAAAAGGUAACUACCAAAUUAACCGAUAAAUUAAUUUGUUUAUUUUUUUAAUCAAUAAAAAAUUUAAUUAAUAUUAAUUAAUAAAUUACUUGGUAGCAAAUUAAAAAAUAAAUAUUAGCAUAAAACAAUUGAUAUUUUUCAUUCUCUUACAACAAUCUUACUAAUUAUUAUUUAUAAAUUAAUUAAUACAAGUUAAUUUAAAGUAAUGUUUAAUAUUCUUGUAACAAUCUUACUAAUAAUUUUUUUUGUAAAAAAUAAUUUAUUAAAUUAAUCCUAAAAGUAAAAUAAUAAUAAUUAAUUUAUAAUUUAUUUUUAAGGUUAAUUUGAUAAAUUCAAAUUUUUUUAAUUAAUAUCUCCAAAAAUAUAGUUGCAACGAUAUUAUUACAAAAGUUAAAAAAAAGUAAAUAUAGGAUUGUAAUAUAACUGUCAGUGAAAAUAAUUUAAAAUAUUUUUUAUAAUUAAACGGACAUUUAAUUAAAAAUAUAAAGAACUAAAUAAACAUGUAUUUUGUAACAUUUCAACCUGCUGGCUAAUGGUCAUACAAUCAUGGUGAGGCCCGGGAUGUCCGGCCCAGCCCAUCAUGUAAAAAGCCAUGUCACCCUUAUUCUUAAGCUGCUACUGCAUUGCCACUUUGCCAGUUGCCACGAAGCUCCCCACAUCACACCGCACUGAUGCCUCUAGAAAACUAACUUAAAAAAAUGGUAUUAAUAAGCGUUCGCCACGUCACUCCUCACUCUCUUCUUCGUCACUUUCCUCUCACUCAACAUUUUCUCCCCAAACAAAUUCCUGCUUUGAAAAAUCGCAUUUUCUCCUUCACAGCAACAGCUACAAUGUCUUCAACUUCCAAAAAGGUAAUUAUUUUAUUUUAUUUUUUGUUUAGUUUCUUUCUGUUGCCUUUUUGUUUCGUUUUUGAAUUUUCCGUGUCGUUUUUUUCCAAGGUUUUGGUGCCUGUUGCGAACGGGAGUGAGCCGAUUGAGGCUUUGAUAACGAUCGAUGUUUUGAGAAGGUCUGGAGCAGACGUCGCGGUUGCGUCUGUGGAGACACAGCUUCGUGUCGACGCGUGUCAUGGUGUCAAGGUUGUCGCUGAUGCUCUGGUGUCUGACUGCCGCGACGCCGUUUUUGAUCUUAUAGCUCUUCCCGUAUGUAUUGCAGCUCGCCUUAGCUCAUGCCAAUUUAUGUGAUGUUUGUAUAAUUAUAGAUGAUUAUUGCUGAUCCUGAAUGUUAAGCUAAAUAAUUCGUCGUUAAGUCAUCUUCAUUUAAUUUUCGAUUGAAAAUGAACUAAUAAUAAUUUUAAGCAAAGAAAAAAAAUGGAAAAUGUUUAUUUUGUUUUAUUUUUAUUUUUUAAUUUUUUGGGAUUUCCUUAUUGUGGCUGUUACCAUUCAUUAUGUGGUCCUAGUUAAAUAUUUCAAGUUGUUGUAGUCAGUGAAAUUCUUUUCGAUAUUUAUUCUGGCAUGUAUGUUUUUCCUUUUCAAUUUCUUUUGUUGCUGAUUUUUUGGUUAUGUUAUAUCCUUUUUUAUUUCCCUUGUAGGGUGGCAUGCCCGGUGCUACCAAUCUGAAAGAAUCUGAAGUAUUAGAAAGCAUUGUGAAGAAGCAGGCUUCAGAUGGGCGUCUUUAUGCUGCUAUCUGUGCUUCACCUGCUGUGGCGUUAGGGUCUUGGGGUCUGUUGAAGGGAUUGAAGGUAAGAAUUAGAUAAACCUUUUUGAUGUUUUGUGGUCUUUUGGGAAUUGCACUGAUAUUUUUGUUAUAGUUCAGUUUUCUUCUGGCUGAUGAUUCUUAAGUUCUAAUUUAUGUAGUUGUUCAUUUUUCGUAGGCUACUUGUUAUCCAUCAUUUAUGGAGCAAUUAGCUCCUGCUUGUGCAGCAACUGUUGAAUCAAGAGUACAGCAGGAUGGUAAAGUUGUUACGAGUCGUGGACCGGGCACUACCAUGGAGUUUGUCGUUGCACUUGUUGAGCAGUUGUAUGGGAAAGAGAAAGCUGAUGAAGUUUCUGGGCCACUGGUAUUAACUUUUAUAGAUAACGUUGUUUAAAAAAAUUAUGAGUUAUAUAAUUUGUGGAAAUCCAUUCUAAUAGAUUCAUUUGGUGUGUCUAGUUGGAAGUUUCAGAGGCUAAUGUAUUCAAGAAAAUAAGUUCAGGGGAAGAGUAUGACUUUUUGCAUUAGUGAUUCAUUAGAUGAAAUUGCAUACCUGCUGGUCCAUCAUAAGGUGGUGAAAACAAUGUUUGAUUUAAUUAAUGGGAUCCUGAAAUAUGCAUUUGUUGAGCUUCAAUGUCUCCACUGAUAAAAUUCUUUUUAAUGUAAGUUCUUUCUCUUGGUAUUUGUAUUUGAAUUUUCUGUUCCUCAUGCUUUCGUCUUUACUGUCACCUUGUGCCUAGGUAAUGCGUGCAAAUCAUGGAGAUGAAUACACUAUUGCUGAGUUCAAUCCAAUUCAGUGGACAUUUGACAAUUCUCCCCAGGUGAGAUUGGACUGUUAGUUUCUUGUAUUUGUUUUUCUUCUUCCAUGUUUUGAGGGAUACCCAUUUGGUAGUAAAUAAAAAUUUGUGAUAUCUUCUAUACAUGUACAUAUACAUCAUUGACUUCACUCAUUUGUGAACAUAUUGGAGGUAGCAGAUAUAUUUUUAUGAUAAAUCCAAAGUUUGAUCAACUACAAAAGAAGUAUGAGCGUUGCUGGACCAGGGGGGAAGGUUGAGGGUGGAUGGGCUGGGGGUGUACGGCGCAUGAACAAAAGGAAAUUAUAGGGGUGAAAGUUCAUGCCAUCCACAAGUUGUAAAAUGGGUACAUAAUAUUUCAAAUUAGAGAUUGUGAGAUCCUUAAAGAUUGCUGACUUGUGCUUAAAAUGGAACUCUUGAUAACUUCAAAUGUUAUAAGUUCUUGGUGAAAUUUUGUGCUUUCUUUUCUUUCAGAUUCUUGUGCCUAUUGCGAAUGGUUCAGAGGAGAUGGAAGCUGUUAUGAUAAUUGAUAUUCUGCGACGAGCUAAAGCAAACGUUGUGGUUGCAUCGGUUGAGGAUAAACUAGAAAUUCUGGCUUCUCGUCAAGUUAAAUUAGUGGCAGAUGUGCUCAUUGAUGAGGCAGCUAAACUUUCGUAUGAUUUAAUUGUCUUGCCAGUAAGUUGUGGUGCUUACUCUUGCUUCAUAGUCUUUACCACAUUAUUGACUAACUAACUACAAUUUAUCUAUACACAUUGCGCAGGGUGGACUUGGUGGCGCUCAAGCAUUUGCGAAGUCAGAGAAAUUGGUGAAUAUGCUAGAGAAGCAAAAGGAAUCAAAUAGACCUUACGGUGCUAUAUGUGCAUCCCCAGCUUUAGUGUUGGAGCCCCAUGGCUUACUCAAGGUACGACAUUUCUGCUUAAAUUAUUUACUCAGAUUUGCAUCACCUAAUCUGAACUUAAUGAAAGAUUAUGAUGUUGUAUGAUUUUAUGAAUGUGUUCUUAUAUCAUGUAAGUCAGCAAUGAAUUAAUUGAAGUUUGCUGACAAAUUAGAAGCUCAAAAACUGCUGCUUCUUCAUUAGUUAAUUACCCAAAGAGUUAAGAUAGGCAUCCCAAAUUUGUUAUCCCAAAUGAUAUGGCAUUUAUUGAGUGAUUGGUAUUAAUUGUAUUAUCUAACCCACCAACAGAUGAAUGCCGCACCAUUUGAGACGAUCUUUUGGGAUAAAAAAUUUGGGAAGUGUAGCAAAUUUUUAUGCUGAUUUUUUUGGCUUCAUUCAUGUAAACUCCCCCCCCCCCCCCCCCCAAAAAAAAAGGAAAAAACCAACAAACACCCAAAAAAAAAAAAUUCUGAAGUACUUCCCGUAAUAUCAUUCCUGUGUAUUUCUUUUCCCCUCAAGACAUAUUUAACUUUGGUUCAGGGUAAAAAAGCUACAGCUUUUCCUGCCAUGUGCAACAAGCUGUCAGAUCAGAGUGAAAUCGAAAACAGGGUUGUGGUUGAUGGCAACCUUAUCACCAGCAGAGGGCCAGGAACUUCUAUGGAGUUUGCACUGGCAAUUGUGGAGAAGUUUUUUGGCCGCAACAAAGCGCUUGAGCUUGCAAAGAUAAUGCUUUUCACUCGCACCUAAAGUUUUUACUGAAACCUGCCUACUAUUAAACUAGAGUAUUUAUUUCUGUAUUACUACUGCUUGUAGAGAGUGGAAAUGGAAACUUGAAUUCGUGUUUGAAUAUGGAUUCACUGUGCGGGUUUGUACAACAGUUCGUUUAUAAAUAAAUGAGUUCAUAGUCAUUUUGAAUAUUUGGAAUAAGCGUGAUUGCUGUUGAGUUCUGUUAUCAAUGUUCGGAGUCCAAUUGUGGUUGAGAGGGAUAUAAUUACCGUUACUGGGAAUUUUAGUUGUGAACUAAAAAUUUGUUAUAUUACAUUCCACCUUUCUACAGAAUCCUUUGGAAUAAUAAAUAUACAUCAAAUAAUAACUCGAUUUUCGGGAUAAGAAGGAAAAAAAAAAAAAGCAGAGACUGAAAAGAACAGAAUUGGCCGUUUUGUUGGAGCAUAAAUCUCUAGAAGAUUGAAAUAAAACAGAUACCAUAUCUAGUUUCAAGUAUGUUUAUGCAAGAAUAUACAAAUUUGAAGAUUAGAUUUCUCAUUUCAAUUUAUGUUCUGCUCAAAGCAAUGGCUCUUAUUCCACAGGCACAAACAGGAAAGAGUACGCACAAAGUAACAAGCACACUUAGCGUAUGUUGCAUUAACUACUUGCAGCAACAUCAUCCAGGAACUUCGCUUUGAUCUUCCUGAGCUUUGCUGCAGCGUCUGUCAUAUGUAUCCUCUUGUGAGGUGUGUCCAUACAACAAUCCAAUGCCAAAUCCAUGAUGCUUAAUAAACAAUCCAUUUUGGCAGAAAAAGCUUGCUCUUCUCGCACCAAAUUUGCAUCAACAACUUCGGUCAAUCGGUGAGGUAGUGACUCCUUUACCCAUCUCCGUAAACUCAUUUCUCCUGUGAACAUUUCAUCGGUGGGUUUCUUUCCCGUGAAAGUUUCCAUCAAUAAAACACCAUAACUGUAGACAUCACAUUUGUUUGAAACAAUUCCUUCUGAGCCAUAUUCUGCAUUUUUUAAUUUCAAUGUUUCAAGUAGAUAUGUCAUUAUGAAACAACUAGAAAAAGCAAAUAAUUUUGUGAUAAUUAAGGUAAUCCAAAGUUUGCUCGUGCUUGAAAAAAGAGCAAAAAUUUUAAUUACAAUUGAAACUUUACCUGGUGCCAUAUAACCAAUUGUAGCCAUUGUCAUGGUUUGUGUCACAGAAUCUUCUCCUUCACCUAAGAGUUUGGAAAUGCCAAAGUCGCUCACACGUGCCACCAUAUUUUCAUCCAAGAGAAUGUUGGUAGGCUUCAAAUCACAAUGAAUUAUAGGUGCCGACGAAUGACCAUGAUGGAGAUAUUCAAGAGCUGACCCCACAUCUAUCAUUAUAUUCAACCUCUGUAGAAUGUCUAAGAAAUAGUUGUGAGAAUACAACCACUUCUCAAGACUACCAUUUGGCAUGAACUCAAGUACCAAUGCUUUGAAAUCUAGAUUAGAACAGCUGCUAAGGAUCUUUAGGAGAUUUCGAUGACGAACAUUCCGUAGAAUUUCACAUUCAGAAUCAAAACUCCUAAAUGCUCUCUCCAAUUGCAGAUUGAAAAUCUUAAUUGCAACAUUAGUCCCAUCAGAAAGGGUUCCUUUAUAAACUGAUCCAAAACUGCCUGUACCAAGUAAGUUGCAUUCAUUAAAUUCAUCAGUUGCUCGUCGAAUGUCUAAGUACGAUGUUCUUCUCCAUGUUGCGCGAGGCAAAAAAUCUUCAUGAUCCAAAUGCUUUGUACUCCUAGUUCGGCAUCUUAUGUACAUAAUGAUGAUGAUCGCUACAAGUGCAGUGGAUAGUAUCGAAGGCAAAAUAUAUUGAAGGACAAUUGGAGCAACUUUAUUGGUUGUUUUUCUGUUAUCUUGCUUGCAAGGUGGGACUUGGAGUCUAGGUGGACCACAGAGUGCAUAAUUCCCAAAAUAUGAUUGAGCUGAGAAGUCUUUAAAAGACCCCUUGACAGGAAUUUCCCCUUCUAGCCUAUUGUGAGAUACAUUAAACUGUUUGAGAUGUGAAAGUGCCUCCAAUGACUUAGGAAUUUUUCCAGAGAGAUUGUUGUUAGAGAAAUCUAAGGAUUCUAAGCUUAUCAAACUGCCAACUGAUUCAGGAAUCGGACCCUGAAAUUGAUUACCAGCCAAGGAUAGAGUUUCUAGAUUUUUGAGGGUACCAAUGGUUGAUGGAAUAUCACUUGAUAAUUGAUUUCUUGAUAAAUCUAAAUCUAUCAAGACCUUUAACUUUUUUAUAUUCGAAGGGAGAGGACCCUUUAAUGAAUUUGACGACAAGUCUAUACGCAAGAUGUGUUCAAGACUCCACAAAGAUGAUGGUAAACUAGAGCUGAGCUUAUUGGAGCCUAAGUAGAGGCUUCUUAGAGAAGUCAAACUCGCCAAGCAUUGUGGUAUAGUUCCGGAGAGCUUAUUUCCACCUAAGCUUAAUAUAUUCAACCUCUCCAAAUGGCAAAGAUAAUUGGGAAUGGAUCCUUGCAAAUUAUUCUUAUAGAGAUAUAAACCUUGCAGCUGUUGUAAUUUUCCCACAGAUGCUGGUAUGGUGCCAUUCAAGUCAUUGUUGACGAGGUUUAAAAGUACCAAGCCACGUAAAUUACCAAUUUCUUUUGGAAUGCUGCCCCCGAGUUUGCACUCUAAUGGAAAGAAUCUUUGAAGAGAAGCAGAGAAAUUUCCAAUUAAUGGUGGAAGGAUGCCACCUAAUGGAUCAUAAGCUAAGGCUAGUUUUUCUAGAUUUCUGCAAUUAGUCAAAGAAGAAAGAAAACUCCACUGAUCUGCUGAAGAUGAUUCUGUCGUCAAGUUAUUCCUCAUAAGGUUGAGGGUGCUGAGGUGUCUCAAGUUGCCAAAUGUAUUUGGGAUAUGGCCCGAGAAUGAGUUAGAGCUCAACUCUAGGCCAAUGAGUUUAGAAGCGUUGGUAAUAUAGUUGGGAAUUGUUCCUAUAAGAUUAUUGCGCGCCAAGAUUAAAUACUCUAUGUUCCGAAGCGAGUGGCCAAUCGUUGAUGGUAAGCGGCCUGAGAGUUGAUUGCCAAGCAGAUUAAGGUGUCCUAUGGUUGAACUAUUGAAGAUCGUGGGUGGAAUGAGGCCACUUAAAUUAGUGUCACCAAGAACAAGAUACUCCAAAUUUUGUAGAUCGCCAAUCUCGGUUGGGAUUUCACCUGCCAUAAGGCUAACAUUGAGGAGUUUUACCAAAAAAUAAAAUAAAAACAUUUCAUAGAUGAUUCUGUAAAAGAGUUUGACAAAAAAAAAUUGAGCUUUUAGCUUAAGGUAAAUUGAGUUUGACAAUGUUACCCUUCAACAUGUAAAAGGAUCAAAUUAAAUUUAUUACAUAAUAAUUUCAGCCAAUAAUGUUCUUUAAAAUAUUAAUUUCAUAGAUAAUUCUGCAAAAUAUGCAUGAAAAUGGAAAAAUAUGCUUCAAUUACAAGAGGUGGUGGAACGUACCUCGAAGAUUGCUGAAACGCAGAUCCAGAUUCACGAGUUUACUCAAAUUUCCAAGCCUUAAAGGAAUAGUUCCACCAAAAAUAUUGAACCGUGCACGCAGCGUCUCUAGCCUUGAUAAGUUGAAGAGAGAAUUAGGGAUGGGACCUGUGAAACUGUUAUUAUCAAGAUUCAAUAUUUGGAGGUUAGAUAAGACACCAAUCCAUGAUGGAAAGCUUCCGCUCAAUUUAUUGAAAGCGAAUCUCAUGACCCUGAGUCGACGUAAUUGCCCCAAUUCUUUCGGCAGAUGGCCAUGAAAAUUGUUCUUCCUAAUGUCAAGAGACACUAGAAAUGAGAGAUUUCCCAAGUGUUGUGGAAUGGUGCCUCCGAGACCCAUAUCUGAAAGAUUCAAGGCAGUGACUCACUGACUCUUUGAUGGCGUGAACCACAAGAGAUACCAACCCAGCUACAUAUUGGAUAAGAUAUAGCCCAAUUGUUUGUCAGGACACUUCGAUAAUCAACGACACGGCUUUGAAUGCAAGAAGAGCCGAUUGAUCUGUUGUUAAGUUGCUCAAAGUCGUCAUAGCUAAGCUAGCUAUGGAAUAUUGUAACAACAACAUAGGAACAAAGAAGAAUGAUAAGCGCAUAUUGGUCGUUUUUAGUAGUAGUUGCAAGGCAAGAUUGAUAGAAGUUUUAAGUGACGGAAAUUAGCAUAUACUUAUACAUGAGACAUAUGAAUUUGAAAAUAAGUGCAGAAAAAAUAUACAGGGGACUUGCAAAUUGUUAUAUUCUGACAUUGAGCGAGCCGUCGAAGUAAACGUAUUUACACUUGAACCCUAAAUAAAGGCACUGUGGCACUUAAUUGCCAAAAGGAAGAAGAUGCUCAACAUUGGCAACGCGUAUGCAUUUGUUCUCACUAUGCUAAGGCUUAUGGCAACCACAAUAUGUUCUUUUUCUUUUCUCUAAAAAUAAAAAAAGGCGACCUUCACUUGACUUGGUCUAAUAAUUAUCACAAAACAAUUAAUAAUGCAAAGGGUCAGUGGCACCCAACUUUAAAAUAACAACGUAAUUAUUGUUAGUUGUCUUAGAGAUAAAGGAAAAAGAUAGCUAUACCUCCAUAAUUUGAUCAAAUAAUUAAAUAAAUUUUUAAUCAAGAUUCUAUUUUAUUACUUUUUACAGUUUAUUUGGAUGUCAAAUACAAAAUUUACUGUUAUUCCAAUAUCAUGUCAUCACUUGCUUCUAUACAUGGAAUGAUAUAUUGACUGUUUUUCCAAAGUUUUAAAUUGAACUAAAAGCAUUCUAAUUAACCUUAAAAAAAAUCAUCCAACCAGAUAUAAAUCUUCUAAUUAACCUAAAGAUACCCAUAUUAAUUCCAGUUAAAUAAAUCUUCAUUUUUUUCAUGGUUUUGGAUCUCGAGCAGGGUGGAUAUAUCCAACUAGAUCCGCCCCAUUGGCAUUCCAAUAUAUUCUGGAAUUGGAAGAGUAUCAACGACUUAAUGUGUAAUUUUAAAUUUGUAACGUUUAAUUCUAAUUUGAGGAUUCAAAUGAAUUUAUGCGGAUCUAAAAGGGGACUGAAGAUUGGCAUGCAUACAUACAUGCAUUAAAUAUAUUUACGUAUAAAGAGAGAGAGAGAGAUAAUAUAACAUUCUUCUUGAAGAAGAUUUUUGUGCCAUACGAAUUAAAGAGAGUAUUGUGUCGAUGUUGGAGGCUAGAGGGACAAUUGGUUACAUUGCUUCGGAAGUGUUUAAAUUACUAGAUUUAGCGAGAUAUAUAUAUAUAUAUUUUCCACAUUGGAUUUACAAGCAUUUCGAGCAGGAUACUGAAUUUCAAUUACUCGGAAUUGUAAACAGCGAGGAAGGUGGAAUUGUAAACUUACUCGCAAGCAUUUUGUGGUGUAUACGGACUUGUCCAUCGGAUAGGUCGCCCAUGAACAGAGUGAUGGAAAUGUUAUUGCGAAGAAGCAGACUGACCAGCAGUGACGCUUUGAAAAGUCCACCAAACAUCUUCUCCUCCAAGACCACCAAUAUAUUCUUCCACCAUUUCAACGUCGUGACGUGGGGAUCAGAAUUGAAUUAUAGGAUGCUUGAAAGCUUCCUUUGGGGAACUUGUGAAUUUGUCAUGGCAAAAGUCAAUGAUGCAUGUAACUAGCUAGCCCGUGUAGAGUCCGUUUGACUCAUAAAUAUUUGUCACUUUCACUCUUUUUCAAAACCCAAAAGCACGCUAAAUCUUAAUCUUAAAAGAAUUUUUUAAGUAAUCUUUUACCACGCAUGCAUUUAUGUCAUUGCGCGGUCAUCGAUUACUUCUAAAGAUCGUAAUCUUUAAGAAAAAAUUACUUCUCUUGAAAGUGAAAGCACGGCAGCUAUUGUCGUAUUGCAAUGCAGCUGCUAUGUGUAGUAGCCAAUUCUUGGAAAGAACUAGUUUUCUUAAAUUGUAAAUGGUCCCCUUUAUGAUAUGAUGAAUUUGAUGAAUAUGAUGAAUUCUUUGCAAGUGUUGUUCCUUGAAGUCUCAUCUUUCACAAUGUUUUUGAAAUACUAAAUAUUCACUCUUGAUUCGGACCACCUAAUCUGAACUUGAUGAAAGAUUAUGAUCUUGCCUGAUUUUAUGGAUGUGGUCUUAUCUCACGUAAGUCAGUAAUGAAUUAAUUAAAGUUUACUGUCAAAUUACGAACUCAAAAACUGUUGCUGCUUCAUUAUUCACAAUGCCCAAAUUCAGUGCAGAACUUAUUAUAAGUUUUCCAAAAGUUUUAUGCUUUCUUUCCCCCAAAUCCCAAGUACUUCCUGUAAUAUCAUUCCCCUAAGACAUGUUUAACUUUGGUUCAGGGUAACAAAGCUAUAGCUUUUCCUGCCAUGUGCAACAAGCUAUUAAAUUGAAGUAUUUAUUUCUGCAAUACUACUACUAACUAGUAAGAGAGGCGAAAUGGAUACUUGAAUAUAUGUUUUAGUUUGUUUAUAAAUAAAUGAGUUGAUAAUAAGUCAUUUUAAAUAUUUGCAAAAAAAAAAAACGGUGAGUGAUGUCUAGUUCUAUUUUCACUGCUCAGAGUCCAAUUUUGAUUACUGGAAAAUUUAAUUAUAAAGUUGAACUAAGAAUUUGUUAUAAAAUAUUCCACCUUCAUAUACAGUCAUCUGGAAUAAUAAUAUAUAAAAAACAGUAAUAACUCGAUUUACAGGGUGAGAAAGAAAAGAAAGACGCUACGAGGAAAGUAGAGAUUCAAAGACUUCACAACUUUGUUGGAUGAAAAAUUUCAUAAAUCUACAGAAUAUUGACAUAAAAUACAGAACAUAUCUAGCAUUAAGUAUAUUUAUGUAUGUCCAAAGACAAAAAUUCGAAGAUUAGAUUUAUCAUUUCAAUUUAUGUUCCGCCCAAAGCAAUGACUUUUAUUCCAUAAGCACAAACAAGAAAGAGUACGCAACGUUAACAAACACACAUAGCAAACAUGACAUUAACUACUUGCAGCAGCAUCAUCCAGAAACUUCACUAUAAUCUUCUUGAGCUUUUCAGCGGCAUCUUUCGUAGAUGCCCUUUGUUUUGGUGACUCCAUGCAAAAAUCCAAUGCCGAAUGCAUGAUGCUUAAUAAACAAUUCAUUUUAUUAGUACAUUGGAUAUAAUCGAAGGCAAAGUAUAUUUCAGGACAAGCAGAGUAGCAUUCUUGGAUCCUUUGCUAUUAUCUUCUUUGCAAGGUGGGACUAGAGGUCCUGGUGGAUAACAUAGUGCAUAAUUCUCAAAAAAUGAUUGAGCUGAAAUGUUUUUAAAAGGUCCUUUGAUAGGAAUUCCCCCUUCUAGCCUAUUGUUAGACACAUUAAGUUGUUUGAGAUAUGAGAGUGCCUCUAUUGACUUUGGAAUUUCUCCAGAGAAAUUGUUGCUAGGGAGAUCCAAAGAUUCCAACCUUAUGAAACUACCAAAUGGUUUAGGGAUCAGACCAUAAAAUUGGUUUCUAACCAAGGAUAAAGUUGCUAGAUCUUUGAGGCCACCAAUAUUUACUGGUAUAUCACCUGAUAAUUGAUUUCUUGAUAAAUCUAACUCGAUUAAGACCCUUAAGUUUUGUAUAUCUGAAGAUAGAUGAUCACUUAGAGAAUUUUUUGACAAGUUUACAUACAUGAUGUACUCAAGACUCCACAAGGAUGAUAGGAUACUAGAAGUGAGCGUGUUGGAGAUUAAAAAGAGUGUUCUUAGAGAAGUCAGACUGCCCAAGAAUUGCGGUAUAUGUCCAAAGUGCUUAUUUUCAUUUAAAAUAAACCAGUCAACCGCUCCAAGCGGCAAAGAUCAUUGGGAAUGUAUCCUUGCAAAUUAUUGGCAUCGAGAUAUGAAACUUGUAGUGUCUUUAACGUUCCCAUUGAUGCUGGAAUAGUUUGGUCCAAAUGAUAAAGAAAAGAAAGACGCUACGAGGGAAGCAGAGAUUCAAAGACUUCGCCACUUUGUUGGAGGAACAAUUUCAUAAAUCUCCAGAAUAUUGACAUAAAACACAUACCAUAUCUAGCAUUAAGUGUAUUUAUGUAUGUCCAAAGAUAAAAAUUCGAAGAUUAAAUUUAUCAUUUCAAUUUAUGUUCUGCCCAAAGCAAUGGCUUUUAUUCCACAAGCACAAACAAGAAAGAGUACGCACAAAGUUAACAAACACACAUAGCAAACGUGACAUCAACUACUUGCAGCAGCAUCAUCCAGAAACUUCACUCUAAUCUUCUUGAGCUUUUCAGCGGCAACUUUCGUAGAUGCCCUCUGUUCUGGUGACUCCAUGCAACAAUCCAAUGCCGAAUGCAUGGUGCUUAAUAAACAAUUCAUUCUGGUGAAAGUUUCCAUCAAUAAAACACCAUAACUAUAGACAUCACCUUUGGCCGAAAUCAUUCCUUCUAAUCCAUACUCUCCAUUUUUUGGUUUCGAUAGAUCAAAUGGAUAUGACAUCAUAAAACAAAUGAUAAACAAAUAAUAUUUUGACAGUCAAGAUGGCCCAAACUUUGACUGUGCUUCGAAAAGAGCGAAAAUUUGAAAUUAUAAUUGAAACCUUACCUGGUGCCAUAUAACCAGUUGUAGCCACUGUCAUGAUUUGGGUCACAGAAUCUUCUCCAUCACCUAAGAGUUCGGAGAUGCCGAACUCACAUGUGCCACCAUAUUUUCAUCCAAGAGAAUGUUGCUAGCUUCAAAUCACAAUGAAUUACAGGUGCUGAUGAAUGAUCGUGAUGGAGAUAUUCAAGUGCCAGCCGCACAUCUAUCAUUAUAUUCAACCUCUCUAGGAUAUCUAGGAAAUAGUUGUGAGAACACAACCAUUUCUCAAGACUACCAUUGAGCAUGAACUCAAGCACCAGUACUUUAGAAUCUGGUUUGCAACAGCUGCUAGUGAUCUUUGUGAGAUCUUGAUGACGAACAUUCCACAAUACUUCACAUUCAGAAUCAAAACUCCUAAAGGCUCUCUCUAGCUGCAGAUUGAAAACCUUUAUUACAAUAAUAGUCACAUCAUAAAGUGUGCCUUUAUAAACAGAUCCGAAGCUCUCCGUACCUAGCAGGAUACAUUCACUAAAUCCAUCAGCUGCUCAUUGAAUAUCAUGAUAGGAUAGUCUUCUCCAUGUUGUCGAAGAGAACAAAUCUUCUUUAUCUGGAGUUCUUGUUUUCCUAUUUUGGAAUAUUAUGAAGAAUCAUAACAAUUGUUAUUAGUGCAUUGGAUAUAAUCGAAGGCAAAGUAUAUUUCAGGACAAGCAGAGUAGCAUUCUUGUAUCCUUUGCUAUUAUCUUCUUUGCAGGGUGGGACUUGAAGGCCUGGUGGACCACAUAGUGCAUAAUUCUCAAAAAACAAUUAAGCUGAAAUGUUUUUAAAAGGUCCUUUGAUAGGAAUUCCCCCUUCUAGCCUAUUGUGAGACACAUUGAGUUGUUUGAGAUAUGAGAGUGCCUCCAUUGACUUUGGAAUUUCUCCAGAGAGAUUGUUGCUAGGGAGAUCCAAAGAUUCCAACCUUAUCAAACUACCAAAUGAUUUAGGGACCAGACCAUAAAAUUGGUUUCUAGCCAAGGAUAAAGUUGCUAGAUCUUUGAGGCCACCAAUACUUACUGGUAUAUCACCUGAUAAUUGAUUUCUUGAUAAAUCAACUCUAUUAAGACCUUUAAGUUUUGUAUAUCUGAAGAUAGAUGACCACUUAGAGAAUUUGUUGACAAGUUUACAUACAAGAUGCACUCAAAAUUCCACAAGGAUGAUGGGAUACUAAAAGUGAGCGUGUUGUAGCUUAAAGAGAGUGUUUUUAAGGAAUUGAAUAUCUGAAAUCGUGUAUGUAAAUAUUAACACUUAGAGAAUUUGUCGACAAGUUUUUAAGGAUUUACUGAUUAAAUAAUUUUUCAAUUUGUUUGCCUAGAGGAAUUGAAUAGUUAACUGAUUAAAGGACUUCAAGGUGGUUAGGUUCAGUCGAGCAUUGUAAAUAUUAACGGUCAUUAUGAAUGUGUAAUUCCUACAUGUGAAAUUGAAUUUCCAUGGUAUAGCAUGGUAAAUUUCUGCUAGGGUGUGCUCGUGUGGUAGCCAAUUGUGAGCAACAGAUCCACAUAGUAAUAUAGACUGAAAUUUUGCGUCUUAAUCCAUGAAGAUAUAGAUUUUGGCAAAUAUUAUACAAGCCCUGGGGGUUACCUUAAUUAUUCUGGACUUUUCAUUAAUAGAGUUUCUUUUACCUAGUUAUUGAUAUUUCUUUCAAUUUUCUAUUUUAUUGAUACCAUAUAUACAAUUUUAGGUGUCAAGACAACUUUCGAUUUCUAUUGAGCCUGAAAACCUCCAUCUACCUUCACCUCUGUCAGCUUUCGGGGAAUACGAGGUUCCUAUGCGCUUUCCCAAAGCCAUUCCCCUACCGGAAGGAAAGGUCCAGUGGACUCUCAAUGUUAAAGUCCGCGGCAAAUAAACAAUCGGUUCAUUUGUUUUGUUUUACUCGGUUCGGGAUCCAAAUUCCAUUGUAGAACAGUUUUUGGUUUUUCUUCAUAUAACAUUCUGAAGAUAAUACAGGCAACAUUGUUUGCAACGCCACAGCGAAUUUGCAGUAGGUUGAAACAAUCAGAAUUUUGCCUUUUUCGUGUAUAAAAUUUUAUUUUUUAAAUUGUGAUAUUACAGUUUUGCCCAUCAAGCAUUAUGAAGCUUAAUAUUUGGAUAAAUGUUAGGUUUAAUCUAUAAAUCAUAACUUCAGUGUUUAUUUUGUUUUUAUAUUUUGAAAAAUAUCUCAAGGCAGCCCUAUUAUCAAAUAUUGGCUUGAUCUGUAUAUAUUAACUUCAGUGCUUAUUUAGGUUUUAUAUUUUGAAAAAUACUUUAAGGCAGUCCUAUUAUCAAAUAUGUUAUACUCUUACUUUCAUUUUUUCUUUCUUUUUAUAAUAAUACUCUGAUAACAAUAUUUUUUACAUUAAUUUUUUAAUCAAUAAAAAAGGUAACUUGCAAAUUAACCGAUAAAUUAAUUUAUUAAUUUUUUAAUCAAUAAAAAAGUUAAUUAAUAUUAAUUAAUAAAUUACUUAGUCGCAAAUUAAAAAAUAAAUAUUAGCAUAAAACAAUUGAUAUUUUUCAUUCUCUUACAACAAUCUUACUAAUUAUUAUUUAUAAAUUAAUUAAUACAAGUUAAUUUAAAGUAAUCUUUAAUAUUCUUGCAACAAUCUUACUAAUAAUUUUUUUUUUAUAAAAACUUAAUUUAUUAAAUUAAUCCUAAAAGUAAAAUAAUAAUAAUUAAUUUGUAUCUUACUUUUAAGUUUUAAGGUUAAUUUGAAAGCCAUGUCACCCAUAUUCUUAGGCUGCUACUGCAUUACCACUUUGCCAGUUGCCACGAAGCUCCCCACAUCACACCGCACUGAUGCCUCUCGAAAACUAACUUAAAAAAAUGGUAUUAAUAAGCGUACGCCACGUCACUCCUCACUCUCUUCUUCGUCAGUUUCCUCUCACUCAACACUUUCUCCCCAAACAAAUUCCUUCUUUGAAAAAUCGCAUUUUCUCCUUCACAACAACAGCUACAAUGUCUUCAACUUCCAAAAAGGUAAUUUUUUUAAAAAAAAUUUAUCUUUUGUUUAGUUUCUUUCUGUGGCCUUUUUGUUGCGAACGGGAGUGAGCCGAUUGAGUCCGUGAUAACCAUCGAUGUUUUCAGAAGGUCUGGAGCUGACGUCACGGUUGCGUCUGUGGAGAAACAGCUUCGUGUCGACGCGUGUCAUGGUGUCAAGAUUGUCGCUGAUGCUCUCGUGUCUGACUGCUGCGACCCCGUUUUUGAUCUUAUAGCUCUUCCCGUAUGUAUUGCAGCUCACCUCAGCUCAUGCCAAUUUAUGUGAUGUUUGUAUAAUUAUAGAUGAUUAUUGCUGAUACUGAAUGUUAAGCUAAAUAAUUCGUUCUUAAGUCAUCUUCAUUUAAUUUUCGAUUGAAAAUGAAAAAAUAAUAAUUUUAAGCAAAGAAAAAUAUAGAAAAUGUUUAUUUUGUUUUAAUUUUCAGGGAUUUCCUUAUUGUGGCUCUUAUCAUUCGUUAUAUGGUCCUAGUUAAAUAUUUCAAAUUGUUGUAGUCAGUGAAAUUCUUUUCGAUAUUUAUUCUGGCAUGUAUAUUUUUCCUUUCAAUUUCUUUUGUUGCUGAUUCUUUGAUUGAUUAUGUUAUAUCCUUUUUUGUUUCCCUUGUAGGGUGGCAUGCCCGGUGCUACCAAUCUGAAGGAAUCUGAAGUAUUAGAAAGCAUUGUGAAGAAGCAGGCCUCAGCUGGGCGUCUUUAUGCUGCUGUCUGUGCUUCACCUGCUGUGGCAUUAGGGUCUUGGGGUCUGUUGAAGGGAUUGAAGGUAAGAGUUAGAUAAGCCUUUUUGAUGUUUUGUGGUCUUUUGGGAAUUGCACUGAUAUUUUUGUUAUAGUUCAGUUUUCUUCUCGCUGAUGAUUGUUAAGUUCUAAUUUAUGUAGUUGUUCAUUUUUCGUAGGCUUCUUGUUAUCCGUCAUUUAUGGAGCAAUUAGCUCCUGCUUGUGCAGCAACUGUUGAAUCAAGAGUACAGCAGGAUGGUAAAGUUGUUACGAGUCGUGGACCGGGCACUACCAUGGAGUUUGCCGUUGCACUUGUUGGGCAGUUGUAUGGGAAAGAGAAAGCUGAUGAAGUUUCUGGGCCACUGGUAUUAACUUUUAUAGAUAACGUUGUUUAAAAAAAUUAUGAGUUAUAUAAUUUGUGGAAGCUUCAGAUGCUAAUGUAUUCAAGAAAAUAAGUUCAGGGGAAGAGUAUGACUUUUUGCAUUAGUGAUUCAUUAGAUGAAAUUGUAUACCUGCUGGUCCAUCAUAAGGUGGUGAAAACAAUGUUUGAUUUAAUUAAUGGAAUCCUGAAAUAUGCAUUUGUUGAGCUUCAAUGUCUCCACUGAUAAAAUUCUUUUUAAUGUAAGUUCUUUCUCUUGGUAUUCUGCGCAAAUGUUGUGGUUGUGUCAGUUGAGGAUAAACUAGAAAUUCUGGCUUCUCGUCAAGUUAAAUUAGUGCCAGAUAUGCUUAUUGAUGAGGCAGCUAAACUUUCGUAUGAUUUGAUUGUCUUGCCAGUAAGUGGGGUUGCUAACUCUUGCCUCAUAGUCUUUACCAAAUUAUUGACUUACUAACUACAAUUUAUCUAUGCACAGGGUGGACUUGGUGGUGCUCAAGCAUUUGCGAAGUCAGAAAAAUUGGUAAAUAUGCUAAAGAAGCAAAAGGAAUCAAAUAGGCCUUACGGUGCUAUAUGUGCAUCCCCAGAACUAGUGUUGGAGCCCCAUGGCUUACUCAAGGUAUGACCAUUUCUGAUUAAAUAUUUACUCUUGAUUUGAAUCACCUAAUCUGAACUUGAUAAAAUAUUGUGAUCUUGUGUGAUUUUAUGAACGUGGUCUUAUCUCAUGUAAGUAUGUAAUGAAUUUAUUGAAGUUUGCUGACAAAUUACAAACUCAAAAACUGCUGCUGCUGCUUCAUUAGUUACAGUACCCAAGGAGUUAUGAUAGACAUCCCAAACCUUUUACCCCAAAUUCCCUCUCAAAUGACAUGGUAGUUAUUAAGUGGUUGGUAAUUUUUUAUUAGAUAGAAGUGAAUUAAUUAUAUUAUUUAAUCAACCAAUUGAUGAAUGUCACGCCAUUUGAGAUGAAUUUUUGGGAUGUGUAGCAAAACUUUAUGCUGAUUUGUUUUGGCUACAUUCAUGUAAAACCUUUUUCCCCAAAUCCCAAGAACUUCCCGCAAUAUCAUUCCUUUGUAUUUGUUUUCCCCUUUAGACAUGUUUAACUUUGGUUCAGGGUAAAAAAGCUACGGCUUUUCCUGCCAUGUGCAACAAGCUAUCAGAUCAAAGUGAAAUCGAAAACAGGGUUGUGGUUGAUGGCAACCUUAUCACCAGCAGAGGGCCAGGAACUUCCAUGGAGUUUGCACUGGCAAUUGUGGAGAAGUUUUUUGGCCGCAACAAAGCUCUUGAGCUUGCAAAGAUAUUGCUUCUCUCCUGCACCUAAAAUUUGUACCAGGACCUGACUACUAUUAAACUAGAGUAUUUAUUCCUGUAUUACUGCUGCUUGUAGAGAGGCGAAAUGGAAACUUGAAUUCGUGUUUGAAUAUGGAUUCACUGUGCGGGUUUGUACAUGUUGAUGCCUAAAAUCUGUUCUGGUUUAUUAGCGACUUAAUAUCAGACUUCUACACCAGCAUUAGAUUUAUUUGGUAGAGAAUCGAUUGAUCAAUCGUCUAAAUGUCCUGCAACCACCAGCGAUUAACCUGCGAAUACCUGAAAUCAUAGAAGAUGGUCAGAGGCGCCGGAAGUUUUUCCGGCGUGAAGCCUCCGACGCUCAAGUCAGUUUCUAGGCCUUUCGGAAAAAUUUAUGCCACCACUCAUGUGGCUUAAUAAGCAUUGCCUUAAAACCCAAAGCUUUUCGAGUAAUUUACAGAAAGUAAAGUAUAGUGUAAAAGUAAGAAUUUUCCAUGAGAGGAAGAGAGCCAAAAGCCCCUUGGAGAAGAGAGAAAAAAUAAAUAAAUAAUCCCCCCUAGGUAAUUCCCCACUCCCCUCUUUCCCCCCUUGGUCUCUCCCACUUUCGGAAGUUAAGGAUGAGAUAAAAGUAAUGUCCCCAUUCUCCCUUUUUUUUUUUUCCUUUUAUCCGUUACCAAACAGUACAAGAGCUUGUUUAUAAAUAAAUGAGUUCAUAAAGAGUCAUUUUAAACAUUUGGAAUAAACGUGAGUUGCUGUUUAGUUCUGUUUUCAAUGUUCACCGUUCAAUUGUGAUCCAGAGCAAUAUAACUACACUCACUGGGAAUUUUAAUUAUGAACCAAGAACGAAGUUGAACCGAGAAUUUGAUACUUUAUAUAUUCCAGUUACCAUAUUUAAGAAAGAGUAUUGAAAAGAAAGACGCUAACAGAGAAUAUUGAAGUUAAACACAUACCAUAUCUAGUAUUAAGUCUGUAUGCCAAAGUUACAAAUUCGAAGAUCAGAUUCCUCAUUUCAAUUUAUGUUCUGCUCAAAACAAUGGCUCUUAUUCCACAAGCACAAAGAAGAAAGAGUGCGCACAAAGUUAACAGAGACACGCAGUGAAAAUUACGCUAAUUGGUUGCAGCAGCAUCAUCCAGGAACUUCACUUUAAUCUUCUUGAGCUUUGCUGCAGCGUCUGUCAUAUUUAUCCUCAUGUCGGGUGACUCCAUACAACAAUCCAAUGCCAAAUCCAUUAUGCUUAAUAUACAAUCCAUUUUGGCAGAAAAAGCUUGCUCUUCUCGCACCAAAUUUGCGUCAACAACUUCAAUCAAUCCGUGAGAUAAAGACUCCUUUACCCAUCUCCUUAAACUCAUUUCUCCUGUGAACAUUUCAUCGGUGGGCCUCUUUCUCGUGAAGGUUUCCAUCAAUAAAACACCAUAGCUGUAGACAUCACAUUUAGUUGAAACAAUUCCUUCAGAUCCAUACUCUGCAUUUUUUAAUUUUAAUUAUGAAACAAAUGAUAAAACAAAUAAUUUUUUGAUAAUUAAGGUAACCCAAACUUUGCUCGUGCUUGAAAAAAGAGAAAAAAAUUUAAUUACAAUUGAAGCUUUACCUGGUGCCAUAUAACCAAUUGUAGCCAUUGUCAUGGUUUGUGUCUCAGAAUCUUCUCCUUCACCUAAGAGUUUGGAAAUGCCGAAGUCGCUCACAUGUGCCACCAUAUUUUCAUCCAAGAGAAUGUUGGUGGGCUUCAAAUCACAAUGAAUUAUAGGUGCCGACGAAUGACCAUGAUGGAGAUAUUCAAGAGCCGACCCCACAUCUAUCAUUAUAUUCAACCUCUCUAGAAUGUCUAAGAAAUAGUUGUGAGAAUACAACCACUUCUCGAGACUACCAUUCGGCAUGAACUCAAGUACCAAUGCUUUGAAAUCUGGAUUAGAACAACUGCUAAGGAUCUUUAUGAGAUUUCGAUGACGAACAUUCCGUAAAACUUCACAUUCAGAAUCAAAACUCCUAAAUGCUCUCUCGAAUUGCAGAUUGAAAAUCUUUAUUGCAACAUUAGUCCCGUCGGAAAUGGUUCCUUUAUAAACUGAUCCAAAACUACCUGUACCAAGCAAGUUACAUUCAUUAAAUUUAUCAGUUGCUCGUUGAAUGUCUAGGUACGGUGUUCUUCUCCAUUUUGCAAGAGGUAGAAAAUCUUCGUGAUCCAAAUGCUUUGUACUCCUAUUCCGGCAUCUUUUGUACAUAAUGAUGGUAAUCACUAUAAGUACAGAGGAUACUAUCGGAGGCAAAAUAUAUUUAAGGACAAUUAGAGCAACUUUCUUGGUUCUUUUGCUGUUACCUUGUUUGCAAAGUGGGACUCGGAGUUUAGGUGGACCACAGAGUGCAUAAUUUCCGAAAAAUGAUUCAGCUGAGAAGUUUUUAAAAGACCUUUUAACAAGAAUUUCCCCUUCUAGCCUAUUAUGAGACACAUUAAAUUGUUUGAGAUGUGAAAGUGUCUCCAAUGACUUAGGAAUUUUUCCAGAGAAAUUGUUGCCGGAGAGAUCUAAGGAUUCUAAGCUUAUCAAACUGCCAACUGAUUCAGGGAUAGGUCCUUGAAAUUGAUUACUAGCCAAGGAUAGAGUUUCUAGAUCUACGAGAGCACCAAUGGUUGAUGGAAUAUUACCUGAUAAUUGAUUCCUUGACAAAUCUAAAACUCUCAAGACCUUUAACUUUUGUACAUUGGAAGGGAGAGAAUCAUUUAAUGAAUUUGACGACAAGUUUAUCUCUAAGAUGUACUCAAGGCUCCACAAGGAUGACGGUAUACUAGAAGUGAGCUUGUUGGAGCCUAAGCGGAGUUCUCUUAGAGAUGUCAAACUCGCCAAGCAUGGCGGUAUAUGUCCAGAGAGCUUAUUUCCAUUUAACCUUAUUCCGUACAUCAACUCCAAGUGGCAAAGAUCAUAGGGAAUGGAUCCUUCCAAAUUAUUUUCUUCAAGAGAUAAACCUUGUAGCCGCUGUAAUGUUCCUACAGAUGUUGGAAUAGUUCCAUCCAAGUCAUUGAAGUCGAGGGUUAAGAGGAUCAAGCCACGUAAAUUACCAAUUUCUUUAGGAAUGCUGCCCCCGAGUUUGCAAUCGGAAGCAUAAAAGCUUUGAAGAGAAGCAGAGAAAUUUCCAAUUAAUGGUGGAAGGAUGCCACCUAAUGGAUUAGAAGCUAAGACUAAAUAGGAUAGCUUUCUACAAUUAGUCAAAGAAGAGAGAAAACUCCACUGAUCUGCUGAAGAUGAUUCUGUCGUCAAGUUAUUCCCUGCUACGCUGAGCACGUUGAGGUGCCUCAAGUUGCCAAAUGUAUUUGGUAUAUGGCCUGAGAAUGAGUUAGAGCCCAAGUCUAGACCAAUGAGUUUGGAAGCAUUGGUAAUAGAGUUGGGAAUUGUCCCGAUAAGAUUAUUGAUCGACAAAGUUAAAUACUCUGUGUUCGGAAGCGAGUGGCCUAUCGUUGAUGGUAGGCGGCCUGAUAGUUGGUUGCUCUGUAGAUUAAGGACUCUUAUGGUUGAAAUAUUGAAGAUCGCGGGUGGAAUGAGGCCACUUAAAUUAUUCGUACCAAGAGCAAGAAUCUCCAAAUUUUUUAGAUUGCCAAUCUCGGUUGGAAUUUGAUCUGUCAUAUCGAUUAAACCAACAUUGAUGAGUUAUUGAGUUUUUUGCUAAACAUAAAUUUAAUUUCAAAAUUCAUGAAAAUCAAAAUUUCCCACAAAAUAUGUGUUAUUAGUUUAUAAUAAUUUAGGGGGUAAUGAUAUUUCUACCCCAUGAUUUUUGUAAAACACACAUGCUUUUAGAAAAUUAUUACCGCAAGAUCACAUUAUUCUUAAAAAUUCAAAUUAAGAAGAAGUUUCUAGAAUCAAUCAAUUAAAUCCAAAUUAAUUUAUAUUUGAAACUUAUAUUCUUUUAUUAUAUUUAAGUACUAAGGUUGUUUUAACAUAAAUUUAAUUGACUAUUUUACCCUCCUAAGGUAAAAGUACUAAAAUCCUCAAAAAUUUACUUCAACUAAACUAACAAAAUAUAUUUAUGACCUAUGGGGCAUUAAAAAUAUUGAAUUUUAUUUUUAAAAUAUUAUAUUACAAAACAUAAAACUAUAUGCUAGAUACUAUAGUACAUGUUUCUUGGGGUGAUAUAGUCAUUUUACAUUAUAAGGAUGAAAUAGUCAAAUUAAACUUAACUUGAAGCACCCGUAAAUGCCAAAAAUUGUUAAAAGACCUAAGUCAUAAAAGAAAACUAUUAUCAGAAUAAUUUAUUUAGUUAAUUAUCUGACUUAUUGUUAAUUUAUAAUUUUAUAAGAUAUUGUGAACUUAUUGCAAUUAUCUUAUGGAGAUGAGGGGGGGUUUUGCAAGAAUAUGAGCGGCAGUUUUGCCACUCUAUAAAAUAAAAAGAAUUAUGCAGUCAUGCAAAUGCAAAUAUGCUGAACUUACCUUGCAGGUUGUUAUGACGAAGAUCCAAAUCAAAAAGGUUGCUCAAAUUUCCUAUCCCUGAAGGAAUAUUUCCAUCAAUAACGUUGAAACUUGCUUGUAACAUCUCCAAUUUCGAUAAGUUGAAGAGAGAAUUUGGGAUUGGACCCGUGAUAUUGUUAUUACGAAGACUCAUCAUUUGUAAUUUGGAUAAGACACCAAUCCAAGUUGGAAUGCUUCCACUCAAUUUAUUGAAAUUGAAACUAAUGAAUUUGAGUCGGCCUAAUUUCCCCAAUUCAUUAGGUAGAUGGCCAUAAAAAUUGUUCAAAGUAACAUCAAGAGACAUUAGGAAUGAGAGAUUUCCCAAGUGUGGGGGAAUAGUGCCUCCGAGACCCAUGCCUGAAAGAUUUAAAGCCUUGACUCUUUGAUGGCGUGAAUCACAAGAAAUACCAACCCAGCUGCAUAUUGGAUGAGAUAUAGACCAAUUAUUUGCUAGGACACUCCGAUAAUCAACGACAUGGGCUUUGAAUGCAAGAAGAGCUGAUUGAUCUGUUGUCAAAUUGUUUAAAGUCGUCAUAGCUAAGUUAGCUAUGGAAUAUUGUAACAACAUAGGAACAAAGAAGAACGAUAGGCGCAUAUUGGUCGUUUUUAAUAGAUACAGCAACAUAAUUGCUAGGUGAGAUUGAAACAAGUUUGAAGUGAAGGAAAUUAGCAUAUACUUAUACAAGAGACGUAUGAAUUUGAAAACAAGAAAAGAAAAAAUAUACAGGAGACUUGCAAACUGUUAUAUUUUGCCAUUAAGCGAGUCGUCCAAGUAAACGCACGUAUGGACUUGCAAAAUUGUUAAACGUCGCUGUACUUGAACCGUAAACAAAGGGUGUGUUUGGUUGGAGGAUUAAAAGUGGGGAUUAGACACCUUUUUUUUUUUUUUUUAAUUUUAUCCUUAUCUCAUGUUUGGUGCUGUCAAGGGUAUUAGGAUUUAGUUAUCUUGAACUCACAAGCUAAUCUUAAUUUUGUAAAGGAAAUUAUCCCAAGAGGGGUCAUGGGAUUAGUUAGUAUUGGAUUAUAUUGAUAACUCAAUUAAACAUAAUAAUUUAUAAAUAUUAAAAUUAUAGUAAUAUGUGAUAAAUGUAAUAAAAAAAUAUUGAUUUUAAUAAUGUAAAUAAUAAAUUAUACUAAAAAUCAUUAUUAAUUUCACAUUAAAUUAAAAUUCUAUUUUACUUUAUUUAAUUAUUAAAUAUUUUUUAUAAUUCCAAAUUUACAUUAUAAAUUAAUUAUUAAAUUAGUAUUCAAAAAGAUAAUUUUUUAUAAAAUAAUAGAUUAUUGAAUAAAUAUAAUAUAAAUAUCAUAUACAUAUUUAACAAACUAAUAAUUAUUAAAAUUAUGAUUUCUAUUUCAUUAACGUCAUUGAGGUUGAUUUGUAUAAUUAAUAAUGCAAAAUUUUAGUUUAUAAUAAUAUUAAUAAUAAUAAUAACUUGUAAAUUGUAAUAUUAUAAUGUAAAACAUGAUUAUUUAUAGUCCAAUCUAAUAUUGUACCAAACACAAUAUAGUAUUAUAUAUAAUCCACUAUUAUCCAAUCCAAUCCAAUUUUAUCCAAUUUAAUCUAAUCUAAUUCAAUCAAAUCCGGCGGACCAAACCAGCUCAAAGGUUUUAUGGCCCUUUACUUACCAAACAGAAGAAGAUGCUCAACAUUGGCAUCUUUGACCCAAUCCAAAUUUAAUCCAGACAUCUGCGGAUCAGAUGCAGAUUUGACCCAAUCUAUAUCCAAUCCACCAUUUUACGGAUUGGUUUGCAGACUGAAAAUUUUUAAUUCUGUCAAAUCCACGAACUAACUAAAUAAAAAAAAUUUAAUAUAAAAAUAAAUUUACUAUGAAUCAAAUUUAAAAUUAAAUAAGAUUUAAAUAAAUUAAUUGCUUAAAUAGAGCUAAAAAUACAUUUAAAGUUUCAAAAUAUAGCACACCAAAAUAAAAAUAAAAAAAUCAUUCGUUUAGAUCAAUACAUGGAAAUUAACUAUUUAGUAAACUAUAUUUGUUUAUUUAAUUAUUUUUUUAUAUUAUUAACGGAUAAGAUAUAAUAUAAUGUUAAUGUAACUAUAUUUUAACUUAUUUAUUUACUUAUAAGUACUAAUGCCAUAUUUACAAGUUUUAUUUUUAAUUAAAUAAAUACUUCUUAUUUUUUUGCGGAUUCGUGGAAUUUUACGGAUUUACAGAAGUAGAUCCAUAUCCAAUCCACUGAUUGCGGAUUAUUAAAUUUUCAAUUCAAUCUAAUCCAAUCCACCAAUCCACGGAUCAGACGGAUUGAGCGGAUCGAAUUGGAUUAUGAAAACCCCUCGGUUUUGGUGUCCAUUGUUGAAAACUUGGAAGUCUAUAUGACCAUUUAACCAAACUCUAGGGGUACAACUAUCACAAAGUUCUAAAAAUAAAUUUUACCCAACAUUUAAAUGAUUUUUUUUCACAGUUGAUUAUUAAAUUCUAAGUGUUUGGCUACUGUAAGAAUACAAAUAAUUGACAUAGACAUAAUAUUAAAUAAAAUUUACUUAUAUAUUUAUAUAAAUGUAUGUAUGUGUGUGUGUGUAUAUAUAUAUAUAUAUAUAUAUAUAUAGUUUAUUGUUUGUAUAUAAAAAUUGCUAACUAAAAAAUAUUUAUAUUUUAUCAAUUUUAUUUCUUUUAUUGUUUAUCUCAAUAUAAAUGUAAUAAUAAUAAUUUCUCUAAAUUUAAUUAUUUUUGCUCUUUAUUGAAUAAGGAUAAUUUUGAGUUUCUGUAAUAUAUGUGAGGAUAUAUACAAAAUUGUAUUAAAUAUAAAACUAUUGUCAAAAUUAAAUUUUAAAAAACUAUUCCUUUCUCACUUUUCAUUAGGCAAAUGGCCACAGAAAUUAUUCUCCCUAAUGUCCAAAUAAACUAAAAACGAGAGAUUUCGUAAGUGUGGAGGGAUGAUGCCUUCCAAACCCAUCACUGAAAGAUUCAAGUUUGUGACUGUUAUGGUAUGAGCAUCACAACAUAUGCCAAUUCGACUGCAUACUGAGUAAGACAUGGACCAAUUAUUCAAGAGAUUCAUGAGCCUUCGAAGUGAGAAAUAAAGCAAAUUAGGUGGUGGUGGGUCAAUUGACUACGUUUCGUGAUCUACAAGCGAUUGCAACAGUCGGUUCAUUAAGUGAAAUUAAUGACUCGUCCACUUUAGUAAUAUACCGUCCUCUUUAGGAUGGUGCUGGGUCAAUUUUAUCUCAUUUUCGUUGAUUACGAGUUGUGAUCGAUGACAUCACGAAAGUAGUCAAUUUACAGCUCAUUCACUAUAUAUAGUCUAUGGGUGGAUGGAUCUAACGUAAAUUAAGGGCUGAUGACCCUCGACUUCUAACGACAACCAACGAAGACGACCUUGACUUACAUGUAAACACACAAUUCGCUCUCAUACAUUAUGUUUUAAAAUUUCUCCAUUUUCCGGGGCCCCGCUGUCGACCGUACACAGUUUAAUUUGUAUAUACAAGACCUCAUUGCUUCUAACAAGCAUAGAGCCAUAGACCAUAUUAAUUCCAAUUACUUAAAUCUUCAUUUUUAUCAUGAUUUUGGAUCUCGAGCAAUGUGGAUAUAUCCAACCAGAUCCACCUCACUGGCAUCCCAAUAGAUUUUAAAUUGAGUAAUGAGUAUCAAUAAACGUGUAAUUGUAAAUCUACAACGUUUAAUUUUAAUUUGAGGAUUCAAAUGAAUUAUUCCAGCAGUACCUCGUUAAAUUAAUAUUCCAUAAAUUUUUAACUUUAAUUAAAUAACAAAUUUUGUCCGUCCCAACUUAAGAUUAACGUGGUAAUUAAUAAUUUGAUAAAUUAUUAGAUAAUAAUUUUUUAAAAAUCUUAUUUUUUUUAUUGGAUCCAACUGAUAUAUAAAUUAAUAAUUAAUUAAUUUUAAAACUAAAUUCAUGUUAUGUCAAUCAAAUGUUAUUGCAAAGAAGACUAGUAGUGACGCUUUGAAAGGUAGAGCUGGCAAAAUUUGACACGACUUGAUUACCCGACACGAACACGACAUAAAUAAAUGGGUAUGGGUCGUCAAAUUUAACACGAUUAUUAAAUGGGUCGGGUCCGGGUCAACACGAUUUUUUUCCGUGUCGGGUUAGGAUUAAAAUUCUUGACCCAUUUACCCGAUCAAUGACCCGAUUAUAUUUUCUAUUUUAAAAUAAUUUACAUAUUCUUAUAAUUACAACUCAAAUAUUAGAGAUGAUUUUCUUUUUUUUUAAUUCUUUAAAAGGGUGAAUAUAAACACAGUGUUUUAUUUAUAAAAUUUUACAUACAUUUAGAGUUUCAAUAGUGUAAAUGUGUAAAAAUUGAUAGACAUGUAUAUUUUAUAAUAUUGAUAUAUAAUAUUAUAUAUAUAUAUAUAUAUAUAUAUAUAUAUAUAUAUAUAUAUAAUUAAAACCUCAAUAGUGUAAAUGUGUAAUAUAUUGGUAGAUAUGUAUAUUUUAUAAUAUCGAUAAAUUAUGUAUGUAUGUAUGUAUGUAUGAUAGUGUGUAAAUAUUUGAUGUAACUUUUGUUCAAUAUAUAGAUAUUAAACGGGUUAUUAGGUAACCUGAUUAUUUUCCGUGUCGGGUUUGGGUCUUAAUAUUUUGACACGAUUAUUAAAUGGGUCGGGUUUGGGUCGACUUAAAUUUGAUACGACACGAAGCUGACACGACACGAACACGACCCGAUGACCCGUUUUGCCAGCUCUAUUGAGGUACACCAAAGCCUUUUUCACCAUUUCAACGUCAUGACAUGAUGUAAGUUUCUUUUGUGGAAUUUGUGAAUUGGUGCUGCAGAAGUUAAUGAUACAUGUAACCAGCCAACCCUUGUCAAGUCCGCUUGACUCUUAAAUUUUUGUCACUUUCACUCCGUUCAAAGGCAUGUGAAAGCUAAUUUUUAAUGAAUUUUGAAUUGAGUGUUGGAUAUUUUGGGCUUAUCAAAACUAGAUUAUAUAUAUUUUUAAUGAAUUUUAGAUUCAGUGUUAGAUAUUUUGGGUCUUAUCUUUAAGUAAUCUUUUACACGCAUACAUUUAUAUCAUUGUAUGGUUAUAGAUUCAAUUACUUUUAUGACGCAUUUACUAAACUCGAAUUGAAAUAAGUAAGAAUGAGAAUGUGCUGCAAUGAGAAUGGAGAACCGAAAUUAGAAUAAGUUAUUUACUUGUAAUAUAGGAAUCAGAAUGAUCUGAAUUGCCAUUAAUGUGUUUACUUUUUCUUAGAAUUAGAAUUGAAAUAAGUUAGAUUGUAAUAAAUUACUAAAAACUAUUUAAUGAACUAUUGUAAUAAUUAUUAUUUUGUAUUUUAAUUAUUGUGAUUAUUUAUUAAAAAUUAUUAUUAUUAUAUUGUUAAUAGGAUAUUAAUAUAUUAAUAAAUUAUAAUAAUAUAUUAAAAAAUACACUUGUAUUUACAAGAAAUGACGGAUACAAUUUUAAAAUCGUCUUCCUCCCUAAAAGUCUGAUUGCCACAGCCCUAAAAAUUAAUAAGAUUGGGGAAUUAUGUGUUUUUUAAAAAAUAUUAAAGGGUGUUCAUUUCCUUAAACGGUGGGGGCUAAAAGUCCUUUUCCCAAAAGAGUACUGUGCCAGUGUUGGUGGCUAGAAGGAAAAAUCGUUACAUUGCUCCAGAAGUGCUUGAUAGAAAUUUCGGUGAGGCGUCACAUAAUUUAAAGGCUAUGUUUUUUUUUUUUUUAUAAUCCACCAAGAAGGUGGGGUUAGGCCGGACUCCUACGUAUAAAUAAAUCAAUCAAUGAAAGAACAUAAGGAGGGGGACAUAAACCAAACCUCCCAGGAAAAGUAAAUAAUUUAGUAAUCAAAUAAAAUCAAUACAAAUCAAGGUGAUUAAUGCCGAAUGUAUGGAAUUCCAAGAGUAUCCAAAUGAAGAAUGCCUGAUAAACCGCUUGGAAGAUCACUAGCAUUGAAAAAUCGUUGACAAGUCUGAUGGGUACAAGCCUAAUUGGCCAUAAAGUCAACAGCAGAUGUAGCUUCUCGAAAAACAUGCCUGAUACUAAUGGAUGACCUAGAAGCCAAUGUCCAAACACACCCAAGGAUGUAAGUAAAAUCCCAUCGCACGAAACUACUUGAAAUGGCCUAAGAAACUACAGUGGCUGAAUCAGAUUCUACCUCAAGAUCAGAAAAACCAAGCUGAGUAGCAAGAUCUAAACCUUCUAACACAACCAUUAAUUCAACAAAAAGAAUAGAUUGGUGUCCCAAAAAGGAACCAAAAGCAGCUAAUAUCAUGCCUUGAUGAUCUCGCAAAACACCACCAGUAGCAGCCAUGCCUGAGUUUCCCCUAGAACAACCAUCCACACUCAACUUCACCACCCUCGGUGGCGGUUUCAUGUUGGAGCACAAAUCUCAACCACACACGCAAAGUGAUAAAUAAUAAAAAACUUAUUAUAACUUUGAUCGUAUGGUUAUGAAGGGAUGCUCUACCUUAGAGAAACUCCAACAUAGCCAAACCUUAAUUUAAAUUACUGGAAUUAGCUAUGCACACACACAAGCAGUUCGAGCAGGAUAAUGAAUUUAAAUUACUCGGAAUUGUAAGCAGAGAUGAAAGAGAAAUUACAAAGAAGAUGAUUAUUUUUCGCUUGUGGUGUAUAUAGAAUCGUCUAUCGGAAAUAGAGGGAGAGAAAUGUUACUGCACAGAAGCAGACUAGCAGUGACGCCUUGAAUAAGUCCGCCAAAGCCUCUUGCAUCUUCUCCUCCAACACCGCCAAUAGAGUCCGUUUGACUCAUAAAUUUUUGUCGCUUUCAUUCUUUUCAAAAGCACGUGAAAACUAGCUUAUAGGAUUUUGGAUGGACAAUCACUCUUUUCAAAAGCAUGUUAAAGCUAAUCUUCAAUGAAUUUUAGGGCUUAUUUUUAAGUAAUCUUUUAGCAUGCAUGCAUUUAUGCAAUCAUGUGAUUAUAUAUUCAAUUACUUUUAAAGUAGAAAAAAUUACUUCUCUUAAAAGCAACAGCGGGGCACGUAUUGCAAUUUGUAGUAGUUAAUUCUUGGAUGAAAUUUACUAAAGUAUAGUCUUGUAAAAGAAUUAGUUUUCUUAAAUUGUAAUCUCGUUUAUGAUUGGGAGAUUUUGAUCAAAAUUAAUAUGAUAAAUUCGUUGCAAGUGUUGUUCUUGAAGUCUCAUCUUCCGUGAUGUUUGUAAAAUCAAGGUUUUACCAUCUCUGAUUAAAUAUUUAGUCUUGAUUUCGGCCACGUAAUCUGGACUUGACGAAAGAUUAUGAUCUUAUGUGAUUUUAUGAAUGUGGUCUUACCUCUUAUAAGUCAGCAAUGAAUUAAUUAAAGCUUGCUGACAAAUUAUAAGCUCAAAAACCGCUGCUGCUUCAUUAAUCAUAUUACCCAAAUUCAUUGCAGAACUCAUCAUAAGUUUUCCGAGAAUUUUAAGCUUUAUUUUGGCUUCAUUCAUGUACUCCCUUUGUAGAUCCCAAAGACAUGUUUAACUUUAGUUUAGGGUAACAAAGCUACAGCUUUUUCUGCUGUGUGCAACAAGCGAAGAAAGUGAAAUUGUAAAGAAUACGAUCGAUUACUGAUACGAAAACAUAAAGAUUGAUAAUUUUUAGAGAAAUAAAGCUCCUAAAUAAUUAGAAUAUUAUUCAUAAGUCUUAAUAAAUAAAACUAGAAUUUUGGUUCUUUUUACACCAACCCUAAAUAUCUUGAAUUUAUUAAAAUAGGAAAACGAGAAAUAUUUUUUUGUAGUAAAAUUCUCUAGUCUAAAUAAGCAAAAUUUUAAUGUCUGAAGAAAAAAGAAGUAAAAAUUCUGAAAGCAAUUAAAAAAAAAAAGCAAAAUAACUUAAAAUUGCAAAAUAAUCAAGAAAGAAACGGAACUUUUGGCUCAAAUACAGGGUAGAACAACUUAAACAAUUUUUAUAUUUUAGUUUAUCUUAUCGCAAGUUUUGAAAAGAUGUAUUAUAAGUUCUAAACAAACAGCUAUCCCUACAAAGUACCAUGGUCAUUCAAUGUAACUACCCUACAUCAAUUAUUGUUGGUUUGUGGUGUAUCCAGACCUUUCCAUCGGAUGGGCUGUCCACGAAUACAGUGAUAGAAAUGUUAUUGCAAAGAAAAAUACUAGCAGUGACGUUUUGAAAAUUCCACCAAAGUCUUUUGCAUCUUCUCCUCCAGGACCGCCAAUAGAGUAUAGAGUACGUUUGACUCAUAAAUUUUUGUCACUUUCACUCUUUUCAAAAGGACGGGAAAGCUUAUCGAACGGACCACCAAUCUUUAAUGAAUUUUGGAUUCAGUGUUGAUAUUUUGGGCUUAUCAAAGCUAGAGUCCGUUCGACCCAUAAAUUUUUGUCACUUUCACUCUUUUCAAAAGCAUGUUAAAGCAGACCUUCAGUGAAUUUUUUAUUCGCGUACCUUUAAGUAAUCUGUGCAUUUAUAUAAUUAUGCGGUUAUAGAUUCAAUUACUACUUCUCUUGAAAGUGAAAGCAGGGCAGAUAUUGUAACGCAGCUGCUAUUGGUAGCAAUUAAUUCUUGGAUGAAAUUUACUAAAGUAUAGCCUUGUUAAAGAACUAGUUUUCUUAAAUUGUAAAUGGUCCCCUUUAUGAUGGGGAAAUUUUGAUCAAAUCUGAAAGAAAGCUUGAAAAAUAUAUUGAAACUAUAAUGAAAUUUUAUGUUUGAUUUAUAUUACAAAUGUGGGUCCAGCUAUGUUACCUAGAGUUGGCAAAACGGGUCAUCGGGUCGUGUUCGUAUCGUGUCAAAUUUAGGUCGAUCCAAACCCGACCCAUUUAAUAAUCGUGUCAAAAUAUUAAGACCCAAACCCGACACGGAAAAUAAUCGGGUUACCCAAUAACCCGUUUAAUAUCUAUAUAUUGAACAAAAGUUACAUCAAAUAUUUACACACUAUCAUACAUACGUAUGUACAUACACAUAUACAUACAUACAUACAUACAUACAUACAUAAUUUAUCGAUAUUAUAAAAUAUACAUAUCUACCAAUAUAUUACACAUUUACACUAUUGAGGUUUUAAUUAUAUAUAUAUAUAUAUAUAUAUAAUAUUAUAUAUCAAUAUUAUAAAAUAUACAUGUCUAUCAAUUUUUACACAUUUACACUAUUGAAACUCUAAAUGUAUGUAAAAUUUUAUAAAUAAAACACUGUGUUUAUAUUCACCCUUUUAAAGAAUAAAAAAAAGAAAAUCAUCUCUAAUAUUUGAGUUGUAAUUAUAAGAAUAUGUAAGUUAUUUUAAAAUAGAAAAUAUAAUCGGGUCAUUGAUCGGGUAAAUGGGUUAAGAAUUUUAACCCUAACCCGACACAGAAAAAAAUUGUGUUGACCCGGACCCGACCCAUUUAAUAAUUGUGUUAAAUUUGACGACCCAUACCCAUUUAUUUAUGUCGUGUUCGUGUCGGGUAAUCGGGUCGUGUUAAAUUUUGCCAGCUCUAAUUGCACACUUAACUAAAUUAACUAAAUUGACUUUUGUUAUUCCACCCCAACAUUUAAAUAGUCAUUAGCACACAUUUAAAGUAUUUCAUUAACUUAGUUAAAGAAGGGUAAAAAAAAAAAAAUCUAAACAAUUACUCUAUUUGAAAAUAAUUUAAAUAUUUCUUUAUUAGUUUUUUGUAACUAAAAAGAAGAGUAAUAAUUUUAUUUUAUUAUUUUGUUUCUAUAUUGUAAAUAAUUUUAAUUAUCUUUUAAUAUUAAUCAUUUUAGGAAAAGUAAAUAAAAAAUAAGAUUUUUUUAUGUAAAACACAUUAAUUAGUUUUUCAUAUUAUAAAAUGCAUAGUGAUUUAUAAUAAAAAUUAAAUAUGCAUGUUUACCCUUACAAUAUAUAUUUAUAGCCUCCUGAUUACAUUCUUGUCGGAUUAAUGGUUAAGUGCUAGAAAACAGAACCAUGGCCAUGACCAAUUUUUUUUUUUUUAGUUUGGUAGUGAAAUUGAUUUUUUUCCUUCAAUUCGAACAAUUUAUGCAUUCUCUUCUCUACAUAUCUUGCAAUAAAAAAAGAAAAAAACUUACAUUGUCUAAAUUGACAAGUCUAUGAUGUCGGAGUAUUGUAUUCAUGUCGGCAUCUUUGAAGUGCUUCUGAAAUAGAUUGUGGCUUCCAAAAACAUCAAUAUAAUUGAAAAUUUUUAGGUGCAGGACUAAUGUGUGAAAAUAUAGAAGUCUUUAGCUUUUUUGUUCUUUAAACAAAUAAAUGGACUCCAUUACAAUUAACCUUGAAAAAGACAAAAAAAAAAAGGGGUACUAAACCCAUGUGGCAACGUAGUUUUGGCCUUGAAGAUAAUAUAGAAGAAGAUCAGAGUUUAUAUAAAUUGAGAUUCUUUUUGGCACUUAGAUUUUUAUUUAAAAAAUAUUGUUUGUGUUAUUAUUAAGAGGAAAAAUAUAAAUAAAUGAAUCUAAGUCUUAUAAUAUUAUAGUUGCUAUGUGUCAUAAUCAUAUUAAAAGGUUUGAAAAAAUUAGAUUAGGUGAGGAUUCAAUUCCUCCUUGAAGACCGCUAAUAGAAUUGGUUUCACUCAUAAAUUUUUGUCACUUUCACUCUUUUCAAAGGUGCGUGAAAACUAGGUUAUAGAAUUUUGGAUGGACGAUCACUCUUUAUCAAAGGACUACCAGUCUUUAAUGAAUUUUGGAUUCAGUGUUGAUAUUUUGGGCUCAUCAAAGCUAGACUAUAGAUUUUUUUUUUUUUAAGAAUUUUGAAUUCAAUGUUGAUAUCUUGAGCUUAUCUUUAACUAAUUUUUUACCACCCGUGCAUUUAUGUUAUUGUACGGUUAUAGAUUCAGUUAUUUUUAAAGUAGAAAAAUUACUUCUCUUAAAAGUGAAAGCAGGGAAUGCAGACGCUAUUUGUUGUAGUUAAUUCUUGGAUGAAUGUUAGAGUAUAAUUUAUACACUAGUUUUGCAUUGUUUAUUUCUCUUAAUAUCGAUAUUUUGCAUUUAAUAAUAGUGAUUUACUUGUAUUUUACUUUUGUAGGUGUAAUUCUAUUGAUUGGUGAUAAAAUUGAGCUACAAGAUGAUAUUUUAGGGUGAUUGUUUUCUUAGAGAAAGUAUGAGCCUCAGAAGAACUUUGUUGAUAAGGCGUGAGCGCGUGCUGUCAACUACGGACCUGCAGUUUUUAGUUUAACGUGUUUUGUAUUUUUGGUUAUUUUUGUAAUUACGAAUUUAAUAUUUCAAAUAUUAGUAUUUUAUUUUAAAUAGAAUUCUAGAGGAGAAGAGAGAGAGAGUAUUUAAGGGAGGAAUCUAUAUUGAAAAAGGGGGGACUGGAGAAAAAGAAAGAAACCCUAGAUCUAAACUUUUCUCUUCUCUCUAUGAAGAACUAAACCUAUUUUUCUGGUUGAAGGUUAAUGAAGCUUUGAUUCAUCACUACUGUGAGAUCUUUCUUAUGCUUUAAUUGUUUUAUUGCUUUUUGGGUAUUUGUUUAUUCUCUGAAUUAUUUUCAUGAUUAUGUUUGUUAAUUAGGUAAUUGGCCACUAUUUAAUUAUCAACUUAAUCUAUUGUCAAUUAAAGGAUUCAUCGUAUGAAGAUUUUAAUGUUUGUGACAAAUAACAUAGCAGAGAGUUGUGUUGUGAGAAUAAACAAUCUAAUUUAAAUGAACUAUCGUAUGUGUUUGUUGAUUAGGAUUUGGGUCUCUCUGGUUUUUCAGGCUGUCAAUUGAUUAAAUCUUAUGAUCGUAUCUAGGGUUGUCUAUUGAUUAGGGAAAUAACCAACGGUUAUACCUUGGUUAUCGACUAGUUAAGGAGAGAUUGGCUAUUAGAGGGUCUCAGUAGCUAUAACCGAUCUAUUCAUAAGUAAUAAUAAUUUAUAUUUGAAUCAAUGAUCAGUAGUCGAAUCAAGCUGAGUUAAUUCCUUCAACCAUAGCUUUCUCCAAUUUGAAUUACAACUUUAAUUUGCAUUCUUGUUAUUUUAAUUUAAUUUUUAUUACUGUCAACAAAACCCCCAUUUUAUGUUUUACGUUUUAAAAGGAUUUAAAUAAUUACCGAUCUCUGUGGACACGAUCCUGCUCAAUCACUAUACACAAUUUGUUUAGAGUAGGUAUUUAUUUUCGUUGGCUUCGACAACCAUCAAUGAAAUUUGGGUCUUGCUAUAAUACAUGCAUGUAUCACAUACAUGCGAGGAAUAAAAAAAUUAAAAAAAACAUUGCCAAACAUUUGAAAAAAAAAACUGGAGCAACCGGUAAAGAGCAACAGGUUGUGCCUUAAACAAUUAAAAAAUUAUGAAACAAUAUAAUAAAUAAAUAUAAUAAACAAAAUAAUAAUAAAAUAAUAAUAAUUUAAUAAUAAAGGCUAGAUAACUAUAAAAAAAUAGUUUCAAAUUUAAUGGUAUCAGUAUCAAGUUAACGAUAGGUGUUUCGUGUUUAUUGGUCUACUAAUUGCAUGAUUUUCAAGGUUGCAAGUGAAUGAUCCCAAGUUCCAUGUUCAUUGCCCUCAGUUUCAAGUUCUUUUAGUUUCAAGUUUAAUGGUCCCAGUAUCAAGUUAACGAUAGGUGUUUCAUAUUUAUUGGUUCAUUAAUUGCAUGAUUUUCAGGAUUACAAGUUAAUUAUUCCAAGUUUCAUGUUCAUUGCUCUUAGUUUCAAGUUCCUUUGGUUUCAAGUUUAAUGAUCUCAGUAUCAAGUCAAAAGUAAGUGUUUCGUUUUUAUUAGUCCAUUAUUUGGAAGAUUUUUAGGGUUGCAAGUUAAUGAUCUAUGGUUUCAAGUUAAUGAUCCUAUAUUUCAUAUUCAAUGCCUUAAGUUUCAAGUUACUCUUGUUUCAAGUUUAAUGGUCCUAAUUUCAAAAUUAAUGAUAGGUGUUUCAUAUUUAUUGGUUAUAGAAGAUUUUCAGAAUUACAAGUUAAUGAUCCUAUGUUUCAUGUUCAUUGCCCUAUGUUUCAAGUUACUUUGAUUUCAAGAUUAAUGGUAGGUAUUUCAUAUUUAUUAGUCCAUCAUUUGGAAGAUUUUCAAGGUUGCAAGUUAAUGAUUUCUAGUUUCAAGUUAAUGAUGGUAUAUUUCAUGUUCGUUUUCAUAAGUUUCAAGUUACUUUAGUUCAAAUUUAAUGGUUUCAAUUUCAAAAUUAAUGGUGGGUGUUUCAUAUUUAUUGGUCCAUUAUUUGGAAGAUUUUCAAAGUUGUAAGUUAAUGAUCUUUGGUUUCAAGUUAAUGAUCUUAUGUUUCAUGUUCAUUACCCUAAGUUUCAAGUUACAUUGGUUUCAAAUUUAAUGGUCUUGGUUUUAAGAUUAAUGAUAGGUGUUUAUAUAUUUGUUGGUCUAUUAUUUGCAAAAAUUUUAGGGUUGUAAGUUAAUGAUCCUAUUUUUCAUUCUCAUUGCCCUACGUUUCAAGUUACUUUGAUUUUAUAUUUAAUGGUCCAAAUUUUAAGAUUAAUGAUAUGUGUUUCAUAUUUAUUGGUCUACGAUUUGUAUAUUUUUAGGAUUGCAAGUUAAUGAUUCUAAGUUUCAUGUUUAUUGCGCUAAGUUCCAUGUUAUUUUGGUUUUAGCUUAAUGUCUUAAUCUCAAGAUUAAUGGUAUGCAUUUCAUAUUUAUUGGUUUAUGAAAUGACAUGCAUUCUAUCAUGAAAUUUAUGAUAGUUUUUUCAAAUCACAUAUUUGUCACACCACAAUUUCGUGAUUACUUGAAUUUCUUGCAGGCUUUUAAAUUUUUCAUGGGAAAUUUAAAAUUUUCAGUGAAUUUAAAUUUAGUUUUGAUAGGAAAAUUGAAUUGGAAUAUGAGACAUUUUAUGACUGAUACUUACUAUCACAAAUUUUGAUUUUUUUAAAUUUAAAUAAUUUUAUUUCCUAUUUUUGACAUUUAAAUCAUAAAACCACUAUGAAAGAAAAUAAACCUGUAUAUUCAAUUAAAUCAGAAAAUAGAUAACUUAAUAUCAAUUAAAAUCCAAAGUACAGCCAAAUAUCGAGCAAUCAAGUUACGUUAGUUUCAUGUUUAAUAGUCCCAACGUCAAGAUUAAUGGUUGCAUUUCCAAAUAAUUAGGAACAACUCAAGUGUGCAAUAAGAGAUUUCAUGUUCAAUGACUAACAUGGUCUUUAAUGUAAGUAAUUUAAGAUUAUCAUUAGUUUCAUUUUUAAUGUUCAGAUUUCAUAUUCAUCGGAAUGUUAUUAUAGAGAUGAUUUAAAUAUAAAUAUAGCAACAAAUAUUGUAAUUGGUACAAUAUCAGAAUGAAUUACAUAGGUAAGGCAUGUGUAUAUGAUGACCAAUCGAAGGAAGAACAAGGACUCUGUAUGACUGUAUGGUAGAGUUAAAAGAGAAAAUAUGACAUACUCUAAUACGCUCGUUAGUGACUUAUAUUAGUCUUUCACCUAAUGCUGUAAUAUGUUCAAUAGAGACUUGGUGUUUGUUUUAUAAUGUACUUAUCAUUUAAGUUUAAUAUUAUGUAUUAAAAUUAUUUAUGUGUAGUUUGAAAUUCUAGCUAAGCAACCCAAGAGCGGAGUGAAUUGAGUAUGCAAAAAAUUGGAUAAUAAUAUCACAAAACAAUUCUAGCAAAUAGUUUAAAGAAUUCAAUAACAAUAAAUACAACAAUGAAUAAACUUGCAAAGAUAAAGAGAAAGAGAAUAAAUAUAAGAUUUUUAUGUGGUUCGGCAAACCUCGCCCACGUCCAUGCCUUCAAGUAAAUUGAGGUUGAGGAUUUCACUAUCCAAACCUCACAAUCUAAGGUUUCAAGAUAUUUAUAAUUGACUUCCAAAAUGUCAAAAAAUCUUUACAAGUUCAGAUGAACAUUUACCUCUUUUCUCAAGUUAUCGUUAUGACUAAAUUUGAAAAUAUUGCACAAAUGGAUCGCUGCUUGGAAAUUUUCAAAUAUUGUAUUUCAAUCCUACAUACUCACCCAAUCAUAGUCAGUUUACCGCUUGAAGUUAAUGGUUCACCGUUUGAAUUCCAAAAACCUAAUUUAGCCAAAAACAUUAUGAAACUCGAUCAGGCCUAUUUACAAUUUACAAAGUGUAAUUUUUCUACUUUGCGUCAUUAAUAAACGUAAACUUUUGAGAAUGUCAAAAGGGUGGUUUAGAUUUAUCAUUGCUUGUUAAAAGCAUCGAUUUUCAAUCAAAUAGGUAUCAAUCUUCCACCAUUGAUAAUUUAAUUACAUUUAAGGAUAAAAUAAUCACCUUUUGCUAAAAAUCUCUAACAUUGUUGCAAAGGAAAAAAAAAUGAAAAUUGAUAUGAUUUGUAAAUUUCAAGUAGACUGUUAAAUUCAAUUCUUGUAGGCUUUUUGAGAUUGCAGAAAACAGCAGGUUGACAAUUCAUAAUUUUCCAAUAGAAUUUAUUUUUUUUCCAACUUUGACAAAUGUUAUUUUUUUAUCAACUAAUGAGAAACAAGAAAUGAAAUGCUUCAUAUGAGAAUCAACUUUCUCUAACGAUUUAAAUUUCUCAUGAUUCUCUUAACAAUUUAAAUUUAUAGGAGACUACAUGAAAUACAUUGCUGGGAAGGAGGCAUGGGGAUUGAUUUUCACUGUUCUUCAUCACUAUCAUCGCCAAACACUGAGGCAACAGCUAGUUUUGGCUUUCUCUGCAGCACUUCCAGUUGCGUUCUGCACAAGAAGCAAAGAAAAUCAGAAGAUAGUUGUCAGUUCUAUUCACCAAAAUUGCUUUUAAUGGGUAAGUGCAUCACAAGAAGCAAGAAAGUUAAUACAUGAUUGAAAGAAAUAAUAUCCCUAAGAAAAUCGUGAGCAUCAUCUUUUAGCGUAUAUUAAUCCAGGUUGCCCCGGAAAAGAAUAUCCAAUCAUCAAACAGCCUUUUGCAUUAUCUAUCAGCUAUACCUAUUCUGGCGAUUCUGUAUAAACCAAAUUUAACAAAACAACAUGUAGCAUUUUAUUGCGGCUCUAGAUUAUGAAGAUCUCAUAAUCUGAAACCUAUUUUCAGGCUAAUGAUAUAACUUGAACAUAUAGGACAACAAUUAGUCAAGAAUGGUUAAAAUGCAGGGGACUUCAGAACAUAGAACUGUAUAUUUGGCCAGUAAAAGAAAAAUCUAUUUAUAAAAAACAAGAACUAAGCAUACAAGCAAUAAGAAAAUAGUUAAAUUAUUUAGUUAUGAAUUAGAUGUGUCUACUAAUGGCAACCAAACUCAAAUUACUCAGAGGGAAUUGAACAAAGGAGUAAAUCAAUAAACUUCAAUUAUUUAUAGACUUCUGCAUGUUUUGAUAUUUCAUAAAUUAUUUAUCGUACUUGAAUAAACUUCAGCAUUUAAACAAAAAUAUUGAUAAUAUUUGUCUACAGAAAUCAAUGUUGUUCAUGUAUAUCUUUAGCAUGAAAGCCCUCUAUUGUGAAGAACUCAAGAAAGCAGAUGCAAAAGGGAACCAAGUCAUAUAUCAUAGAUGCACAGAUGAAUGUAUUUAUCCAUUUUACAAAAUUUUUAUAAUGAAAAGAAACUGAAGAAGGCAGGUUCAAAAGGGAAUCAUAUUUGCACCAGCAAGUAGAAAAAUAUGCCAAUACUAAAGCAAUAUAGGCCACCAAGAUCUGCAAGGAAGAUCACUGCAUGGCGAAGAAAGAAUACAGCAUUUUAAUACCAGUGUUCAGCCUAUCUUCAACAAAAAAAAAUUUAUAGAAGAGCAGAAAGCUGCAACAGCAGAGACAGAAUACCUAUCUAUCAAAGUCAAUGCAAAGAACUACAAGACUAAAGCUGCAACAGCAUAGAUCGGAUCCACAAGAUAGCAUUAUCUCUUUAAAGAAAGACCAUUUUACGACAUUGUACGCAUUAUCUCUUUCUACAGAAUAUCAUGAUAUUUAAAUAAAGAACAUAUUUUUUAUAAGUAAAAAAGAUCACUCAAAAAGCUCAAUACUUUAAAACCAGUUAAGCAAUUUAACUCUUCCCAAAUACCACAAUACGGAAAUAUGAUUCACACAACAUUACACAAAAGCUAGGAAUAGAUUUAGAAUAUGAUCCUAAAGAAACUCACUUUAGUUCAUGAAUGCCACCAAUAAGGUACAAACAUAGAAAAAAAAUAAUUUUUUUUUCCUAAAAUUUUAUGGUUUUCUAGCUAGGAAAUUCAUUCCAAGUACAUUCAUUCAACAAACUAGGACCAAGUAUUCUUUCGGCUUUCAGAACCUCAGUUUUCCAGCUUUAAUGACAGAAACAGAAUCAUAUUCCUGAAUAUCAUUCGAAACGAAUUUCAAUAUCAAUCAAGCAUUUUCCUUUCCUUUGUUUCCUUGAUAUAAAAAUGAAGUCUUUGAAAGCUUUAACAUAAAACGAGUAAACAAGUUGAGAGGAUACUGAGUUCAGCUAUAUUAACAAUUCAAAACUAAUUCCAUUAAAAAACCAGUGUUAUUACUUCAAAUAUAUCACAUCUAAUACACUGAAUAUUCAUAAAGAAGUAAAUCAUUCAUAAUACUUUUGCAGAGCGUUAUGAUUUCAACCAGUUUUACGAAACAGCUACAACCAGAAUAUCAAAUUAUAACUAGAAAGAGACCUGACGAAGGCCACCACCGAGCUUGAUGGUCUGGUUUGUCAUGCUAGCACUACUAGAAAAAUGGUCUUUGCUGAUACUUAUCUUGUGACACUUAAUUAAAAAGUAUCAGUAAUUACAUGUGUUUGGGGCAUUUUCCGUGUUUAACAGAUAAGUAUUACAAAUUUUCAAUACUAUAGUGUCUGUAAAUUAAGUAUCACAAAUAUGUGACAUUAAGGUAUCAGUAAUUAAAAAAAUAAAAUUUUAAUUUUGUAUCCACUGGGAGUCGAACCGCAGGCUUCUAUACUUUAACUUUUUAAUUUUAAACAUUAAGCCACCAAACCACAAGUUGCAUUUUUACUUAAUAAACAAUAAUUAUUAAAAAUUAAAUUAAAUUAUCUAGAAAGUAGAAACUAUGUCGUUUUAAUGAGGUGUACAUGGAAACCUAAAAUCUAAAAAUUUUGACGAGCAAAAAAUCUAUCCCCACCGCCACUUUCUUCUUUGAACCGAAGCUCUCUUCUCUCUCUCUCACCCCUCUCUCUCUAACAACGGUCUACCUCACAAGUCGUUGCUGUAAACCUUCAAAAUAAGCCGCCAUCCUUGAGCUAAAAUACCCUUGGAAAAAAGCCUAGAAAGUGUUGUGAAGAACUUGGCCAAAGUUAAGGUUCGAAAGUCAGAUUAAAAAAAUUAGGGCUUUUUUUUUUUAGGGGUAUUUUAUUGUUUUUAAUGUUGAGUUCAGAGAGGCCAUCGACAUUGUGGGGGUUUAAGACAAGGGGAUUGGGCCCUGCAGAGCCAAGAAGGCAAGUUAGAGGCGAUUCCUUGAUGAGAAUGCUAAUGCUUCUGAAAUGGAUUUUCUUGGAGGAGACCUUGCUGUUUCAGCCUUUGCAGAUCUUUCUUUUGAUCUUCCAUUGAGGUGGUUUAGAGAAAAAGGAAUUCAUGGACAUCUUUUUGCAUGUGCUGGGAACGUUGCCAAGUUAAUAGAGAAUGAAUACGGAAUUUCUCUUUGCCAAAGUUUUUGGAGUCAACUCGAAGUUCUGCUGGAGCUGGGAUUGUUUUUCCCACAAACCUAUUCCGCCUGGAGGUGAGUUAUCUGUUCUGUUGAGUUUAUGGAAUUUAAGCAACAUAUGAUGCUUUGAUCUGGGUGGUUGUAUGAUUGAGGAAAGAUAUAUGAUGCAUUAUCAAUCAAGGAUCUGAAGGUAUCUUGGCCUUAGUAAAUGGUCAUUUAGAGUUCUUCAGGACCAGUUUUUUCUUUGAAAAAUAAUUAUGAUUGAACACUGUCUUAAAAUGAUUAAAAGUUAAUUCAUUUCGGAAUAAAAGGAGGUCCUAUACUUCCAUAAUCAAGAAUUGUUAAGGGAAAUAUUUGAUUUUUACUUUGUGGGUCAUUAUCCAUAAGUAAUAUUUGCAAACAUGUAACUCUAUAAUUGGGAAAGUUGAUUUUUGGGUAUUUGUCAAACAUUUAAAUAUGUGGGGGACUAUCCCAUUGAACUAGUAGAUAUUUGUAUGGAUGUCCAUUGAGCUUUUGUUUAACUUCAAAUGUCUACUUCUUGAGUCAUUACUUCUAUAUAUGUAAAUCCUAGUUUAAAGUGCCUGCAAAGAGGUGAUUGUUUCUAUUUCCAUGCUUAAGUUCAUCAUGAAGUUUCCUUUGAUAAACUUGCAGUAGAAAACAUGGAGGGGAAUGAGUAGGGAAAGAGCAUUACAUUGUUGGUCAGAUUUAGGAAAUGCUUGAUGGAGUGCCCUUCUUAUACCUCUUCAUUUUUUUGGACUUGGCUUGUAAAUUGUAUUAUCACCUUGCCAAAUAGAAGUCAAUUUUUAGUCCUUGUUUUUCUUCCUUUAAUCUAAGAUUGAAUAACUUUUCGCAUGAAUACCUCCAUAUUUAGAAAAUUUGUAAUUAUUAUUCAUUGAUUUAUUUAUAAUAGAGCAUUUGUGAUAGCUUUUAACUAUGCACAAAAAUCAUUUGGUAUAUGUAGAUAGAGUAACAUGCUUGUGCUGAAAGUAGAUAUUACAUUGAAAACUUCUUGUCUGCUAUAGUUUGCUAUAUAUAUAACCUUUACCAAAAGAGAAUAAUUGAGUUUAUUUAUAAAUAGCUUAUGAGUAUUUUUUUCUUUCGAACAAAAUAAUUUUAGUUCUGUUAAUUGUUGUUUCUCUAAUGGCUCGAUAUUGGCAGCUAAUUUUUUUUUUCUUUUCCAUGUAUUCAUAUGCAGAUUUGAUCAAUGUGUUUGAAGUGUUUAUUCUUCAACUUCACUUAUAUCCUAACCUAUACAGUCUAUUGAAUAGAGAAGCUGCUGGUGGAUAACGCAAUUAUACUACUCAUAUUCAAAGAGUGAAAGGCAGUCAUCCUUGUCAAUUUAGCUUAUAGAUUUAUUAAAUUUAGCCACAAGUAGUAGGCAUUUGAUUGGAUAGUAGAAAUUUUUAUGUAUUGAAUUUGGAUUAUUUAGUUAUGAGAGUAGGAUAUCUCAUAUUUUUGUUAUUAAAGUUUUGGAAUUUGUAAUAUAUACUAAUAAUAUUUAAAUGUGAAAUGAAAGAUUUUAUGAUAUAAAUCAAUUUCUUUUUGUUAUUUUGUGGUGCCUUUUAAUUUUCUGAAUAAAUCAAUAGGCAAUGAUCCAAUUUAAUUUUUUAUUUUUUUAAAAUAAAUUAACUAGUGAUACCAUGGUAACAGUAAUCAUAGACACUAAUAAAAUAUCAAUAACUACUAAUACUAUGGUGUCAUAAUAUCGGUGAUACUGUAGUAAUAGUAAUUACUGACACCACUUACAAGUGUCAUUAUUUUUCUAACUCCCAGAUUACUGACACAAUUAACAAGUGUCAGUGAAAGUAAUUUCUGACACUAUUCUAAAGUCAGUAAAGACUAUUUUUCUAGUAGUGUAGAUAGGUCAAGCACCGCGUCACCUGGAACCUAAAAUUGUUAAAAUAGUUAAAAAUAAUUAAUUUAAAAAAAAAAUAAGUAAGCGCAUAAAAAAGAACAGAAGAAACACAAGAAAAAAAAUACAAACCACUAUCUUAUCAACAAAGUUCGCUGUUGGCUCGUCUUCAUGAAAAUACCAAAGGGCUUGAACGGUAUUUUCGCAACAACUUUCCCCUCUAGAGGCCAAACACGACAAACAGAACGAGGGCGACAACGGCGCCGGAUUUGAACUUGAACAACGACGUAUCGCGGCUGAAUUCUUUAAGGCUGGUCUCGACACGGUCAAUCUUUUUGGUCUUGGACUUUUUGGCGGAGAUUUUAGCUGGGUUUUCGAUUUUCAUAGUCUCGAGUUCUUGACGGCUUUGUCGAUCGAGGAUUUGAGGGAUUUGUAAGAGUUGGUUCGCUAAAUGAGAAGCCACGAGGUUGAUUCGCAAAUGAUGACGUGCUUGUAAAUGGUUCCGUUUAUGAUUGGGAGAUUUCGAUCAAAAUUAAUAUGAUGAAUUCUUUGCAAGUGUUUUCCUUUGAAGUGUCAUCUUUCAUAAAGUUUGUAAAAUCAAGGUGUUACCAUCUCUGAAUAAAUAUUUACUCUUGAUUUAGACCGGCUAAUCUGAAAUUGAUGAAAGAUUAUGAUUUUGUGUGAUUUUAUGAAUGCAGUCCUAUCUCGUGAAAGUCAGUAUUGAAUGAAUUAUAGUUUGCAGACAAAUUACUCAAAAGCUGCCGCUGCUUCAUUAUUCACAUUACCCAAAUUCAGUGCAGAACUUAUCAUAAGUCCAAAAAUUUUGUGCUUUAUUUGGCUUCACUCAUGUAAAUUUUUUCCACCCAAAUCCCAAGUACUUCCUGCAAUAUCAUUCCUGUGUAGAUGUUUUCCCCUAAGACAUGUUUAACAUUGGUUCAGGGUAAACAAAGCUACAGCCUUUCUUGCAAUGCGCAACAAGUUACUAAAUCAGAGUAUUUAUUUCUGUAUUACUACUGCUAGUAAGAGAGGCGAAAUGGAAAUAUGAACUCAACUUUGUACAAAGUUUGUUAAUAAAUAAAUGAGUUGAUAAAGGGACAUUUUAAAUAUUUACAACAAAUGGAGAAUGAUAUCUAGUUCUAUAUUCAAUGUUUAGAGUCCAAUUGUGAUCGAUAGUGAUAUAAUUACCCCCAUUAGAAAUUUUAAUUAUGAAGUUGCAGUAAAAAUUUAUUAUAAUAUGUUGCACCUUUCUAUACAAUCAUCUGGAGUAAUAACAUAUCAAAAAAAUAAUAACUCGACUUACAGGGUAAGACAGAAAAGAAAGACGCUAAAAGAGAAGCAGAGAUUCAAAGACUUGACCACUUUGUUGGAGGGACAAUUACGUAAAUCUCCAGAAUACUGAAAUAAAGCACUUGCAAUAUCUAGCAUUACGUGUGUAUAUAUAUGUAUAUGUCCAAAGACAAAAAUUCGAAGAUUAGAUCUCUCAUUUCAUUUUAUGCUCAAAGCAAUGGCUUUUGUUCCACAAGCACAAACAAGGAAGAGUACGCACAAAGUUAACAAACACACAUAGCAAAUAUGACAUUAACAAGUUGCAGCAUCAUCAUCCAGAAACUUCACUCUAAUCGUCUUGAGCUUUGCAGCGGCAUCUUUCACAGAUACCCUCUGUUCUUGUGACUUCAUGCAACAAUCAAACGCCAAAUGCAUGAUGCUUAAUAAACAAUUCAUUUUGGCGGAAAAAGCUUGCUCUUCUCUUACUAAUUUGCAUCAACAGCAUCCGUCAGUGCCUGAGGUAACGAGUCCUUUAUCUAGUCUCCGAAACUUAUUUCUCCAGUAAACAUUUCAUCAGUGGGCGUCUUUCUCGUGAAAGUUUCCAUCAGUAAAACACAAUAACUAUAGAUGUCACAUUUGGCCGAAAUUAUUCCUUCUGAUCCGUACUCUGCAAUUUUUGGUUUCAAUAUAUCAAAUAUGAGAUUAUGAAACAAAUGAUAAACAAAUAAUCUUUUGAUAACCAAGGUGACCCAAACUUUCCCUGUGCUUGGAAAAAGAGCAAAAAUUUGAUACUAUAAUUGAAACCUUACCUGGUGCCAUAUAACCAAUUGUAGCCAUUGUCAUUAUGAAUCUAGAAGAAUCUUAUUUGUUAAUGAAUGAUUCCAGAAUGCACAACUGAGCUUGCAUUGCUCGAUUUAUACUGAUUACAAAACUGAUGAUACAGACAUUUCAUUUCAUAACUAACUACUAACAAAUAUUGCCCUAAGCCUAUUACAAUGUGCCAUCUGUUAAUUCUUCCAACAGUACUAGAAUCUUCACAUAACGACUUGGACACAUCAGCAUAAAGUCUAUUUGUGGAAUGUUCUAUGCUGAAUUUGUGCUAUCAAACGUUGAUGGAGAAACACAAUUUUCUUCUUAGAAAAAAUUAUUAUCUAAAGAUUCACACAUGUUAGAAGAGAUUCGAACAAAGGUUUAUUAGUUCGUGGGAAAAACAAUGUUAAUGAAACGAGGUCUUGGUCUCAUAGAGAUAGAGAAAAACAAUUUGUGCAUUCUCUUUACUCGUGGGAUCUAGUUUCCUUAAUUUUGUCCUCAUUCUUUAUUUUUUUUAUAUGCUGAGGAUACACAAAAACAAUGUAGGCUGAGUUUGAUUGUGAAUAAUCUCUUGUGGAAGGAAAUGACUGUUAAGGAUUAGUUAGAAUAAAACUAUAUUCGGAGGGAGAUGGGGUACUUGGUGGGAUGAAUAGUUUGAUUCUGGGGAAAAUAAAAGACAUAACAUUGAUAGAGGACUAUCAGAUUUCUCCGUCCCAUCUACGCUGAGAUCAAAACAAUUGGCUCCUAUUCCGCAAGCACAAACAAGACAGAGCAGCAAAGUCAGCAACAUUCGGAACGAGUACAAACAGAGGUGGAGGACAUGUCACUCUGCGUUUGCAAUGUCUCCGACGUGUCGUUCUCUAUUAAACGACGUCGAAUAAUAUCAGUGUACGACAAGUGACUAACGGCGGUUAUGGCCGUUAAAUGAGCACGUGAUGGCACGUGAGCAACUAAAUUAUAUUAGCUCAGAAACGUCAAGCUUAGGACCUUUUGAUCAUUACUCAAGUUGCACGCGUGGAGCGCGUGUAAGAAGCAGUUACGGGCCGUUUCUUUUGGCGGGAAAAAAUCUGGGAAACUUGCCCAACAGGCAGAAACAACGGUUAUAUAAAUGCUGAUUAACAACUAUUAUUUUCAGAGGUUGUUAAGAGAGCUCAAAGAGAGUUAGAGAGAGAAAGUCAUCUUGAUUUGUUCUCUAUAAUGCCCUUGAGGCUCUUGUAACCUUGUUCUCUUGAGAUUAGUGAAGCCAUUAACUUGAUCUUGAUCUACUCUAGAUGUAGUCACCUCUGGUGCUGAACUACUAUAAAUAUUUGUAUUCUUUGUUUACUGAUCUAUUAAUUGUUAAUUUCCUUUUCAAAUCAGUGUUUGUGAAUCUUGAGUAUUUCUUGUCCAACAUUGUGGUCUUGGGGUGUUAAUUUGGGAUCGAAUCGCAACACCCAUAAACAUAUCAUCUGUGGGCUUCUUUCUUUCCACCAAUAAAACGCCAUAGCGAUAGACAUCCCCAUCUGGAAGGAAUAAUUCCCUCAAUUCCGUAGUCUGCAUUUUUAUCUUCUUUUAAAUUUCAACAUAUCAAAAAGAGGUCUCUUUAUGAAAUAAAUUGUAAAUAAAUAGCGUUUGGAAUAAAUUUUGCUUGUGUUUAAAAAAAGGGGCAAAGUUCGAAAUAGACUUGAGACAUUACCUGAUGUCGUGUAAACAAUUGUGGCAAUUGUCAAUGUUGUCGCGGUAUCAUCUUAUUAAGUAUGAUUUUAUGAAUGUUGAGCAACCCAGUCUUAUCUCAUGUAAGUCAGUAAUGAAUUAAUUAAAAUUUGCUGACAAGUUACAAACUCAAGAACUGCUGCUGCUUCAUUACCCAAAUUCAGCUCAGAACAUAUCAUAAGUUUUCCAAAAUUUUUAUGCUUCUUUGUUUUGGCUUCAUUCAUGUAAUUUUCCCCCCCAAAUCCCAAGUACAUUCUGCAAUAUUGUUUGAUGUCCAAUGUGAAAGCACGUUUCUGUACAGAUACUUUCCCCUUAGACAUGUUUAACUUUGGUUCAGGGUAAGAAUGUGCAACAACCUGUCAGAGUGAAAUCGAAAGCAGGGUUGUGGUUGAUGGCAAUCGUAUCACCAACAGAAGGCCAGGAACUUCCAUAUAGUUUGCACUGGCAAUUGCGGAGAAGUAUUUUGGUCGCAACAAAGCACUGGAGCUUGCAAAGAUAAUGCUUUACACUCGUACCUAAACGAUUGUAACGAGAACUGGUCUACUAUUGAACUGGAGUAUUCAUUUCUAUAUUACUACUACUAGCAGAGAGGCGAAAUGGAAACUUGAAUUCAUGUUUGAAUAGGGAUUCUCUGUGUUGAUUUGCACAACAGUUUGUUUAUAAAUGAAUGAGUCCAUAUCUAGUAUUAAGUCUGUAUGUGUACAAAGUUACAAAUUCGAAGAUUGGAUUUCUAAUUUCAAUUUAUGUUCGGCUCAAAGUAAUGGCUUUAAUUCCACGAGCACAAGAAGGAAAGAGUACGCACAAAGUUAACUGGUUGCUGCAGCAUCGUCCAGGAACAUCACUUUAAUCUUCUUGAGCUUUGCUGCAGCGUCUGUCAUAUUUUUCCUCUUGUCGGGUGACUCCAUACAGCAAUCCAAUGCCAAAUCCAUAAUGCUUAAUAUACAAUCCAUUUUGGCAGAAAAAGCUCGCUCUUCUCGCACCAAAUUUGCGGCAACAACUUUAGUCAAUCCGUGAGGUAAUGACUCCUUUACCCAUCUCCUUAAACUCAUUUCUCCUGUGAACAUUUCAUCGGUGAGCCUCUUUCUUGUGAAAGUUUCCAUCAACAAAACACCAUAGCUGUAGAUAUCACAUUUAGCUGAAACAAUUCCUUCUGAUCCAUACUCUGCAUUUUUUAAUUUCAAUUAUUAAACAAAUGAUAAAACAAAUAAUUUUUUGAUAAUUAAGGUAACCCAAACUUUGCUCGUGCUUGAAAAAAGAGUAAAAAUUUUAAUUACAAUUGAAACUUUACCUGGUGCCAUAUAAUCAAUUGUAGCCAUUGUCAUGGUUUGUGUCACAAAAUCUUCUCCUUAACCUAAGAGUUUGGAAAUGCCGAAGUUGCUCACGCGUGCCACCAUAUUUUCAUCCAAGAGAAUGUUGGGAGGCUUCAAAUCACAAUGAAUUAUAGGUGCCGACGAAUGACCAUGAUGGAGAUAUUCAAGAGCCGACCCCACAUCUAUUAUUAUAUUCAACCUCUCUAGAAUGUCUAAGAAAUAGUUGUGAGAAUACAACCACUUCUCGAGACUACCAAUCGGCAUGAACUCAAGUACCAAUGCUUUGAAAUCUGGAUUAGAACAACUGCUAAGGAUCUUUAUGAGAUUUCGAUGACGAACAUUCCGUAAAACUUCACAUUUAGAAUCAAAACUCCUAAAUGCUCUCUCUAGUUGCAAAUUGAAAAUCGUUAUCGCAACAUCAGUCUCGUCGGAAAUAGUUCCUUUAUAAACUGGUCCAAAACUAUUUGUACCAAGCAAGUUACAUUCAUUAAAUUCAUCAGUUGCUCGUUGAAUGUCUAGGUACUGUUUGGUAACGGAAAAAGGAGAAAAAAAUGGAGUGGAGGCAUUACUUUUAUCUCAUCCUUAACUUCUGAGGGUGGGGGAUCUCUUUCUCUCUUCUUCUCAUGGAAAAUUCUUUCUUUUACACUCUACUUUUCUGCAAAUUACUCAAAAGGUUUUUUAUUUUAAGGCAAUGUUUAUUAAGCCACAUGAGUGGUGGCACAAGUUUUUCCCAAAGGCCUAGAAACUACCUUGAGCGUCGGAGGGUUCAAAUGCGCCCAAGCACACAGCCCAAAGCCUCUGUGUGUACUCAGACGGGCCCCAAAGGCCUGUAUCUCAUUCAUAUCAUCUGUAAUAUUUGUCUCUCAAUAUCUGUCUGUAUCUCAUAUUUGUAUCUCUGUAAUCAUCAUACCGCAUGCAUAUGCCCCCAAAAGGCAAAAUCGCCCAAACACACGGCCCAAAGCCUCUUUGUGUGUUCAGACGGGCCCCAAAUACCUCUCAUCUCAUCUCAUCUGUAUCACUGUAUCUAGAGGGAAGGGUAUUGUCCAAUGAUUUUAAAAACAAUCUCUAUACUCAUAUUCAUGUAUAUUCUAAUCAUACUUUAAAUCAUACAUUUCUUUUCAUUAUCACAUCUAAAUCCACUUUUCUCAUCUUUAAAAUACUAUUGUAUUUCAUUCAAAGUCGACACAGAAAAUCAUUGACCAAACAUUUUAAUAUAAUAUCAAUGCGUGCAUAAAAUCCAUUUCGAGGAAAUCAUUAAAUCAGAACAUUUAAAAUACUUAUUUCACAAACAUGCUUUACUAUCAUAAUUAACUAUGAAAAUAGGUUUUGUAUAUUCCACUCACAGUGACGGUGUUCACGCUCGGUUAUCGUUCACGUCCGCGGACCGAUUCUCACUCGCGAAUCAUCCAAAAUCAAGGAAACGACAUAAUUAUUUUUCGUAAAUCGGAACUAAGACUAAAUUUAUGCAAUAAACUCGAAACGACCAUCUAUUACUAAAAUACCCUCGAAUCCGUAAAUCGUUAAAAUACUCUAAAAUCGUAAAUCACCGAAUUACCCUCGGAAUUGUAAUUACACCCAAUCCUCAAUUCCAUGAAUUACUAAAAUAUCCACAAGCUCAAAAAAUUACAAAAUUACCCUCAAGAAUGUGAAAUUACCAAAUGCCCUUGCCAGUCAAUGGUCACCGGAAUUUGGUCAACGCUGGCCGGGAAGCACGGGUUAGACACUUUUGGCCAAGCUAAGUUCAAUGAUACCAGCGGUGAGCUCCAACGCGCGGCAACGAUGCUGGAAUCUAGCUCGGCAGCCGUGAAUUUCCAACAAUUGGAUGGCGGCGAAACAAUGACUCCCGGUGGCUAUGGAUGGUCGAAAAUGGAAGAGGGAGUCAUGGGGAACAAAAUCCAACCGGUGGUGUCACCCAAAAUCGGCGAAGCAAAGCGAAACAGUCGCGGGUUUUCAAGCUUUGGUCGCGGGCGUUCUGGUUGUUUUUCGGCGAUGUGAACGGCAGGGGUAUGAUGGCCGGUCUUCAAGCUUCAAAUUGGUACCAAGCUUGACCGGAACGGUGGCCGGAAAUGGAAGUUACGACUGGUCACGUUUGCGGGUCGGGUCGGGUUUUUGGGUCUGUAGUUGGUAGCUUCUCUCACUCACACGUGUGGCUUCCCUCUCCUGUUUUCCAGCUUAUUCUAUUAUUUAUUUUAACCUUUAACCGCCUCUUUUUAUUCAUUUAAUUCACAUAUGUUACAGUACUAUUGACUAUGUGUGUAUAGAUAUUUUGUUUUUACCAUGUAAUUUCAUAUUGGAUACAUUUUUAAUUGUACAUUGCAUAGCGUCAUGAACGGGAAUGAUAAAAUAAAUUUCAAGCAUGUUUAAGUAGAUGAAAAAACUUUGUACGAUUUAGAAGGAUUUACUGAUUAAAUAAUUAUCCAAUUUGUUUGCCUGGAGGAAUUGAAUAGUUAAUUGAUUAGAGGACCAGCUGGGCAUUGUAAAUAUUAACGGUCAUUAUUAAACAAAUGAUAAAACAAAUAAUACUCUUAUAACAAUAUUUUUUACAUUAAUUUUUUAAUCAAUAAAAAAAGGUAACUAACAAAUUAACUGAUAAAUUAAUUUGUUAAUAGUUUUUGUUAAUUUUUUAAUCAAUAAAAAAGUUAAUUAAAAAAUUUACUUAUUAGCAAAUUAAAAAAUAAAUAUUAGCAUAAAAUAAUUGAUAUUUCAUUCUCUUACAACAAUCUUACUAAUUAUUAUUUAUAAAUUAAUUAAUACAAGUUAAUUUAAAAUAAUGUUUAAUAUUCUUGUAACAACCUUUCUAAUAAUUGUUUUAUAAAAAAAAUUAAUUUAUUAAAUUAAUCCUAAAAGUAAAAUAAUAAUAAUUAAUUUAUAUUUUAUUUUUAAGAUUAAUUUGAUAAAUCGUGGUGCCCGGCAGGUAAAAAGCCAUGUCACCCUCAUUCUUAAGCUGCUACAGCAUUACCACUCUGUCAGUUGCCACGAAGCUCCCCACAUCAUUACCGUAACGAUGCCUCUAGAAAACUAACUUAAAAAAAUGGUAUUAAUAAGCGUACGCCACGUCACUCCUCACUCUCUUCGUCACUUUCCUCUCACUCAACAUUUUCUCCCCAAACAAAUUCCUUCUUUGAAAAAUCGCAUUUUCUCCUUCACAGCAACAGCUACAAUGUCUUCAACUUCCAAAAAGGUAAUUUUUUUUUAAUUUUAUUUUUUGUUUUGUUUCUUUCUGUUGCCUUUUUGUUUCGUUUUUUGAAUUUUCUGUGUCGUUUUUUUAUCCAAGGUUUUGGUGCCUGUUGCGAACGGGAGUGAGCCGAUUGAGGCCGUGAUAACGAUCGAUGUUUUGAGAAUGUCUGGAGCUGACGUCAGGGUUGCGUCUGUGGAUAAACAGCUUCGUGUCGACGCGUGUCAUGGUGUCAAGAUUGUCGCUGAUGCUCUUGUGUCUGACUGCCGCGACGCCGUUUUUGAUCUUAUAGCUCUUCCCGUAUGUAUUGCAGCUCACCUCAGCUCAUGCUAAUUUAUGUGAUGUUUUUAUAAUUAUAGAUUAUUAUUGCUGAUACUGAAUGUUAAGCUAAAUAAUUUGUUGUUAAGUCAUCUUCAUUUAAUUUUCGAUUGAAAAUGAAAAAAAUAGUAAUUUUGAGCAAAGAAAAAUGUAGAAAAUGUUUAUUUUGUUUUAUUUUUAUUUUUAAAUUUUUGGGAUUUCCUUAUUGUGACUGUUAUCAUUCAUUAUAUGGUCCUAGUUAAAUGUUUCAAGUUGUUGUAGUCUGUGAAACUCUUUUCGAUAUUUAUUCUGGCAUGUACAUUUUUCCUUUCAAUUUAUUUCGUUGCUGAUACUUUGAUUAUGAUAUAUCCUUUUUUGUUUCCCUUGUAGGGUGGCAUGCCCUGUGCUACCAAUCUGAAAGAAUCUGAAGUAUUAGAAACCAUUGUGAAGAAGCAGGCUUCAGCUGGGCGUCUUUAUGCUGCUGUCUGUGCUUCACCUGCUGUGGCAUUAGGGUCUUGGGGUCUGUUGAAGGGAUUGAAGGUAAGAAUUAGAUAAGCCUUUUUUAUGUUUUGUGUUCUUUUGGGAAUUGCAUUGAUAUUUGUGUUAUACAUCAGUUUUGCUCUCACCGAUGAUUGUUAAGUUCUAAUUUAUAGGGUUUUUGAUUUUUUGUAGGCUACUUGUUACCCGUCAUUUCUGGAGCAAUUAGCUCCUGCUUGUGCAGCAACUGUUGAAUCAAGAGUACAGCAGGAUGGUAAAGUUGUUACGAGUCGUGGACCUGGCACUACUAUGGAGUUUGCCGUUGCACUUGUCGAGCAGUUGUAUGGGAAAGAGAGAGCUGAUGAAGUUUCUGGGCCACUGGUAGUAACUUUUAUAGAUAAUGUUGUUUAAAAAAAUUGUGAGUUAUAUAAUUUGUGGAAAUUCAUUCUAAUAGGUUCAUCUGGUAUGUCAAAUUGGAAGGUUCAGAUACUAAUGUAUUCCAAAAAAUUAGUUCAGGGGAAAAGUAUGACCUUUUGCAUUGGAGAUUCAUUAGAUGAAGUUGUAGACCUGCUGGCCCAUCUUAAUGUGGUGAAAACGAUGUCUGAUAAGACUGAUAUAAUUAUCGGAAUCUUGAUAAAUGCAUUUGUUGAGCUUCAAUGUCUCCACGGAUCACAUUCUUUUUAAUGUAAGUUCUUUCUCUUGGUAUUUGUCUUUGAAUUUUCUCUUCCUUAUGCUUUCGUCUUACUUAAAUUCCUUAGGAAUUGCUUUGAAGAUGACAAGCAGAGCACAAGAGACCAGAAACUUGUAUUGAAAAUAAAACUUGAAUUGAAUUCUGUUUACAGACCAUCGUCUAUUUAUACAUAAGAAAACAAAAGUGACAGCUAGCUAAAAAUAACAAAUUCAGAUAAAACAAAAUAAUCCAGCAAUCAUUAGCCAAUGAUAUGAUGCUUCCAGAAUCUUCAUCCAUUUAUUCCAUGUGCUGGUAUUUCUCUGUGUAGUAGUUUUGCCACCUCAUUGAAGUUGCAUCAGCUGGUAAAUAGGUGUAGCUUAGGUGGCAUGCCAAUGUGUCACUGAGCUCAGCUGAUGAUUUGUCAUGGUCAUGGCUGCUAUCUUCAACACCCUCUUUCAAACACAAGGUUUUGUCAAACACCUUGAGUUUGCUUCUGAAGCAGCUGAAUUUAUAGUAAGGUAAUGGCUUGGUUAGAACAUCAGCUAUUUGGUCUCUGCCUGCAACAAAACUGAUUUCCAACUCUCCUCUAGCUACCAUGUCUCUGAUAAAGUGUAGAUCUAUCUCGAAAUGCUUAGUUUUGGAGUGAAAUACAGGAUUGGUUGCUAUUGCAGCUGCACUUGUGCUAUCACUUAGGAUUGUUGGUGUUCUUUGUAUUUCUAUUUUCAGCUCACUUAGCAGAGAACCAAUCCAUGUGAGUUCUGUAGUGCAAAGAGCCAUUGCUCUGUAUUCUGAUUCAGCCGUAGAUCUAGCAACUAAGCCUUGCUUUCUUGAACUCCAAGCAAUGAGGUUUCCACCCAAGAAUACACAAUAACCACUGAUAGAUCUCCUGUCAUCCAAGUCAUUUGCCCAAUCUGCAUCCGUGUAAGCUAUUAGAUCAAAGUACUCUGAUCUUUUGAAUUUCAGACACAUGUUCAUGGUGCUCUUGAGAUACCUCAACACUCUUUUGCAUGCUAUCCAGUGAGGUUGCCUGGGAUCAGACAUGUAUUGGCUAAGCUUGUUCACUGAAUAAGCAAGCUCAGGUCUUGUGAGUAUUGCAUACUGCAGGCUACCUAUAACACUUCGAUACAAUGUGGGAUCAUAAAACUUUUCUCCUCCAUUUUUCUUUAGUUUCUCUGUGGUACUGAAAGGUGACUCAAUUCCUUUACAGUCACUCAUCUCUGUUCUGGCAAGUAGAUCUUGUAUGUACUUGGUCUGAGAUAACAUAAUGGCAUUUUGGUUUCUGUUCACCUGAAUCCCCAGAAAGAAAUUCAGCUCCCCCAAGUCUUUUAAAGCAAAUGCUCCAUUUAAAUUGCUGACCAGCUCUUCAAUACUGCCACUACUGUCACCUGUAAUGAUGAUGUCGUCAACAUAAAUCAGCAAUAUAACUAUCUCAGAUUUUGUUCUUCUGUAGAAUAGUGAGGUAUCACACUUGGAGUUUUCAAAUCCCCAAGAGUUCAAAGCACCCUUUAGUUUGUCAAACCAUGCCCUGGGAGCUUGUCUCAAACCAUACAAUGCUUUCUUUAAUCUGCAUAUGUGAUUAGGCUUACUUUUGUCCACAAAACCUUCAGGCUGUGGCAUGUAAACCAUUUCUGUCAGCUCACCAUUCAAGAAGGCAUUAUUUAUGUCUACUUGCCUCAAACUCCAGUCAUUGUUUACUGCCAAGGUGAGGAUAAUUCUGAUUGUUGCAGCCUUAACAACAGGGCUAAAUGUCAUGACCCAACCCAGACCUGGCAAGAUAUUGUCCGCUUUGGGCCUUAACAAGGCCCGCACGGAUUUGUUCUUGGGGCGCCCAUACACCCCAAAACGCGUCUUGCCAAUUAAGGUGUGGAUCACCCCUUAUAAACCCAGCAUCUCUCCCGUGCUUUGCCGAUGUGGGAUUCGCCUGGGGUGUUACAUACACCCCCCCUUGGGGACUCAGCGUCCUCGCUGAGGUUUGCCCCACCAUCGCUCAAGAGGACACGCGGAACCGCUCUGAUACCAUAAUGUCAUGACCCAACCCAGACCUGGCAAGAUAUUGUCCGCUUUGGGCCUUAACAAGGCCCGCACGGAUUUGUUCUUGGGGCGCCCAUACACCCCAAAACGCGUCUUGCCAAUUAAGGUGUGGAUCACCCCUUAUAAACCCAGCAUCUCUCCCGUGCUUUGCCGAUGUGGGAUUCGCCUGGGGUGUUACACUAAAAGUUUCUGUAAAAUCAAUACCUGGAAUCUGCAAAAAUCCCUUCACCACUAGUCUGGCCUUAUAUUUGUUUAUGGUUCCAUCUGGAUUCUCUUUGACUCUGUACACCCAUUUAUUUCCAAUCAACUUGCAACUUGAGUUACUUGGUACCAAGGUCCAUGUUUCAUUUUUUAGCAAGGCAUUGUAUUCAUCUUCCAUUGCCUCUUUCCAGUUUGGUUCUUUUAAGGCUUCUGAAGUGUUUAAGGGUAAUGCAGUCUGUGGUUGAGUAGAAACUUGGUAUAAUUUUGGUUUAAAGAUCCCUGCCUUAGAUCUUGUUACCAUAGGAUGUGAUGGUAUGACUUCUUUUGUGUUUGGAGCUAUGAUAGGGGAUGAAGGUUGGUCAUUUUCUUGAGGCUGGUGAUUUGUAUGAGGAGAAGACAUUUGAUUAUUUGACAUCAUAUCAGUGCUCAAGUUCUGUUGUGUCUUACCUUGGUCAAGGUUCUGGAAUUGUUCUGAAGCUUCAGGAGUUUCCAGAGAGUGGCCUUGAUCAACUGCUGUCUGAGUGCUUUGAGGAGUAUCAAGAGAGAAUGACACGACCUGAAAUUUUUCUAAGAGAGUAAUAAAAUCACUUUGACUUGUGGACUCUUGUCUACUGAACUUGGUAUCAUUAGAGAAAGGAAAUGAGCUUUCAUUGAAUCUGACACUUGCAGAGAUAUAUAUUCUACCUGAGUGAUGCAUGCAAACAUAUCCCUUGUGAGUUAUGCUUAUUCCUAGCAAUGUGCAUUUGACAGUAUGGAAAUCAAGCUUGUGUUUGUUAUAUGGCCUCAAAAAUGGAUAGCAUUCACAUCCAAAUACUCUGAUUUGUGAGUAAUUUGGUUUGCAAUGGUAAACCAAUUCAAAGGGGGUUUUAUUUCCAAUGACAGGUGAGGCUAAUCUGUUAAUAAUGUAGGUGGCAUAAGUGAAAGCUUCUUGCCAGAAUUUUAAUGGCAUUUUAGCUUGUGCCAGCAAUGUGAGUCCAGUUUCUACCACAUGUCUGUGUUUUCUCUCAACCUUGCCAUUUUGUUCAUGUAGAUAUGGACAUGAUUGUCUCAAUGUUAUCCCCUCUUUGUCAAGAAAUUCUUUGAAUGGUUUAAAUUCUCCUCCCAUGUCUGUCUGUAAUGCUUUAAUUUUCAGAUUCAAUUGAUUUUCAAUUUGGCUUUUAAAGGUGAUGAAUGUAUUGAGAGCUUGGGAUUUUGUUGUCAAGGGAAACAGCCAGGUGUAUCUUGUCAUAUCAUCCACAAAAGAUAAGUAAUAUCUAUGUCCAUGACUUGAGGGAAUUGGUGCUGGUCCCCAUAAGUCAGCAUGAAUCAAUUCUAAGGCCUUGCUGGUUUUAGUUUCUGUGCUUUUGAAGUUUUGUUUAGAUUGUUUUCCAUACUGACAUGCACAACAAAAUGAAGGAACAGAAUUCUUGUUUAUUUUGAACUGAUUGCAAGACAACAGGGUGCUUUUCAGAGCAGACUCAUUUGGGUGCCCUAGUCUAAGAUGCCAAAGAUCAAUGUCUUUCAAAGCAUCAUUGCUUGAUCUAUCAGUUUCAGAGGACUCAACACAAACAUUUGCUAACUUGACACUACUCAAAUUAAAUGACAACAUAGACACUGGAUUGCUGAUGCAAUUUAUUGACUCAGGCAUGAAGGAAGAAGAUAAGACAGCAGCAUAAGGAGUUUUGUUCCCACUCAGGUGAGUAGGUAAGCACAGCAGUUCAUAAAGCCCCUCUCUAGCCACUCCUUUCACCAGAAUUUUCCCUUGUCUCUUGUCCUUGAUAAAACACACAGAUUUUUGAAAUUCGAUAUCAAUGUCAUUAUCAUGCAAUAAUCUGGAAAUGCUAAUGAGAUUUUUAGUGAUGCUUGGCACAAAUAAUAUGUCAUUUAAAGUGAUGUGUUUAUGUGGAUUUGAAGUGAAGAGCAUAGAGUUACCAAUAUGAGAAAUCAGGAGUUUUUCACCAUUUCCAACAGUUAGAUUUUCAUUACCUUGAUACUCAGAGUUGGUGUUUAUGUUGCUAAGGGCAUUUGUCACAUGGUUUGUAGCACCACUGUCCAAGUACCAGGCUCCACUGUUUUGGCCAUCAGUUGCAGCCACAUAUGCACCUCUUGGUUCCCUCCUUUGGCUUGGUUGUGGUACAUAAUUCUUUUUAAAUCUGUGCCAGCAAUCAGCAGCCGUGUGUCCCAUUUUCCAGCAAAUUUGACAAGGCCCCUUUGGAUUUGCACCAUCAUCAUCACUUACAGCUUUGCCCUUCCCUUUGUCAUGAGAGUUCUGAUUUCCUUGACCAUUACCAGAUCCAUUGCCAGGGGUUCUGAAGACUAUGCCAGGUUGAUAUUGAUUUCCAGCCCUGUUCUGGUUGUUCCAAUUCCUUCUCCCAUUUCUCAUUUGUGUGUAGUUUGCUUCUAUAGUUCCUGAGCUUAGGUUGUGUUCAGUUCUGUUUUCUUGGCUGAGAAGCAUGCCAUAGACUUCAGAAUGUGAGGGACUUUCCUGCAUUGAAUUUAUGCUAGCAAUUACUGAAUCAUAUUCUGAUCCCAAACCAGCAAAUACACACAUGAUAAAGUCAUCAUCACUCAUAUUACUCCCUGCAGCCCUAAGAGUAUUUAAUAUAGACUUCAUUCUAGAGUAAUACUCAUGAAUGGUUAGUGAGCCCUUUUUGAUGGUCUGGAUUUGUGUUCUGAGAUGUAGGAUUCUAGCUCUAGAUCUUGCACCAAAUUGAUUGGAAAGAGUUGUCCACACCUCAAAGGAGGUGGAACAAUCCACCACAGUGCCCAGCACAUCCUCACUAAGUGAAGAUAACAACCAACUUAGGAGAAUGUGGUCCUGCUUUUUCCAGACUUGGUAAUUUGGGUUAGGUGUGGUGAUUAUUGUUUGAUCUUGUCCAAGGUUUAUGAAAACUCUAGGAGGGCAGACAUGGCUACCAUCUAUGAACCCCUCAAGUUCAUUUGCUCUAAUGCUGGAAAUCACUUGUGAUCUCCAGAGCAUGAAAUUGUUUUGAUUUAGCUUAAUGGGAGUUGUGAACACAUAUGUGCUGCUGGUAAUGUGUUGAGUGGGUGAAGGUGAGUUGUGACUUGAGUUUUGUUCAAUGUUUUGAGGGGUGUUUUGGUUUUCAUUUUGAUUCAAGUUUUCCAUCUGAUCGUUUUGGUUCACAUUUGCUUGUGUGCUGCUGCUGCUUGCCAUAGCUUUGAAGAUGGCUCUGAUACCAACUUAAAUUCCUUAGGAAUUGCUUUGAAGAUGACAAGCGGAGCACAAGAGACCAGAAACUUGUAUUGAAAAUAAAACUUGAAUUGAAUUCUGUUUACAGACCAUCGUCUAUUUAUACAUAAGAAAACAAAAGUGACAGCUAGCUAAAAAUAACAAAUUCAGAUAAAACAAAAUAAUCCAGCAAUCAUUAGCCAAUGAUAUGAUGCUUCCAGAAUCUUCAUCCAUUUAUUCCAUGUGCUGGUAUUUCUCUGUGUAGCAGUUUUGCCACCUCAUUGAAGUUGCAUCAGCUGGUAAAUAGGUGUAGCUUAGGUGGCAUGCCAAUGUGUCACUGAGCUCAGCUGAUGAUUUGUCAUGGUCAUGGCUGCUAUCUUCAACAGUCUUCACUGUCACCUUGUGCCUGGGUAAUGCGUGCAAAUCAUGGAGAUGAAUACACUAUUGCUGAAUUCAAUCCAAUUCAGUGGACAUUUGACAAUUCUCCCCAGGUGAGAUUGGACUUCUAGUUUCUUGUAAUUGUUUUUCUUCAUCCGAUGUUUUCAGGGAUACCCAUUUGGCAGUAUAUAAAAAUCUGUGAUAUCUUCUAUAUAUACAGAUAUACAUCAUUGGCUUCAGUCAUUUGUGAACGUAUUGGAGUUAGUAGAUGUAUUUUUAUGAUAUCUCUAAUAAAAUCCCAAGUUUGAUCAAUUACAAAAGAAGUAUGAGCAGUGCUGGACCCGCGCCGGGGGGGGGGGGGGCUUCUGUGUGGUGGGGGUGUGCAGUGCAUGAAUAAAAGGAAAUGAUAGGGGGUGAAAGUUUGUGCUACCGACAUGCUGUAAAAUGGGGACAUAAUAUUUCAAAUUAGAGAUUGUGAGAUCCUUAAUAUUGCUGACUUGUGCUUAAAAUGGAAUUCUGGAUAACUUCAAAUGUUAAAGUUCUUGGUGAAAUUUUGUACUUUCUUUUCUUUCAGAUUCUUGUGCCUAUUGCAAAUGGUUCAGAGGAGAUGGAAGCUGUUAUGAUAAUUGAUAUUCUGGGACGAGCUAAAGUAAAUGUUGUAGUUGUAUCAGUUGAGGAUAAACUAGAAAUUCUGGCUUCUCGUCGAAUUAAAUUAGUGGCAGAUGUGCUAAUUGAUGAGGCGGCUAAACUUUCAUAUGAUUUAAUUGUCUUGCCAGUGAGUUGAGGUGCUUACUCUUGCUUCAUAGUCUUUACCACAUUAUUGACUUACUAACUACAAUUUAUCCAUGCACAUUGCACAUGGUGGACUUGGUGGCACUCAAGCAUUUGCGAAGUCAGAUUAAUUGGUGAAUAUGCUAAAGAAGCAAAAGGAAUCAAAUAGACCUUACGGUGCUAUAUGUGCAUCCCCAGCUUUAGUGUUGGAGCCCCAUGGCUUACUCAAGGUAUGACCAUUUAUGCUUAAAUUAUUUACUCAGAUUUGGAUCACCUAAUCUGAACUUGAUGAAGGAUUAUGAUGUUGUGUGAUUUUAUGAAUGUGGUCUUAUCUCAUGUAAGUCAGUGAUGAAUUAAUUGAAGUUUGCUGACAAAUUAGAAACUGAAAAACUGCUGCUGCUUCGUUAGUUACAUUACCCAAAGAGUAAAAAUAAACAUCCCAAAUUUUGUCCCAAAUGAUAUGGCAUUUAUUGAGUGAUUGGUAAUUUUUUACAAAAUCCAAAUGAAUUAAUUAUAUUAUCUAACCGACCAAUUGAUGAAUGUCACAUUAUUUGAGAUGAUUUUUUGGGAUGAAGACUUUGGGAUUUUUACCCGCAAAAAUCCCAAGUACUUCCUGCUCCUGCAAUAUCAUUGCUGUGUAUUUGUUUUCCCCUUAGACAUAUUCAUUCAACUUUGGUUCAGGGUAAAAAAGCUACAGCUUUUCCUGCUAUGUGCAACAAGCUGUCAGAUCAGAGUGAAAUCGAAAACAGGGUUGUGGUUGAUGGCAACUUCAUCACCAGUAGAGGGCCAGGAACUUCUAUGGAGUUUGCACUGGCAAUUGUGGAGAAGUUUUUUGGCCGCAACAAGGCACUUGAGCUUGCAAAGAUAAUGCUUUUCACUCGCGCCUAACGUUUGUACCAGGACCUGACUACUAUUAAACUAGUGUGUUUAUUUCUGUAUUACUACUGCUUGUAGAGAGGGGAAAUGGAAACUUGAAUUCAUGUUUGAAUAUGGAUUCACUGUGUGGGUUUGUACAACAGUUUGGUUUAUAAAUAAAUGAGUUCAUAGAGUCAUUUCAAAUAUUAGUUCUGUUAUCAAUGGUCGGAGUCCAGUUGCGAUCGACUCACUGGGAAUUUUAAUUAUGAACUAAAAAAUUAUGUUAUAUUCCACCUUUCUCAUAUAUAUAUAUAUAUAUAUAUAUAUCAAAUGUUAACUCGAUUUACAGGAAAAGAAAGACGCUAAGAGAGGAGCAGAGACCCAAAAAGAGUUGACCACUUUGUUGGAACAUAAAUCUCUAGAAUAUUGAAAUAAAACACAUACCAUAUCUGGUAUUAAGUAUAUGCAAGAAGAUACAAAUUUGAAGAUCAGAUUUCUCAUUUCAAUUUAUGUUCUGCUUAGAGCAAUGGCUCUUAUUCCACAAGCACAAACAGGAAAGAAUACGCACGAAGUUAAGAAACACACAGCAAAAUUUGCAUUAACUACUUGCAGCAACAUCAUCCAAGAACUUGACUUUAAUCAUCUUGAGCUUCGCUGCAGCAUCUGUCAUAUGCAUUCUCUUGUCAGGUGACUCCAUACAACAAUCCAAUGCCAAAUCCAUGAUGCUUAAUAAACAAUCCAUUUUGGCAGAAAAAGCUUGCUCUUCUCGCACCAAAUUUGCGUCAACAACUUCACUCAAUCUGUGAGGUAAUGACUCCUUUACCCAUCUCCUUAAACUCAUUUCUCCUGUGAACAUUUCAUUGGUGGGCCUCUUUCUCGUGAAAGUUUCCAUCAAUAACACACCAUAGCUGUAGACAUCACAUUUGGCUGAAACAAUUCCUUCUGAUCCAUACUCUGCAUUUUUUAAUUUUAAUUAUGAAACAAAUGAUAAAACAAAUAAUUUUUUGAUAAUUAAGGUAACCCAAACUUUGCUCGUGCUUGAAAAAAGAGUAAAAAUUUUAAUUACAAUUGAAACUUUACCUGGUGCCAUAUAACCAAUUGUAGCCAUUGUCAUGGUUUGUGUCACAGAAUCUUCUUCUUCACCUAAGAGUUUGGAAAUGCCGAAGUCGCUCACAUGUGCCACCAUAUUUUCAUCCAAGAGAAUGUUGGGAGGCUUCAAAUCACAAUGAAUUAUAGGUGCCGACGAAUGACCAUGAUGGAGAUAUUCAAGAGCCGACCCCACAUCUAUCAUUAUAUUCAACCUCUCUAGAAUGUCUAAGAAAUAGUUGUGAGAAUACAACCACUUCUCGAGACUACCAUUCGGCAUGAACUCAAGUACCAAUGCUUUGAAAUCUGGAUUAGAACAACUGCUAAGGAUCUUUAUGAGAUUUCGAUGACGAACAUUCCGUAAAACUUCACAUUCAGAAUCAAAACUCCUAAAUGCUCUCUCUAGUUGCAGAUUGAAAAUCUUUAUUGCAACAUUAGUCCCGUCGAAAAUAGUUCCUUUAUAAACUGAUCCAAAACUACCCGUACCAAGCAAGUUACAUUCAUUAAAUUCAUCAGUUGCUCGUUGAAUGUCUAGGUAGGAUGUUCUUCUCCAUGUUGCAAGAGGUAGGAAAUCUUCGUGAUCUGAUUUUUUUGUACUCCGAUUUCGCCAUCUUAUGUACAUAAUGAUGGUAAUCACUAUAAGUAUGGUGGAUAUUAUCGGAGGCAAAAUAUAUUUAAGGACAAUUAGAGCAACUUUCUUUGUUCUUUUGCUGUUUUCUCGCUUGCAAGGUGGGACUCGGAGUUUAGGUGGACCACAGAGUGCAUAAUUUCCCAAAAACGAUUGAGCUGAGAAGUUCUUAAAAGACCCCUUAAAAGGAAUUUCCCCUUCUAGCCUAUUAUGAGACACAUUAAAUUGUUUGAGAUGUGACAAUAUCUCCAAUGACUUAGGAAUUUUUCCAGAGAGAUUGUUGCCGGAGAGAUCUAAGGAUUCUAAGCUUAUCAAACUGCCAACUGAUUCAGGAAUAGGUCCCUGAAAUUGAUUACUAGCCAAGGAUAGAGUUCCUAGAUCUACGAGGGCACCAAUGGUUGAUGGAAUAUCACCUGAUAAUUGAUUCCUUGAUAAAUCUAAAACUCUCAAUACCUUUAACUUUUGUACAUUGGAAAGGAGAGGACCAUUAAAUGAAUUUGACGACAAGUUUAUCUCUAAGAUGUACUCAAGGCUCCACAAGGAUGACGGUAUACUAGAAGUGAGCUUGUUGGAGCCUAAGCGGAGUUCUCUUAGAGAUGUCAAACUCGCCAAGCAUGGCGGUAUAUGUCCAGAGAGCUUAUUUCCAUUUAACCAUAUUCCGUAGAUCAACUCCAAGUGGCAAAGAUCAUAGGGAAUGGAUCCUUCCAAAUUAUUUUCUUCAAGAGAUAAACCUUGUAGCCGCUUAAGUUUUCCCAUCGUUGGUGAAAUAGUUUCAUUCAAGUCAUUGAAGCCGAGGCUUAAGAGGAUCAGGCCACGCAACUUACCAAUUUCUUGAGGAAUGUUGCCCUUGAGUUUGCACUCGUAUGCAUAGAAUUUUUGAAGAGAAGCAGAGAAAUUCCCAAUUACUGGUGGAAGGAUGCCGCCUAAUGGAUUAGAACCCAAGGAUAAAAGUGUUAAAUUUCUGCAAUUAGUCAAAGAAGAGAGAAAACUCCAUUGAUCUGCUGAAGAUGAUUCUGUCGUCAAGUUAUUCAUCAUAAGGCUGAGCACGCUGAGGUGUCUCAAGUUGCCAAAUGUAUUUGGAAUAUGGCCCGAGAAUGAGUUUAAGCCCAAGUCUAGGCCAAUGAGUUUAGUAGCAUUGGUAAUAGAGUUGGGAAUUGUCCCCAUAAGAUUAUUGGCCGACAAGGCUAAAUACUCUAUGUUCGGAAGCGAGUGGCCAAUCGUUGACGGUAAGCGGCCUGAGAGUUGAUUGCCCCCCAGAGUAAGGAUUCUCAUGGUUGAAAUGUUGAAGAUCGUGGGUGGAAUGAGGCCACUUAAAUUAUUCUCACCAAGAACAAGAUGCUCCAAAUUUUGCAGAUUGCCAAUCUCGGUUGGAAUUUCACCUGCCAUAAGCCCAACAUUGAGGAGUCAUUGAGCUUUUAGCUUAUGGUAAAUUGAGUUUGACAAUGUUACCCUUGAAAAUGUAAAAGGAUCAAAUUAAAUUUAUUACAUAAUAAUUUCAGCCAAUAAUGUUCUUUAAAAUAUUUCAUAGAUAAUUCUGCAAAAUAUGCAUGCAAAUGGAAAAAUAUGCGUCAAUUAUAAGAGGUGGUGGAACGUACCUUGAAGAUUGCUGAAGCGAAGAUCCAGAUUCACGAGUUUACUCAAAUUUCCAAUCCUUGAAGGAAUAGUUCCACCAAUAAUAUUGAACCAUGAACGCAGCGUCUCUAGCCUUGAUAAGUUGAAGAGAGAAUUAGGAAUGGGACCUGUGAAACUGUUAUUAUCAAGAAUCAAUAUUUGGAGGUUAGAUAAGACACCAAUCCAUGAUGGAAAGCUUCCGCUCAAUUUAUUGUAAGCGAAACUCAUGACUCUGAGUCGACGUAAUUGCCCCAAUUCUUUCGGCAGAUGGCCAUGAAAAUUGUUCUCACUAAUGUCAAGAGACACUAGAAAUGAGAGAUUUCCCAAGUGUAGUCGAAUGGUGCCUCCGAGACCCAUAUCUGAAAGAUUCAAGGCAGUGACUCUUUGAUGGCGUGAACCACAAGAGAUACCAACCCAGCUACAUAUUGGAUAAGAUAUAGACCAAUUAUUUGUCAGGACACUUCGAUAAUCAACGACACGGGCUUUGAAUGCAAGAAGAGCCGAUUGAUCGGUUGUUAAGUUGCUCAAAGUCGUCAUAGCUAAGCUAGCUAUGGAAUAUUGUAACAACAACAUAGGAACAAAGAAGAAUGAUAAGCGCAUAUUGGUCUUUAUUUAUUUAUUUAUUUUAUAGAUGCAGCAAUCUAAUUGCUAAGUGAAGUUGACACAAGUUUUAAGUGAAGGAAAUUAGCAUAUACUUAUACAAGAGACGUAUGAAUUUGAAAACAAGAAAAUAAAAAAAAUGUACAGGAGAGUGGAGACUUGCAAAUUGUUAUAUUUUAUCAUUGAGCGAGUCGUCCGAGUAAACGCAUAUAGACUUGUAAAUUGUUAUACGCCGCUGUACUCGAACCGUGAAUAAAUGGGCUUAUGGCACUUUACUUACCAAAAAGAAGAAGACGCUCAGCAUUGGCAAGGCUUGUGCAUUCUGUCCAUUUGUUCACAUUAUGCCGAGGCUCAUGGCAACCGCAAUAUGUUCUUUUCCUUUCCUUUAAAAAUAAAAAAAGACGACCAUGACAUUUGGGUUAAUAAUUAUCACUAAACAAAUAAUAAUGCUGAAGGUCAGUGGUAAAUUGGUAAUACAGUUUUAAAAUAAUUGUUAUUAGUUGUGCUUUAAAAAUAAAAUAAAAAAAUAUAGUUAUACCACUAUAAUUUAAUGAAAUAAUCAUGUAAACUCCUGAACUUUUAAACUUUAAUAAUAGAUACCGAGGACCCCCUUCUGGGUACCUUUUUACCAUUUAUUUGGAUAUCAAAUGCUUUUUUUUUCCGUUAAUUUUCACAGUGGAUUUGAAAUAACAAAUUUACUGUCAUUCCCAUAUCAUCUAAUAAAAUCACUUGCUUCUAUACAUAUUGAUUGUUUUUCCAAAGUUUUAAAUUGAAUUAAAAACAUUCUAAUUAACCUUAAAAAAAAUCAUCCAACCAGAUAUAAAUCUUCUAAUUAACCUAAAGAUAGCUACACCCCCAUAUUAAUUCCAGUUAAAUAAAUCUUCAUUUUUGUCAUGGUUUUGGAUCUCGAGCAAGGUGGAUAUAUCUAACCAGAUCUGCCUCAUUGGCAUUCUGAUAUAUUCUGGAAUUUGAAGGUUAUCAACGAAUUAAUGUGUAAUUUUAAAUUUGUAACAUUUAAUUCUAAUUUGAGGAUUCAAAUAAAUUUAUGUGGAUCUAAAAAUGGACUGAAGAUUGGCAAUAUAACAUUCUUCUUGAUGAAGAUUUUUUUCCUAAUAAGAUCUCCAAUUUUAGACCGGCAAAACUUUGCCUUAUGAAUUAAAGAAAGCAUGAAAAAGGAUUGUUUGCAGGAAAGAAACAUAAAACACUGUAAUAUUUUAAAAAGACAUUAUAUAACCUCCAAAUUCUAUUAUCUUCAAAGAAUUUUAGGGCUUAUUUUUAAAUAAUCUUUUGCCACACAUGCAUUUAUGCAAUCAUAUGAUUAUAGAUUCAAUUACUUUUAAAGUAGAACAAAUUUACUUCUCUUAUAAGUAAAAGCGGGGCAGGCAUUGCAAUUUGCAGCAGUUAAUUCUUGGAUGAAAUUUACUAAAGUAUAGUCUUGUAAAAAAAAUUAGUUUUCUUAAAUUGUAAAUCUCGGUUAUGAUUGGGAGAUUUUGAUCAAAAUUAAUAUGAUAAAUUCGUUGCAAAUGUUUUUCUUGAAGUCUCAUCUUCCAUAAUGUUUGUAAAAUCAAGGUUUUACCAUCUCUGAUUAAAUAUUUACUCUUGAUUUCGACCACGUAAUCCGAACUUGACGAAAGAUUAUGAUCUUGUGUGAUUUUAUGAAUGUAGUCUUAUCUCUUAUAAUUCAGCAAUGAAUUAAUUAAAGCUUGCUGACAAAUUACAAGCUCAAAAAUAUCUUUUACUAAUUUACAAUCUUAUUUCAUUCUUUUUAUAAUAAAAAUUUAAAAAAAUUGUCUUUUAAAUUAAUUUAAUAUAAACACUCAUUGACAACCAAAUAACUAAUUAUUUUUUAUAAAAGCCCUAUUUGUUAAAAUUAUACUGAUAAAAACUCUACUUAAAUAAGUUAUAUUUAAAAAAUUAUAUCCAACAAAACCUUAUUUCUGAUUAGCUUAAUUACUUCCACAACUCCUACAUUUUUUAAACCAUGUGGAUUCCUUCAAUCUCAUAAUCAAAGGUGCUUUAAGCCAUUUUAUUUCUUAAUAUUUUUAAUUAUUAUUGGAAAAGUAGGGUAGCUUAUCAAAAAAGAAAAAGAAAAGCCAAAGUGACGAGUGGCUCUUUUUUAAUUUCAAAGUCAAUGCAAAGUAAAAGUGUCAAAAUACUCAUUUUUUUAAUCCAAAUAAAUCACAAUCAAGGAAGGUUUUGGUGUCCAUCAUUGAAAACUUAGGAGUCUGUAUGACCAUUUAACCAAACUAUAGGGGUAUAGCUGUCAGAAACUUUUAAAAAUAAAUUGUACCAAACAUUCAAAUGAUUUUUUUUUUAUAGUUGAUUAUUAAAUUCUUAGUGUUAGAGCAUCUCUAAAAAACUCUUCAAAUAAAAUUUGACUUUUUAUUUGAAGAGUCAUAUCAAUAUUAAACACUUCAAAAGACACGUUAAUUUAGAUUUUUCAAAUAAGAUUUGGUUCUCACUUUUCAACAUUGUCAAGUGAGUUUCUCCAUCUUCUAUUAAUAUUUUAUUAUUAUUUAUUGAAAAAUAAGUCUGAAAUAAUUAUUAUUUAUGUUUCCUUUCAAAAACAUAAUAGCAAUUCAAUUUGAUAAUGAGAAAGAUUUGAUUAAAAUAAUGUUAACUUAUUCUUAUUUGAUGAGUCUUUUGGAGGGUAUUGUAUUUUUCUAUACACUUAUUUGCCACAUUAGUAAGCAAAUUAAAAUGUGAAGAGUAAAAUUCGAAGAGCCUUUUGGAGAUGCUCUUAGACUACUGUAAGAAUAUAAAUUAUUGAAAUGGACAUAAUAUUAAAUAAAAUUUACUUACAUAUUUACAUACAUGUAUAUAUAAUUUUUUUUAUUGUUUGUAUAUAAAAAUUGCUAACUAAAAAAUAUUUAUAUUUUUUCAAUUUUAUUUCUUUUAUUGUUUAUCUCAAGAUAAAUGUAAUAAUAAUAAUCUCUCUAAAUUUAAUUAUUUUUACUCUUUAUUGAAUAAGGAUAAUUUUGAGUUUCUGUAAUAUAUGUGAGGAUAUAUAUAAAAUUGUAUUAAAUAUAAAAUCAUUCUCAAAAUUAAAUUUUGAAAAACUAUUCCUUUCUCACUUUUCAUUAGGCAAAUGGCCACAGAAAUUGUUCUCCCUCAUAUCCAAAUAAACUAAAAACGAGAGAUUUCGUGUGGAGGGAUGAUGCCUUCGAAUCCCAUCACUGAAAGAUUCAAGUUUGUGACUCUAUGGUAUGAGCACCACAACAUAUGCCAAUUCGACUGCAUAUUGAGUAAGACAUGGACCAAUUAUUCAAGAGAUUCAUGAGCCUUCGAAGUAAGAAAUAAAGCAAAUUAUGCGGUAGUGGGUCAAUUGACUACGUUUCGUGAUCCACGUGCGAUUGCAACGGUCGGUUCAUUAAGUGAAAUUAAUGACUCGUCCUCUUUAGGAUGGUGCUGGGUCAAUUUUAUCCAAGAGUCAACUUACAGUAAUUUGAGUUAAUUUAUAAGAGUAACUCAUUUUCGUUGAUUACGAGUUGUGAUCGAUGACACGCACGAAAAUAGUCAACUCACAGUUCAUUCACUAUAUAUGGUCUAUGGGUGGAUGAAUCUAACGUAAAUUAAGGGCCGAUGAUGACCCUCGACUUCUAACGACGACCAACGAAGACGACCUUGACUACAUGUAAACACACAAUUCGCUCUCAUACAUUAUGUUUUAAAAUUUCUCCAUUUUCCGGGGCCCUGCGGUCAACCGUACACAGUUUAAUUUGUAUAUACAAGACCUCAUUGUUUCUAACAAGCAUAGAGCCAUAGACUGUUAAGCCAAGCGAUUGGUCAUGAGUGGGGCAUGCAAAGCUAUUAUUGUGGCAAGGACUUGGGGAUGUUAUUGAGUGCGGUUUGUUGACUACGUAUCCACUAGCUUGUUAGCUUCAAAUUAGGUUGAGUAGUGAUUAUUUUAUUUUGAAUAAUCUUUGGCGAUUUUGUUGUCAUUAACUACCGGUUAAUGUUCUAUUUUUUAGGGAUAUUAUCUAGGAAUUAGGAAUAGUUGUUAAUUUCUUUUGUAUUUAAAUUCUUUGAUAGUCAUUAAUUAAAGGAAGCUGAAUCCAAUUAAAAUUAUUGUGGUCUUUUUCUCACCCUAAGAGAAUACUAUUGUUACUAUAUAAUUUACAGCUUUGAUUGGGACCUAUCAUAGACCAUAUUAAUUCCAAUUACUUAAAUCUUCAUUAUUCUCAUGAUUUUAGAUCUCGAGCAGCGUGGAUAUAUCCAACCAGAUCCGUCUCACUAGCAUCCCAAUAUAUUUUAAAAUUGAGUAAUGAGUAUCAAUAAACGUGUAAUUGUAAAUCUAUAACUUUUAAUUCUAAUUUGAAGACUCAAAUGAAUUUAUCCAGCAGUAACUCGUUAAAUUAAUAUUUCAUAAAUUUUAACUUUAAUUAAAUAAUAAAUUUUGUCUGUCCCAAUUUAGGAUUAACGUGGUAAUUAAUAAUUUGAUAAGUUAUUAGAUAAUAAUUUUUUAAAAAAAAUCUUAUUUUUUUAUUGGAUCCAACUGAUAUAUAAACUAAUAAUUAAUUAAUUUUAAAACUAAACUCAUGUUAUGUCAAUCAAAUGUUAUUGCAAAGAAGACUAGCAGUGACGCUUUGAAAGGUACACCAAAGUCCAAAGCCUCUUGCACCUUCUCCUCCAUGACCACCAAUAGAUACUUCCACCAUUUCAACGUCAUGACAUGAUGUAAGUUUCUUUUGUGGAAUUUGUGAAUUGGUGCUGGCAGAAGUUAGUGAUACAUGUAACUAGCCAACCCUUGUCAAGUCCGCUUGACUCUUAAAUUUUUGUCACUUUCACUCCGUUCAAAGGCAUGCGAAAGCUAAUUUUUAAUGAAUUUUGAAUCGAGUGUUAGAUGUUUUGGGCUUAUCAAAACUAGAUUAUAUAUUUAUAUAUAUAGAGGGCGGAUCACCAGCCCUUUAAAACUACAUCUAUUUUUACACUGAUUUAUAACCAUUAGAUUUAUUACACAUUAACGGUCAAGAUUUUGAGAAUUUAAUAAUAUAAAUACUUAAUAACAACAAUAAUUAAUAUACUUUCUCUCUCUUCAUUAGUUUCCAUUAAAACCUAAUUUCUCUCUCCUAAUAAAUUUUAGAUUCAUCAUAUUUCUCUCUUCAUCAGUUUCAUUAGUCUUUAAUGAAUUUUAGAUUCACGGUUAGAUAUUUUGGGACUUAUCUUUAAUUAAUAUUUUACACGCGUACAUUUAUAUCAUUGUAUAGUUAUAGAUUCAAUUACUUUUAUGAUACAUUUAUUAAUUUGGAAUUGAAAUAGACAAGAAUGGACUGUAAUGUGAAUGGAGAAUCGAUAUUAGAAUAAAUUAUUUAUUUAAACUGUAGAAAUUGAAAUAAGUUGAAUUAUCAUUAAUGUGUUUAUUUUGUCUUGGAAUUAGAAUUAAAAUAAGUUAGAUUGUAACAAAUUACUAAAAACUACUUAAUGAACUAUUGUUAUAAUUAUUAUUUUGUAUUUUAAUUAUUGUGAUUAUUUAUUAAAAAUUAUAAUUGUUAUUAUUACUUAUUGUUAAUAGUAUAUUAAUAUAUUAAUAAAUUAUAAUAAUAUAUUAAAAAUAUACUUGUAUUUACAAGAGAUGACGGAUAAAAUUUCUAAAAUCGUCUUCCUCCCUAAAACUCUGAAUCCCACAGUCUUAAAAAUUAAUAAGAUUUGGGAAUUAUAUGUCUUUUUUAAAAUAUUAAAGGGUGUUUAUUUCCUUAAACAUUGGGGGCUAAAAGUCCUAUUCCCAAAAGAAUACUGUGCCGGCGUUGGAGGCUAGAUUUCUUGUAUUUGUUUUUCUUCUUCCGAUGUUUUCAGGGAUACCCAUUUGGCAGUAUAUAAAAAUCUGUGAUAUCUUCUAUACAUAUACAUAUACAUCACUGGCUUUAAUCAUUUGCGAACAUAUUGGAGGUAGUAGAUAUAUUUUUAUGAUAUCUCUAAUAAAAUCCAAAGUUUGAUCAAUUACAAAAGAAGUAUGAGUGAUGGGGGGGAAGUGGGGGAUCGGUGUAGUGGGGGUGUGCAGUGCAUGAAUAAAAGGAAAUGAUAGGGGGUGCAAGUUAGUGCUACCGACAUGCUUUAAGAUGGGGACAUAAUAUUUCAAAUUAGAGAUUGUGAGAUCCUUAAUAUUGCUGACUUGUGCUUAAAAUGGAAUUCUUGAUAACUUCAAAUGUUAAAGUUCUUGGUGAAAUUUUGCACUUACUUUUCUUUCAGAUUCUUGUGCCUAUUGCAAAUGGUUCAGAGGAGAUGGAAGCUGUUAUGAUAAUUGAUAUUCUGCGACGAGCUAACGCAAAUGUUGUAGUUGCAUCAGUUGAGGAUAAACUAGAAAUUCUGGCUUCUCGUCGAAUUAAAUUAUUGGCAGAUGUGCUCAUUGAUGAGGCGGCUAAACUUUCAUAUGAUUUAAUUGUCUUGCCAGUGAGUUGGGGUGCUUACUCUUGCUUCAUAGUCUUUACCACAUUAUUGACUUACUAACUACAAUUUAUCCAUGCACAUUGCACAGGGUGGACUUGGUGGCACUCAAGCAUUUGCGAAGUCAGAUUAAUUGGUGAAUAUGCUAAAGAAGCAAAAGGAAUCAAAUAGACCUUACGGUGCUAUAUGUGCAUCCCCAGCUUUAGUGUUGGAGCCCCAUGGCUUACUCAAGGUAUGACCAUUUCUGCUUAAAUUAUUUACUCAGAUUUGGAUCACCUAAUCUGAACUUGAUGAAGGAUUAUGAUGUUGUGUGAUUUUAUGAAUGUGGUCUUAUCUCAUGUAAGUCAGUGAUGAAUUAAUUGGAGUUUGCUGACAAAUUAGAAACUGAAAAAUUGCUGCUGCUUCGUUAGUUACAUUACCCAAACAGUUAAAAUAAACAUCCCAAAUUUUUUGUCCCAAAUGAUAUGGCAUUUAUUGAGUGAUUGUAUUAUCUAACCAACCAAUUGAUGAAUGUCACAUCAUUUGAGAUGGUUUUUUGGGACAAAGAAUUUGGGAUUUUUACCCGCAAAAAUCCCAAGUACUUCCUGCUCCUGCAAUAUCAUUGCUGUGUAUUUGUUUUCCCCUUAGACAUAUUCAAUUGUGGUUCAGGGUGAAAAAGCUACAGCUUUUCCUGUUAUGUGCAACAAGCUGUCAGAUCAGAGUGAAAUCGAAAACAGGGUUGUGGUUGAUGGCAACCUCAUCACCAGUAGAGGGCCAGGGACUUCUACGGAGUUUGCACUGGCAAUUGUGGAGAAGUUUUUUGGCCGCAACAAGGCACUUGAGCUUGCAAAGAUAAUGCUUUAUAAUUCUAUAACAUAAUGUAAACUUAUUAUAACUAUCUUAUCAAAAUGAGGUGGGUUUGCAAGAAUAAUGAGUGGAAUAUCCCCAACCUAUAAAAUAAAAAGAAUUUUGCAACUAUGCAAAUGCAAAUAUGUAGAACGUACCUUGUAGGUUGUUAUAACCUAGAUUCAGAAUGAAAAGGCUGCUAAAAUUUCCUAUCCCUGAAGGAAUAUUUCCAUCAAUAACGUUGUGCAUUGCGUCGAACACCCCCAGCUUCGAUAAAUUGAGGAGAGAAUUUGGGAUUGGACCCGUGAAACUGUUAUUAUAAAGCCUCAACGUUUGUAAUUUGGAUAAGACACCAAUCCAUGUUGGAAUGCUUCCACUCAAUUUAGUGAAACCGAAUCUAAUGAAUCUGAGUCGGCGUAAUUGCCCCAAUUCAUUAGGCAGAUGGCCAUGAAAAUUAUUAUGAGCAACAUCAAGAGAUACUAAGAACGUGAGAUUUCCCAAGUGUGGGGGAAUGGUACCUCCGAGACCUAUAUCUGAAAGAUUCAAGGCUGUGACUCUUUGAUGGCGUGAACCACAAGAGAUACCAACCCAGCCGCAUAUUGGAUAAGAUAAAGACCAAUUAUUUGUCAGGACACUUCGAUAAUCAACGACACGGGCUUUGAAUGCAAGAAGAGCCGAUUGAUCUGUUGUUAAGUUGCUCAAAGUCGUCAUAGCUAAGCUAGCUAUGGAAUAUUGUAACAACAACAUAGGAACAAAGAAGAAUGAUAAGCACAUAUUGGUCGUUUUUUUUAUAGAUGCAGCAAUCUAAUUGCUAGGUGAAGUUGAUACAAGUUUUAAGUGAAGGAAACUAGCAUAUACUUAUACAAGAGAUGUAUGAAUUUGAAAACAAGAAAAGAAAAAAAUGUACAGGAGACUGGAGACAUGCAAAUUGGUAUAUUUCAUCAUUGAGCGAGUCGUCCAAGUAAACUCAUAUAGACCUGUAAAUUGUUAUAGGCCGCGGUACUUGAACCGUGAAUAAAGGGCUUAUGGCACUUGACUUACCAAAAAGAAGAAGAUGCUCAACAUUGGCAAGGCCUAUGCAUUCUGUCCAUUUGUUCACGUUUUGCCAAGGCUCAGGGCAACCACAAUAUGUUCUUUUUCUUUCCUCUUAAAACAAAAAACAAAAAAAAAGACGACAUUUACAUUUGGGCUAAUAAUUAUCACUAAACAAUUAAUAAUACUGAGGGUCAUUGGUAAUGUAGCUUUAAAAUAAUUGUUAUUAGUUGUGUCUUAAAAAUAAAGAAAAAAAAUAACUAUACCCAUAUAAUUUAAUAAAAUAAUCAUAUAAAUUCCUAAGCUUUUAACAAUAUACACCAAGACCCCCUACCGUUACUUUUUACCAUUUAUUUGGAUGUCACAUGCUUUUUUUUUUAAUUUUCACAGUGGAUAUCAAAUGCUAAAUUUACUGUUAUUCCCAUAUCAUGUCAUCACUUGCUUCUACACACAUUAAUUGUUUUUCCAAAGUUUCAAAUUGAAUUAAAAACAUUCUAAUUAACCUAAAAAAACUCAUCCAACCAGAUAUAAAUCUUCUAAUUAACCUAAAGAUAGCUACACCCCCAUAUUAAUUCCAAUGAAAUAAAAUUCAUUUUUGUCAUGAUUUUGGAUCUCGAGCAGGGUGGAUAUAUCCAACUAGAUCCGCCCCAUUGGCAUUCCAGUAUAUUAUGUAAUUGGAAGAGUAUGAAUGACUUAAUUUGUAAUUUUAAAUUUGAAAUGUUCAAUUCUAAUUUGAGGAUUCAAAUGAAUUUAUGCGAAUCUAAAAGGGGACGGAAGAUUGGCAUGCAUACACACACACACACACACACAUAUAUAUAUACAUAGGGGUAGGCAUGGGUUGGUUUGGUUUGGGUUUUAAGUCAACCCAAAUCAAACCAUAAAAUUUUGGACCCAACCCAAACCAACUUAAAUAUUUUUAACCCAAACCAAACCAACUCAUUUGGGUUUGGUUUGGGUUUGGAUUGAAUUUUAUAAUCAAAAUAUUUUUUUAUUUUGAUAAAUUUAAUUAUAUCAAAAUUAUAAUAAUAAUUAAUUAUUAUUAAUUAUUAAAUUAAUAUUAAAAUAUGAAAAAUAUAUUGUGGAUAAAAAAUUAAAAGAAAGAAUUAAAUUAAACUCCAAUAACAAACUUCCAUGAACAUGACAUAAACAAAUAAAUUAAAAGAAAGAAAAUAAAAUUCGAUGAUCAAUUGAGUCCACUCCUUCAACAAUAAAUAAAUAACCAAAAAAGAAAAAUUAUAAUGUUUGAUCUAAACUCUGUUUUUGUAUUUGAUAAUCAUAAGAAUAAUAUUAAUUCAAAGCCAUCGCCUCCGUUGAUAUAUUUGAUCCAACGGAGCAUGGUCAUAUGAUUAAAUUUAAAUUGCCCAUUUUGGUGCAGUUCAGUUUGUUCCGACUUGAGCUGAACUGAUUCAAUUUAAUAAGAUUAUAAAUCCAACUUGACCGAAUUGAAAUCGGUCUGGUUCUAGAUUGGAGUGGUUCAUAAAUUAUUUUAACUUAAAAAUAUUAAUUCUUUCUAGUUAUCUAGCUCUAAAGUUAGUUUUUUUUUUUUUUUGCGUCUAAUUCAUUGAAUAGAUUUUUUUUUUUAAUUUAUAAACCAAAUCAAAAUUGUCUGUUCAGUUCAUUCGAUUCCUCGAUUUUUUUUGCUGGCAUCUAUUGGUUAGGACCACCUUCAUUUGUUAUAAAUUUAAUAGAAAAUGGACAGUUAAUGGUGCAGGUGAAAAAGGACAUUAUACAAAGGGGAUUAAAAAAAAAAGCAAAGGAUGUUCUUUUUACUUCAGGAUUAAUAGAGAUUCAGGGAUUGUAGUAAUACAUUAGUUUAAAUUAAAUAAAUGAUUACAACCUAGACGAACAUUGGUAGUGUAGAGAAAAAAAAAACAAUUAGUUAGCUUAACAAUUAGACGAACAUUGAGGUGGAUUGUAGUAAUUCUUGGCCCCAUAGGUUAACCACACCCAAACCAUUAUAAAAUGGUUUCAUACAUAAAAACCUAAAUUUAAUUCAUUUACAUGAUUUACCCAACCCAAACCAAAUUAUUUGGUUUGGGUUUGGAUAAACUCAUGGGUUGUGGGUUUAUAACCAACCCCACACACACACACACACACACACACACAAUAUAUAGAGAGAGAGAGAGAGGUAAUAUAACAUUCUUCUUGAUGAAGAUUUUUGUGCCAUACGAAUUAAAGAGAGUAUUGUGUCGAUGUUCGAGGCUAGAGCGACAAUUGGUUACAUUGCUUCAGAGGUGUUUAGUAGAAACUUUGGUGAGGCAUCACAUAAUUUAAAUUACUAGAUUUAGAGAGAUAUAUAUAUUUUCCACAUUGGAUUUACAAGCAUUUCGAGCAGUAUAAUGAAUUUAAAUUACUCGGAAUUGUAAACAGCGAGGAGAGUGAAAUUGCUAAGAAGAUGAAUAUUUUGUUGUUUUGUGGUGUACACGGAGUCAUCCAUCGGAUAGGUCGCCCAUGAACAGAGGGAUAGAAAUGUUAUUGCCAAGAAGCAGACUGACUAGCAGUGACGCUUUGAAAAGUCCACCGGACAACUUCUCCUCCAAGACCACCAAUAUAUUCUUCCACCAUUUCAACGUCGUGACGUGAGGAUCAGAAUUGAAUUAUAGGAUGCUUGUAAGUUUCCUUUGUGGAACUUGUGAAUUUGUGAUGGCAAAAGUCAAUGAUGCAUGUAACUAGCUAGCCCGUGUAGACUCCGUUUUACACUUUUUCAAAACCCAAAAGCACGCUAAAUCUUAAUCUUAAAAGAAUUUUUGAUUCAGUGCUGAAUUUUGGGCUUAAGUAAUCUUUUACCACGCAUGCAUUUUUGUCAUUGUGCAGUCAUCGAUUGCUUCUAAAGAUCGUAAUCUUUAAGAAAAAAUUACUUCUCUUGAAAGUGAAAGCAGGGCAGCUAUUGGCGUAUUGCAUUGCAGCUGCUAUGUGUAGUAGUCAAUUCUUGGAAACAACUAGUUUUCUUAAAUUGUAAACGGUCCCCUUUAUGACUGGGAGAUUUUGAACAAAAUUAAUAUGACGAAUUCUUUGCAGGUGUUGUUCCUUGAAGUCUCAUCUUUCACAAUGUUUCUGAAAUAAAGAUAUUACCAUCUCUGAUUUAAUAUUUAUUCUUGAUUUGUACCACCUAAUCUGAACUUGAUGAAAAAAUAAAGAUUAUGAUCUUGCCUGAUUUUAUUAAUGUGGUCUUAUCUCACGUAAGUCAGUAAUGAAUUAAGGAAAAUUAUCAUUCGUAUACCCUAUAAUUACUCUGUUAUAAAAAUACUACAACACUUUGAGGGUGUAUCAAUUGUCCACCCUAAGUUAACAAAAUGUAUCUGUCAUCCACCAAACCGUUAUUUGCCGUUUAAAUAGGAUGACGCCAGAGGGGUAAUUUUAUCUUUUCAUAUGAUACAAGUGAUAAUUUAAGGGUAUACAAGUGAUAAUAAAAGAAUUUAAAGGUAUACAAGUGAUAAUUUUCAUUUACUUUAAUUUAAGUUUCAAGGGUAAAAUCGUCAAUUCACUAUAAUUCCGUUAACUUUCAAACGGUAGCUAACGGUUUGGUGGUCGGCAGAUAGUUUUUGUUAAUUUAAGGUGGACGAUUGAUAUACCCUCAAAGUGUUGUAGUAUUUUUGAUAAUAGAGCAAUUAUAGGAUAUAUGAUUGAUAAUUUCCUAUGAAUUAAUUAAAGUUUACUGUCAAAUUACAAACACAAAAACUGCUGCUGCUUCAUUAUUCACAAUACCUAAAGUCAGUGCAGAACUUAAUAAGUUUUCCAAAAGUUUUACGCUUUCUUUCCCCCAAAUCCCAAGUACUUACUAGAUAUGUCAUGUUUAUACCCAAAGUCAGUGCAGAACUUACUCGAUAUGUCAUGUUUACACAAGAGUUUGUUUAUAAAUAAAUGAGUUGAUAAAUAUUUGCCAAAAAAAACGGUGAGUGAUGUCUAGUUCUAUUUUCACAGUUCAGAGUCCAAUUUUGAUUACUGGAAAUUUUAAUUAUGAAGUUGAACUAAGAAUUUGUUAUAAUAUCUUCAACCUUCCUAUACAGUCAUCUGGAAUAAUAAUAUAUCAAAAACAGUAAUAACUCGAUUUACAGGGUGAGAAAGAAAAGAAAGACGCUACGAGGGAAGCAGAGAUUCAAAGACUUCGCCACUUUGUUGGAGGAACAAUUUCAUAAAUCUCCAGAAUAUUGACAUAAAACACAUACCAUAUCUAGCAUUAAGUAUAUUUAUGUAUGUCCAAAGAUAAAAAUUUGAAGAUUAAAUUUAUCAUUUCAAUUUAUGUUCUGCCCAAAGCAAUGGCUUUUAUUCCACAAGCACAAACAAGAAAGAGUACGCACAAAGUUAACAAACACACAUAGCAAACGUGACAUCAACUACUUGCAGCAGCAUCAUCCAGAAACUUCACUCUAAUCUUCUUGAGCUUUUCAGCGGCGUCUUUCGUAGAUGCCCCCUGUUCUGGUGAUUCCAUGCAACAAUCCAAUGCCGAAUGCAUGAUGCUUAAUAAACAAUUCAUUUAAGGAGAAAAAACUUGCUCUUCUCUCACCAAGUUUGCAUCGACAACAUCACUCAAUGCACGAGGUAAUGACUCCCUUACCCAGUCUCUUAAACUUAUUUCUCCGGUAAACAUUUCAUUUGUGGGCUUCUUUCUGGUGAAAGUUUCCAUCAAUAAAACACCAUAACUAUAGACAUCACCUUUGGCCGAAAUCAUUCCUUCUAAUCCAUACUCUCCAUUUUUUGGUUUCGAUAGAUCAAAUGGAUAUGACAUCAUAAAACAAAUGAUAAACAAAUAAUAUUUUGACAGUCAAGAUGGCCCAAACUUUGACUGUGCUUCGAAAAGAGUGAAAAUUUGAAAUUAUAAUUAAAACCUUACCUGGUGCCAUAUAACCAAUUGUAGCCACUGUCAUGAUUUGGGUCACAAAAUCUUCUCCAUCAGCUAAGAGUUCCGAGAUGCCGAACUCGCAUGUGCCACCAUAUUUUUAUCCAAGAGAAUGUUGCGAGGCUUCAAAUCACAAUGAAUUACAUGUGCUGAUGAAUGAUCGUGAUGGAGAUAUUUAUGUGCCAGCCCCACAUCUAUCAUUAUAUUCAACCUCUCUAGGAUAUCUAGGAAAUGGUUGUGUGAACACAACCAUUUCUCAUGACUACCAUUGAGCAUGAACUCAAGCACCAGUACUUUAGAAUCUGGAAUGCAACAGCUGCUAGUGAUCUUUGUGAGAUCUUGAUGACGAACAUUCCACAAUACUUCACAUUCAGAAUCAAAACUCGUAAAGGCUCUCUCUAGCUGCAGAUUGAAAACCUUUAUUACAAUAAUAGUCACAUCAUAAAGUGUGCCUUUAUAAACAGAUCCGAAGCUCUCCGUACCUAGCAGGAUACAUUCACUAAAUCCAUCAGCUGCUCGUUGAAUAUCAUGAUAGGAUAGUCUUCUCCAUGUUGUCGAAGAGAACAAAUCUUCUUUAUCUGGAGUUCUUGUUUUCCUAUUUUGAAAUAUUAUGAAGAAUCAUAAAAAUUGUUAUUAGUGCAUUGGAUAUAAUCGAAGGCAAAGUAUAUUUCAGGACAAGCAGAGUAGCAUUCUUGGAUCCUUUGCUAUUAUCUUCUUUGCAAGGUGGGACUUGAAGGCCUGGUAGACCACAUAGUGCAUAAUUCUCAAAAAACGAUUGAGCUGAAAUGUUUUUAAAAGGUCCUUUGAUAGGAAUUCCCCCUUCUAGCCUAUUGUGAGACACAUUAAGUUGUUUGAGAUAUGAGAGUGCCUCCAUCGACUUUGGAAUUUCUCCAGAGAGAUUGUUGCUAGGGAGAUCCAAAGAUUCCAACCUUAUCAAACUACCAAAUGAUUUAGGGACCAGACCAUAAAAUUGGUUUCUAGCCAAGGACAAAGUUGCUAGAUCUUUGAGGCCACCAAUACUUACUGGUAUAUCACCUGAUAAUUGAUUUCUUGAUAAAUCAACUCUAUUAAGACCUUUAAGUUUUGUAUAUCUGAAGAUAGAUGACCACUUAGAGAAUUUGUUGACAAGUUUACAUACAAGAUGUACUCAGGAUUCCACAAGGAUGAUGGGAUACUAGAAGUGUGCGUGUCGUAGCUUAAAAAGAGUGUUUUUAAGGAAUUGAAUAUCUGAAAUCUUGUAUGUAAAUAUUAACACUUAGAGAAUUUGUUGACAAGUUUUUAAGGAUUUACUGAUUAAAUAAUUUUCCAAUUUGUUUGCCUGGAGGAAUUGAAUAGUUAACUGAUUAAAGGAUUGCAAGGUGGUUAGGUCCAGCUGAGCAUUGUAAAUAUUAACGGUCAUUAUGAAUGUGUAAUUCCUAUAUGUGAAAUUGAAUUUCCAUGGUAAAUUUCUGGUAGGGUGUGAUUGUAUGGUAGCCAAUUGUGAGCAACAGAUCCACAUAGUAAUAUAGACUGAAAUUUUGCGUCUUAAUCCAUGAAGAUAUACAUUUUGGCAAAAUAUUGUACAAGCACUGGGGUUUAGCACUGGGGGUUACCUUAAAUAUUAUGGACUUGUCUUUAAUAGAGUUUCUUUUACCUAGUUAUUGAUAUUUCUUUCAAUUUUUUAUUUUACUGAUACCAUAUAUACAAUUUUAGGUGGCAAGACAACUUUCGAUUUCUAUUGAGCCUGAAAACCUGCAUCUACCAUCACUUCUGUCUGCUUUCGGGGAAUACGAGGUUCCUAUGCGCUUACCCAAAAUACGAGGUCCAGUGGACUCUCAAUGUUAAAGUCUGCGGCAAAUAAACAAUCGUUUCAUUUGUUUUGUUUUACUCUGUUUGGGAUCCAAAUUCAAUUGCAGAACAAUUUUUGGUUUUUCUUCAUAUAACAUUCUGAAGAUAAUACAGGCAACAUUGUUUGCAAUGCUACAGCUAAUUUGUAGUAGGAUGAAACAAUCAGAAAUUUACCUUUUUCAUGUAUAAAAUUUUAUUUGUUUAAUUGUGAUAUUACAGUUUUGCCCAUGAAGCAUUAUGAAGCUUAAUAUUUGGAUAAAUGUUAGGUUUAAUCUAUAAAUUUUAACUUCAGUGUUUAUUUAAUUUUAUAUUUUGUAAAAUAUCUCAAGGCAGCCCUAAUUUUUUAAUCAAUAAAAAAGGUAACUAACAAAUUAACCGAUAAAUUAAUUUGUUAAUUUUUUUAAUCAAUAAAAAUGUUAAUUAAUAUUAAUUAAUAAAUUACUUAGUAGAAAAUUAAAAAAUAAAUAUUAGCAUAAAACAAUUGAUAUUUUUCAUUCUCUUACAACAAUCCUACUAAUUAUUAUUUAUAAAUUAAUUAAUACAAGUUAAUUUAAAGUAAUGUUUAAUAUUCUUGCAACAAUCUUACUAAUAAUUUUUUUACAAAAAUUUAAUUUAUUAAAUUAAUCCUAAAAGUAAAAUAAUAAUAAUUAAUUUGUAUCUUACUUUUAAGGUUAAUUCGAUAAAUUCAAAUUUUUUUAAUUAAUAUCUCCAAAAAUAUAGUUGCAACGAUAUUAUUGCAAAAGUAAAAAAAAUAAAUAUAGGAUUGUAAUAUAACUACCAAUAAAAAUAACUUAAAAUAUUUUUUAAGAUAUAAAAAUUAAACCAACACUUAAUUAAAAAUAUAAAGAAAUCCAAUAAACAUUUAUCUUUUAACAUUUCAACCUAAUCGCUAAUGGUCAUACAAUCGUUGUGUCACCCAUAUUCUUAAGCUGCUACUGCCUUACUACCACUUUGCCAGUUGCCACGGAGCUCCCUACAUCAUAUCGUACCGAUGCCUCUAGAAAACUAACUUUAAAAAAAUGGUAUUAAUAAGCGUACGCCACGUCACUCCUCACUCUCUUCUUCGUCACUUUCCUCUCACUCAACAUUUUCUCCCCAAACAAAUUCCUUCUUUGAAAUAUCGCAUUUUCUCCUUCACAGCAGCAGCUACAACGUCUUCAACUUCCAAAAGGGUAAUUUUUUUUUAAUUUUUUUUUUUGUUUAGUUUCUUUCUGUUGCCUUUUUGUUUCGUUUUUUGAAUUUUCUGUGUCGUUUUUUCCCCCCCAAGGUUUUGGUGCCUGUUGCGAACGGGAGUGAGCCGAUUGAGUCCGUGAUAACGAUCGAUGUUUUGAGAAGGUCUGGAGCUGACGUCACGGUUGCGUCUGUGGAGAAACAGCUUCGGGUCGACGCGUGUCAUGGUGUCAAGAUUGUCGCUGAUGCUCUCGUGUCUGACUGCCGCGACGCCGUUUUUGAUCUUAUAGCUCUUCCCGUAUGUAUUGCAGCUCACCUCAGCUCAUGCCAAUUUAUGUGAUGUUUGUAUAAUUAUAGAUGAUUAUUGCUGAUACUGAAUGUUAAGCUAAAUAAUUCGUUCUUAAGUCAUCUUCAUUUAAUUUUCGAUUGAAAAUGAAAAAAUAGUAAUUUUGAGCAAAGAAAAAUGUAGAAAAUGUAUAUUUUGUUUUAUUUUUACUUUUUAAUUUUUUUGAGAUUUCCUUAUUGUGGCUGUUAUCAUUCAUUAUAUGGUCAUAGUUAAAUAUUUCAAGUUGUCGUAGUUAGUGAAAUUCUUUUGGAUAUUUAUUCUGGCAUGUAUAUUUUUCCUUUCAAUUUCUUUUGUUGCUGAUUCUUUGAUUGAUUAUGUUAUAUCCUUUUUUGUUUCCUUUGUAGGGUGGCAUGCCUGGUGCUACCAAUCUGAAAGAAUCUGAAGUAUUAGAAAGCAUUGUGAAGAAGCAGGCCUCAGCUGGGCGUCUUUAUGCUGCUGUCUGUGCUUCACCUGCAGUGGCAUUAGGGUCUUGGGGUCUGUUGAAGGAUUUGAAGGUAAGAGUUAGAUAAGCCUUUUUGAUGUUUUGUGGUCUUUUGGGAAUUGCACUGAUAUUUUUGUUAUAGUUCAGUUUUCUUCUCGCUGAUGAUUAUUAAGUUCUAAUUUAUGUAGUUGUUCAUUUUUCGUAGGCUACUUGUUAUCCGUCAUUUAUGGAGCAAUUAGCUCCUGCUUGUGCAGCAACUGUUGAAUCAAGAAUACAGCAGGAUGGUAAAGUUGUUACGAGUUGUGGACCGGGCACUACCAUGGAGUUUGCCGUUGCACUUGUUGAGCAGUUGUAUGGGAAAGAGAAAGCUGAUGAAGUUUCUGGGCCACUGGUAUUAACUUUUAUAGAUAACAUUGUUUAAAAAAAUUAUGAGUUAUAUAAUUUGUGGAAGCUUCAGAUGCUAAUGUAUUCAAGAAAAUAAGUUCAGGGGAAGAGUAUGACUUUUUGCAUUAGUGAUUCAUUAGAUGAAAUUGUAUACCUGCUGGUCCAUCAUAAGGUGGUGAAAACAAUGUUUAUUUAAUUAAUGGAAUCCUGAAAUAUGCAUUUGUUGAGCUUCAAUGUCUCCACUGAUAAAAUUCUUUUUAAUGUAAGUUCUUUCUCUUGGUAUUUGUAUUUGAAUUUUCUGUUCCUCAUGCUUUCGUCUUUACUGUCACCUUGUGCCUAGGUAAUGCGUGCAAAUCGUGGAGAUGAAUACACUAUUGCUGAGUUCAAUCCAAUUCAGUGGACAUUUGACAAUUCUCCUCAGGUGAGAUUGGACUGUUAGUUUCUUGUAUUUGUGAUAUCUUCUAUACAUGUACAUAUACAUCAUUGACUUCACUCAUUUGUGAACAUAUGGGAGGCAGUAGAUUUAUUGUUAUGAUAUGUUUAAUAAAAUCCAAAGUUCGAUGCAACUACAAAAUAAGUAUGAGCAGUGCUCGACCAGAGAGGAAAAAGAAGGUUUUUUUUUUUUUUUUUUUUUUGGGGGGGGGGGGGGGGGGUUGGUUGGGUGGCAAAGGGAAUGAUAGGGUUGAAAGUUCAGGGUAUCGACAAGCUGUAAAAUGGCUAUCGACAAACUGAUAUUUCACAUUAGAGAAUGUGAGGUCCUGAAGAUUGCUGACUUGUGGUCAAAAUGGAAUUCUUGAUAACUUUAAAUGUUAAAAAUUCUUGGUGAAAAUUUUGUACUUUUUUUAAUUUCAGAUUCUUGUGCCUAUUGCGAAUGGUUCAGAGGAGAUGGAAGCUGUUAUAAUAAUUGAUAUUCUGCGCAAAUGUUGUGGUUGCGUCAGUUGAGGAUAAACUAGAAAUUCUGGCUUCUCGUCAAGUUAAAUUAGUGGCAGAUAUGCUUAUUGAUGAGGCAGCUAAACUUUCGUAUGAUUUGAUUGUCUUGCCAGUAAGUGGGGUUGCUAACUCUUGCCUCAUAGUCUUUACCAAAUUAUUGACUUACUAACUACAAUCUAUCUAUGCACAGGGUGGACUUGGUGGUGCUCAAGCAUUUGCGAAGUCAGAAAAAUUGGUAAAUAUGCUAAAGAAGCAAAAGGAAUCAAAUAGACCUUACGGUGCUAUAUGUGCAUCCCCAGCACUAGUGUUGGAGCCCCAUGGCUUACUCAAGGUAUGACUAUUUCUGCUUAAAUAUUUACUCUUGAUUUGAAUCACCUAAUCUGAACUUGAUAAAACAUUGUGAUCCUGUGUGAUUUUAUGAACGUGGUCUUAUCUCAUGUAAGUCUGUAAUGAAUUUAUUGAAGUUUGCUGACAAAUUACAAACUCAAAAACUGCUGCUGCUUCAUUAGUUACAGUACCCAAGGAGUUAUGACAGACAUCCCAAACUUUUUACCCCAAAUUCCCUCUCAAAUGACAUGGUAGUUAUUAAGUGGUUGGCAAUUUUUUAUAAGAUAUAACUGAAUUAAUUAUAUUAUUUAAUCAACCAAUUGAUGAAUGUCACGCCAUUUGAGAUGAAUUUUUGGGAUGUGUAGCAAAACUUUAUGCUGAUUUGUUUUGGCUACAUUCAUGUAAAACCUUUUUCCCCAAAUCCCAAGAACUUCCCGCAAUAUCAUUCCUUUGUAUUUGUUUUCCCCUUUAGACAUGUUUAACUUUGGUUCNNNNNNNNNNNNNNNNNNNNNNNNNNNNNNNNNNNNNNNNNNNNNNNNNNNNNNNNNNNNNNNNNNNNNNNNNNNNNNNNNNNNNNNNNNNNNNNNNNNNNNNNNNNNNNNNNNNNNNNNNGGAGUUUGCACUGGCAAUUGUGGAGAAGUUUUUGGCCGCAACAAAGCUCUGAGCUGCAAAGAUAUUGCUCUCUCGUGCACGUAAAAUUUGUACCAGGACCUGACUACUAUCAAACUAGAGUAUUUAUUCCUGUAUUACUACUGCUUGUAGAGAGGCAAAAUGGAAACUUGAAUUCGUGUUUGAAUAUGGAUUCACUGUGCGGGUUUGUACAAGAGCUUGUUUAUAAAUAAAUGAGUUCAUAAAGAGUCAUUUUAAAUAUUUGGAAUAAACGUGAGUUGCUGUUUAGUUCUGUUUUCAAUGUUCACCGUUCAAUUGUGAUCCAGAGCAAUAUAACUACACUCACUGGGAAUUUUAAUUAUGAACCAAGAGCGAAGUUGAACCGAGAAUUUGAUACUUUAUAUAUUCCAGUUACCAUAUUUAAGAAAGAGUAUUGAAAAGAAAGACGCUAACAGAGAAUAUUGAAGUUAAACACAUACCAUAUCUAGUAUUAAGUCUGUAUGCCAAAGUUACAAAUUCGAAGAUCAUAUUUCUCAUUUCAAUUUAUGUUCUGCUCAAAACAAUGGCUCUUAUUCCACAAGCACAAACAAGAAAGAGUACGCACAAAGUUAACAGAGACACGCAGUGAAAAUUACGUUAUUUGGUUGCAGCAGCAUCAUCCAGGAACUUCACUUUAAUCUUCUUGAGCUUUGCUGCAGCGUCUGUCAUAUUUAUCCUCAUGUCGGGUGACUCCAUACAACAAUCCAAUGCCAAAUCCAUUAUGCUUAAUAUACAAUCCAUUUUGGCAGAAAAAGCUUGCUCUUCUCGCACCAAAUUUGCGUCAACAACUUCAGUCAAUCCGUGAGGUAAAGACUCCUUUACCCAUUUCCUUAAACUCAUUUCUCCUGUGAACAUUUCAUCUGUGGGCCUCUUUCUCGUGAAGGUUUCCAUCAAUAAAACACCAUAGCUGUAGACAUCACAUUUAGCUGAAACAAUUCCUUCUGAUCCAUACUCUGCAUUUUUUAAUUUUAAUUAUGAAACAAAUGAUAAAACAAAUAAUUUUUUGAUAAUUAAGGUAACCCAAACUUUGCUCGUGCUUGAAAAUAGAGCAAAAAUUUUAAUUACAAUUGAAACUUUACCUGGUGCCAUAUAACCAAUUGUAGCCAUUGUCAUGGUUUGUGUUACAGAAUCUUCUCCUUCACCUAGGAGUUUGGAAAUGCCAAAGUCGCUCACAUGUGCCGCCAUAUUUUCAUCCAAGAGAAUGUUGGUAGGCUUCAAAUCACAAUGAAUUAUAGGUGCCGACGAAUGACCAUGAUGGAGAUAUUCAAGAGCCGACCCCACAUCUAUCAUUAUGUUCAACCUCUCUAGGAUGUCUAAGAAAUAGUUGUGAGAAUAUAACCAUUUCUCGAGACUACCAUUCGGCAUGAACUCAAGUACUAAUGCUUUAAAAUCUGGAUUAGAACAACUGCUAAGGAUCUUUAUGAGAUUUCGAUGACGAACAUUCCGUAAAACUUCACAUUCAGAAUCAAAACUCCUAAAUGCUCUCUCUAGUUGCAGAUUGAAAAUCUUUAUUGCAACAUCAGUCCCGUCGGAAAUGGUUCCUUUAUAAACUGAUCCAAAACUACCUGUACCCAGCAAGUUACAUUCAUUAAAUUCAUCAGUUGCUCGUUGAAUGUCUAGGUAGGAUGUUCUUCUCCAUGUUGCAAGAGGUAGGAAAUCUUCGUGAUCUGAUUUUUUUGUACUCCUCUUUCGGCAUCUUAUGUACAUAAUGAUGAUAAUCACUAUAAGUACAGAGGAUACUAUCGGAGGCAAAAUAUAUUUAAGGACAAUUAGAGCAACGUUCUUGGUGCUUUUGCUGUCACCUUGUUUGCAAGGUGGGACUCGGAAUUUAGGUGGACCACAGAGUGCAUAAUUUCCGAAAAAUGAUACAGCUGACAAGUUUUUAAAAGACCCCUUAACAGGAAUUUCCCCUUCUAGCCUAUUAUGAGACACAUUAAAUUGUUUGAGAUGUGAAAGUGUCUCCAAUGACUUCGGAAUUUUUCCAGAGAGAUUGUUGCCGGAGAGAUCUAAGGAUUCUAAGCUGAUCAAACUGCCAACUGAUUCAGGAAUAGGUCCUUGAAAUUGAUUACUAGCCAAGGAUAGAGUUUCUAGAUCUACAAGGGCACCAAUGGUUGAUGGAAUAUCACCUGAUAAUUGAUUCCUUGAUAAAUCUAAAACUCUCAAGACCUUUAACUUUUGUACAUUGGAAAGGAGAGGACCAUUUAAUGAAUUUGACGACAAGUUUAUCUCUAAGAUGUACUCAAGGCUCCACAAGGAUGACGGUAUAUUAGAAGUGAGCUUGUUGGAGCCUAAGCGGAGUUCUCUUAGAGAUGUCAAACUAGCCAAGCAUGGUGGUAUAUGUCCAGAGAGCUUAUUUCCAUUUAACCUUAUUCCGUACAUCAACUCCAAGUGGCAAAGAUCAUAGGGAAUGGAUCCUUCCAAAUUAUUUUCUUCAAGAGAUAAACCUUGUAGCCGCUUAAGUCUUCCCAUCGUUGGUGAAAUAGUUCCAUUCAAGUCAUUGAAGCCGAGCUCUAAGUCGAUCAGGCCACGUAAAUUACCAAUUUCUUUAGGAAUGCUGCCCCCGAGUUUGCAGUUGUAUGCAAAAAAUUGUCGAAGAGAAGCAGAGAAAUUUCCAAUUACUGGUGGAAGGAUGCCACCCAAUGGAUUAUAAGCUAAGGCUAAAAUUGUUAAAUUUCUGCAAUUAGUCAGAGAAGAGAGAAAACUCCACUGAUCUGCUGAAGAUGAUUCUGUCGUCAAGUUAUUAUAUGCUAAGCCAAGCACGCCGAGGUGUCUCAAGUUGCCAAAUGUAUUUGGAGUAGGGCCGGAGAAUGAGUUAAAGGCCAAGUCUAGGCCGAUGAGGUUAGAUGCAUUGGUGAUGGAGUUGGGAAUUGUUCCGAAAAGAUUAUUGACCCCCAAGGUUAAGUACUUUAUGUUCGGAAGCGAGUGGCCAAUCGUUGAUGGUAAGUGGCCUGAGAGUUGAUUGCCAAGCAGAUUAAGGGUUAUUAUGGUUGAAAUAUUGAGGAUCGUGGGUGGAAUGAAGCCACUUAUAUUAUUCUCACCAAGAACAAGAUGCUCCAAAUUUUGCAGAUUGCCAAUCUCGGUUGGAAUUUCACCUGCCAUAAGCCCAACAUUGAGGAGUCAUUGAGCUUUUAGCUUAUGGUAAAUUGAGUUUGACAAUGUUACCCUUCAAAAUGUAAAAGGAUCAAAUUAAAUUUAUUACAUAAUAAUUUCGGCCAAUAAUGUUCUUUAAAAUACUUCAAAAUAUGCAAAAUAUGCAUGCAAUUGGAAAAAUAUGCUUCAAUUACAAGAGGUGGGGGAAAGUACCUUGAAGAUUGUUGAAACCAAGAUGCAGAUUCACGAGUUUACUCAAAUUCCCAAUCCUUGAAGGAAUAUUUCCACCAAUAAAAUUGAACAGUGCACGCAGGUCCUCUAGCCUUGAUAAGUUGAAGAGAGAAUUAGGGAUGGGACCUGUGAAACUGUUAUUAUCAAGGCUCAAUAUUCGGAGUUUAGAUAAGAUACCAAUCCAUGAUGGAAAGCUUCCGCUCAAUUUAUUGUAAGCGAAACUCACGACUCUGAGUCGACGUAAUUGCCCCAAUUCUUUCGGCAGAUGGCCAUGAAAAUUGUUCUCACUAAUGUCAAGAGACACUAGAAAUGAGAGAUUUCCCAAGUGUAGUGGAAUGGUGCCUCCGAGACCCAUAUCUGAAAGAUUCAAGGCAGUGACUCUUUGAUGGCGUGAACCACAAGAGAUACCAGCCCAGCUACAUGUUGGAUAAGAUAUAGACCAAUUAUUUGCCAGGGCACUCCGAUAAUCAAAAACGUGGGCUUUGAAUGCCAGAAGAGCUGAUUGAUCUGUUGUUAAAUCGUUUAAAGUGGUCACAGCUAAGCUAGCAAUGACAUACUGUAACACUAACACCGACAUAGGAACAAAGAAAAAUGAUAAGCGCAUAGUGGUCGUUUUUAGUAGUAGUUGCAAGGCGAGAUUGAUACAAGUUUUAAGUGAAGGAAAUUAGCAUAUACUUAUACAUGAGACAUGUGAAUUUGAAAAUAAGAGCAGAAAAAAUAUACAGGAGACUUGCAAAUUGUUAUAUUCUGUCAUUGAGCGAGCCGUCCAAGUAAACGCAUUUGUACUUGACUUGGUCUAAUAAUUAAAAAAAAGGCGACCUUCACUUGACUUGGUCUGAUAAUUAUCACUAAACAAUUAAUAAUGCUAAGGGUUAGGGGUAUCCAAUUUUAAAAUAACGACAUAAUUGUCGUUAAAUGUGUCUUAAAAUAAAAAGACAACUAUACCCCAUAAUUUGAUGAAAUAAUUAUGUAAGCUUCUAAAUUUUUUACAAUGCAUACCAAGACCUGUUUUGUUACUUUUUACAGUUUAUUUGGAUGUCAAAUGCUUUUUUUUUUUUUUUUCACUGUGGAUGUCAAAUGUAAAAUUUACUGUUAUUCCAAUAUCAUGUCAUCACUUGCUUCUAUACAUGGAACGAUACAUUAACUGUUUUUCCAAAGUUUUAAAUUGAAUUAAAAACAUUCUAAUUAACCUUAAAAAAAAUAAUCAUCCAACCAGAUAUAAAUCUUCUAAUUAACCUAAAGAUAGCUACACCUCCAUAUUAAUUCCAGUUAAAUAAAUCUUCAUUUUUGUCAUGGUUUUGGAACUCGAGCAGGGUGGAUAUAUCUAACCAGAUUUUCCUCAUUGGCAGUCUAAUAUAUUCUGGAAUUGGAAGGGUAUCAACGAAUUAAUGUGUAAUUUAAAUUUGUAACGUUUAAUUCUAAUUUGAGGAUUCAAAUGAAUUAUGUCGAUCUAAAAAUGGACUGAAGAUUGGCAAUAUAACAUUCUUCUUGAUGAAGAUUUUUGUCCUAAUAAGAUCUCCAAUUUUAUACAUCAAUUAUUGUUGGUUUGUGGUGUAUUCAGACUUGUCCAUCGGAUACGCCGUCCAUGAAUAGAGUGAUAGAAAUGUUAUUGCAAAGAAACAGACUAGCAGUGUCGUUUUGAAAAUUCCACCGAAGUCUUUUGCAUCUUCUCCCCCAGGACUGCCAAUAGAGUAUAAAUUUUUGUCACUUUCACUCUUUUGAACAGCACAGGAAAGCUUAUCAAUUUUUGUCACUUUCACUUUCACUCUUUUCAAUCUUUAUAGAAUUCUGGAUGGACGAUCACUCUUUUCAAUCUUUAAUGAAUUUUGGAUUCAGUGUUGAUAUUUUAGGCUUUGAUAGGCUAUAGAUUUUUUUUUUUAAAAGAAUUUUGAAUUCAAAGUUGAUAUCUUGAGCUUAUCCUUAACUAAUUUUUUACCACUCGUGCAUUUAUGUCGUUGUGCGGUUAUAGAUUCAGUUAUUUUUAAAGUAGAAAAAUUACUUAUCUUAAAAGUGAAAGCAGGGAAGGUACUGCAAUGCAGCCGCUAUUUGUAGUAGUUAAUUCUUGGAUGAAAUUUGGGUCUUGCUAUAAUACUUGCAUGUAUCAAAUACAUGCAAGGAAAUCAAAAAUUAAAAAAGCAUUGCCUGAAAGAGUAUUGUGCCGGUGUUGGAGGCUAGAAGGACAAUUCGUUACAUUGCUCCAGAAGUGUUUGAUAGAAAUUUUGGUGAGGCAUCACAUAAUUUAAAUUACUGGAAUUAGCGAUACACACACACUGAAGCAUUUCGAGCAGGAUAAUGAAUUUAAAUUACUCGGAAUUGUAAGCAGCGAUGAAAGAGAAAUUGCAAAGAAGAUAAUUAUUUUUGGCUUGUGGUGUAUAUAGAGUCGUCUAUCGGAAAUAGAGGGAUAGAAAUGUUAUUGCAAAGAAGCAGACUAGCAGUGACGCCUUGAAUAAGUCCACCAAAGCCUCUUGCAUCUUCUCCUCCAACACCGCCAAUAGAGUCCGUUUGACCCAUAAAUUUUUGUCGCUUUCAUUCUUUUCAAAAGCACGUGAAAACUAGCUUAUAGGAUUUUGGAUGGACAAUCACUCUUUUCAAAAGCAUGUUAAAGCUAAUCUUCUGUUAAGUAAUAAAAAGCACCAGCUCAGCCAUGCCUUCAUCUCCCACCCCGAGGCGAAUUACAUCAGCUGAAUGGCACGAGAAGAGCCAUGGUAAAAUGCCUUAUACAAACAUGUGCUAACUAGAGACGAGCACCGACCAGAGGAAUAUACCGACCAGAGACAUAUACAGACCAGAUACCUAUCACCCAAAGAAAAGGCACAUGAUCUCAUGAAAUCGCGACAGUUUCGUUAUGCCCCGAACCGUUGAGAGAGACAUGGCAUCCCACGUUUACCCACAAUCCAGUGGUUGGAGACCCAUGAGGGGCUGCCAUUACCCAAUAAAAGGGGGGGGGAUGAAGAGUACACAAAAACGUGGGACAACGGCUAUAAGAAGUCGGGAAACUGAUGAAAAAGGGGGACAGAAAAAUUGAGAAUAAAGGGAAAACUUUGCCAAAUUGAAGCCUGAUUACAUUAUAUACAAGUUUUUGAGAGCAUUACAAAAAAAACCAUACAAUCUAAAUUACAUAGUUUUCUCGCAAACACCUUGUGCUAACUUAAGCAUCGGUGGGUUUACGCCGGCAAAACUACUAGCGUCUCUGAUCCAUUUUUGUGAACGCAGGCUUGGGAAAAGGAGAAAGAGUGAUUCCAACCCCUGGAGCUUUCGCAGUUGCUGAAGGAGACAAAGGGCAGCGUCCUUUCCAUUGAACAUACAAGCGUUGGUGGAACGAUCUGGUCGGGCAAAGGGCGAGCAGAUUUCAGCAUCAACAUUUUGGCACCGUCUGUGGGGAGCUGGAUAAAAAGCUACCACCAAGUUAGUAGUCAUCAGAGAAGCAGCGAACGAUCGGUUAUGGAGGUGACAAGGAAGGAUGCCUUAGCGGGCGACAAUGAAACUGGUGAAACGAUAACUCUCCGAGAGAUCGCAAAUGAAGCUAGGGAGAGGAUGAUGCAAGAUCGAAUGGAGCGAAUGGAGAAGCAAAUGGAGACUCUCACGGCUAUAUUACAUGAGCUGAGGGAUGAGCGGACAAGGGGUGGUGAAACCACCGUGGUGAGAGAUGAAGCCGUGGCAGAACCUAGCCCCCGGAGGUGUAGAAUCGAGGAGAUCCCUCCGCUGGUAGACCAACCCUAUGGGGUGCAUCCCCAUAGAAGUGCGGGUCGGGUCUCAGGAGAGCGCGUAGAUGAAGGAAGAGACCAGUCUCGCUCUGGGCGAGUUCUAGAAAUAGAUAGCCGAGGAGCGAAUGUUGAUGAAAGUGAACUCAGACAACGGCCGGAUAAUGCCGAGCAGGAGCGAGAUCAAAUAGCUGCGCGCGACCCUGACCGCGCUUUAGAAUUGGAGGGUGAGGUACGCAGGCUAGCGCGGGUGAUGGAUGAGAUCCAGGGUAAGAAAAAGCCUUUGAGCUGGAGGAUAAUGCUGGAUGAAGAAUCUCCGCUAUCAGUUGAGAUCAUGAAUACCGUAAUCCCAAGAGAUUUCCGCUUUCCCAACCUCAAAUACUCCAGGAGAAGUGACCCGCUGAUGCAUAUUGAACGUUUCAAUGACAUGACGGGUGUGCAAGGGCUAACACCAGCUCAGAGGUACAGGGUGUUCCCAUUAACACUAGAGGGAAGAGCCCGAGAGUGAUACCGUAAGAUGCCACGAGGAAGUAUAAGAGGAUAUGAGCAGAUGUACCAAGAGUUGGCCGAGCAGUUCCGGGGAGCAGUAGCCCCAGAGGACGACAUGAUGGAGUUUAUGGGGAUGAAGCAGGAGGAACAUGAAUCCCUUCGGGAUUUUGUGAAAUGAUACCAUUGGGUCGUGCUUGAUCUGGGAGCCUUCAAUCACCCGCAUUCAGAAUUAUUCGACGGGGUAUGAGCAGGCGAGGAGAGGCAUAGAAAUUGAAGAAGAAAAAAGGGCAAAGAUAAAGAGUGAGCAGCUAGAGGAGCUGAGGCGAAAGGAAAAGAGAACCAUGAGCGGGAGCAGAUCGGGAAAGUGAGCUGGGGAAUCAUCAGUGAUGGGUGGAAUAUCAGCUCGGUCUCGCCCUUAUCCCAUGGCUCAGAGACCGCAACAGUUCCAACACAGCCGAGCUCAGCCUCCGUGCCCCCCAUUCCCGGAGCGGCAACGAGAAUUCCGGUAGUUGGCUGCCCACCCUUAUCACAACACUCCCAGGACACUGCACGCAGUUAACUCUAGGGCUGGUCGACCAAGUCAGCGACCUACAAUACCAGCCCGGGACGAUAUCCACAAUAGCUGAGCAGUCCAACUAAUUGAUCAAAGCUUGGCGUAUAAACAAUACACCCCAUUGAAAGUCUUUAUGGAGGAAUUGUAUGAGAGGAUCGAGGGACGAGGCCUGCUGUACCCUCCUGCUCCUGUAACCAAACCUGCUCACAAACGGGAUAAAAGCAGAUUCUGCAAAUUCCACGAUACUUAUGGCCACACUAUCAGCCAGUGUCGUGACCUGAAGACUCAGGUGGAGGAUUUGGUGAGAAACCGAUACCUGGAUGAGUAUGUAGAUGGGACGUUCCCUAUUCUCGAUUCACAAUAUACUCAGAGGAAUGGAGACGAGAGAAAUAUGGAGCGUGAGCAGCCAACCAUCUAGGUGAUAGCAGGAGGGCCGACAUUGGCUGGGGAUUCGAACAAAGCACGGAAGAAUUACGGGAAAUAUGCCAUGACCAGCAAAGAGGUAUUUUUCAAUUUGCCAACAGCCAAAAGGGCGAAAGUGAGGUAGGUUCCCAUUAUGUGGACAGAUGACAACGAAGAGGGUGUUUUAUAUCCUCAUGAGGAUGCACUGGUGAUUAAGGUAACGGUGGCUGGUAAAGAAUUACGGCGAAUACUAGUGGACACGGGCAGCUCGGUUGACAUACUGUUUAAGUCAUCCCUAGAUGAUAUGGGAAUUUCGGACUUAAAAUUAGAGCGGACAAAUACAUCUUUGAAGGGGAGGAGGACGGUUAACCCCCAUGGGUUGAAGCCGUUUGAAAGAACAAUGAUGCUGGACUUUGUCGUAGUAGAAGAAAUAAGCCCUUACCAGAUGAUACUGGGACGACCUUUCAUCAGGAUAAGCCAAUAUGUUAUAUCCAUGCACUAUCUGGCAUUGAAGUACAGAGUGAACGGAGUCGUGGGCAUAGUAAAAGGUGACCAGAGAAUGACGAGAAGUUGUUACGCUACCGCAGUUAAGGAAACACUACAAAUUAUCACUCUGGAUAACCGAGGAGAUUCUAAAAAGGGUCGCCAGGAGCCAGCUGAGAAAUUGGAAGAGGUUCUGGUGAGCAAGAGUAACCCGGGCAGAGUGGUAAAGAUCGGGUCAGGAUUGGGUGAGGCAAUAAAAGGUGAUCUGGUAAAAUGCCUACAGUCCCAUGCAGAUAUAUUUGCCUGGUCGCAUGAAGACAUGCCAGGAAUUGAUCGCGGGGUAGCUUGCCACAAGUUGGCAAUCAGGAAAGGGGCAAGGCCGGUGAAGUAGAAAAAGAGGUGCUUUAACCAGGAAAGGUAAGAGGCCAUAAAUGCUGAGGUGGAGAAGCUGUUGAGAGCAAGAUUCAUAAAGAAGGCUAAAUACCCGGAAUGGAUCUCCAAUGUAGUGUUGGUAAAGAAGGCCAACGGGAAAUGGAGAAUGUGUGUGGAUUUCACAGACCUUAACAAGACAUGCCCAAAUGAUAGCUUUCCCCUACUUAAAAUAGACCAGCUAGUUGAUUCAAUGGCAGGUCACAGCCUGCUUAUCUUCAUGGAUGCCUUUUCAGGAUACAACCAAAUAUUCAUGGACGAGCAGGAUGAGGAGAGUACCACCUUUAUAACUAACAUGGGUUUGUUUUGCUAUAGGGUGAUGCCCUUUGGCCUGAAAAAUGCAGGGGCUACCUAUCAAAGGUUGGUGAAUAAGAUUUUGAAGCCAUUGAUUAGUCACACUAUGGAGGUAUACUUGGACGAUAUGAUCACGAAGUCUAAAGAACCGAGGGAUCAUGUGAAGCACUUGGAAGAGACAUUUGAAUUGUUGAGGAAGUAUCAAAUGAAGUUGAAUAUGGAGAAAUGUGCGUUUGGAGUAAGCUGGGGUAAAUUUUUGGGAUUCCUGGUGAGUCACCGAGGGAUCGAGGCCAACCCCAAAAAAAUAUGGACAGUAACAGAAAUGAAGUCCCCCCGAAUAGUUAAGGAGGUGCCGAACCUUAUAUAGAAAUUGGCAGCAUUGAACCGGUUCAUCUCGCGGGCCACAGAUAAAUGCCACAAUUUCUUCUAAACCAUAAAGAAAUGAAGGAAAAUAGAGUGGACAUCAGAAUGUGAGGAGGCACUGGGGCAACUGAAGGAAUAUCUGGCCCGCGCCUCGUUACUAUCGACUCCGAGAGAAGGUGACCAGCUGUAUUUGUACUUGGCAGUAUCUAAAUGGGCUACCAGCUCGGUAUUAGUCAGAGAAGAGGAAGGAAAGCAACACCCCGUGUACUACACUAGCAAGGCCCUGGUAGACGCAAAAACCAGAUAUCCACUGAUGGAGAAAUUGGCACUAACUUUAAUAACGGCAGCACGCAAGCUCAUGCCAUAUUUUCAGGCCCACCCGAUAAUUGUGAUGACUGAUCAGUCUCUUCGGCAAAUGCUCCAAAAACCAGAUGCAUCUAAUCGGUUAGUAAAAUGGUCCGUGGAGCUGAGCGAAUUCGACCUAUCCUACAGACCUCGAAGAGCAAUCAAAGCCUAAGUCCUGGCCGAUUUUAUGGUUGACCGUAUUGAACUAGAGGAGGAAGUUCAGGAGGAGCAACCAAUUGAACAGGAGAAACCAAAGGGCAUGUGGCUGGUAAUAGUUGAUGGGUCGCGUAGUGAACAAGGGUCCGGAGCAGGAGUUGUAAUACGGAGCCUAGAAGGUGCCGAAGUCUCCUAUGCGGUGAAAUUCGAAUUCCAACUCACGAAUAACCAAGCCGAAUAUGAAGCCUUCAUCACUAGACUCGGGCUUGCACACGCACUACGAGUAGAGAAGGUAGAAAUCUGAGUAGACUUCCAGUUAGUCUGUAAUCAACUCAGUGACCAAUUCUAAGCGAGGGAAGAGAAGAUAGGGUUUUAUUUGAAGAAGGCAAAGCAGAUGGUUGGGCUUUUCCAAGAAGUAGAAAUAAAGCAGAUAUCCCGGAAUGAAAAUUACCGAGUAGAUAUGUUGGCCAAAAUGGCCGCAAUUGUGGAUCCAAAGUUACCCAAGUCAGUUUCACUGGAAGUGAGGACCUCGCCAAGCAUAGGGGAGGAAGUAGAAGUAAUGCGGGUGAGCACUGAAGAAUCCUGGAUGGACCCGAUUCUCUCAUACAUCCGCGAUGACGUUUUACCGAAAGACAUGAAGCAAGCAAGGAAGUUGAAAUGUUGGGCAGCAAGGUAUACGCUACUCGAUGGGGUUCUUUACUGCCGGGGAUUCACCUUGCCCCCUUUUGAGAUGUUUGGAUGAUGAGGAAGCAAAUUAUGUACUGAGGGAGAUUCAUGAAGGAAUAUGCGGCAACCACUCGGGGGCGAGGACUUUGGCCUUCAAGGCACUUCGGCAAGGAUACUUUUAGCCGACCAUGCAUCAUGAUGCGAAAGGGAUGGCAAAAACCUGUAAAGUCUGCUAAAGCUUCUCGGAGGUUCCUGCUCAGCCCCCAGAAUUGCUAACCGCUAUGUCAUCCCCAUGACCUUUUGCGCAAUAGGGAGUUGACCUGAUUGGCCCAUUACCCAAAGGCCGAGGAGCCGCAACUCAUGCAAUUGUGGCUAUAGACUACUUCACCAAAUGGGUAGAAGUAGGAGUCCUCAGUCAAAUCACGGAGUGAAAGACAAUGGAUUUUAUUUAGAAGAAUAUCAUAUGCAGAUACGGGAUCCCCUAUGCCAUCAUUACAGACAAUGGGAGGCAGUUUGACAAUCACAACUUCAGAGAAUUUUGCCAAAACUUGGGGGUAAGCCUGAAGUUUUGUACCUCAGUAAACCCCUAAGCAAAUGGGCAGGUAAAAGCAGCCAACAAAGUAAUAAAGAAACUCCCAAAAAUCAGGCUGUGAGAGAAUAAGGAAGCUUGGAUCGACGAGCUACCAGGAGUGUUAUGGGCCUACCGGACAACCCGCAAAACGGCAACGGGAGAAACCCCGUUUACUUUAGCUUUCGGUCAUGAGGCAGUAAUCCCAGCAAAAAUUGGGGUGGGAACCCAUCAGACAGAGUAUUUCAACGAGGAACAAAAUGACGAGCAGAUCUGCAUGAACCUGGACCUGCUGGAGGAAAAAAGAGAAGGGGUCUCGCAGAAAGCAGCCCAAUGCCAGCAAAGAAUCAUGCGCUACUACAACAAGAAUGUACGCAUGAGGCAGUUCCGAGCAGGAGAUUAGGUACUUGGAAAGGUAAAACAAAACACAAGAGAUCUUAACCAUGACGCUCUUGGCCUGAAAUAGAAGGAGCCGUAUAUGGUAAUACGAACGACUGGACCAGGAGCUUACAAGCUGGCUUACCCAGAUGGACGAGACGUAAAGAGGUCGUGGACCGCUGAACACUUGAAGAAGUACUUCCAGUAAGCAAAGUGUUUUACCAAGUUUUUAUUUUAAUAAGUUAUUUUUAUUAAAUGCAUGAUGAAUUGUGGCACAUGCAUAUAUUUCGCCUUUUGUAAUCCAUACGAAGUUCAAUAAAGAUGAAUUCAGCAUAAAUUCCCUUACUAGACAAAUUUCGUUAAGGCAAGCAACUGCCUAUUCCUGCUCGGUCGCCUAAAGGACCAGCAGGCAAAAUCCGUUAAAUUUACUAAGGCAAGAAAGUGUCUAUUCCUGGUCGGUCGCCUAAAGGACCAGCAGGCAAAAUCCGUUAAAUUUACUAAGGCAAGCAAGUGCCAAUUUCUACUCGGUCGCCUAAUAGACUAGCAGGCAAAAUCCGUUAAAUUUACUAAGGCAAGCAAGUGUCUAUUCCUGCUCGGUCGCCUAAAGGACUAGCAGGCAAAAUCCGUUAAAUUUACUAAGGCAAGCAAGUGCCUGUUCCUACUCGGUCGUCUAAAAGAUCAGCAGGCCAAUUCUACAAAUUUUGCUAAGGCAAACGAGUGCCUACUCCUGCUCGGUCAACUAAAGGACCAGCAGGCAAAAUCAAUUAAAUCUGCUAAGGCAAGUAUGUGCUAACUCCUGCUCGGUCGUUGAAGGACUGGCAAGUAAAUUUCUACAAAACCAUUAAGGCAAGAAAUCGCCUAUUUUUCCUCGGCCACUCAAAGACAAGCAAACACAUCUUCUUUUUAAGGUAAUUUGCAGAAACAAUCACAUGGCAAGAAAACAAUCAGAAAGCAUCAAAACUUUAUAAACAUCUAAGCGUUUAUAAACAAAUGGGAAUCUAGAAUUUACAUAAAGAAUAAGCCUAAGAAUUAUGAGGUUCAGCAGCCUCGGUAGGAGAAGGAUCAGCAACCUCAGAAAGAGGAGGACCAGCCAUUUCGAGGGGAGCAGGUGCUGAUCCCUGACCUGCUUCAAGAGCACGAUCCCCUACUUUCUCCUCCGGCACCCCACUUGAAGGAGCCUCCACCUAAUCUUGGUCACCCUUCUCCUUAUCCCCCUAGUCUAACUCGGCCAUAUAUUUCUGCACUCCCGCCUCCAGCUUGCUCAUGUUGAGCUCUGGAUACUCCUCCUUAAGCACAAACAUGAUGCACUUGUAGCUAAAGGCAAGCCCAGAGUUAUACUCUGCAUCCAACCGAUCGUCCACCUCAGCAGAUUUACCUUUCAGCUCGGCUACCUGCUUACUUGAUUUGCUCCUCAAAGGCCGUCCUUAAGGUAUCUUAUUCACUUUGAGCAGCUUGGAGGUCAGACUCUAGGUCACCCAACUCGCCCUCAAGCUUGGAGGAGUUGGACUUAGCAAUGGCCACUUUCUCCUCUAGGUCCAUGAUCUGCUUGUGCAGCUCAAGCAGCUUCUCCUUCGAGUGAUCAGCAGAAUCAGCCUUUUUCUUCAAGUCCUGAUUGUCAGCUUGAAGCCUCCUCUCAUGGCGUAUGAACCUGUUCUUGUAGCAAGAAACCAGAGUAGCCAACUUAAAGGAAACCCUCUGAACGGACCCAGCUAACUCGCUAAGGUUCAUUUGCUCAAUAUCUUUGAUAAUUUUGGGUCCCACUAACUUGCCAUAGUCCCUCUGGUAUGGGGUCAGAUAGUCACCCUGGUCCCGAGGCGGAAGAGGAGAGGAUCGGUCUCUAGAUUGAGCACUGACUUCAGGACUCUUGUCACUAACCUUCUCCCCUCUAUUCUUUCGAGGUGGAGGAGGGGGCAGAGAAGGAGCAGAUGCCUUGGAGGAACCAACAUUGGUUUUCUUCAGAGGAGGGGGGGUUACUGGAGCCACCUGAAUCCCGAGCACGUUUCCUUGACAUAGCGCUGAUAAUCUUGUUAUCCAUCCCAGCAGCUACGUCCACUAAGCGUGACCCGAAAAGAUUUGUUGACGAUAAGAGAUCUUGACAGGUAGAUGCGUUCACCAGAGCAGUUUCCACCUGGAGCAAUGGUCUGUCGUCAAGUUUCUCGAUCAGGCCCCACGACUCUGAAAAAAUAAAUAAGGUUAAGGAACCCAAUAAGUAACGAUCAGAGAAGUGAAAGAUGCAGAAAAAUAAACGACCUGGGGUGACAUAACGCGUUGGAAGGUGAAUAUCACCACUAAGCGAAUGGAUUGCUAGACACCAAUUUUCCCCAGUAAAGAAGAAUUUGUUCUUCCAGUUUUUACAUGAGGAAGGAAAGCCGGUGAUAGGUUUCCUCUUCGCAGAGCUCGACAUGAAGUAGUACCAGUUUGCUUCCUUUAGGCUGCUCCUCAGCUGAUACAAAUGCUUCACUUCCACAAGGGAAGGCUCCUCGAGUCCACACUUUUCCCGUAGCACAUACAAAGCUGAAAGAAGCCUCCACUCGUUCGGGUGGAGCUGACCUGGAGCCAGGUACAUACCACCCAAUAUCCUGACAAAAUAAGGCUGAAGGGGCAGCCGAGCCCCUAGCUUGAAACUUUCCAAAUGCAUCGUCACAUACCCCUUUGGAGGCUGACUAGGGACGUCACCUUUCCCGGGGAUUACAAGGAGAACCUCCUCAGGGAUUUUGUAGAGGUUUCUAAGCUUGAGUAAGUUAGUGUGGGUAGUAGCACAGGUAAUACAGUCAAUGUGAUACGCAUCUGCCUCCAUCCUAUGACCAAGAUUUCUCUUCUUAGAGGGUCUGCUCGGCUCGGAACUACUCUCCUUACCUUCACCCACUUCCUUAGGGAUCCCAGCCCCCUCAGAACUGUGAUUUUCACCAGAGCCUGAAGCUAGUCCACCAUAGUUUCCCACAGGUUCUAAAUCAGGGGAAGGCAAAGUGGUCAUGGGACGAGGGUAUUCUAAGGUAUCCCUAUGAUAUGAGGGACCUACAUCACGAGAAGAGCAUAGGGGAUCAUUGAGUCCAAACAAGUUGGGAUAUGAGUCAUCUACUUUUUCAUCACUCUCAUCUACAAUUAGUUUUCCUUUUCGGUUUGACAUAUCAAAAUCUUAAAAAGGAAAGCACAGCAAAUCCAAGUAUAUGGGUACAAAAAGGGACAACACAAAACCCAAUCAACAACAACCAGAGAAGAAGUUAAAGGCGAUACCUGGAAUAGACUGGCACUGGUAGCGUUGCUGUGACGGAGAGAGGACCUAGAAAGGAGGUUUCCGACGCAGAAAGUGUGAUUAAAGUCCAAAGAGGGAGUUGGCUUACAGCGGAAUGGCAGAUAGCGAAACGCAAUGACAGCUUUAAUUUAGGGAUUUGUAACGAAAGGGGGAAAUGGAAGCGUUUAAGUUACACGGAUGCCAGCUCACUCGCAGUAUAUCAAGGACAGAUAAACCGUCGUUUUAAAUUUUAAAUACGAAAUGACAAGAGACGACAUGUCACUGACCGUUAUAAAAGGCCUGACGAGAUGUUACCCCAGCUAUAUAUAUUGGACACACUCAUGAAGGCCCAUACUCAGAUCGAAAUCUCCUUAGACAAAAGACGGAACCUCAGAUCCAUCACAAUAACACGAAGACCAGAUAGGUAGUUCCCGGGGUCGGUAAAAUUCGAUUAUCAGUUUCUAAUCUCAACUCGCUUCACUCGCAAGACCAGAAACUGGGGGACUGGUGUUAAGUAAUAAAAAGUGCCAGCUCAGCCAUGCUUUCAUCUCCCACCCCGAGGCGAAUUACCUCAGCUGAAUGGCAUGAGAAGAGCCCUGGUAAAACGCCUUAUACAAACAUGUGCCAACUAGAGACGAGCACCGACCAGAGGAAUAUACCGACCAGAGACAUAUACCGACCAGAUACCCAUCACCCAAAGAAAUGGCACACGAUCUCACGAAAUCGCGACAGUUUCGCUAUGCCCCGAACCGUUGAGAGAGACAUGGCAUUCCACGUUUACCCACAAUCCAGUGGUUGGAGACCCAUGAGGGGCUGCCAUUACCCGAUAAAGGGGGGGAUGGAGAGUACACAGAAACAUGGGACAACGACUAUAAGAAGUCAGGAAACCGAUGAAAAAUGGGACAAAAAAAUUGAGAGUAAAGGGAAAACUCUGCCAAAUUGAAACUUGAUUACAUUAUAUACAAGUUUUUGAGAGCAUCCUUUCCAUUGAACAUACAAGCGUUGGUGGAACAAUCUGGUCGGGCAAAGGGCGAGCAGAUUUCAGCAUCAACAUCUUCAAUGAAUUUUGGGGCUUAUUUUUAAGUAAUCUUUUAGCAUGCAUGCAUUUAUGCAAUCAUAUGAUUAUAGAUUCAAUUACUUUUAAAGUAGAAAAAAUUCUUGGAUGAAAUUUACUAAAGUAUAGUCUUGUAAAAGAAUUAGUUUUCUUAAAAUGUAAAUCUCGGUUAUGAUUGGGAGAUUUUGAUCAAAAUUAAUAUGAUAAAUUCGUUGCAAGUGUUGUUCUUGAAGUCUCAUCUUCCGUAAUGUUUGUAAAAUCAAGGUUUUACCAUCUCUAAUUAAAUAUUUAUUCUUGAUUUCGACUACGUAAUCUGAACUUGACGAAAGAUUAUGAUCUUAUGUGAUUUUAUGAAUGUGGUCUUAUCUCUUAUAAGUCAGCAAUGAAUUAAUUAAAGCUUGCUGACAAAUUACAAGCUCAAAAAUAUCUUUUACUUAUUGACAAUCUUAUUUCAUUCUUUUUAUCACAUAACUUUAAAAAAUUUAUCUACAAAUUUAAUUUAAUAGUUUUAAUAAAAAAUCUCAUUGACGACCAAACAACUAAUUAUUUUUUUAUAAAAGCUCUACUUGUUAAAAUUAUACUGAAAAAAACUCUACUUAAUUAAGUUCUAUUUGAAAAGUUAUACCAAGCAUAACCUUAUUUCUUAUUAGCUUAAUUGCUUCCACUGCUCCUACAUUUUUUUAACCAUGUGGAUUCCUUCAAUCUCAUAAUCAAAGAUGCUUUAAGCCAUUUUAUUUCUUUAUUUUUUUAAUUAUUAUUGGAAAAGUAGUGUAGCUUAUCAAAAAAAGGAAAAAAAAAGGGCCAAAGUGACGAGUGGCUCGUUUUUUAAUUUCAAAGUCUAUGCAAAGUAAAAGUACCGAAAUAAUGUUUAUUUUUUCAAAAAAAUCCAAAUAAGUGGCAAUAAAGGGAGGUUUUGGUAGGGGUGUUCGCGGAUCGAAUUUUAGGGAUUAUAAAUUUUUAAUCCAAUUCAAUGCACGGAUUUAUAAAAUUUAAUCCAAAUACAAUCCAUACAUAUGCAUCAUAUGUAGAUUUGACCAAAUCGAUAUCCAAUUCACCAUUUUACUGAUUGAUUUGUGGGCUGAAAAUUUUUAAUUCUGUCAAAUCCAGAACUAACUAAAUAAAAAAAAUUGAAUAUAAAAAUAAUUUUACUAUAGAUCAAAUUUAAAAUUAAAUAAGAUUAAAUAAAUUAAUUACUUAAAUAAAGCUAGAAAAUACAUUUAAAGUUUCAAAAUAUAACACACCAAAAUGAAAAAAUUAUCAUUCGUUUAGAUCAAUACAUGGAAAUUAACUAUCUAGUAAACUAUAUUUGUUUAUUUAAUUAUUUUUUAUUUUAUAUUAUUAUCGGAUAAGAUAUAAUAUAAUGUUAAUGUAACUAUAUUUUAACUUAUUUAUUCACUAGUAAGUACUAAUGCCAUAUUUACAAGUUUUAUUUUUAAUUAAAUAAAUAUUUUUUAUUUUUUUGCGGAUUCGUAGAUUUUUGCGGAUUUACAGAAGUAGAUCCAUAUCCAAUCCACUGAUUGCGGAUUAUCAAAUUUUCAAUUCAAUCCAAUCCACUAAUCCAUGGAUCGAAUUUGUACGGAUCAGACAAAUUGAGCAGAUCGAAUUGGAUUAUGAACACCCCUACAUUUUGGUGUCCAUUGUUGAAAACUUGGAAGUCUAUGUGACCAUUUAACCAAAGUACAGGGGUAUAAUGGUCACAAAUUUCAAAAAAUAAAUUUUACCAAUUAAAUGAUUUUUUUUCACAGUUGAUUAUUAAAUUCUAAGUGUUAGACUACCGUAAGACUACAAAUAAUUGACAUGGAUAUAAUAUUAAAUAAAAUUUACUUAUAUAUUUAUAUACAUGUAUAUAUGUAUAUAUAUAUAUAUAUAUAUAUAUAUAUAUUAGGGAAAAUAUCCACCGUCCACCUGUUUUUUUCAACUUUUUUAAAAAUACAUAAUUCUUUUUUUUUUUUUUGGUGGAAUCUUCCCAAAGUUACCUUUUAUUCCCUUUUUCCACUUCCAUUUGGAAUCCGUUAAGUAAACUAACGGAAACUUAAAAAAAUGACCAUUUUACCCCCAAAAUGAAAAUUACAAUUUCACCCUAAAAAUGCCAAAAAUAAUAAGAUUUAAUGAUGAAUAUCAUUAUUGGUACGUUAAUGAAGUACAAAAAAAAUCUUAACUACUAGAGAUUAUAACUGAAUGAAUAAUAAAACUCUACUUAUCUUAAAUUCAAUUGAUGGUUUACGAGAUUGUGCUAUUUUUAAUACUACUGUUAUAAUUUUUCUAAUUACAAACAUAUUUUAAAAAACAAAAACCCUGAAUUUGAUGGUUGUGAAAUUGAUUUCUUUAUUGACCGAUGGGGAAAAUAAUUAGAUUUAAUCUGAUUAUUUUUGGUAAUUUUUAAGGUGAAAUUAUAAUUUUCAUUUUGGGGGGUAAAAUGAUCAUUUUUUUUAAGUUUCCGUUAGUUUUCUUAAUGGAUUCCAAACGGAAGUGGAAAAGUGAAACAAAAUAUAACUUUAGGUAGAUUCCAGCAAUAAAAUAAAAAAAAAAGUGUAUUUUUGAAAAAGUUAGAAAAAAUGGGUGGACGGUGGAUAUUUUUCUUAUAUAUUAUUGUUUGUAUAUAAAAAUUGCUAACUAAAAAAUAUUUAUAUUUUUCAAUUUUAUUUCUUUUAUUUUUUAUCUCAAUAUAAAUGAUAAUAAUAAUAAUAAUCUCUCUAAAUUUAAUUAUUUUUGUUGUUUAUUAAAUAAGGAUAAUUUUGAGUUUCUAUAAUAUAUGUGAGGAUAUAUAUAAAAUUGUAUUAAAUAUAAAAAUAUUCUAAAAAUUAAAUUUUAAAAAACUAUUCUUUUCUCACUUUUCAUUUAAUUAGGCAAAUGGCCACAGAAAUUGUUCUCCCUCAUAUCCAAAUAAACUAAAAACGAGAGAUUUCGUAAGUGUGGAGGGAUGAUGCCUUCGAAACCCAUCACUGAAAGAUUCAAGUUUGUGACUCUAUGGUAUGAGCAUCACAACAUAUGCAAAUUCGACUGCAUACUGAGUAAGAUAUGGACCAAUUAUUCAAGAGAUUCAUGAGCCUUCGAAGUGAGAAAUAAAGCAAAUUAGGUGGUCGUGGGUCAAUUGACUACGUUUCGUGAUCCACGUGCGAUUGCAACGGUCGGUUCAUUAAGUGAAAUUAAUGACUCGUCCACUUUAGUAAUAUACCGUCCUCUUUAGGAUGGUGCUGGGUCAAUUUUAUCUCAUUUUCGUUGAUUACGAGUUGUGAUCGAUGACCCUCGACGUCUAUGGGUGGAUGGGUGGAUGGAUCUAACGUAAAUUAAGGGCUGAUGACCCUCGACGUCUAACGACAAGCAACAAAGAUGACCUUGACUACAUGUAAACGCACAAUUCGUUCUCAUACAUUAUGUUUUAAAAUUUCUCCAUUUUCCGGGGCCCUGCUGUCGACCGUACACAGUUUAAUUUGUAUAUACAAGACCUCAUUGUUUCUAACAAGUAUAGAGCCAUAGACAAUAUUAAUUCCAAUUACUUAAAUCUUCAUUUCUCUCAUGAUUUUGGAUCUCGAGCAGCGUGGAUAUAUCCAACCAGAUCCGCCUCACUGGCAUCCCAAUAUAUUUUAAAAUUGAGUAAUGAGUAUUAAUAAACGUGUAAUUAUAAAUCUACAAUGUUUAAUUUUAAUUUGAAGAUUCAAAUGAAUUAUUCCAACAGUGCCUCGUUAAAUUAACAUUCCAUAAAUUUUUAAUUUUAAUUAAAUAACAAAUUUUGUCCGUCCCAACUUAAGAUUAACGUGGUAAUUAAUAAUUUAAUAAAUUUAUUAGAUAAUAAUUUUUUUUUUAAAUCUUAUUUUUUUAUUGGAUCCAACUGAUAUAUAAAUUAAUAAUUAAUUAAAUUUAAAACUAAAUUCAUGUUAUGUCAAUCAAAUGUUAUUGCAAAGAAGACUAGCAGUGACGCUUUGAAAGGUACACCAAAGCCUUUUGCACCUUCUCCUCCCUGACCACCAAUAGAUACUUCCACCAUUUCAACGUCAUGACAUGAUGUGAGUUUCUUUUGUGGAAUUUGUGAAUUGGUGCUGGCAGAAGUUAGUGAUACAUGUAACUUUAUAUAACCAGACCUUUUGACAAGUCCGCUUGACUCUUAAAUUUUUGUCACUUUCACUCCGUUCAAAGGCAUGUGAAAGCUAAUUUUUAAUGAAUUUUGAAUUGAGUGUUAGAUGUUUUGGGCUUAUCAAAACUAGAUUAUAUAUUUAUAUAUAUAGAGGACCGCCCUUUAAAACUACAUCUAUUUUUACACUGAUUUAUAACCAUUAAAUUUAUUAGACAUUAAUGGUUAAGAUUUUGAAAAUUUAAUAAUAUAAAUACUUAAUAGCAACAAUAAUUAAUGUACUUUCUCUCUCAUCAUCAAUUUCCAUUAAAACCUAAUUUCUCUUUCCUAAUAAAUUUUAAUGAAUUUUAGAUUCAUCAUUUUUCUCUCUCCAUCAGUUUCAUUGGUUUUUAAUGAAUUUUAGAUUCACGGUUAGAUAUUUUGGGACUUAUCUUUAAGUAAUCUUUUACACGCGUAUAUUUAUAUCAUUAUAUAGUUAUAGAUUCAAUUACUUUUAUGAUGCAUUUAUUAAAUUGGAAUUGAAAUAGAUAAGAAUGAGCUGUAAUGUGAAUGGAGAAUCGAAAUUAGAAUAAAUUAUUUACUUGAACAGUAGAAAUCGAAAUAAGUUAGAUUGUUAUUAAUGUGUUUAUUUUGUCUUGAAAUCAGAAUUGAAAUAAGUUAGAUUGUAACAAAUUACUAAAAACUACUAAUGAACUAUUUGUUAUAAUUAUUAUUUUGUAUUUUAAUUAUUGUGAUUAUUUAUUAAAAAUUAUUAUUGUUAUUAUUACUUAUUGUUAAUAGUAUAUUAAUAUAUUAAUAAAUUAUAAUAAUAUAUUAAAUAACUAUAAUAUAUUAAAAAAUAUACUUGUAUUUACAAGAAAUGACGGAUAAAAUUUCUAAAAUCGUCUUCCUCCCUAAAACUCUGAAUGCCACAGCCCUAAAAAUUAAUAAGAUUUAGGAAUUAUAUAUCUUUUUUAAAAUAUUAAAGGGUGUUUAUUUCCUUAAACGGUGGGGGCUAAAAGUCCUAUUCCCAAAAGAGUAGUGUGCCGGCGUUGGAGGCUAGAAGGACAAUUCGUUACAUUGCUUCAGAAGUGCUUAAUGGAAAUUUUGGUGAGGCAUCACAUAAUUUAAAUUACUGGAAUUUGCAUCAAUGGUUUUUAUUGGUUUAUUUACUCGUCAACAAAUUACUGUAACUGCAGAAAACAGUGUAACACAUUGUAUAAUACGUUAAUACGUUAUAUUGGUCAGUGCUCCUACCAAGGAAAUCUUUUUAAGUUUUGUUAGCAGAAUAUUCUUGAAAGGGUGGAGGCAUAAGAGUUUAAUAAUUUAAUUUCUCUUGUUCAUUAGAAGAUUGUUUUUUUUUUUUGGAAAAAAAAAGAAGAAGAUGGUUUGUUUAAUGUUGAUAAAUUUUGAAGUACAAUUUUAUAGAUGUCGAAUGUGGGCAAAAAGUAAAGAAGCUCAAACACUUUUCUACAUCUAAACUAAUCAUUAGGAUUUAUAUUAACUAAUAAACCCUAAUAAUACGAGCGUUCAUAAAAACUUCACAUGAACAUUGAACUAGCAUGGCAUCAUAUUGUAAUAAGUUGUACAGCUGUCAAUCUCUUAUUAGUCGGAUAUAUUCUGAGUUAGUUACACGAAUGUAGUAUAAAUAUCAUACUCUGUACACAUUCUUAGUUAGUUACUUCAGUAGAAUUUUCUCUCCUCUACUCAAUUUUUAAGUUAUCUUUUAUAUUGGGGGCAAAUGAUAUUUUAUUAACGAAAUUAUUUUGCCCUCUUAAUAAGCUCUCAUUUCUCCCCUUUAAUCAACACAGCCUUCUUUUAUUACAUCAAAAUUCUUCCUCUUUCCAUCAAAAUUUCAUGGAUCUGCCCUUACGUAUAAUCAUAUGAGACUAUAUAAUAAAUUUAAUUAGGUAUGUUCGGAAUAUUUUUGUUAUCCUUAAGCUGAUUUUAUUUUUUUUAUUUUUUCAUAGUAUAUAUUGUCAAAAGUAAAUGCUAUAAACACUUUCGGAAAAAAAGAUGAAGAGUGCCUUUGGAGUAAUUUUUUCUAUAGGAACUAACAAAACAACUAAACGAUGUAUGUAUCUCUAAGAUUUAUUAUUAUUUUUUUUUUCUGUAGUUGACAAAGCAUCAUGAUUGUGUUGGAUGAUAAGAUUAAAGGUGGGAAUGGACCAAUUUUUUAGGAUAAAAAAAAAUGAUUCAAUCCUGGGCAUGUUUGGCUAUCGAAACUAGUUGAUUAGUCUAAAGUUUAAUUCAAAAGUAAUGAGACUAUUAAUCCUUAGGAAAAUUAUCAUUCGUAUACUCUAUAAAUGCUCUGUUAUAAAAAAUAUUACAACACUUUGAGAGUGUAUCAAUCGUCCACCCUAAGUUGACAAAAUGUAUCUGCUGUCCAUCAAACCGUUACUUGCUGUUUAAAUAGGAUAACGUCAGAGAGGUAAUUUGGUCUUUUCAUAUGAUACAAGUGAUAAUUCAAGGGUAUACAAGUGAUAAUAAAAUAAUUUAAGGGUAUACAAGUGAUAUUUUUCAAGGAUAAAAUCAUUAAUUCGCUAUAAUUUCAUUAACUUUCAAACGACAGCUAACGGUUUAGUGGUCGGCAGAUAACUUUUUUCAAUUUAUGGUGGACGAUUGAUACACCCUCAAAGUGUUGUAGUAUUUUUUUAUAAUAGAGCAUCUAUAGGGUAUACGAAUGAUAAUAUCCCUAAUCAAUCCUUAAUUCAACUUAGGUUUAAGUACUAUAUAAAAAAUCUUCUUUAUCACUCUUUUCAUUUUUAUUUAGAUUAAAAUUCAUAUAAAUAAAUAUAAAGAAUUAAUUUCAUAAUUUAUUUAACUAAAAUUUUAUAUUAUAUUAAAUAUCCAAAUUUUAAUUCAAUAAUUUAUUUAUAUUAGAAUUUUAUACAAUAUUAAAUCCCAAAACUUUAUUUAAUAAUUUAUUUACAAAAAUAUUAAAUAUCAAAUUCAACAAUUAGUAAUAUAAUUUAAAAUAAUUAUACUAUUUUAAUAGUUAUUUAACUAUAUUAAAUUAAAUUUAACAUAUCCUUGUCCGAUACUAUACUAAACAAACGAUAGUACCUUAUAUAGUGCAGUCAAUCUAUUAUAAUAUAAUUUAAUCUAAUCUUAUAAAUUGGUUCAAUCUAAUCAUACGUGUCAAAUCAGUAAAUUUUAAAAAGUAAUUUUAUAACAGCUUUAAAAAAGCAUUUUUUCAGUUACUUCUACAAAACGUGCUUUCGCGGAAAGCACUCGUGAAAUGCACAUUCUCACAAAACACGUGGUGUGUUCAAUUGGGCCUCCGCCCAUUAAAACUACAACCAUGAAAGCAAGCAAUGUUCAUUGGGCUUUAUUCUCUCGAGAAAACUUAUACACGUAGCCCACCACCGGCGCCCUAAUUUGUCUCCACCUAUCUAAAUAGAGUUGGACUAUUGGCACCUUUCCAAAAUUCUUCUGAAACCCCUUUUUUAAUAAUGUUAAGCUUAAUGCCAAAAAUAUCAUUAUUUCUAAAUAAACACAUUUAAUUUGUGAAUAUUUUAAUUUUCUAUUAUUUUUUCGCUCCUCACAAACAAAUUUUUAUGGGCGAUAAACUUCUUGAUAAAAAUCAAUUAAUUAAAUAAAAUAUCUGUAAGAUUAUAAUGUAAAAUUUUUUAUUAUGAGUCUUAAAAAAAGGCAGAUAAAUUUGUCAGAAUGUGUUUUGUUUAUUAUCAAUAGAUUGUUUUAGUAAUUAAAGAAAAAUUUAUAGAGAAUUUGAGAAAAAAAUUAUGUGUGAGUUUGAUAGUAGAGAAAAUAUAAGAGUUUUUUUUUUUUUAAGAGAGAAAAUACAAAAGUUUGAAGUGAGAUAAAAUAGAUAUCAAAUAUAUUAGAGUAUUUGUCCUUAAAUGUAAUUGCAACAAAAGAGGGGUUUCAAAAAGAUUUUGGAGGAGUGUCUCCAACUCCUCUAAAUAUUAUUGAUUGAUGCAUAUAUUUCACAGCAUAGAGUGGCUUACAUUGGAGCUUUUCUAAAAAAAUGAAAAUUUCAUUUAAUUAUUUAUUAUUCACGGAUAAGAAAUUAACUUCUUCUUCUUUUCUAACGCCACAGUCUGGUGAGCUUGCCUAGUGUGUUUUAGUUGGAUAAAAAUUUUGGCAAAUGCUUCUUGGCAAGGAAGCUUAAACAGUUUAACCUGAAUUUAACCUCGAAUGAACCCAAAUUAUCAAACCGAACCAAUCCAAAUUGUGAAUCUGAAUUUCAGUUUGAUUCGGUUUGGUUCGGGUUCGUAUUUUCAACCCGAACGGGUUCAAUGCUCCAAUUCGAUCGGGUUGUAACCCAAACCGAAACUCGCAAACCCGAACUGAAACUCAAUUUGCCCACCCCUAAUGAGAAGUACUCAGAUCGUAAAAGAAAGGUCUUGAUAAUAAUUUUACCUAAAAAUUUGUUUUUUAACUUAUAUUUUAUUUUUUUAUGCUGUAUUUUAGUUGUUGAAUAGGUUAUAUAUAGAAGUUCAGUUAAUUUUGUUUUGGAUGAAAAAUCAAUGAGUACUUAUGUGAUUAAUAAGUGAAAUUUUGUUUGCAUCAUGUAGUCAGCUAUAAUGCAUUGGAUGGCUUUUACUCAGCAUGGAAGAAAUGCUCUCCGGCAGAUAACUAAAGAGAGCUCUGAUCGCGUGUUGCAUCACCCAUUGCUAUUUUCUUGUCAAGGACUCAGAUACAGACGAUUGGAAGUGAUUCUAACAACAGUGAGUAAAUUGAUCUUUUGUUUUCCCUUUUCACCAAUUUGGAUCUCUUGACUAAUCAGCCUGUUUGAGUUUUAACUUGUGUAUUAAUGAUUGGUUUUAUAUUCAGAAAGUUGAUAAGCUUGGAAAGCUGGUGAAACUGUGAAGGUUGCUCCAGGGUAUUUCCGGAACCACUUGAUGCCCAAAUUGCUUGCUGUUCCAAAUAUCGAGAAGUUUGCUCAUCUCAUUAGAGAGCAGCGCAGGGUAUUUGUUUUUCAUGAUUCUUCUCGGUUGAACUAUUUUUAUUUGGGUUGAGAAUGGUUAAUUAUAGUGAUACAGAAAUUUGCUCAUUUUCUUUAGAUACUUUGUUUAGCCAGUUUGUCAAUUAAUUUGACUCAUGGCUUCAAAUUAUUGCUAAAUUCUCAGUUUGGAAAUAUUUGUGAUUUUUGAAGGGGCAUUACAAGUUAUUAAAGUAUGUUGUGCCUGUGACUUAUUUUCAUCAGAUUUUCCAGCCUGAGGAAGAGGAAGAGGAAGAGGUUAGAGUUAUCCGGAAGUCUGAGGAUAAUAUGAGUAGAGAGUUUGAGAAGGCAGCUAGGCGCCUAGAGAAUGCUCGACUGGUUUGUGGCCUAUCUUUUAAUUUCUUCAGAUUCGGGACAAAUUGUCUUGGAAUGAACUGAUGUGUUGCCUUUUCCUUUUUUUUAGCUUGAAUGAUCUAUUUGCUACAGUUAGGAGUGAACUUCGUAAUGAAUUUUAAAUUAUAAUGUUUGUUUCGAUUUACUUUUCUAUCUUAGCUCCAUGUGAUUAGUGGGAUGCUGAUCCUGCGAGUAUAAAAUGAAACUCCUUAAGUUAAAUUCCUUAGGUUGUGUUUACUUUUUGGAGUGGAAGUGAGGAGUAUGGAUUCCUUUUAUUCCAGUGUUUACUUCAACAAAUUGGUUCCGGAUUGGGAAUCCCACUCCAUGGGCCCCACCCAUUUUUGGAGUGAGACUCCCAUGGGAAGAGGUGGGAGUGGAUUCCAACUCUCACCUCUCCUUUUUCUAUCUUUUUUAUUUAAUUUAAUUUAAUUUAACUUAAUUUAAUAUUUGAUAAAAUAAAAUAAAUAAUAUCAUAUUUAUUUGAAUAAUAUUAUUAUAUUUAUUUUAAAAAUAAUAGUACUAUAUUUAUUUAAUAUUAAUAAUUAAUAAUAAUAAAUAGUUUAUUCUAAGAAAAUAUUAAUUUGUACUAAAUAAUAUUAUAUUAUUAUUUUAUAUAAUAAUAAAUUUAAUAUAAUUAUAUUAAAUAAAAUAAUGUUUCAUUUUAUAUUUACCCUUCUUUUUUACCCUCUUUUAUUAAAUUUACUAUAAUUAUAUUUAAUAAAUAUUUAAAUAAUAUUAUAUUUAUUUAAAUAAUAUUAUUAUAUUUAACUAAAUAAUAAUUUGGUUGAUUCUAAGUCUAAAUUACUUAAAAAUAAUAUUAUUAUAUUAAUACAGAACUAAUAAUACUACUUUUAUACCAUCUUUAUUUGAAAAUAUAUUAUUAUUAUAUUUAUUUAAAAAUAUUAGUAUUAUAUUUAUUUAAUAUUAAUAAUUAAUACUAAUAAAUAGUUUAUUCUAAGAAAAUAUUAAUUUCAUACUAUGUUAAUAGUAAAAUAUUUCAUUUAUAUUGCCCUUAUCAAUAAUUUUUAAUUUAUAUAAUUAAAAUUAAAAUUAAUAAAAAAUUGUGAUGUUAAUAAUUAAGAAUAUUAAUAAUUAUUAUAAAUUUACAAAUAUAAUAAAAUAAAUGUUUAUUCAUUAAAUAUAUAUUUUAUUAACUUUGUAAUUAAAAACUAUAAUUCUUUAAAUAAGGAUAAAAUUGUAAUUUGAAACUAUUUACUCCCAAUUCAAGACAAAGUAGACACAUAAAUUGAAUUCUGAUAUCUAUUCCAUGCUUUCAUUUCAGUGUAAGUAAACAACUUAUUCCCACUCCCACUCCACACUCCCAAUCCUAAGAUUCCCGCUUCAAUUCAAAAAGUAAACGCUACCUAAUACAUGUAAUCUUGCUUUCAGAUAUGGAUUAUCUUAUGGAUGUUGUAUUUUCAAGGUAUUGAGGAGAUUCCCCAAUAUUGAAAAAUUGCGUUCCCGUGCAUCAAAAGAUGAUCCCGUAGAAUUGCGUUCACGUGUGACAAAAGAGGAGCUUGUCGUUGAGGUAUGGAUUUUUAUAUUUCUUGGUUGUUUUUAUACUUGUUUCUCAUCAUAAUAGCAAAAGCAGUUUGUUCUGAGUGAUCUGUGUGGUCUGCUAUCAAUGACUGACGUUUCUAUCAUUUAGUACUAUUGACUAUGUGGGUAUAAAUAUUUUGUUUUUACCAUGUAAUUUCAUAUUCGACGCAUUUCUAAUACAUUGCAUAGCGUCCAUGAAUGGGAAUGAUAAAAUAAAUUUCAAGCGUGUUUCAAUAGACGAAGAAACUUGGUAUGAUUUAGAAGGAUUUACUGAUUAAAUAAUUUUCCAAUUUGUUUGCCUGGAGGAAUUGAAUAGUUAACUGAUUAAAGGAUUGCAAGGUGGUUAGGUCCAGCCGAGCAUUGUAAAUAUUAACGGUCAUUAUGAAUGUGUAAUUCCUAUAUGUGAAAUUGAAUUUCCAUGGUAAAUUUCUGCUAGGGUGUGAUGGUAUGGUAGCCAAUUGUGAGCAACAGAUCCACAUAGUAAUAUAGACUGAAAUUUUGCGUCUUAAUCCAUGAAGAUAUAGAUUUUGGCAAAUAUUAUACAAGCACUGGGGGUUACCUUAAAUAUUCUGGACUUGUCAUUGAUAGAGUUUCUUUUACCUAGUUAUUGAUAUUUCUUUCAAUUUUCUAUUUUACUGAUACCAUUUAUACAAUUUUAGGUGGCAAGUCAACUUUCGAUAUCUAUUGAGCCUGCAAACCUGCAUCUACCAUCACCUCUAUCUGCUUUUGGGGAAUAUGAGGUUCCUAUGCGCUUACCCAAAGCCAUCCCCCUACCGGAAGGAAAGAUCCAGUGGAUUCUCAAUGUUAAAGUCCGCGGCAAAUAAAUAAUCGUUUCAUUUAUUUUGUUUUGCUUGGUUCUGGAUCCAAAUUCAAUUGUAGAACACUUUUUGGUUUUUCUUCAUAACAUUCUGAAGAUAAUACAGGCAACAUUGUUUGCAGUGCCACAGCUAAUUUGCAGUAGCAUGAAACAAUCAGAAUUUUGCCUUUUUUGUGUAUAAAAUUUUAUUUUUUUAAUUGUGAUGUUACAGUUUUUCCCAUCAAGCAUUAUGAAGCUUAAUAUUUGGAUAAACAUUAGGUUUAACCUAUAUAUUUUAACUUUAGUGAGUAUUUAGUUUUUAUAUUUUGAAAAAUAUCUUAAGACAGCCCUAUUAUCAAAUAUUGGUUUGAUCCGUAUAUUUUAACUUCAGUGCUUAUUUCAUUUUUAUAUUUUGAAAAAUAUGUCAAGGCAAUCUUAUUAUCAAAUAUGUUAUAUUCUUGCUUUUAUAUUUCUUUAUUUUUAUAAUAAUACUAUGAUAACAAUUUUUUUUACAUUAAAUUUUUAAUCAAUAAAAAAAGGUAACUAGAAAAUUAACCGAUAAAUUAAUUUGUUAAUAUUUUUUAUGAUAAUUUUUUAAUCAAUAAAAAAGGUAAUUAAAAAUGUAAUUAAUAAAUUAAUUAUUAGCAAAUUAAAAAAUAAAUUUACCAUAAAACAAUUGAUAUUUUUCAUUCUCUUAAAACAAUCUUACUAAUUAUUAUUUAUAAAUUAAUUAAUACAAGUUAAUUUAAAGUAAUGUUUAAUAUUCUUGCAACUACCUUACUAAUAAUUUUUUUGUAAAAAAUUAAAUUAUUAAAUUAAUCCUAAAGGUAAAAUAAUAAUAAUUAAUUUGUAUUUUACUUUUAAAGUUAAUUUGAUAAAUUCAAAUUUUUUUAAUUAAUAUCUCCAAAAAUAUAGUUGCAAAUAUAUUAUUAAAAAAUUAAAAAAAAAAAGUAAAUAUAGGAUUAUAAUAGAACUGCCAGUAAAAAUAAUUUGAGAUAUUUUUUAAGAACUAAAAACUAAAUAAACAUUCAUCUUCUAACAUUUCAACCUACUGGCUAAUGGUCAUACAAUCGUGGUGUGGCCCGGGAUGCCCGGCCCAGCCCAUUGUGUAAAAUGCCAUGUCACCCAUACAAUCGCGGUCAUUCAACAGUUUUCUCCUUCACAGCGACAGCUGCAAUGUCUUCAACUUCCAAAAAGGUAUAUAUAUUUUUUUAAAUUUUAACUUUUGUUUAGUUUCUUUCUGUUGCCUUUUUGUUUCGUUUUUUGAAUUUUCUGUGUCGUUUUUCCCCCCCAAGGUUUUGGUGCCUGUUGCGAACGGGAGUGAGCCGAUUGAGGCCGUGAUAACGAUCGAUGUUUUGAGAAGGUCUGGAGCUGACGUCACGGUUGCGUCUGUGGAGAAACAGCUUCGUGUCGACGCGUGUCAUGGUGUCAAGAUUGUCGCUGAUUCUCUCGUGUCUGACUGCCGCGACGCCGUUUUUGAUCUUAUAGCUCUUCCCGUAUGUAUUGCAGCUCACCUCAGCGCAUGCCAAUUUAUGUGAUUUUUGUAUAAUUAUAGAUGAUUACUGCUGAUACUGAAUGUUAAGCUAAAUAAUUCGUUGUUAAGUCAUCUUCAUUUAAUUUUCGAUUGAAAAUGAAAAAAAUAGUAAUUUUAAGCAAAGAAAAAUGUAGAAAAUGUUUAUUUUGUUUUAUUUUUAUUUUUUAAUUUUUUGGGAUUUCCUUAUUGUGGCUGUUAUCAUUCAUUAUAUGGUCCUAGUUAAAUGUUUCAAGUUGUUGUAGUCAGUGAAAUUCUUUUCGAUAUUUAUUCUGGCAUGUAUAUUUUUCCUUUUCAAUUUCUUUUGUUGCUGAUUCUUUGAUUAUGUUAUAUCCUUUUUGUUUCCCUUGUAGGGUGGCAUGCCCGGUGCUACCAAUCUGAAAGAAUCUGAAGUAUUAGAAAGCAUUGUGAAGAAGCAGGCUUCAGAUGGGCAUCUUAAUGCUGCUAUCUGUGCUUCACCUGCUGUGGUGUUAGGGUCUUGGGGUCUGUUGAAGGGAUUGAAGGUAAGAAUUACAUAAACCUUUUUGAUGUUUUGUGGUCUUUUGGGAAUUGCACUGAUAUUUUUGUUAUAGUUCAGUUUUCUUCUCGCUGAUGAUUGUUAAGUUCUAAUUUAUGUAGUUGUUCAUUUUUCGUAGGCUACUUGUUAUCCGUCAUUUCUGGAGCAAUUAGCUCCUGCUUGUGCAGCAAACUGUUGAAUCAAGAGUACAGCAGGAUGGUAAAGUUGUUACGAGUCGUGGACCGGGCACUACCAUGGAGUUUGCCGUUGCACUUGUUGAGCAGUUGUAUGGGAAAGAGAAAGCUGAUGAAGUUUCUGGGCCACUGGUAUUAACUUUUAUAGACAACGUUGUUUAAAAAAAUUAUGAGUUAUAUAAUUUGUGGAAGCUUCAGAUGCUAAUGAAUCCUGAAAUAUGCAUUUGUUGAGCUUCAAUGUCUCCAUUGAUAAAAUUCUUUUUAAUGUAAGUUCUUUCUCUUGGUAUUUGUAUUUGAAUUUUCUGUUCCUCAUGCUUUCGUCUUUACUGUCACCUUGUGCCUAGGUAAUGCGUGCAAAUCAUGGAGAUGAAUACACUAUUGCUGAGUUCAAUCCAAUUCAGUGGACAUUUGACAAUUCUCCUCAGGUGAGAUUGGACUGUUAGUUUCUUUUAUUUGUUUUUCUUCUUCCAUGUUUUGAGGGAUACCCAUUUGGCAGUAAAUAAAAAUCUGUGAUAACUUCUAUACAUGUACAUAUACAUCAUUGACUUCACUCAUUUGUGAACAUAUUGGAGGUGGUAGAUUUAUUGUUAUGAUAUGUCUAAUAAAAUCCAAAGUUCAAUGCAACUACAAAAGAAGUAUGAGCAGUGCUCGACCAGAGAGGAAAAAGAAGGUUUUUUUCUUUUUUUUUUGGGGGGGGUGGGGUUGGUUGGGUGGCAAAGGGAAUGAUAGGGUUGAAAGUUCAGGGUAUCGACAAGCUGUAAAAUGGCUAUUGACAAACUGAUAUUUCACAUUAGAGAAUGUGAGGUCCUGAAGAUUGCUGACUUGUGGUCAAAAUGGAAUUCUUGAUAACUUUAAAUGUUAAAAAUUCUUGGUGAAAAUUUUGUACUUUUUUUAAUUUCAGAUUCUUGUGCCUAUUGCGAAUGGUUCAGAGGAGAUGGAAGCUGUUAUAAUAAUUGAUAUUCUGCGCAAAUGUUGUGGUUGCGUCAGUUGAGGAUAAACUAGAAAUUCUGGCUUCUCGUCAAGUUAAAUUAGUGGCAGAUAUGCUUAUUGAUGAGGCAGCUAAACUUUCGUAUGAUUUGAUUGUCUUGCCAGUAAGUGGGGUUGCUAACUCUUGCCUCAUAGUCUUUACCAAAUUAUUGACUUACUAACUACAAUCUAUCUAUGCACAGGGUGGACUUGGUGGUGCUCAAGCAUUUGCGAAGUCAGAAAAAUUGGUAAAUAUGCUAAAGAAGCAAAAGGAAUCAAAUAGACCUUACGGUGCUAUAUGUGCAUCCCCAGCACUAGUGUUGGAGCCCCAUGGCUUACUCAAGGUAUGACUAUUUCUGCUUAAAUAUUUACUCUUGAUUUGAAUCACCUAAUCUGAACUUGAUAAAACAUUGUGAUCCUGUGUGAUUUUAUGAACGUGGUCUUAUCUCAUGUAAGUCUGUAAUGAAUUUAUUGAAGUUUGCUGACAAAUUACAAACUCAAAAACUGCUGCUGCUUCAUUAGUUACAGUACCCAAGGAGUUAUGACAGACAUCCCAAACUUUUUACCCCAAAUUCCCUCUCAAAUGACAUGGUAGUUAUUAAGUGGUUGGCAAUUUUUUAUAAGAUAUAACUGAAUUAAUUAUAUUAUUUAAUCAACCAAUUGAUGAAUGUCACGCCAUUUGAGAUGAAUUUUUGGGAUGUGUAGCAAAACUUUAUGCUGAUUUGUUUUGGCUACAUUCAUGUAAAACCUUUUUCCCCAAAUCCCAAGAACUUCCCGCAAUAUCAUUCCUUUGUAUUUGUUUUCCCCUUUAGACAUGUUUAACUUUGGUUCAGGGUAAAAAAGCUACGGCUUUUCCUGCCAUGUGCAACAAGCUAUCAGAUCAAAGUGAAAUCGAAAACAGGGUUGUGGUUGAUGGUAACCUUAUCACCAGCAGAGGGCCUGGAACUUCCAUGGAGUUUGCACUGGCAAUUGUGGAGAAGUUUUUUGGCCGCAACAAAGCUCUUGAGCUUGCAAAGAUAUUGCUUCUCUCCUGCACCUAAAAUUUGUACCAGGACCUGACUACUAUCAAACUAGAGUAUUUAUUCCUGUAUUACUACUGCUUGUAGAGAGGCAAAAUGGAAACUUGAAUUCGUGUUUGAAUAUGGAUUCACUGUGCGGGUUUGUACAAGAGCUUGUUUAUAAAUAAAUGAGUUCAUAAAGAGUCAUUUUAAAUAUUUGGAAUAAACGUGAGUUGCUGUUUAGUUCUGUUUUCAAUGUUCACCGUUCAAUUGUGAUCCAGAGCAAUAUAACUACACUCACUGGGAAUUUUAAUUAUGAACCAAGAGCGAAGUUGAACCGAGAAUUUGAUACUUUAUAUAUUCCAGUUACCAUAUUUAAGAAAGAGUAUUGAAAAGAAAGACGCUAACAGAGAAUAUUGAAGUUAAACACAUACCAUAUCUAGUAUUAAGUCUGUAUGCCAAAGUUACAAAUUCGAAGAUCAUAUUUCUCAUUUCAAUUUAUGUUCUGCUCAAAACAAUGGCUCUUAUUCCACAAGCACAAACAAGAAAGAGUACGCACAAAGUUAACAGAGACACGCAGUGAAAAUUACGUUAUUUGGUUGCAGCAGCAUCAUCCAGGAACUUCACUUUAAUCUUCUUGAGCUUUGCUGCAGCGUCUGUCAUAUUUAUCCUCAUGUCGGGUGACUCCAUACAACAAUCCAAUGCCAAAUCCAUUAUGCUUAAUAUACAAUCCAUUUUGGCAGAAAAAGCUUGCUCUUCUCGCACCAAAUUUGCGUCAACAACUUCAGUCAAUCCGUGAGGUAAAGACUCCUUUACCCAUUUCCUUAAACUCAUUUCUCCUGUGAACAUUUCAUCUGUGGGCCUCUUUCUCGUGAAGGUUUCCAUCAAUAAAACACCAUAGCUGUAGACAUCACAUUUAGCUGAAACAAUUCCUUCUGAUCCAUACUCUGCAUUUUUUAAUUUUAAUUAUGAAACAAAUGAUAAAACAAAUAAUUUUUUGAUAAUUAAGGUAACCCAAACUUUGCUCGUGCUUGAAAAUAGAGCAAAAAUUUUAAUUACAAUUGAAACUUUACCUGGUGCCAUAUAACCAAUUGUAGCCAUUGUCAUGGUUUGUGUUACAGAAUCUUCUCCUUCACCUAGGAGUUUGGAAAUGCCAAAGUCGCUCACAUGUGCCGCCAUAUUUUCAUCCAAGAGAAUGUUGGUAGGCUUCAAAUCACAAUGAAUUAUAGGUGCCGACGAAUGACCAUGAUGGAGAUAUUCAAGAGCCGACCCCACAUCUAUCAUUAUGUUCAACCUCUCUAGGAUGUCUAAGAAAUAGUUGUGAGAAUAUAACCAUUUCUCGAGACUACCAUUCGGCAUGAACUCAAGUACUAAUGCUUUAAAAUCUGGAUUAGAACAACUGCUAAGGAUCUUUAUGAGAUUUCGAUGACGAACAUUCCGUAAAACUUCACAUUCAGAAUCAAAACUCCUAAAUGCUCUCUCUAGUUGCAGAUUGAAAAUCUUUAUUGCAACAUCAGUCCCGUCGGAAAUGGUUCCUUUAUAAACUGAUCCAAAACUACCUGUACCCAGCAAGUUACAUUCAUUAAAUUCAUCAGUUGCUCGUUGAAUGUCUAGAUACGAUGUUCUUCUCCAUGUUGCAAGUGGUAGGAAAUCUUCGUGAUCCAAAUGCUUUGUACUCCUAUUUCGGCAUCUUUUGUACAUAAUGAUGGUAAUCACUAAAAGUACAGAGCAUACUAUUGGAGGCAAAAUAUAUUUAAGGACAGUUAGAGCAACGUUCUUGGUGCUUUUGCUGUUAUCUGGCUUGCAAGGUGGGACUCGGAGUUUAGGUGGACCACAGAGUGCAUAAUUUCCGAAAAAUGAUUCAGCUGAGAAGUUUUUAAAAGACCCUUUGACAGGAAUUUCCCCUUCUAGUCUAUUAUGAGACACAUUAAAUUGUUUGAGCUGUGAAAGUGUCUCCAAUGACUUAGGAAUUUUUCCAGAGAGAUUGUUGCCGGAGAGAUCUAAGGAUUCUAAGCUUAUCAAACUGCCAACUGAUUCAGGGAUAGGUCCUUGAAAUUGAUUACGAGCCAAGGAUAGAGUUUCUAGAUCUUUGAGGGCACCAAUGGUUGAUGGAAUAUCACCUGAUAAUUGAUUCCUUGAUAAAUCUAAAACUGUCAGGACCUUUAACUUUUGUACAUUGGAAGGGAGAGAAUCAUUUAAUGAAUUUGACGACAAGUUUAUAUCUAAGAUGUACUCAAGGCUCCACAAGGAUGACGGUAUACUAGAAGUGAGCUUGUUGGAGCCUAAGUGGAGUUCUCUUAGAGAUGUCAGACUCACCAAGCAUGGUGGUAUAUGUCCAGAGAGCUUAUUUCCAGUUAACCUUAUUCCAAACAUCAGCUUCAAGUGGCAAAGAUCAUAAGGAAUGGAUCCUUCUAAAUUAUUAUUUCUCAGAGAUAAACCUUGUAGCCACUUAAGUCUUCCCAUCGUUGGUGAAAUAGUUCCAUUCAAGUCGUUGCUGUGGAGGCUCAAAAGUGUCAAGCCGCUUAAAUUGCCAAUUUCUUGAGGAAUGUUGCCCUUGAGUUUGCACUCGUAUGCAUAGAAUUUUUGAAGAGAAGCAGAGAAAUUCCCAAUUACUGGUGGAAGGAUGCCGCCUAAUGGAUUAGAACCGAAGGAUAAAAUUGUUAAAUUUCUGCAAUUAGUCAAAGAAGAGAGAAAACUCCAUUGAUCUGCUGAAGAUGAUUCUGUCGUCAAGUUAUUCAUCACUAGGCUGAGCAGGCUGAGGUGUCUCAAGUUUCCAAAUGUAUUUAGAAUAUGGCCCGAGAAUGAGUUGAAGCCCAAGUCUAGGGCAACGAGUUUAGUAGCAUUGGUAAUAGAGUGGGGAAUUAUCCCUGUAAGAUUAUUGGCCGCCAACAGUAAAGACUCUAUGUUCGGAAGCAAGUGGCCAACCGUUGACGGUAAGCGGCCUGAGAGUUGAUUGCCCUCUAGAGUAAGGAUUCUCAUGGUUGAAAUGUUGAAGAUCGUGGGUGGAACGAGGCCACUUAAAUUGUUCUCAGCAAAAACAAGAUACUGCAAAUUUUGUAGAUUGCCAAUCUCGGUUGGAAUUUGACCUGCCAUCAGGCCAACAUUGAGAAGUCAUUGAGCUUUUAACUUAAGGUGAAUUGAGUUCGACAAUGUUACCCCUCAAAAUGUAAAAUGAUCAAAUUAAAUUUAUUACACUAUAAUUUCGGCCAAUAAUGUUCUUUAAAAUAUUUCAUAGAUAAUUCUGCAAAAUAUGCAUGCAAAUGGAAAAAUAUGCUUCAAUUACAAGAGGAGGUGGAGCGUACCUCGAAGAUUGCUGAAGCUAAGAUCCAGAUACACGAGUUUACUCAAAUUUCCAAUCCUUGAAGGAAUAUUUCCACCAAUAGUAUUGAACUCUGCACGCAGCGUCUCUAGCCUUGAUAAGUUGAAGAGAGAAUUAGGGAUGGGACCUGUGAAACUGUUAUUAUAAAGUCUCAAUAUUCGGAGUUUAGAUAAGACACCAAUCCAUGAUGGAAAGCUUCCGCUCAAUUUAUUGUAAGCGAAACUCACGACUCUGAGUCGACGUAAUUGCCCCAAUUCUUUCGGCAGAUGGCCAUGAAAAUUGUUCUCACUAAUGUCAAGAGACACUAGAAAUGAGAGAUUUCCCAAGUGUAGUGGAAUGGUGCCUCCGAGACCCAUAUCUGAAAGAUUCAAGGCAGUGACUCUUUGAUGGCGUGAACCACAAGAGAUACCAGCCCAGCUACAUGUUGGAUAAGAUAUAGACCAAUUAUUUGCCAGGGCACUCCGAUAAUCAAAAACGUGGGCUUUGAAUGCCAGAAGAGCUGAUUGAUCUGUUGUUAAAUCGUUUAAAGUGGUCACAGCUAAGCUAGCAAUGAGAUACUGUAACACUAACACCGACAUAGGAACAAAGAAAAAUGAUAAGCGCAUAGUGGUCGUUUUUAGUAGUAGUUGCAAGGCGAGAUUGAUACAAGUUUUAAGUGAAGGAAAUUAGCAUAUACUUAUACAUGAGACAUGUGAAUUUGAAAAUAAGAGCAGAAAAAAUAUACAGGAGACUUGCAAAUUGUUAUAUUCUGUCAUUGAGCGAGCCGUCCAAGUAAACGCAUUUACACUUGAACCCUAAAUAAAGGCCUUAUGGCACUUUAAUUGCCAAGAGGAAGAAGAUGCUCAACGUUGCCAAAAGUGUUUUUCUUGAAGUCUCAUCUUCCGUAAUGUUUGUAAAAUCAAGGUUUUACCAUCUCUAAUUAAAUAUUUACUCUUGAUUUGGACCACAUAAUCUGAACUUGACAAAAGAUUAUAAUCUUAUGUGAUUUUAUGAAUGUGGUCUUAUCUCUUAUAAGUCAACAAUGAAUUAAUUAAAGCUUGCUGACAAAUUACAAGCUCAAAAAUAUCUUUUACUUAUUCACAAUCUUAUUUCAUUUUUUAUAACAUAAUAUUAAAAAUUUGUCUAUUAAAUUAAUUUAAUAAUUUUUUAAUAAAAAAUCUCAUUGACGACCAAACAACUAAUUAUUUUUUUAUAAAAGCUCUACUUGUUAAAAUUAUGCUGAAAAAAACUCUACUUAAGUAAGUUCUAUUUGAAAAGUUAUACUAAGCAUAACCUUAUUUCUUAUUAGCUUAAUUGCUUCCACCACUCCUACAUUUUUUUAACCAUGUGGAUUCCUUCAAUCUCAUAAUCAAAGGUGCUUUAACCCAUAUUAUUUCUUUAUUUUUUAAAAUUAUUAUUGGAAAAGUGGCGUGGCUUAUCAAAAAAGGAAAAAAAAAGCCAAAGUGACGAGUGGCUCGUUUUUUAAUUUCAAAGUCAAUGCAAAGUAAAAGUACCGAAAUAAUCAGUUUUUAAAUCCAAAUAAGUGGCAAUAAAGAGAGGUCUUGUUAGGGGUGUUCGCGGAUCGAAUUUUAUGGAUUGGACAUCAAUCCAUAUCCGAUCCACGAUUUUACGGAUUAUAAAUUUUCAAUCCAAUUCAAUCCACGGAUUUGUAAAAUUUAAUCCAUAUCCAAUCCACCAUUUUGCGGAUUGGUUUGUGGACUAAAAAUUUUUAAUUCUAUCAAAUCCACGAACUAACUAAAUAAAAAAAUUUAAUAUAAAAAUAAUUUUACUAUGGAUCAAAUUUAAAAUUAAAUAAGAUUUAAAUAAAUAAAUUGCUUAAAUAAAGCUAGAAAAUACAUUUAAAGUUUCAAAAUAUGACACACCAAAAUGAAAAAAAUAUCAUUUGUUUAUCAAGGAAAUUAACUAUUUAGUAAACUAUAUUUGUUUAUUUAAUUAUUUUUUAUUUUAUAUUAUUAUCGGAUAUGAUAUAAUAUAAUGUUAAUGUAACUAUAUUUUAACUUAUUUAUUUACUAGUAAGUACUAAUAACAUAUUUACAAGUUUUAUUUUUAAUUAAAUAAAUAUUUUUUUUUUACGGAUUCGCGGAUUUACAGAAGUAGAUCUAUAUCCAAUCCACUGAUUGCGGAUUAUCAAAUUUUCAAUUCAAUCCAAUCCACCAAUCCAUGGAUCAAACGGAUUGAGCGGAUCGAAUUAAAUUAUGAACACCCUUAGGUUUUGGUGUCCAUUGUUGAAAACUUGGAAGUCUAUAUGACCAUUUAACCAAACUAAAGGGGUAUAACUGUCACAAAUUUUUAAAAAUAAAUUUUACCAAACAUUUAAAUGAUUUUUUUUCACAAUUGAUUAUUAAUUUCUAAGUGUUAGAUUAUUGUAAGAAUACAAAUAAUUGACAUGGACAUAAUAUUAAAUAAAAUUUACUUAUAUAUUUAUAUACAUGUAUAUAUAUAUAUAUAUAUAUAUAUAUAUAUAUAUAUAUAUAUAUAUUAUUGUUUGUAUAUAAAAAUUGCUAACUAAAAAAUAUUUAUAUUUUAUCAAUUUUAUUUCUUUUAUUGUUUAUCUCAAGAUAAAUGUAAUAAUAAUAAUCUCUCUAAAUUUAAUUAUUUUUACUCUUUAUUGAAUAAGGAUAAUUUUGAGUUUCUGUAAUAUAUGUGAGAAUAUAUAUAAAAUUAUAUUAAAUAUAAAACCAUUCUCAAAAUUAAAUUUUAAAAAACUAUUCCUUUCUCACUUUUCAUUAGGCAAAUGGCCACAGAAAUUGUUCUCCUUCAUAUCCAAAUAAACUAAAAACGAGAGAUUUCGUAAGUGUGGAGGGAUGAUGCCUUCGAAACCCAUCACUGAAAGAUUCAAGAUUGUGACUGUUAUGGUAUGAGCAUCACAACAUAUGCCAAUUCGACUGCAUAUUGAGUAAGACAUGGACCAAUUAUUCAAGAGAUUCAUGAGCCUUCGAAGUGAGAAAUAAAGCAAAUUAGGUGGUGGCGGGUCAAUUGACUACGUUUCGUGAUCUACGUGCGAUUGCAACAGUCGGUUCAUUAAGUGAAAUUAAUGACUCGUCCACUAUAGUAAGAUACUGUCCUCAUUAGGAUGGUUCUGGGUCAAUUUUAUCCAUGAGUCAACUUACAGUAAAUUGAAUUAAUUUCUAAGAGUAUCUCAUUUGCGUUGAUUACGGGUUGUGAUCGAUGACAUGCAUGAAAAGUAGUUAAUUUACAGCUUAUUCACUAUAUAUAUGGGGUCUAUGGGUGGAUUGAUCUAACGUAAAUUAAGGGCUGAUUGUUUCUAACAAGCAUAGUUACAUGUAAAUUAAGGGGAUGAUUGAAAGAAAGUCAAAUUAAACCAAAAAUUAAGGGCUGAUUGUUUCAAACGUAAAUUGAUUUAUCUUCUAACGACGACCCACGAAGACGACCUUGACUUACAUGUAAACACACAAUUCGCACUCAUACAUUAUGUUUUAAAAUUUCUCUAUUUUCCGGGGCCCCGCUGUCGACCGUACACAGUUUAAUUUGUAUAUACAAGACCUCAUUGUUUCUAACAAGCAUAGAGUCAUAGACCAUAUUAAUUCCAAUUACAUAAAUCUUCAUUUUUAUCAUGAUUUUGGAUCUCGAGCAGCGUGGAUAUAUCCAACCAGAUCCGCCUCACUGGCAUUCCAAUAUAUUUUAGAAUUGAGUAAUGAGAAUCAAUAAACGUGUAAUUGUAAAUCUAUAACUUUAAUUCUAAUUUGAGGACUCAAAUGAAUUAAUCCAGCAGUACCUCGUUAAAUUAAUAUUCCAUAAAUUUUUAACGUUAAUUAAAUAAUAAAUUUUGUCCGUCCCAACUUAAGAUUAACGUGGUAAUUAAUAAUUUGAUAAAUUAUUAGAUAAUAAUUUAAAAAAAAAUCUUUUUUUUAUUGGAUCCAACUGAUAUAUAAAUUAAUAAUUAAUUAAUUUUAAAACUAAAUUCAUGUUAUGUCAAUCAAAUGUUAUUGCAAAGAAGACUAGUAGUGACGCUUUGAAGGUACACCAAAGCCUUUUGCACCUUCUCCUCCGUGACCACCAAUAGAUACUUCCACCAUUUCAACGUCAUGACAAGAUGUAAGUUUCUUUUGUAGAAUUUGUGAAUUGGUGCUGGCAAAAGUUCAUGAUACAUGCGACUAGCCAACCCGUGUCGAGUCCGCUUGACUCUCAAAUUUUUGUCACUCUCACUCUGUUCAAAGGUAUGUGAAAGCUAAUUUUAAUGAAUUUUGAAUUGAGUGUUAGAUAUUUUGGGCUUAUCAAAACUUGAUUAUAUAUAUAUUUUUAAUGAGUUUUAGAUUCAGUGUUAGAUAUUUUGGGACUUUUCUUUAAGUAAUCUUUUACACGCAUACAUUUAUAUUAUUGUAUGGUUAUAGAUUCAAUUACUUUUAUGAUGCUUUGCUAAACUAGAAUUGAAAUAGAUGUGAAUGAUAUGGUUAAUUUUAUCACUUUCACUUUUUUUCAAAAACAUGAUAAAGCUAAUCUUCAAUGAAUUUUAGGGCUUAUUUUUAGGCGAAAACUACUUUGUAUCAUGGGUUUCGUACCCCACUCAUUUGUCAUUUACCAAAGUCACCAUCGGAUUUCAUCUUAUGGCUGAAAAAGAAACACAUAGAGAAAUAGGACUGAUUAAAGAAACAAGUAAUGGGCCGGUCACCUGGAUUGGUAAUUUUUUUUUUCGAUUUUCUGUGGGAGGGCAGAAACCACUGCACCGUACCUGGAUUGGCAAUUGAGCAUAGGGAAAAUAACAGAAGUAACGUAAAAAUUUAUGAAUUAUUGGCUACUUCCAGCAAAAAUCUAAGAAACCUGUAAUUUUUUAUCAAGCAAAUAAAUUAAUGGCAACAACAGCGGUUAAUCGAUGCGGCGACGACAAUGGCUACUUCUGGCAAUAGCGGUCUCUUUAAUUUGAGUUAGUUCGCUGAGUUUAUGUCCAAAUUCUUAAAUGGAUAAUCGAUUUAUUGUUUUAGUACUAAUUGUUGAUGAUUAUAGGUUAGAUCUUGUUGAGCGAUUAGUUUUUUAACAUUAGGCUUGAAUUGGGAAUGAGAAUUGAUAAAAUGCUUAUGGAAAUAAGUUUGUGUAGCCUCAAAGAAUACAAUUUGUGUUUAGCCUUAAUUUUGCUAUUAUUUUACUUGAAUGAAUAUCUAAGAAGGUUGCAACUGGUAUUGUCGCUAGAAUAUAGGCAAUGGUAUGGUGCUAUGGGUGAUUAUGAGCGAAAGGUUUUUGUUAGGCUAAUCUUAUAAGUGAAAACAUUGUUUUUUUCAAACAAAACCCAGAUUAAGAAGAUUCAAUACUUCAUCAUAGCUUUCAGAAAACAGCAUCAAGAAAAUAAUGCCGAGAACCAUCACCUAUAAACUUCAUCCGUCGAAAAGAUCGUAGAUGAUGUUACACGUACAAACCUUUUUUUUUUUUUUCGAUUUACAAGCGCUACGCCUUCAGUCGGUUACCCGUUUUCCAAAUGUUAAAUCUCAUCUGUUAGAUACCUUUCUUCACAAAUCUAACGGCUCAUUCGCUAUGAGACAAAAGAUUGAGGUACCAAACCCAUGACGUAAGAUAGCUGGAUCCUUAUUUUUAAGUAAUCUUUUACAAUGCAUGCAUGCAUUUAUGCAAUCAUAUGAUUAUAUAUUCAAUUACUUUUAAAGUAGAAAAAAUUACUCUCUUAAAAGUAAGAGCGGGGCAGGUAUUGCAAUUUGUAGCAGUUAAUUCUUGGAUGAAAUUUACUAAAGUAUAGUCUUGUAAAAGAACUAGUUUUCUUAAACUGUAAAUCUCGUUUAUGAUUGGGAGAUUUUGAUAAAAAUUAAUAUGAUAAUUUUGAGCCUGCAAUUUGUCAGCAAACUUUGAUUAAUUCAUUACUAACUUAUAAGAGAUAAGACCACAUUCAUAAAAUCACAUGAGUUCAUAAUCUUACGUCAACUUUAGAUUAUGUGGUCCAAAUCAAGAGUAAAUAUUUAAUCAGAGAUGGUAAAACCUUGAUUUUACAAACAUACCGAAGAUGAAACUUCAAGACAAACAUGAGACUUCCUAUGUAGAUUGUUUUCCCCAAAGACGUGUUUAACUUUAGUUUAGGGUAUCAAAGCUACAGCUUUUUCGGCCGUGUGCAGCUAGCGAAGAAAGUGAAAUUGCAAAGAAUACGAUCGAUUACUGAUACGAAAUUGUAAAAAUUGAUAAAUUUUAGAGAAAUAAAGCUCCUAAUAAUUAGAAUAUUAUUUAUAAGUCUUAAUAAAUAAAACUAGAAUUUGGUUCUUUUUGCACCAACUCUAAAUAUCGUGAAUUUAUUAAAAUAGGAAAAUCAAAACUAUUUUUUUGUAGUAAAAUUCUCUAGUCUAAAUAAGCAAAAUUAUGAUGUCUAAAAAAAUAAAAGUAAAAAUCCUGACAACAAUAAAGAAAAAGCAAAAUAACUUAAAAUUACAAAAUGAUCAAGAAAGAAACGGAACUUUUGCCUCAAACACCGGGUAGAACAGCUUUAACAAUUUUUCCAUCUUGGUUUGUCUUAUCACAAACUUCGAAAAGAUGUAUUAUAUGCUCCUAGAAAGUACCAUGCUCAUUCUAUGUAACUACCCUACAUCAAUUAUUGUCGGUUUGUGGUGUAUUAAGACUUUUCUGCGGACAGGCCGUCCAUGAAUAGAGUGAUAGAAAUGUUAUUGCAAAGAAACAGACUACAAACAUUCCAAAAGCAGUUUGUUGAAGAAUUUGAAGAAUAAAACACAAAUUUUAUUCAAGAAAACUUAAGAACAUUACAAGAACAAUUCACAUACUCUCACAAAUCACUCUUUGAAGCAAUGUUUUGCUUCUUAUUCUUUCUUCUUCUUACACUUGAUGCAUACAAAACAAAUGGUAUAGGUAUUUAUAGUGAAUGAAAUACAAACAUAACCAUAACAAUACAUAUCACUUAACAUGUUCCACCAAGCUUUCAUUAUAACACCAAACAUGUUCCAGUCACCCAACAUGCUCUAAAGGAAUCCUUUAAUGGCAUCCAAAGUGAAAAGGUAAUCUCUACUCAAUUAGAUGCUUCAUGGACAUCACAUUGUAGGACCAUGAUGAUGAAGCAUGAUGAAGAGCCAUGUGCAACUCAUCACCUCAUGCCACUUAAAUGAAUUAUUUGUGUAAAACAAGUUUAUUGUUUUCAACACAAUAGAGUAUAGAGUCCGUUUGACUCAUAAAAUUUUGUCACUUUCACUCUUUUCAAAAGCACAGGAAAGCUUAUCAAAAGGAACACCAAUCUUUAUAGAAUUUUGGAUGGACGAUCACUCUUUUCAAAAGGACCACCAAUCUUUAAUGAAUCUUGGAUUCAGUGUUGAUAUUUUGGGCUUAUCAAAGCUAGAGUCCAUUUGACUCAUAAAUUUUCGUCACUUCCACUCUUUUCAAAAGCAUGUUAAAGCUAACCUUCAGUGAAUUUUUAAUUCAGUGUGGAUAUUUUGCGCUUAAGUAAUCUGUGCAUUUAUAUAAUUAUACGGUUAUAGAUUCAAUUACUACUACUCUUGAAAGUGAAAGCAGGGCAGGCAUUGUAAUGCAGCUGCUAUUAGUAGCAAUUAAUUCUUGGAUGAAACUUACUAAGGGAUAGUCUUGUGAAAGAACUUAGUUUUCUUAAAUUGUAAAUGGUCCGGUUUAUGAUUUGGAGAUUUUGAUCAAAUCUGAAAGAAAGCUUGAAAAAUAUAUUGAAACUAUAAUGAAAUUUUAUGUUUGAUUCAUAUUACAAAUGUGGAUAUUGGGUUGAAGUUGCUAGCUUUGAAGAUAGUAUAGAAGAAGAUCAGAGUUUAUAUAAAUUGAGAUUCUUUUUUGCAGUUAGAUUUUUAUUUAACAAAUAUUGUUUGUGUUAUUGUUAAGAGGAAAAAUAUAAAUAAAUGAAUCUAUUAUUGUUAAGAGGAAAAAUAUAAAUAAAUGAAUCUAACUUUAUAAUGUUAUAGUUCCCAUGUGUCAUAAUCAUAUUAAAAGGUUUGGAAAAAUUAGAUUAGAAGAGGAUCCAAUCCCUCCUCGAAUACCACUAAUAGAGUUCGUUUCACUCAUAAAUUUUUGUCGCUUUCACUCUUUUCAAAAGUGCGUGAAAGCUAGAUCAUAGAAUUUUAGAUGGACGAUCACUCUUUUCCAAAGGACUACCAGUCUUUAAUGAAUUUUGGAUUCGGUGUUGAUAUUUUAGGCUUAUCAAAGUUAGACUAUAGAUGUUUUUUAAAGAAUUUUAAAUUCUAUGUCGAUAUCUUGAGCUUAUCUUCAACUAAUUUUUUAUCACUCGUGCAUCUAUGUCAUUGUACGGUUAUAGAUUACUUUUAAAGUAGAAAAAUUACUUCUCUUAAAAGUGAAAGCGGGGAAGGUACUGCAAUGCAGCCGCUAUUUGUAGUAGUUAAUUCUUGGAUGAAAUUUACUAAAGUAUAGUCUUGUGAAAGAAGUAGUUUUUCCUAAAUUGUAAAUGGUUCCGUUUAUGAUUGGGAGAUUUCGAUCAAAAUGAAUAUGAUAAAUUCUUUGCAAGUGUUUUCCCUUGAAGUCUCAUCUUUCAUAAAGUUUGUAAAAUCAGUUACCAUCUCUGAAUAAAUAUUUACUCUUGAUUUAGACCACCUAAUCUGAACUUAAUGAAAGAUUAUGAUUUUGUGUGAUUUUAUGAAUGCGGUCCUAUCUCAUGUAAGUCAGUAAUGAAUUAAUUAAAGUUAAAAGACAAAUUACUCAAAAGCUGCUGCUGCUUCAUUAUUCACAUUAUCCAAAUUCAGUGCAGAACUUACAUAAGUUUUCCAAAAAUUUUAUGCUUUAUUUUGGUUUCAUUCACGUGAAGGGUAAUUUUCAGUUUCAUUCCCUGAGGUUUGGAGUCCCUUCACUUAGAUAGAAUGUAUAAGGGUAUCUAUACUUUGCACCCCUACCGUUAGUGUAAAGUUUAGUUGACUGUUAAUUGACUGAGUAAAUGACUAAAAUACCCUUGCGUCAGUACACAAUAUUUUAAAUAUGCACCGGUCACUAGAUCAUUCAUAAAUUUGGCGCCAAAUUAUAUCAAGAUCUCAGUAAAAUCCAUGACAAAUAUAUUUAUCAUUUGUUGUAUCAGCACCCAAGGAAAAAAAAAAGAAUUCAUCUCUGCCAAUAUUACUGUUGAUUCAAACGGCUAUAUUGGCAGAGGUAAUGACUAUAAAUUCAUCUCAUCUCAAGAUAGUAUUAAGAACCAAUUUGGUGUGCAAUUUCAACACAACUCACUUUGGCAAUAUUUAGAAGCAAUUCUAUGUGCAUUUUCAGCACAAAGAACAGCUAAGAACACAGCUCGUUCAUAGCAGUUUGCAGUAGCAAUUUGAUGUUAAAUUUUAGCACAAAAGGAAGCUGAGGAGCACAGCUCAUUCUGGCAUUGCAUAUUUAGUCAACCUAACAACUCAAGCAUAAUUCAUUAACAAAACUUAACUGAGUCAGAUAUUCAGUAACAACACUAUCAUCUUCAAAAUUAGUACAAAAUUCAUUUUUGGAGCCAAAUUUAGCAUUAGUUUUACUUCAUUAAGUUUGUAGAAAAAAAACUCAAGCUCCCAAUUCGAUCUACAGACCAACAUUAUCAUGCUCAGUAAUCUGGACAAUUAAUAAUUACUAAAAAAAAGAACAUCAGGUGCAGACUUUAUUAGUAUAAAUAAAUACAUGCAUUUUCCAUAUUAUUGCUCUAAAUCUUGCCUGAAAUAUCAAUCUUCAACAAGAUGUUAAGUUGUUAACCAACCUAGCAACUAUUUACUCAAUGAACAUUCACAAUUUAGAGAACAAAACAUAUAACCCAAAUAAAAUUAAUCAUGCCAAGUUCUUAAUCCUAGCAGCAGUCAGCCUCCAAAAUUAGUAUCCAACGAAGAAAUAACCAACUAAAACAACAAUUUUUAUCAUCGAUUUUCAUGAUUUGAAAGAAAAAAAAAACACAUGCACCAACUCAACGAACCCACAUCAACAUUAUUGUUCAACUCAGCUCUUUACUUUUAGCUCAUCCCAACACUAUAAAAAGGAGAAAAAAAAUACAACAAACAAGGGAAGUUUUAGUUACCUGGCAUGCGGCACCGUUACAAGUGGGUGGAUUCUUCGUUGUCGCCAGUAUUCGCUCACGGCCCUUGAAUCAGUUUGAACUCUUGCAUAAGUUCCCGUCAAACUUGGUUCUGAUUGCUUUCCCGACAUAUUUUUCGUCACAACAAAGAAUUCGCUUAAUACAUUUCUUAGGAGUAGUAAUGGUGAUAUGAAUUUGCUUUUUCUAUUUGUGAAGUUUUUUUUUAAUACUGUUAUACAAGACUGUAGGUAUUACAAUUAAUAUUUACAAACAGAUUCUAUAAUUGGGACCUUCGUCGUGGCAUGUACUCCUCUGAAGCGCUGCCCAAAUUCUUCAAACCCUCUCAAAUAUUCGAGGGCUGUCCACUCUACUCACAUUUCGUGAGGAAUAGACUGGCUCCACUCAAUUAUUUGAUAAUUGAGGAAGGAUUGUAAAUAAGCCCCAUAAAUGCUUUUAUGGAGGCUCGAACUCUUGCACUCAUUAUUCUAAGUGUAAGGGCUCUCCCACUGGACCAAAGGCCUAUUGGUCUAUUUGUGAAGUUAAAAAUUAAACAAAUCAUUGUUUUCAAUUUGGUGUAAAACCCGUUGAACAUUAACAUGCUUAUGUUAUUACCUAGCAAAUAUUGAUUCUUUUAGAUUUUGGUGUAAGGAAAAUGCUUAACAUCAAGAAUGAUGAGAGAAUGCCGAGAGAAACAACAGCACAAGCUGUCGUUUUAGUUUCUCUCUCUUACCGUUUUAAUAAUUUUUUAUUCUUAAAAAUAUAUUAAAAAAAGGAUAGAAGAUAGCCCAUCACGUGCAUCACUCUCUCACCAUUAUGAGCAUUUUCCUUUACAUCUUUAAAAUGUUUAAGAGAAAAGUAAAAGUAAAAACAUAGGCCUAAGAUUUUGGCUUCCCAUUUUCUAGUGUUUUUUUUUUCAACAAUAAAAAAAAUAGCAAUAUUUAAAUGAAAACAAUAUAUAUGCUCCUAUGAUAUUAAUGACCUUUCUCCAAUUAAAUUCUUUGAAGAACAACUGAAUCGAAUCCCAAUACUAGUUAAAUAGCUUGGACUGGAACCAUACUCUAAAUCUUGAAAGUACGUGAGCUGCUAGGGCUGAGAACCCCCUUGGCUCUUUUUCAGGAGGUUUGAUAGAUGAUCACGACGGAAAAAAAAAAUUGUUCAAGAGUCGUGCACCACUCUCUUUCUCAACAGAAUGCUAAUUUUUUAUUGUUAAAAAUAUUAAAAAAAGGAGAAAAUGAAAGAAUCUGGAGAGAGUUAGGCUGAAGAUAGUGAGGCCGAAGAGACUGAGGAAGCUUGAUGGGGAGCCGCAGAGAGUGAGGAAGCCAGAGAGAGGAUGAAAGUCAAGAGAGUGAGAGAGAGAAAGAGAGUGAUGGAGUGAUGGAGAUUUGGUAGAUGUGGGUUGUCUGCUAUCAUUUUCUCCGCUUUUUUAAUUUUUAAUAAUAAAAAAUUAUUAGAAUGGCGAGAGAGUGAGAAGUCGAAACGGCAGCACAAAGAUGUUGUUUCUCUCGGCAUUCUCUCGCCCUUCUUGAUGUUUAGCACAACUCUUGGUGUAAAACCCAUGUAACACUAACAUGCUUCUAUUAUUACCCAUCGAACAAAACAAUGUUUAUGACAUAUUCCACUUUCCAAAGUGAAAAAAUUCAAAACGUUUUUAAAUAUUUAAUCAAUUUAACGUACAAAUACUUAAAUGCCCUUACAUACUGAAUAUAUAUUAAACUUUAUACUAACGGUAGGGGUGCAAAGUGAAAAUACCCUUAUACAUUCUAUCUAAGUGAAGAAUCCCCAAACCUCAGGGGAUGAAACUGAAAAUUACCCUUCAUGUAAAUUUUUUCCACCCAAAUCCCAAGUACUUCCUGCAAUAUCAUUCCUGUGUAGAUGUUUUCCCCUAAGACAUGUUUAACAUUGGUUCAGGGUAAACAAAGCUACAGCCUUUCUUGCAAUGCGCAACAAGUUACUAAAUCAGAGUAUUUAUUUCUGUAUUACUACUGCUAGUAAGAGAGGCGAAAUGGAAAUAUGAACUCAACUUUGUACAAAGUUUGUUAAUAAAUAAAUGAGUUGAUAAAGGGACAUUUUAAAUAUUUACAACAAAUGGAGAAUGAUAUCUAGUUCUAUAUUCAAUGUUUAGAGUCCAAUUGUGAUCGAUAGUGAUAUAAUUACCCCCAUUAGAAAUUUUAAUUAUGAAGUUGCAGUAAAAAUUUAUUAUAAUAUGUUGCACCUUUCUAUACAAUCAUCUGGAGUAAUAACAUAUCAAAAAAAUAAUAACUCGACUUACAGGGUAAGACAGAAAAGAAAGACGCUAAAAGAGAAGCAGAGAUUCAAAGACUUGACCACUUUGUUGGAGGGACAAUUACGUAAAUCUCCAGAAUACUGAAAUAAAGCACUUGCAAUAUCUAGCAUUACGUGUGUAUAUAUAUGUAUAUGUCCAAAGACAAAAAUUCGAAGAUUAGAUCUCUCAUUUCAUUUUAUGCUCAAAGCAAUGGCUUUUGUUCCACAAGCACAAACAAGGAAGAGUACGCACAAAGUUAACAAACACACAUAGCAAAUAUGACAUUAACAAGUUGCAGCAUCAUCAUCCAGAAACUUCACUCUAAUCGUCUUGAGCUUUGCAGCGGCAUCUUUCACAGAUACCCUCUGUUCUUGUGACUUCAUGCAACAAUCAAACGCCAAAUGCAUGAUGCUUAAUAAACAAUUCAUUUUGGCGGAAAAAGCUUGCUCUUCUCUUACUAAUUUGCAUCAACAGCAUCCGUCAGUGCCUGAGGUAACGAGUCCUUUAUCUAGUCUCCGAAACUUAUUUCUCCAGUAAACAUUUCAUCAGUGGGCGUCUUUCUCGUGAAAGUUUCCAUCAGUAAAACACAAUAACUAUAGAUGUCACAUUUGGCCGAAAUUAUUCCUUCUGAUCCGUACUCUGCAAUUUUUGGUUUCAAUAUAUCAAAUAUGAGAUUAUGAAACAAAUGAUAAACAAAUAAUCUUUUGAUAACCAAGGUGACCCAAACUUUCCCUGUGCUUGGAAAAAGAGCAAAAAUUUGAUACUAUAAUUGAAACCUUACCUGGUGCCAUAUAACCAAUUGUAGCCAUUGUCAUUAUGAAUCUAGAAGAAUCUUAUUUGUUAAUGAAUGAUUCCAGAAUGCACAACUGAGCUUGCAUUGCUCGAUUUAUACUGAUUACAAAACUGAUGAUACAGACAUUUCAUUUCAUAACUAACUACUAACAAAUAUUGCCCUAAGCCUAUUACAAUGUGCCAUCUGUUAAUUCUUCCAACAGUACUAGAAUCUUCACAUAACGACUUGGACACAUCAGCAUAAAGUCUAUUUGUGGAAUGUUCUAUGCUGAAUUUGUGCUAUCAAACGUUGAUGGAGAAACACAAUUUUCUUCUUAGAAAAAAUUAUUAUCUAAAGAUUCACACAUGUUAGAAGAGAUUCGAACAAAGGUUUAUUAGUUCGUGGGAAAAACAAUGUUAAUGAAACGAGGUCUUGGUCUCAUAGAGAUAGAGAAAAACAAUUUGUGCAUUCUCUUUACUCGUGGGAUCUAGUUUCCUUAAUUUUGUCCUCAUUCUUUAUUUUUUUUAUAUGCUGAGGAUACACAAAAACAAUGUAGGCUGAGUUUGAUUGUGAAUAAUCUCUUGUGGAAGGAAAUGACUGUUAAGGAUUAGUUAGAAUAAAACUAUAUUCGGAGGGAGAUGGGGUACUUGGUGGGAUGAAUAGUUUGAUUCUGGGGAAAAUAAAAGACAUAACAUUGAUAGAGGACUAUCAGAUUUCUCCGUCCCAUCUACGCUGAGAUCAAAACAAUUGGCUCCUAUUCCGCAAGCACAAACAAGACAGAGCAGCAAAGUCAGCAACAUUCGGAACGAGUACAAACAGAGGUGGAGGACAUGUCACUCUGCGUUUGCAAUGUCUCCGACGUGUCGUUCUCUAUUAAACGACGUCGAAUAAUAUCAGUGUACGACAAGUGACUAACGGCGGUUAUGGCCGUUAAAUGAGCACGUGAUGGCACGUGAGCAACUAAAUUAUAUUAGCUCAGAAACGUCAAGCUUAGGACCUUUUGAUCAUUACUCAAGUUGCACGCGUGGAGCGCGUGUAAGAAGCAGUUACGGGCCGUUUCUUUUGGCGGGAAAAAAUCUGGGAAACUUGCCCAACAGGCAGAAACAACGGUUAUAUAAAUGCUGAUUAACAACUAUUAUUUUCAGAGGUUGUUAAGAGAGCUCAAAGAGAGUUAGAGAGAGAAAGUCAUCUUGAUUUGUUCUCUAUAAUGCCCUUGAGGCUCUUGUAACCUUGUUCUCUUGAGAUUAGUGAAGCCAUUAACUUGAUCUUGAUCUACUCUAGAUGUAGUCACCUCUGGUGCUGAACUACUAUAAAUAUUUGUAUUCUUUGUUUACUGAUCUAUUAAUUGUUAAUUUCCUUUUCAAAUCAGUGUUUGUGAAUCUUGAGUAUUUCUUGUCCAACAUUGUGGUCUUGGGGUGUUAAUUUGGGAUCGAAUCGCAACACCCAUAAACAUAUCAUCUGUGGGCUUCUUUCUUUCCACCAAUAAAACGCCAUAGCGAUAGACAUCCCCAUCUGGAAGGAAUAAUUCCCUCAAUUCCGUAGUCUGCAUUUUUAUCUUCUUUUAAAUUUCAACAUAUCAAAAAGAGGUCUCUUUAUGAAAUAAAUUGUAAAUAAAUAGCGUUUGGAAUAAAUUUUGCUUGUGUUUAAAAAAAGGGGCAAAGUUCGAAAUAGACUUGAGACAUUACCUGAUGUCGUGUAAACAAUUGUGGCAAUUGUCAAUGUUGUCGCGGUAUCAUCUUAUUAAGUAUGAUUUUAUGAAUGUUGAGCAACCCAGUCUUAUCUCAUGUAAGUCAGUAAUGAAUUAAUUAAAAUUUGCUGACAAGUUACAAACUCAAGAACUGCUGCUGCUUCAUUACCCAAAUUCAGCUCAGAACAUAUCAUAAGUUUUCCAAAAUUUUUAUGCUUCUUUGUUUUGGCUUCAUUCAUGUAAUUUUCCCCCCCAAAUCCCAAGUACAUUCUGCAAUAUUGUUUGAUGUCAAAUGUGAAAGCACGUUUCUGUACAGAUACUUUCCCCUUAGACAUGUUUAACUUUGGUUCAGGGUAAGAAUGUGCAACAACCUGUCAGAGUGAAAUCGAAAGCAGGGUUGUGGUUGAUGGCAAUCGUAUCACCAACAGAAGGCCAGGAACUUCCAUAUAGUUUGCACUGGCAAUUGCGGAGAAGUAUUUUGGUCGCAACAAAGCACUGGAGCUUGCAAAGAUAAUGCUUUACACUCGUACCUAAACGAUUGUAACGAGAACUGGUCUACUAUUGAACUGGAGUAUUCAUUUCUAUAUUACUACUACUAGCAGAGAGGCGAAAUGGAAACUUGAAUUCAUGUUUGAAUAGGGAUUCUCUGUGUUGAUUUGCACAACAGUUUGUUUAUAAAUGAAUGAGUCCAUAUCUAGUAUUAAGUCUGUAUGUGUACAAAGUUACAAAUUCGAAGAUUGGAUUUCUAAUUUCAAUUUAUGUUCGGCUCAAAGUAAUGGCUUUAAUUCCACGAGCACAAGAAGGAAAGAGUACGCACAAAGUUAACUGGUUGCUGCAGCAUCGUCCAGGAACAUCACUUUAAUCUUCUUGAGCUUUGCUGCAGCGUCUGUCAUAUUUUUCCUCUUGUCGGGUGACUCCAUACAGCAAUCCAAUGCCAAAUCCAUAAUGCUUAAUAUACAAUCCAUUUUGGCAGAAAAAGCUCGCUCUUCUCGCACCAAAUUUGCGGCAACAACUUUAGUCAAUCCGUGAGGUAAUGACUCCUUUACCCAUCUCCUUAAACUCAUUUCUCCUGUGAACAUUUCAUCGGUGAGCCUCUUUCUUGUGAAAGUUUCCAUCAACAAAACACCAUAGCUGUAGAUAUCACAUUUAGCUGAAACAAUUCCUUCUGAUCCAUACUCUGCAUUUUUUAAUUUCAAUUAUUAAACAAAUGAUAAAACAAAUAAUUUUUUGAUAAUUAAGGUAACCCAAACUUUGCUCGUGCUUGAAAAAAGAGUAAAAAUUUUAAUUACAAUUGAAACUUUACCUGGUGCCAUAUAAUCAAUUGUAGCCAUUGUCAUGGUUUGUGUCACAAAAUCUUCUCCUUAACCUAAGAGUUUGGAAAUGCCGAAGUUGCUCACGCGUGCCACCAUAUUUUCAUCCAAGAGAAUGUUGGGAGGCUUCAAAUCAUAAUGAAUUAUAGGUGCCGACGAAUGACCAUGAUGGAGAUAUUCAAGAGCCGACCCCACAUCUAUUAUUAUAUUCAACCUCUCUAGAAUGUCUAAGAAAUAGUUGUGAGAAUACAACCACUUCUCGAGACUACCAAUCGGCAUGAACUCAAGUACCAAUGCUUUGAAAUCUGGAUUAGAACAACUGCUAAGGAUCUUUAUGAGAUUUCGAUGACGAACAUUCCGUAAAACUUCACAUUUAGAAUCAAAACUCCUAAAUGCUCUCUCUAGUUGCAAAUUGAAAAUCGUUAUCGCAACAUCAGUCUCGUCGGAAAUAGUUCCUUUAUAAACUGGUCCAAAACUAUUUGUACCAAGCAAGUUACAUUCAUUAAAUUCAUCAGUUGCUCGUUGAAUGUCUAGGUACUGUUUGGUAACGGAAAAAGGAGAAAAAAAUGGAGUGGAGGCAUUACUUUUAUCUCAUCCUUAACUUCUGAGGGUGGGGGAUCUCUUUCUCUCUUCUUCUCAUGGAAAAUUCUUUCUUUUACACUCUACUUUUCUGCAAAUUACUCAAAAGGUUUUUUAUUUUAAGGCAAUGUUUAUUAAGCCACAUGAGUGGUGGCACAAGUUUUUCCCAAAGGCCUAGAAACUACCUUGAGCGUCGGAGGGUUCAAAUGCGCCCAAGCACACAGCCCAAAGCCUCUGUGUGUACUCAGACGGGCCCCAAAGGCCUGUAUCUCAUUCAUAUCAUCUGUAAUAUUUGUCUCUCAAUAUCUGUCUGUAUCUCAUAUUUGUAUCUCUGUAAUCAUCAUACCGCAUGCAUAUGCCCCCAAAAGGCAAAAUCGCCCAAACACACGGCCCAAAGCCUCUUUGUGUGUUCAGACGGGCCCCAAAUACCUCUCAUCUCAUCUCAUCUGUAUCACUGUAUCUAGAGGGAAGGGUAUUGUCCAAUGAUUUUAAAAACAAUCUCUAUACUCAUAUUCAUGUAUAUUCUAAUCAUACUUUAAAUCAUACAUUUCUUUUCAUUAUCACAUCUAAAUCCACUUUUCUCAUCUUUAAAAUACUAUUGUAUUUCAUUCAAAGUCGACACAGAAAAUCAUUGACCAAACAUUUUAAUAUAAUAUCAAUGCGUGCAUAAAAUCUAUUUCGAGGAAAUCAUUAAAUCAGAACAUUUAAAAUACUUAUUUCACAAACAUGCUUUACUAUCAUAAUUAACUAUGAAAAUAGGUUUUGUAUAUUCCACUCACAGUGACGGUGUUCACGCUCGGUUAUCGUUCACGUCCGCGGACCGAUUCUCACUCGCGAAUCAUCCAAAAUCAAGGAAACGACAUAAUUAUUUUUCGUAAAUCGGAACUAAGACUAAAUUUAUGCAAUAAACUCGAAACGACCAUCUAUCCAUAAUUUACAACUCCUGUGUCGAUAAAAUUACUAAAAUACCCUCGAAUCCGUAAAUCGUUAAAAUACUCUAAAAUCGUAAAUCACCGAAUUACCCUCGGAAUUGUAAUUACACCCAAUCCUCAAUUCCAUGAAUUACUAAAAUAUCCACAAGCUCAAAAAAUUACAAAAUUACCCUCAAGAAUGUGAAAUUACCAAAUGCCCUUGCCAGUCAAUGGUCACCGGAAUUUGGUCAACGCUGGCCGGGAAGCACGGGUUAGACACUUUUGGCCAAGCUAAGUUCAAUGAUACCAGCGGUGAGCUCCAACGCGCGGCAACGAUGCUGGAAUCUAGCUCGGCAGCCGUGAAUUUCCAACAAUUGGAUGGCGGCGAAACAAUGACUCCCGGUGGCUAUGGAUGGUCGAAAAUGGAAGAGGGAGUCAUGGGGAACAAAAUCCAACCGGUGGUGUCACCCAAAAUCGGCGAAGCAAAGCGAAACAGUCGCGGGUUUUCAAGCUUUGGUCGCGGGCGUUCUGGUUGUUUUUCGGCGAUGUGAACGGCAGGGGUAUGAUGGCCGGUCUUCAAGCUUCAAAUUGGUACCAAGCUUGACCGGAACGGUGGCCGGAAAUGGAAGUUACGACUGGUCACGUUUGCGGGUCGGGUCGGGUUUUUGGGUCUGUAGUUGGUAGCUUCUCUCACUCACACGUGUGGCUUCCCUCUCCUGUUUUCCAGCUUAUUCUAUUAUUUAUUUUAGGGAAAAUAUCCACCGUCCACCCGUUUUUUACACCUUUUUCAAAAAUACACAAUUCUUUCAUUUUUUGGCUGGAAUCCACCUAAAGUUACAUUUUUUUUCACUUUUCCACUUCCGUUUGGAAUCCGUUAAGAAAACUAACGGAAACUUAAAAAAAUGACCAUUUAACCCCUAAAACGAAAAUUACAAUUUCACCUUAAAAAAUACCAAAAAUAAUAAGAUUUAAUGAUGAAUAUCAUUAUUGGUACUUUAAUGAAGUACAAAAAAAUCUUAACUACUAGAGAUUAUAACUCAAUUAAUAAUAAAAUUCUAGUUAUCUUAAAUUCAAUUGAUGAUUUGUGAGAUUGGGCUAUUUUUAAUACUACUGUUAUAAUUUAGCAUUCUAAUUACAGACAUAUUUAAAAAAAAACCUGCAUUUGAUGGUUGUGGAAUUAAUUUAUUUAUUAACCGAUGGGGAAAAUAAUUAGAUUUAAUCUAAUUAUUUUUUGUAAUUUUUAAGGUGAAAUUGUAAUUUUCGUUUUGGGGGUAAAAUAGUCAUUUUUUUAAGUUUCCGUUAGUUUUCUUAACGGAUUCCAAACGGAAGUGGAAAAGUGAAAAAAAAUGUAACUUUAGGUGGAUUCCAGACAAAAAAUAAAGGAAUUGUGUAUUUUUGAAAAAGGUGUAAAAAAUGGGUGGACGGUGGAUAUUUUCCCUUUAUUUUAACCUUUAACCGCCUCUUUUUAUUCAUUUAAUUCACAUAUGUUACAGUACUAUUGACUAUGUGUGUAUAGAUAUUUUGUUUUUACCAUGUAAUUUCAUAUUGGAUGCAUUUUUAAUUGUACAUUGCAUAGCGUCAUGAACGGGAAUGAUAAAAUAAAUUUCAAGCAUGUUUAAGUAGAUGAAAAAACUUUGUACGAUUUAGAAGGAUUUACUGAUUAAAUAAUUAUCCAAUUUGUUUGCCUGGAGGAAUUGAAUAGUUAAUUGAUUAGAGGACCAGCUGGGCAUUGUAAAUAUUAACGGUCAUUAUUAAACAAAUGAUAAAACAAAUAAUACUCUUAUAACAAUAUUUUUUACAUUAAUUUUUUAAUCAAUAAAAAAAGGUAACUAACAAAUUAACUGAUAAAUUAAUUUGUUAAUAGUUUUUGUUAAUUUUUUAAUCAAUAAAAAAGUUAAUUAAAAAAUUUACUUAUUAGCAAAUUAAAAAAUAAAUAUUAGCAUAAAAUAAUUGAUAUUUCAUUCUCUUACAACAAUCUUACUAAUUAUUAUUUAUAAAUUAAUUAAUACAAGUUAAUUUAAAAUAAUGUUUAAUAUUCUUGUAACAACCUUUCUAAUAAUUGUUUUAUAAAAAAAAUUAAUUUAUUAAAUUAAUCCUAAAAGUAAAAUAAUAAUAAUUAAUUUAUAUUUUAUUUUUAAGAUUAAUUUGAUAAAUCGUGGUGCCCGGCAGGUAAAAAGCCAUGUCACCCUCAUUCUUAAGCUGCUACAGCAUUACCACUCUGUCAGUUGCCACGAAGCUCCCCACAUCAUUACCGUAACGAUGCCUCUAGAAAACUAACUUAAAAAAAUGGUAUUAAUAAGCGUACGCCACGUCACUCCUCACUCUCUUCGUCACUUUCCUCUCACUCAACAUUUUCUCCCCAAACAAAUUCCUUCUUUGAAAAAUCGCAUUUUCUCCUUCACAGCAACAGCUACAAUGUCUUCAACUUCCAAAAAGGUAAUUUUUUUUUAAUUUUAUUUUUUGUUUUGUUUCUUUCUGUUGCCUUUUUGUUUCGUUUUUUGAAUUUUCUGUGUCGUUUUUUUAUCCAAGGUUUUGGUGCCUGUUGCGAACGGGAGUGAGCCGAUUGAGGCCGUGAUAACGAUCGAUGUUUUGAGAAUGUCUGGAGCUGACGUCAGGGUUGCGUCUGUGGAUAAACAGCUUCGUGUCGACGCGUGUCAUGGUGUCAAGAUUGUCGCUGAUGCUCUUGUGUCUGACUGCCGCGACGCCGUUUUUGAUCUUAUAGCUCUUCCCGUAUGUAUUGCAGCUCACCUCAGCUCAUGCUAAUUUAUGUGAUGUUUUUAUAAUUAUAGAUUAUUAUUGCUGAUACUGAAUGUUAAGCUAAAUAAUUUGUUGUUAAGUCAUCUUCAUUUAAUUUUCGAUUGAAAAUGAAAAAAAUAGUAAUUUUGAGCAAAGAAAAAUGUAGAAAAUGUUUAUUUUGUUUUAUUUUUAUUUUUAAAUUUUUGGGAUUUCCUUAUUGUGACUGUUAUCAUUCAUUAUAUGGUCCUAGUUAAAUGUUUCAAGUUGUUGUAGUCUGUGAAACUCUUUUCGAUAUUUAUUCUGGCAUGUACAUUUUUCCUUUCAAUUUAUUUCGUUGCUGAUAAUUGAAACUGGGAGAGGAGCUGAGCUUGCUUUCUUCUUGAGGUAGUGAACCACCAGCUCUUCAUCUUUUUUUAAAUGAUGGUUGGCUUUUUGGAUUGGUGGGAUUUGCAUAACAAAAGCAUGACAUCUGAUAGCGUAAAGCUUGUUCCCACCCCACACUUAUCCUUCUGAUAAUAUCUUUUUGUAACCUUGUGUGCUUUGUGGUGCCCACCACUGUCCCCACUGACGUGUCACCCUCUCAUUUCUUUCCGAAUUACACGUGUCGUCUUCUAAACGGCACCACGGGCCGUCAAAGCUCCCCUCACCUCCAUUUCACUCGUUCCUUAUGCUAAACACUGCAUGAAUUUGUCAAGCUUUGCAUGGGGAUACAACAUUUUUAAUUACUAAUUAACCCUUAUUUCCAUUACGUGUCGACACAACAUUGGUCAAUAAACAAAACAGACCUUUUACAUUAUCACACUAAAUUCCACCCUGCCACCACAUAUCCUAUAAGCCUUUUAAUUUAUUCUCUUUUCUCAUUUUAAAAGAAUGGCCAUGGCUCCUAUAUGCAAUCUUUGAACAAACCUCUAUUAAAAAAAAAAUAUCAAUAGAUUCUUCUAUUACUGAAGAUAUAUUUUGAUUAUAAAACCCUCACUAAGAUCUUGGGUUAAUUGCAGCUAGCUAGCAUUAAUAUAUAUGGAGAGUGCAGACUCAUCGACGGGCGGCUCACCUCAGCCGAACCUGCCCCCGGGGUUCCGGUUCCAUCCCACAGAUGAAGAGCUGGUGGUUCACUACCUCAAGAAGAAAGCAAGCUCAGCUCCUCUCCCAGUUUCAAUUAUUGCGGAAGUUAAUUUCCGAAAAAUGAUUCAGCUGAGAAGUUUUUAAAAGACCCCUUAACAGGAAUUUCCCCUUCUAGCCUAUUAUGAGACACAUUAAAUUGUUUGAAAUGUGAAAGUGUCUCCAAUGAGCUGGGAAUUUUUCCAGAGAGAUUGUUGCCGGAGAGAUCUAAGGAUUCUAAGCUUAUCAAACUGCCAACUGAUUCAGGAAUAGGUCCUUGAAAUUGAUUACUAGCCAAGGAUAGAGUUCCUAGAUCUACGAGGGCACCAAUGGUUGAUGGAAUAUCACCUGAUAAUUGAUUCCUUGAUAAAUCUAAAACUGUCAAGACCUUUAACUUUUGUACAUUGGAAAGGAGAGGACCAUUUAAUGAAUUUGACGACAAAUUUAUCUCUAAGAUGUACUCAAGGCUCCACAAGGAUGACGGUAUACUAGAAGUGAGCUUGUUGGAGCCUAAGCGUAGUUCUCUUAGAGAUGUCAAACUCGCCAAGCAUGGCGGUAUAUGUCCAGAGAGCUUAUUUCCAUUUAACCUUAUUCCGUACAUCAACUCCAAGUGGCAAAGAUCAUAGGGAAUGGAUCCUUCCAAAUUAUUUCCUUCAAGAGAUAAACCUUGUAGCCGCUUAAGUUUUCCCAUCGUUGGUGAAAUAGUUCCAUUCAAGUCGUUGCUGUGGAGGCUUAAGAGGAUCAGGCCACGCAACUUACCAAUUUCUUGAGGAAUGUUGCCCUUGAGUUUGCACUCGUAUGCAUAGAAUUUUUGAAGAGAAGCAGAGAAAUUCCCAAUUACUGGUGGAAGGAUGCCGCCUAAUGGAUUAGAACCGAAGGAUAAAAGUGUUAAAUUUCUGCAAUUAGUCAAAGAAGAGAGAAAACUCCAUUGAUCUGCUGAAGAUGAUUCUGUCGUCAAGUUAUUCAUCAUAAGGCUGAGCACGCUGAGGUGUCUCAAGUUGCCAAAUGUAUUUGGAAUAUGGCCCGAGAAUGAGUUUAAGCCCAAGUCUAGGCCAAUGAGUUUAGUAGCAUUGGUAAUAGAGUUGGGAAUUGUCCCCAUAAGAUUAUUGGCCGACAAGGCUAAAUACUCUAUGUUCGGAAGCGAGUGGUCAAUCGUUGACGGUAAGCGGCCUGAGAGUUGAUUGCCCCCCAGAGUAAGGAUUCUCAUGGUUGAAAUGUUGAAGAUCGUGGGUGGAAUGAGGCCACUUAAAUUAUUCUCACCAAGAACAAGAUGCUCCAAAUUUUGUAGAUUGCGAAUCUCGGUUGGAAUUUGACCUGCCAUCAGGCCAACAUUGAGGAGUCAUUGAGCUUUUAGCUUAAGGUAAAUUGAGUUUGACAAUGUUACCCUUCAAAAUGUAAAAGGAUCAAAUGAAAUUUAUUACAUAAUAAUUUCAGCCAAUAAUGUUCUUUAAAAUAUUUCAUAGAUAAUUCUGCAAAAUAUGCAUGCAAAUGGAAAAAUAUGCGUCAAUUAUAAGAGGUGGUGGAACGUACCUUGAAGAUUGCUGAAGCUAAGAUCCAGAUUCACGAGUUUACUCAAAUUUCCAAUCCUUGAAGGAAUAUUUCCACCAAUAAUAUUGAACCAUGAACGCAGCGUCUCUAGCCUUGAUAAGUUGAAGAGAGAAUUAGGGAUGGGACCUGUGAAACUGUUAUUAUCAAGAAUCAAUAUUUGGAGGUUAGAUAAGACACCAAUCCAUGAUGGAAAGCUUCCGCUCAAUUUAUUGUAAGCGAAACUCAUGACUCUGAGUCGACGUAAUUGCCCCAGUUCUUUCGGCAGAUGGCCAUGAAAAUUGUUCUCACUAAUGUCAAGAGACACUAGAAAUGAGAGAUUUCCCAAGUGUAGUGGAAUGGUGCCUCCGAGACCCAUAUCUGAAAGAUUCAAGGCAGUGACUCUUUGAUGGCGUGAACCACAAGAGAUACCAACCCAGCUACAUAUUGGAUAAGAUAUAGACCAAUUAUUUGUCAGGACACUUCGAUAAUCAACGACACGGGCUUUGAAUGCAAGAAGAGCCGAUUGAUCGGUUGUUAAGUUGCUCAAAGUCGUCAUAGCUAAGCUAGCUAUGGAAUAUUGUAACAACAACAUAGGAACAAAGAAGAAUGAUAAGCGCAUAUUGGUCUUUAUUUAUUUAUUUUUUUUAUAGAUGCAGCAAUCUAAUUGCUAAGUGAAGUUGACACAAGUUUUAAGUGAAGGAAAUUAGCAUAUACUUAUACAAGAGACGUAUGAAUUUGAAAACAAGAAAAUAAAAAAAAUGUACAGGAGAGUGGAGACUUGCAAAUUGUUAUAUUUUAUCAUUGAGCGAGUCGUCCGAGUAAACGCAUAUAGACUUGUAAAUUGUUAUACGCCGCUGUACUCGAACCGUGAAUAAAUGGGCUUAUGGCACUUUACUUACCAAAAAGAAGAAGACGCUCAGCAUUGGCAAGGCUUGUGCAUUCUGUCCAUUUGUUCACAUUAUGCCGAGGCUCAUGGCAACCGCAAUAUGUUCUUUUCCUUUCCUUUAAAAAUAAAAAAAGACGACCAUGACAUGUGGGUUAAUAAUUAUCACUAAACAAAUAAUAAUGCUGAAGGUCAGUGGUAAAUUGGUAAUACAGUUUUAAAAUAAUUGUUAUUAGUUGUGCUUUAAAAAUAAAAUAAAAAAAUAUAGUUAUACCACUAUAAUUUAAUGAAAUAAUCAUGUAAACUCCUGAACUUUUAAACUUUAAUAAUAGAUACCGAGGACCCCCUUCUGGGUACUUUUUUACCAUUUAUUUGGAUAUCAAAUGCUUUUUUUUUUCCCUUAAUUUUCACAGUGGAUUUGAAAUAACAAAUUUACUGCCAUUCCCAUAUCAUCUAAUAAAAUCACUUGCUUCUAUACAUAUUGAUUGUUUUUCCAAAGUUUUAAAUUGAAUUAAAAACAUUCUAAUUAACCUUAAAAAAAAUCAUCCAACCAGAUAUAAAUCUUCUAAUUAACCUAAAGAUAGCUACACCCCCAUAUUAAUUCCAGUUAAAUAAAUCUUCAUUUUUGUCAUGGUUUUGGAUCUCGAGCAAGGUGGAUAUAUCUAACCAGAUCUGCCUCAUUGGCAUUCCGAUAUAUUCUGGAAUUUGAAGGUUAUCAAUUAAUGUGUAAUUUUAAAUUUGUAACAUUUAAUUCUAAUUUGAGGAUUCAAAUAAAUUUAUGUGGAUCUAAAAAUGGACUGAAGAUUGGCAAUAUAACAUUCUUCUUGAUGAAGAUUUUUUUCCUAAUAAGAUCUCCAAUUUUAGACCGGCAAAACUUUGCCUUAUGAAUUAAAGAAAGCAUGAAAAAGGAUUGUUUGCAGGAAAGAAACAUAAAACACUGUAAUAUUUUAAAAAGACAUUAUAUAACCUCCAAAUUCUAUUAUCUUCAAAGAAUUUUAGGGCUUAUUUUUAAAUAAUCUUUUACCACACAUGCAUUUAUGCAAUCAUAUGAUUAUAGAUUCAAUUACUUUUAAAGUAGAAAAAAUUUACUUCUCUUAAAAGUAAAAGCGGGGCAGGCAUUGCAAUUUGCAGCAGUUAAUUCUUGGAUGAAAUUUACUAAAGUAUAGUCUUGUAAAAAAAAUUAGUUUUCUUAAAUUGUAAAUCUCGGUUAUGAUUGGGAGAUUUUGAUCAAAAUUAAUAUGAUAAAUUCGUUGCAAAUGUUUUUCUUGAAGUCUCAUCUUCCAUAAUGUUUGUAAAAUCAAGGUUUUACCAUCUCUGAUUAAAUAUUUACUCUUGAUUUCGACCACGUAAUCCGAACUUGACGAAAGAUUAUGAUCUUGUGUGAUUUUAUGAAUGUAGUCUUAUCUCUUAUAAUUCAGCAAUGAAUUAAUUAAAGCUUGCUAACAAAUUACAAGCUCAAAAAUAUCUUUUACUAAUUUACAAUCUUAUUUCAUUCUUUUUAUAAUAAAAAUUUAAAAAAAUUGUCUUUUAAAUUAAUUUAAUAUAAACACUCAUUGACAACCAAAUAACUAAUUAUUUUUUAUAAAAGCCCUAUUUGUUAAAAUUAUACUGAUAAAAACUCUACUUGAAUAAGUUAUAUUUGAAAAAUUAUAUCCAACAAAACCUUAUUUCUGAUUAUCUUAAUUACUUCCACAACUCCUACAUUUUUUAAACCAUGUGGAUUCCUUCAAUCUCAUAAUCAAAGGUGCUUUAAGCCAUUUUAUUUCUUAAUAUUUUUAAUUAUUAUUGGAAAAGUAGGGUAGCUUAUCAAAAAAGAAAAAGAAAAGCCAAAGUGACGAGUGGCUCUUUUUUAAUUUCAAAGUCAAUGCAAAGUAAAAGUAUCAAAAUACUCAUUUUUUUAAUCCAAAUAAAUCACAAUCAAGGAAGGUUUUGGUAUCCAUCAUUGAAAACUUAGGAGUCUGUAUGACUAUUUAACCAAACUAUAGGGGUAUAGCUGUCAAAAACUUUUAAAAAUAAAUUUUACCAAACAUUCAAAUGAUUUUUUUUUAUAGUUGAUUAUUAAAUUCUUAGUGUUGGAGCAUCUCUAAAAAAUUGUUCAAAUAAAAUUUGACUUUUUAUUUGAAGAGUCAUAUCAAUAUUAAACACUUCAAAAGACACGUUAAUUUAGAUUUUUCAAAUAAGAUUUGGUUCUCACUUUUCAACAUUGUCAAGUGAGUUUCUCCAUCUUCUAUUAAUAUUUUUUUAUUAUUUAUUGAAAAAUAAGUCUAAAAUAAUUAUUAUUUAUGUUUCCUUUCAAAAACAUAAUAGCAAUUCAAUUUGAUAAUGAGAAAGAUUUGAUUAAAAUAAUGUUAACUUAUUCUUAUUUGAUGAGUCUUUUGGAGGGUAUUGUAUUUUUCUAUACACUUAUUUGCCACAUUAGUAAGCAAAUUAAAAUGUGAAGAGUAAAAUUCGAAGAGCCUUUUGGAGAUACUCUUAGACUACUGUAAGAAUAUAAAUUAUUGAAAUGGACAUAAUAUUAAAUAAAAUUUACUUACAUAUUUACAAACAUGUAUAUAUAAUUUUUUUUAUUGUUUGUAUAUAAAAAUUGCUAACUAAAAAAUAUUUAUAUUUUUUCAAUUUUAUUUCUUUUAUUGUUUAUCUCAAGAUAAAUGUAAUAAUAAUAAUCUCUCUAAAUUUAAUUAUUUUUACUCUUUAUUGAAUAAGGAUAAUUUUGAGUUUCUGUAAUAUAUGUGAAGAUAUAUAUAAAAUUGUAUUAAAUAUAAAAUCAUUCUCAAAAUUAAAUUUUGAAAAACUAUUCCUUUCUCACUUUUCAUUAGGCAAAUGGCCACAGAAAUUGUUCUCCCUCAUAUCCAAAUAAACUAAAAACGAGAGAUUUCGUAAGUGUGGAGGGAUGAUGCCUUCGAAACCCAUCACUGAAAGACUCAAGUUUGUGACUCUAUGGUAUGAGCACCACAACAUAUGCCAAUUCGACUGCAUAUUGAGUAAGACAUGGACCAAUUAUUCAAGAGAUUCAUGAGCCUUCGAAGUAAGAAAUAAAGCAAAUUAUGCGGUGGUGGGUCAAUUGACUACGUUUCGUGAUCCACGUGCGAUUGCAACGGUCGGUUCAUUAAGUGAAAUUAAUGACUCGUCCUCUUUAGGUUGGUGCUGGGUCAAUUUUAUCCAAGAGUCAACUUACAGUAAUUUGAGUUAAUUUAUAAGAGUAACUCAUUUUCGUUGAUUACGAGUUGUGAUCGAUGACACGCACGAAAAUAGUCAACUCACAGUUCAUUCACUAUAUAUGGUCUAUGGGUGGAUGAGUCUAACGUAAAUUAAGGGCCGAUGAUGACCCUCGACUUCUAACGACGACCAACGAAGACGACCUUGACUACAUGUAAACACACAAUUCGCUCUCAUACAUUAUGUUUUAAAAUUUCUCCAUUUUCCGGGGCCCUGCGGUCAACCGUACACAGUUUAAUUUGUAUAUACAAGACCUCAUUGUUUCUAACAAGCAUAGAGCCAUAGACUGUUAAGCCAAGAGAUUGGUCAUGCGUGGGGCAUGCAAAGCUAUUAUUGUGGCAAGGACUUUGGGAUGUUAUUGAGUGCGGUUUGUUGACUACGUAUCCACUAGCUUGUUAGCUUAAAAUUAGGUUGAGUAGUGAUUAUUUUAUUUUGAAUAAUCUUUGGCGAUUUUGUUGUCAUUAACUACCGGUUAAUGUUCUAUUUUUUAGGGAUAUUAUCUAGGAAUUAGGAAUAGUUGUUAAUUUCUUUUGUAUUUAAAUUCUUUGAUAGUCAUUAAUUAAAGGAAGCUGAAUCCAAUUAAAAUUAUUGUGGUCUUUUUCUCACCCUAAGAGAAUACUAUCAUUACUAUAUAAUUUACGGCUUUGAUUGGGACCUAUCAUAGACCAUAUUAAUUCAAAUUACUUAAAUCUUCAUUAUUCUCAUGAUUUUGGAUCUCGAGCAGCGUGGAUAUAUCCAACCAGAUCCGUCUCACUAGCAUCCCAAUAUAUUUUAAAAUUGAGUAAUGAGUAUCAAUAAACGUGUAAUUGUAAAUCUAUAACUUUUAAUUUUAAUUUGAAGACUCAAAUGAAUUUAUCCAGCACUAACUCGUUAAAUUAAUAUUAUCAUAAAUUUUAACUUUAAUUAAAUAAUAAAUUUUGUCUGUCCCAAUUUAGGAUUAACGUGGUAAUUAAUAAUUUGAUAAGUUAUUAGAUAAUAAUUUUUUUAAAAAAAUCUUAUUUUUUUAUUGGAUCCAACUGAUAUAUAAACUAAUAAUUAAUUAAUUUUAAAACUAAACUCAUGUUAUGUCAAUCAAAUGUUAUUGCAAAGAAGACUAGCAGUGACGCUUUGAAAGGUACACCAAAGUCCAAAGCCUCUUGCACCUUCUCCUCCAUGACCACCAAUAGAUACUUCCACCAUUUCAACGUCAUGACAUGAUGUAAGUUUCUUUUGUGGAAUUUGUGAAUUGGUGCUGGCAGAAGUUAGUGAUACAUGUAACUAGCCAACCCUUGUCAAGUCCGCUUGACUAGGGGUGGGCACGGUUCGGUUCGGUUCGGUUCGGUUCGGAAUUAAGUAAAACCGAUUUAAAUCGGUUUUUUUAUAAAAAGAACCAAAUAAGAACCGAACUCAAUAAGAACCGAACUCAAACGGUUCUUUUCGGAUCGGUUCGGUUCGGUUCGGUUUUUUCGGUUCUGGGCCUAUUGGGCCUAUUUUGAAUUUUUAAAUUUUUAGCCCAUUGGGCCUCAUAAAUGUAAUUAUUUUUUUCAACAAUUAAUUUAUCCUAAUUUUAUUACAAAUAUUAACAAUAAAUACAAAGUAUUCAAAACACAUUUUAUCAUUAAAAUCUUACUAACUAUUAAUAAGAUACUCCCAAAAUAUGAAAUAUUAAAAUUUCAAAAUACAUAACCAAACUCCAAUAUUCCAUCUAUAUAAACAUAAUCAUAAUGUUAUAAAGAGAAAUAAAAAUAACAACAAUUAGUCAAUUACAACUUACAACACAAAAUUAAAAAAAAAUUACAAACAAACGCCAACAACAUUCUUCGAUCUUCAACAAUAUCAACAUCAACUUUAGGCAUUUUCCAACUCAAUAUUUGGAUCUAUUAAAAAAAAUAAACAAUAAAUAAUUAAAUAAACAAUCUAUAUAAAUAAGAUGCUAGUUUAAAAAAAAUAAAGAAAACUUACUGGUAAGCAACAUCACUCAACUGUUAUUUACUCCUCAGCUACUUGCUGUUGUUCUUGAGAUUGCAUUGGCCUAAAAAAUUCUUCAAGAAAUUGAAACAAUUAUAUUAAAAUAAUUAAUUCUAAUAUACAAAAUGUUAUAAGUGAAAUAAAAAAAAAACAUAAUAAAUUACAAUAUUACCUGUUUCAACUAAUUCAUAGAAUUCAGCUUCUUCCUGACUUGGUUGUAUUGUACACUCGCCUAAUAGAGUUGAGCGAAGCCAAUUUUGAGUGCAUAUUAAUGACUCGACUGUUUUAUGAGUUAAAGAACUCCUAAAAGGAUCAAGAAUGCGCCCUCCUGUGCUAAAUGCUGAUUCAGAAGCCACAGUAGACACCGGAAUUGCCAAAACAUCUUUGGCAAUUUGAGAUAAAAUCGGAUACCGAGGCCCAUUCAAUUUCCACCAAGUCAAAAUAUCAAACUGGGGAUUACUAGCACUCUCACAAGUCUCUGACAAGUACUUUUCAACAUCAUUUUUUCCACUAAUGUCAUCAUUUGAACUUUCUUUCAUCUUUUUAAAUUGUGUAAAAGGAUCAAAUGACUCAACACUACUACUAGCACCAUCAUGAACAGCCCUACAUCUCUCACCUCUAUUUCGAUUACUCUCACCACCAUAGUUUUCAAGAAGCUUCAACAACAACUCUUUAAUAUUAGCUCUCAAUUCAUCAACCUUUCUAAUAUCAUACAAGCUACUAAAACACCAUAUAACAAAGUCAAGUUUGCAGCGAGGAUCAAGCACAUUUGCCACAAUCAACAACAUGUUAACCUUUUCAAAAAAAUGACCCCAAUACUUGACAAAUUUUUCCUCCAUCUUGUAACCCAUUUGAUUUAACAAAAAAUCAUUAGAAUCAACAAGUGACUUCAAAUGAAUGUAAACUUUCCACAUUUCAUUCAAGAAAUUAUUGGAAGUGACUGUUAAAGAGCUGCUGAAUUUUAAAGUCACAUGAUAAAAAAUCGAAAGACACUUGACUAACCUCUUUGCAUUUUCCCAAUCCUUAUCAAUCGGUGGCCCCACCCUCCUUUUUUCACUCUCAUCCUCAUCAAACCAGUUUGUAUAAUGGCCAUCAUCUUCCUUUAGCCUCUCAAAUGCUUUCUCAAAUGCUACCGCUUUUUCUAACAUCAAAUAUGUUGAAUUCCACCGAGUCGGCACGUCUAACACCAUAAGCCCUCCACGUGAGAUUUUCUCCCUAUCAACACAUGUUUUGAACUUUUGUAAUCUUGCUGGAGAUGAUCUAACAUAUUUCACUGCAUUUCGGAUACUAGCUAUUGAUUGACUCACUUGUGACAACCCAUCUUGCACAAUUAAGUUGAUUAUAUGCGCCGAACACCUCACAUGCAUAUAUAAACCAUUCAAGACCAUCGAAUUUCCACUCCAAUUUGCCAACUUCUUCUUCACAUAAGCUAUUGCAAGUGUAUUAGCACUUGCAUUAUCCACUGUAAUUGUGAACAAUUUCUCAAUCCCCCAAUCAAUCAAACAAUUUUCAAUUAACUUCCCAAUUCCAUCUCCUUUGUGAUUAGAAAUAGGAGUGAAGGUGAGAAUCCUCUUGUGCAAAACCCACUCUUCAUCAAUAAAGUGAGCCGUAACUACCAUAAAGUUUGACAUUUGAAUUGAAGUCCAUGUGUCGGUGGUAAUGCAUACUCUCUGUUUAUUUGCACUCAAAAUACUUUUCAACAGCCCCUUUUCAUUUUGAUACAAUUCAAGAAUAUCUCUUGUAAUUGUUCUUCGAGAUGGUACCUCAAAUUUCGGACAACAAGUUUCCAUGAAAUCCAAAAACCCUUCAGCCUCUACAAAUCUAAAAGGUAACUCAUCUUUGAUUAUCAUUUUCACAAGUGCCAUUCUACAAGCCUCUCUAUUAAAUCCUAUGUGUGUAACCUUAGCAGUACCAUCAUCUUUACCUUUACCUUUUUUAAAAACUAAUGUCUGUUGUUUUGCAUCAUUUUCAGCCUUCAUUUUUUUGCGCACUUUACAUCUAUCCAAAUGAGUCGACAAACCACUUGUUCCAGAAUUACUAUGGGCUGCAUAACUUCUUCCGCAAUAAUGACACUUAGCUCUAAGUCCUCCAGGUAGCUUCGAAAAAUGCUUCCACACAAAUGAUCUCAACUCAAUUUUUCUUUUGUUACUACCACUGACCCCUUCUUCACUACUAACUUGUUGCACUUCAUCACUAAUUUGUACUUCACCAACAUUGUCAACCAUUCUAUAAAAUUAGAACUAUUAUAAUGUCAAAAUAAAAUCUAAAUAAGUAAAUAUAGCCACUGUCCAACAUAUAAUCAGCAUCCAUAUUAUAAACAUAAUCAGCAGUUAUAUAUUGUAAAUCAUGCAAUUUAUAUCUACACAGUAAUAGACAUUAAAUCAACCGGAGGAAAAUGAAAUAAAAAAAAUAAAAAAAAAGUUGUUGGACCAGGAGCUACGGGCCUUGUUUCACUAAUUGUUGACACACACCAUUCACAAAAACAGUGUUGAUAAGAGGGUGUUUGUUCGGGAACUCUUGGAAGUUUCACCAAUCCCUUUUAGCUCAUGGCCAUAAACUCUCCUAAUUGUUGCUUUCGUAUAUUUUCAUAUUAAAAAAAAAAAACACCGUAUGUUCAGCUUCAUUUUAAAUUUCAAAUGUAAGAGAAUAACAGUUGAGUGGACAUACGGAUCUGUCGAGCAAAGCAGAAACUGUCGCGCGGUGGCUGGCGAGCGGAGAAGAAGCUGUCGCGCGGUGGCUGGCGAGUAGAGAAGAAGCUGUCGUGCGGUGGCUGGCGAGCAGAGCAAAGCUGUCGCGCGGUGGCCUCAGGCCUGUGGCUGUGAGUUGAAGCUGUCUCACGGUGAAAAGAAGCUGCAGCUUUCGCGGUGAGCAGCGUGAGCAGCGUGAGCAGCGUGUUGCACGGUGACACUAUCGCCGGUGAGCAGCGUCGGCCGUGAUUGCAGUGGAUUGGGGUGGGUGAUUUGGAUUUGGUUUUGAUUUCGAAUCUUUGAUUUUAACUUUAGGGUUUAUUUUGGGGGAAAUAAAGACUUACGAAAUUGUAACACUUACAUAUAUAUACUCCUGAGUCCUGAUUGUGUGUAUGCAAGUUUAUGUUAGUUAUCUUACAUAAUCAGUUAAAAAUUAACACAUGUUUAAUUUGAAUAAAAUUAAAAAAUAAUUCGGUUUUUCGGUUCGGUUUUUCGGUUCAGCUAAGUGAACCGAAUACCGAACCAACAUUUCGGUUUUUUUUACAAACGGUUAUUUCGGUUUUUCUUAAAAAUAAAAACCGUACCGAAUUAGAAAAAACCAUCGGUUCGGUUCGGUUUUUUUAAGACUACGGUUUUUUUGCCCACCCCUACGCUUGACUCUUAAAUUUUUGUCACUUUCACUCCGUUCAAAGGCAUGCGAAAGCUAAUUUUUAAUGAAUUUUGAAUCGAGUGUUAGAUGUUUUGGGCUUAUCAAAACUAGAUUAUAUAUUUAUAUAUAUAGAGGGCGGAUCACCAGCCCUUUAAAACUACAUCUAUUUUUAUACUGAUUUAUAACCAUUAGAUUUAUUACACAUUAACGGUCAAGAUUUUGAGAAUUUAAUAAUAUAAAUACUUAAUAACAACAAUAAUUAAUAUACUUUCUCUCUCUUCAUUAGUUUCCAUUAAAACCUAAUUUCUCUCUCCUAAUAAAUUUUAGAUUCAUCAUAUUUCUCUCUUCAUCAGUUUCAUUAGUCUUUAAUGAAUUUUAGAUUCACGGUUAGAUAUUUUGGGACUUAUCUUUAAUUAAUAUUUUACACGCGUACAUUUAUAUCAUUGUAUAGUUAUAGAUUCAAUUACUUUUAUGAUACAUUUAUUAAUUUGGAAUUGAAAUAGACAAGAAUGGACUGUAAUGUGAAUGGAGAAUCGAAAUUAGAAUAAAUUAUUUAUUUAAACUGUAGAAAUUGAAAUAAGUUGGAUUAUCAUUAAUGUGUUUAUUUUGUCUUGGAAUUAGAAUUAAAAUAAGUUAGAUUGUAACAAAUUACUAAAAACUACUUAAUGAACUAUUGUUAUAAUUAUUAUUUUGUAUUUUAAUUAUUGUGAUUAUUUAUUAAAAAUUAUAAUUGUUAUUAUUACUUAUUGUUAAUAGUAUAUUAAUAUAUUAAUAAAUUAUAAUAAUAUAUUAAAAAUAUACUUGUAUUUACAAGAGAUGACGGAUAAAAUUUCUAAAAUCGUCUUCCUCCCUAAAACUCUGAAUGCCACAGUCCUAAAAAUUAAUAAGAUUUGGGAAUUAUAUGUCUUUUUUAAAAUAUUAAAGGGUGUUUAUUUCCUUAAACAUUGGGGGCUAAAAGUCCUAUUCCCAAAAGAAUACUGUGCCGGCGUUGGAGGCUAGAUUUCUUGUAUUUGUUUUUCUUCUUCCGAUGUUUUCAGGGAUACCCAUUUGGCAGUAUAUAAAAAUCUGUGAUAUCUUCUAUACAUAUACAUAUACAUCGCUGGCUUUAAUCAUUUGCGAACAUAUUGGAGGUAGUAGAUAUAUUUUUAUGAUAUCUCUAAUAAAAUCCAAAGUUUGAUCAAUUACAAAAGAAGUAUGAGUGAUGGGGGGGAAGUGGGGGAUCGGUGUAGUGGGGGUGUGCAGUGCAUGAAUAAAAGGAAAUGAUAGGGGGUGCAAGUUCGUGCUACCGACAUGCUUUAAGAUGGGGACAUAAUAUUUCAAAUUAGAGAUUGUGAGAUCCUUAAUAUUGCUGACUUGUGCUUAAAAUGGAAUUCUUGAUAACUUCAAAUGUUAAAGUUCUUGGUGAAAUUUUGUACUUACUUUUCUUUCAGAUUCUUGUGCCUAUUGCAAAUGGUUCAGAGGAGAUGGAAGCUGUUAUGAUAAUUGAUAUUCUGCGACGAGCUAACGCAAAUGUUGUAGUUGCAUCAGUUGAGGAUAAACUAGAAAUUCUGGCUUCUCGUCGAAUUAAAUUAGUGGCAGAUGUGCUCAUUGAUGAGGCGGCUAAACUUUCGUAUGAUUUAAUUGUCUUGCCAGUGAGUUGGGGUGCUUACUCUUGCUUCAUAGUCUUUACCACAUUAUUGACUUACUAACUACAAUUUAUCCAUGCACAUUGCACAGGGUGGACUUGGUGGUGCUCAAGCAUUUGCGAAGUCAGAUUAAUUGGUGAAUAUGCUAAAGAAGCAAAAGGAAUCAAAUAGACCUUACAGUGCUAUAAGUGCAUCCCCAGCUUUAGUGUUGGAGCCUCAUGGCUUACUCAAGGUACGACCAUUUCUGCUUAAAUUAUUUACUCAGAUUUGGAUCACCUAAUCUGAACUUGAUGAAGGAUUAUGAUGUUGUGUGAUUUUAUGAAUGUGGUCUUAUCUCAUGUAAGUCAGUGAUGAAUUAAUUGGAGUUUGCUGACAAAUUAGAAACUGAAAAAUUGCUGCUGCUUCGUUAGUUACAUUACCCAAACAGUUAAAAUAAACAUCCCAAAUUUUUUGUCCCAAAUGAUAUGGCAUUUAUUGAGUGAUUGUAUUAUCUAACCAACCAAUUGAUGAAUGUCACAUCAUUUGAGAUGGUUUUUUGGGAUAAAGAAUUUGGGAUUUUUACCCGCAAAAAUCCCAAGUACUUCCUGCUCCUGCAAUAUCAUUGCUGUGUAUUUGUUUUCCCCUUAGACAUAUUCAAUUGUGGUUCAGGGUAAAAAAGCUACAGCUUUUCCUGUUAUGUGCAACAAGCUGUCAGAUCAGAGUGAAAUCGAAAACAGGGUUGUGGUUGAUGGCAACGUCAUCACCAGUAGAGGGCCAGGGACUUCUACGGAGUUUGCACUGGCAAUUGUGGAGAAGUUUUUUGGCCGCAACAAGGCACUUGAGCUUGCAAAGAUAAUGCUUUUCACUCGCACCUAACGUUUGUACGGGGACCUGACUACUAUUAAACUAGUGUGUUUAUUUCUGUAUUGCUACUGCUUGUAGAGAGGGGAAAUGGAAACUUGAAUUCAUGUUUGAAUGUGGAUUCACUGUGUGGGUUUGUACAGCAGUUUGGUUUAUAAAUAAAUGAGUUCAAAGAGUCACUUAAAUAUUCGGAAUAAACCUGAGUUUAGUUCUGUUAUCAAUGGUCGGAGUCCAAUUGCGAUCGACUCACUGGGAAUUUUAAUUAUGAACUAAAAAAUUGUUAUGUUAUAUUCCACCUUUCUCAUAAAAUGUUAACUCGAUUUACAGGAUAAGAAGGAAAAGAAAGACGCUAAGAGAGGAGCAGAGACCCAAAAAGAGUUGACCACUUUGUUGGAACAUAAAUCUCUAGAAUAUUGAAAUAAAACACAUACCAUAUCUAGUAUUAAGUAUGUAUAUGCAAGAAGAUACAAAUUUGAAGAUCAGAUUUCUCAUUUCAAUUUAUGUUCUGCUUGGAGCAAUGGCUCUUAUUCCACUAGCACAAACAGGAAAGAGUACGCACGAAGUUAAGAAACACACAUAGCAAAAGUUGCAUUAACUACUUGCAGCAACAUCAUCCAAGAACUUGACUUUUAUCUUCUUGAGCUUCGCUGCAGCAUCUGUCAUAUGCAUUCUCUUGUCAGGUGACUCCAUACAACAAUCCAAAGCCAAAUCCAUGAUGCUUAAUAAACAAUCCAUUUUGGCAGAAAAAGCUUGCUCUUCCCGCACCAAAUUUGCGUCAACAACUUCACUCAAUCCGUGAGGUAAUGACUCCUCUACCCAUCUCUUUAAACUCAUUUCUCCUGUGAACAUUGCAUCAGUGGGCCUCUUUCUCGUGAAAGUUUCCAUCAAUAACACACCAUAGCUGUAGACAUCACAUUUGGCUGAAACAAUUCCUUCUGAUCCAUACUCUGCAUUUUUUAAUUUUAAUUAUGAAACAAAUGAUAAAACAAAUAAUUUUUUGAUAAUUAAGGUAACCCAAACUUUGCUCGUGCUUGAAAAAAGAGUAAAAAUUUUAAUUACAAUUGAAACUUUACCUGGUGCCAUAUAACCAAUUGUAGCCAUUGUCAUGGUUUGUGUCACAGAAUCUUCUCCUUCACCUAAGAGUUUGGAAAUGCCGAAGUCGCUCACAUGUGCCACCAUAUUUUCAUCCCAGAGAAUGUUGGUAGGCUUUAAAUCACAAUGAAUUAUAGGUGCCGACAAAUGACCAUGAUGGAGAUAUUCAAGAGCCGACCCCACAUCUAUCAUUAUAUUCAACCUCUCUAGAAUGUCUAAGAAAUAGUUGUGAGAAUACAACCACUUCUCGAGACUACCAUUCGGCAUGAACUCAAGUACCAAUGCUUUGAAAUCUGGAUUAGAACAACUGCUAAGGAUCUUUAUGAGAUUUCGAUGACGAACAUUCCGCAAAACUUCACAUUCAGAAUCGAAACUCCUAAAUGCUCUCUAUAGCUGCAGAUUGAAAACCUUUAUCGCAACAUCAGUCCCGUCGGAAAUGGUUCCUUUAUAAACUGAUCCAAAGCUACCUUUACCCAGCAAGUUACAUUCAUUAAAUUCAUCAGUUGCUCGUUGAAUGUCUAGGUAGGAUGUUCUUCUCCAUGUUGCAAGAGGUAGGAAAUCUUCGUGAUAUGAUUUUUUUGUACUCCUCUUUCGGCAUCUUAUGUACAUAAUGAUGAUAAUCACUAUAAGUACAGAGGAUACUAUCGGAGGCAAAAUAUAUUUAAGGACAAUUAGAGCAACGUUCUUGGUGCUUUUGCUGUCACCUUGUUUGCAAGGUGGGACUCGGAAUUUAGGUGGACCACAGAGUGCAUAAUUUCCGAAAAAUGAUUCAGCUGACAAGUUUUUAAAAGACCCCUUAACAGGAAUUUCCCCUUCUAGCCUAUUAUGAGACACAUUAAAUUGUUUGAGAUGUGAAAGUGUCUCCAAUGACUUAAGAAUUUUUCCAGAGAGAUUGUUGCCGGAGAGAUCUAAGGAUUCUAAGCUUAUCAAACUACCAACUGAUACAGGAAUAGGUCCUUGAAAUUGAUUACUAGCCAAUGAUAGAGUUUCUAGAUCUACGAGGGCACCGAUGGUUGAUGGAAUAUCACCUGAUACUUGAUUCCUUGAUAAAUCUAAAACUGUCAAGACCUUUAACUUUUGUACAUUGGAAGGGAGAGAAUCAUUUAACGAAUUUGACGACACGUUUAUCUCUAAGAUGUACUCAAGGCUCCACAAGGAUGACGGUAUACUAGAAGUGAGCUUGUUGGAGCCUAAGCGGAGUUCCCUUAGAGAUGUCAAGACUCGCCAAGCAUGGUGGUAUAUGUCCAGAGAGCUUAUUUCCAUUUAACCUUAUUCCGUACAUCAAUUCCAAGUGGCAAAGAUCAUGGGGAAUAGAUCCUUCCAAAUUAUUAUCUUCAAGAUAUAAACCUUGUAGCCGCUUUAGUCUUCCCAUCGUUGGUGAAAUAGUUCCAUUCAAGUCAUUGAAGCCGAGCUCUAAGUCGAUCAGGCCACGUAAAUUACCAAUUUCUUUAGGAAUGCUGCCCCCGAGUUUGCAGUUGUAUGCAAAAAAUUGUCGAAGAGAAGCAGAGAAAUUUCCAAUUACUGGUGGAAGGAUGCCACCCAAUGGAUUAUAAGCUAAGGCUAAAAUUGUUAAAUUUCUGCAAUUAGUCAGAGAAGAGAGAAAACUCCACUGAUCUGCUGAAGAUGAUUCUGUCGUCAAGUUAUUAAAUGCUAAGCUGAGCACGCCGAGACGUCUCAAGUUGCCAAAUGUAUUUGGAAUGUGGCCUGAGAAUGAGUUUAAGCUCAAGUCUAGUCCGAUGAGCUUAGAAGCGUUUGUGAUGGAGUUGGGAAUUGUUCCGAUGAGAUUAUUGUCCGACAAGGUUAAAUACUCUAUGCUCGGAAGCGAGUGGCCAAUCGUUGAUGGUAAGUGGCCUGAGAGUUGAUUGCGAAUUAGAUUAAGGACUCUUAGGGUUGAAAUAUUGAAGAUCGUGGGUGGAAUGAGGCCACUUAAAUUAUUCGUACUAAGAACAAGAGCAUCCAAAUUUUGUAGAUUGCCAAUCUCAGUUGGAAUUUGACCUGUUAUAAAGAUAAACGCCAAAUUGAUGAGUUAUUGAGCUUUUUACUUGACAUAAAUUUUAAUUUCAUAACGCAUGAAAAUCAAAUUUGCCCACAAAAUGUGUGUUAUUAGUUUUAUAAUAUAUUUUUUUUGCGUUUUUUUUGGGGGGGGGGGGGCGGAUUGAUAUUGCUACCUCAUAAUUUUUGUAAAACCCCACCCGCUUUCAGAAAAUUAUUGGAACAAGAUUCUUAAAAAAAUUCAAAUAAAGAAGAAGUUUGGAGAAUUAAUCAAUUAAAUCCAUCUUAAUCUACUUUUUGAAACUUAUAUUCUUUUAUCAUAUAUAAUAACUAAUGUUGAUUUAACAUAAAUUUAAUAUAACUAGUCUACUCUCAUGAGGUAGAAUUACAAAAAUACCUACAAAUUUACUUCAACUUCAACUAAACUAGCAAAAUGUAUUUGUGGGACAUGUGGUGCACUAAAAAUUAUUGAAUUUUAUUUUAGAAAUAUUGUAUUACAAAACAUAAAACAAAAUGCCGAAACUAUAUAUUAGAUACAAUAGUACAUGUUUUUUGGGGUGAUUUGGUCAUUUUAUAUUAUAAGAGUAAAAUAGUCAAAUUAAACUUAUUUUUAAAGCAACCGUAAACGGCCAAAGAUUGUUAAAAGCCCUAAGUCAUAAAAGAAAAACAUUAUAAAAAUAAUUUAUUAAUUGUUCAGACUUAAUUUAUAAUUCUAUAACAUAAUGUGAACUUAUUAUAACUACCUUAUCAAAAUGAGGUGGGUUUGCAAGAAUAAUGAGUGGAAUAUCCCCAACCUAUAAAAUAAAAAGAAUUUUGCAACUAUGCAAAUGCAAAUAUGUAGAACGUACCUUGUAGGUUGUUAUAACCUAGAUUCAGAAUGAAAAGGCUGCUAAAAUUUCCUAUCCCUGAAGGAAUAUUUCCAUCAAUAACGUUGUGCAUUGCGUCGAACACCCCCAGCUUCGAUAAAUUGAGGAGAGAAUUUGGGAUUGGACCCGUGAAACUGUUAUUAUAAAGCCUCAACGUUUGUAAUUUGGAUAAGACACCAAUCCAUGUUGGAAUGCUUCCACUCAAUUUAGUGAAACCGAAUCUAAUGAAUCUGAGUCGGCGUAAUUGCCCCAAUUCAUUAGGCAGAUGGCCAUGAAAAUUAUUAUGAGCAACAUCAAGAGAUACUAAGAACGUGAGAUUUCCCAAGUGUGGGGGAAUGGUACCUCCGAGACCUAUAUCUGAAAGAUUCAAGGCUGUGACUCUUUGAUGGCGUGAACCACAAGAGAUACCAACCCAGCCGCAUAUUGGAUAAGAUAAAGACCAAUUAUUUGUCAGGACACUUCGAUAAUCAACGACACGGGCUUUGAAUGCAAGAAGAGCCGAUUGAUCUGUUGUUAAGUUGCUCAAAGUCGUCAUAGCUAAGCUAGCUAUGGAAUAUUGUAACAACAACAUAGGAACAAAGAAGAAUGAUAAGCACAUAUUGGUCGUUUUUUUUUAUAGAUGCAGCAAUCUAAUUGCUAGGUGAAGUUGAUACAAGUUUUAAGUGAAGGAAACUAGCAUAUACUUAUACAAGAGAUGUAUGAAUUUGAAAACAAGAAAAGAAAAAAAUGUACAGGAGACUGGAGACAUGCAAAUUGGUAUAUUUCAUCAUUGAGCGAGUCGUCCAAGUAAACUCAUAUAGACCUGUAAAUUGUUAUAGGCCGCGGUACUUGAACCGUGAAUAAAGGGCUUAUGGCACUUGACUUACCAAAAAGAAGAAGAUGCUCAACAUUGGCAAGGCCUAUGCAUUCUGUCCAUUUGUUCACGUUUUGCCAAGGCUCAGGGCAACCACAAUAUGUUCUUUUUCUUUCCUCUUAAAACAAAAAACAAAAAAAAAGACGACAUUUACAUUUGGGCUAAUAAUUAUCACUAAACAAUUAAUAAUACUGAGGGUCAGUGGUAAUGUAGCUUUAAAAUAAUUGUUAUUAGUUGUGUCUUAAAAAUAAAGAAAAAAAAUAACUAUACCCAUAUAAUUUAAUAAAAUAAUCAUAUAAAUUCCUAAGCUUUUAACAAUAUACACCAAGACCCCCUACCGUUACUUUUUACCAUUUAUUUGGAUGUCACAUGCUUUUUUUUUUAAUUUUCACAGUGGAUAUCAAAUGCUAAAUUUACUGUUAUUCCCAUAUCAUGUCAUCACUUGCUUCUACACACAUUGAUUGUUUUUCCAAAGUUUCAAAUUGAAUUAAAAACAUUCUAAUUAACCUAAAAAAACUCAUCCAACCAGAUAUAAAUCUUCUAAUUAACCUAAAGAUAGCUACACCCCCAUAUUAAUUCCAAUGAAAUAAAAUUCAUUUUUGUCAUGAUUUUGGAUCUCGAGCAAGGUGGAUAUAUCCAACUAGAUCCGCCCCAUUGGCAUUCCAAUAUAUUAUGUAAUUGGAAGAGUAUGAAUGACUUAAUUUGUAAUUUUAAAUUUGAAAUGUUCAAUUCUAAUUUGAGGAUUCAAAUGAAUUUAUGCGAAUCUAAAAGGGAACGGAAGAUUGGCAUGCAUACACACACACACACACACACACACACACACACACACACACACACACACAUAUAUAUAUACAUAGGGGUAGGCAUGGGUUGGUUUGGUUUGGGUUUUAAGUCAACCCAAAUCAAACCAUAAAAUUUUGGACCCAACCCAAACCAACCUAAAUAUUUUUAACCCAAACCAAACCAACUCAUUUGGGUUUGGUUUGGGUUUGGAUUGAAUUUUAUAAUCAAAAUAUUUUUUUAUUUUGAUAAAUUUAAUUAUAUCAAAAUUAUAAUAAUAAUUAAUUAUUAUUAAUUAUUAAAUUAAUAUUAAAAUAUGAAAAAUAUAUUGUGGAUAAAAAAUUAAAAGAAAGAAUUAAAUUAAACUCCAAUAACAAACUUCCAUGAACAUGACAUAAACAAAUAAAUUAAAAGAAAGAAAAUAAAAUUCGAUGAUCAAUUGAGUCCACUCCUUCAACAAUAAAUAAAUAACCAAAAAAGAAAAAUUAUAAUGUUUGAUCUAAACUCUGUUUUUGUAUUUGAUAAUCAUAAGAAUAAUAUUAAUUCAAAGCCAUCGCCUCCGUUGAUAUAUUUGAUCCAACGGAGCAUGGUCAUAUGAUUAAAUUUAAAUUGCCCAUUUUGGUGCAGUUCAGUUUGUUCCGACUUGAGCUGAACUGAUUCAAUUUAAUAAGAUUAUAAAUCCAACUUGACCGAAUUGAAAUCGGUCUGGUUCUAGAUUGGAGUGGUUCAUAAAUUAUUUUAACUUAAAAAUAUUAAUUCUUUCUAGUUAUCUAGCUCUAAAGUUAGUUUUUUUUUUUUUGCGUCUAAUUCAUUGAAUAGAUUUUUUUUUUAAUUUAUAAACCAAAUCAAAAUUGUCUGUUCAGUUCAUUCGAUUCCUCGAUUUUUUUUGCUGGCAUCUGUUGGUUAGGACCACCUUCAUUUGUUAUAAAUUUAAUAGAAAAUGGACAGUUAAUGGUGCAGGUGAAAAAGGACAUUAUACAAAGGGGAUUAAAAAAAAAAGCAAAGGAUGUUCUUUUUACUUCAGGAUUAAUAGAGAUUCAGGGAUUGUAGUAAUACAUUAGUUUAAAUUAAAUAAAUGAUUACAACCUAGACGAACAUUGGUAGUGUAGAGAAAAAAAAAAACAAUUAGUUAGCUUAACAAUUAGACGAACAUUGAGGUGGAUUGUAGUAAUUCUUGGCCCAUAGGUUAACCACACCCAAACCAUUAUAAAAUGGUUUCAUACAUAAAAACCUAAAUUUAAUUCAUUUACAUGAUUUACCCAACCCAAACCAAAUUAUUUGUUUGGGGUUGGGAUAAACUCAUGGGUUGUGGGGUUUAUACCCAACCCUACACACACACACACACACACAUAUAUAUAUAUAGAGAGAGAGAGAGAGAGGUAAUAUAACAUUCUUCUUGAUGAAGAUUUUUGUGCCAUACGAAUUAAAGAGAGUAUUGUGUCGAUGUUCGAGGCUAGAGCGACAAUUGGUUACAUUGCUUCAGAGGUGUUUAGUAGAAACUUUGGUGAGGCAUCACAUAAUUUAAAUUACUAGAUUUAGAGAGAUAUAUAUAUUUUCCACAUUGGAUUUACAAGCAUUUCGAGCAGUAUAAUGAAUUUAAAUUACUCGGAAUUGUAAACAGCGAGGAGAGUGAAAUUGCUAAGAAGAUGAAUAUUUUGUUGUUUUGUGGUGUACACGGAGUCAUCCAUCGGAUAGGUCGCCCAUGAACAGAGGGAUAGAAAUGUUAUUGCCAAGAAGCAGACUGACUAGCAGUGACACUUUGAAAAGUCCACCGGACAUCUUCUCCUCCAAGACCACCAAUAUAUUCUUCCACCAUUUCAACGUCGUGACGUGAGGAUCAGAAUUGAAUUAUAGGAUGCUUGUAAGUUUCCUUUGUGGAACUUGUGAAUUUGUGAUGGCAAAAGUCAAUGAUGCAUGUAACUAGCUAGCCCGUGUAGACUCCGUUUUACACUUUUUCAAAACCCAAAAGCACGCUAAAUCUUAAUCUUAAAAGAAUUUUUGAUUCAGUGCUGAAUUUUGGGCUUAAGUAAUCUUUUACCACGCAUGCAUUUUUGUCAUUGUGCAGUCAUCGAUUGUUUCUAAAGAUCGUAAUCUUUAAGAAAAAAUUACUUCUCUUGAAAGUGAAAGCAGGGCAGCUAUUGGCGUAUUGCAUUGCAGCUGCUAUGUGUAGUAGUCAAUUCUUGGAAACAACUAGUUUUAUUAAAUUGUAAAUGGUCCCCUUUAUGACUGGGAGAUUUUGAACAAAAUUAAUAUGAUGAAUUCUUUGCAAGUGUUGUUCCUUGAAGUCUCAUCUUUCACAAUGUUUUUGAAAUAAAGAUAUUACCAUCUUUGAUUUAAUAUUUAUUCUUGAUUUGGACCACCUAAUCUGAACUUGAUGAAAGAAUAAAGAUUAUGAUCUUACCUGAUUUUAUUAAUGUGGUCUUAUCUCACGUAAGUCAGUAAUGAAUUAAGGGAAAUUAUCAUUCGUAUACCCUAUAAUUGCUCUGUUAUAAAAAAUACUACAACACUUUGAGGGUGUAUCAAUUGUCCACCCUAAGUUAACAAAAUGUAUAUGUCAUCCACCAAAUCGUUAUUUGUCGUUUAAAUAGGAUGACGCCAGAGGGGUAAUUUUGUCUUUUCAUAUGAUACAAGUGAUAAUUUAAGAGUAUACAAGUGAUAAUAAAAGAAUUUAAAGGUAUACAAGUGAUAAUUUUUCUUUACUUUAAUUUAAGUUUCAAGGGUAAAAUCGUCAAUUCACUAUAAUUCCGUUAACUUUCAAACGGUAGCUAACGGUUUGGUGGUCGGCAGAUAGCUUUUGUUAAUUUAAGGUGGACGAUUGAUAUACCCUCAAAGUGUUGAUGUAUUUUUGAUAAUAGAGCAACUAUAGGAUAUAUGAUUGAUAAUUUCCCAUGAAUUAAUUAAAGUUUAUUGUCAAAUUACAAACACAAAAACUGCUGGUGCUUCAUUAUUCACAAUACCUAAAGUCAGUGCAGAACUUAUUAUAAGUUUUCCAAAAGUUUUACGCUUUCUUUCCCCCAUAUCCCAAGUACUUACUAGAUAUGUCAUGUUUAUACCCAAAGUCAGUGCAGAACUUGCUCGAUAUGUCAUGUUUAUACAAGAGUUUGUUUAUAAAUAAAUGAGUUGAUAACAAGUCAUUUUAAAUAUUUGCAAAAAAAAACGGUGAGUGAAGUUGAACUAAGAAUUUGUUAUAAUACCUUCCUAUACAGUCAUCUGGAAUAAUAAUAUAUCAAAAACAGUAAUAACUCGAUUUACAGGGUGAGAAAGAAAAGAAAGACGCUACGAGGGAAGCAGAGAUUCAAAGACUUACCACUUUGUUGGAGGAACAAUUUCAUAAAUCUCCAGAAUAUUGACAUAAAACACAUAACAUAUCUAGCAUUAAGUAUAUUUAUGUAUGUCCAAAGAUAAAAAUUCGAAGAUUAGAUUUAUCAUUUCAAUUUAUGUUCCGCCCAAAGCAAUGGCUUUUAUUCCACAAGCACAAACAAGAAAGAGUGCGCACAAAGUUAACAAACACACAUAGCAAACAUGACAUUAACUACUUGCAGCAGCAUCAUCCAGAAACUUCACUCUAAUCUGGUGACUCCAUGCAACAAUCCAAUGUCGAAUGCAUGAUGCUUAAUAAACAAAUCAUUUUAGGAGAAAAAACUUGCUCUUCUCUCACCAAGUUUGCAUCGGCAGCAUCACUCAAUGCACAAGGUAAUGACUCCCUUACCCUGUCUCUUAAACUUAUUUCUCCGGUAAACAUUUCAUUUGUGGGGUUCUUUCUGGUGAAAGUUUCCAUCAAUAAAACACCAUAACUAUAGACAUCACCUUUGGCCGAAAUCAUUCCUUCUAAUGCUUACUCUGCAUUUUUUGGUUUCGAUAGAUCAAAUGGAUGUGACAUCAUAAAACAAAUGAUAAACAAAUAGUCUUUUGACAGUCAAGAUGGCCCAAACUUUGACUGUGCUUCGAAAAGAGCGAAAAUUUGAAAUUAUAAUUGAAACCUUACCUGGUGCCAUAUAACCAGUUGUAGGCACUGUCAUGAUUUGGGUCACAGAAUUUUCUUUAUCACCUAAGAGUUCGGAAAUGCCGAACUCACAUGUGCCACCAUAUUUUCAUCCAAGAGAAUGUUGCUAGCUUCAAAUCAGAAUGAAUUACAGGUGCUGAUGAAUGAUCGUGAUGGAGAUAUUCAAGUGCCAGCCGCACAUCUAUCAUUAUAUUCAACCUCUCUAGGAUAUCUAGGAAAUAGUUGUGAGAACACAACCAUUUCUCAAGACUACCAUUGAGCAUGAACUCAAGCAUCAGUACUUUAGAAUCUGGAUUGCAACAGCUGCUAGUGAUCUUUGUGAGAUCUUGAUGACGAACAUUCCACAAUACUUCACAUUCAGAAUCCAAACUCCUAAAGGCUCUCUCUAGCUGCAGAUUGAAAACCUUUAUUACAAUAAUAGUCAUAUCAUAAAGUGUGCCUUUAUAAACAGAUCCGAAGCUCUCCGUACCUAGCAGGAUACAUUCACUAAAUCCAUCAGCUGCUCGUUGAAUAUCAUGAUAGGAUAGUCUUCUCCAUGUUGUCGAAGAGAACAAAUCUUCUUUAUCUGGAGUUCUUGUUUUCCUAUUUUGAAAUAUUAUGAAGAAUCAUAACAAUUGUUAUUAGUGCAUUGGAUAUAAUCGAAGGCAAAGUAUAUUUCAGGACAAGAAGAGUAGCAUUCUUGGAUCCUUUGCUAUUAUCUUCUUUGCAAGGUGGGACUUGAAGGCCUAGUGGACCACAUAGUGCAUAAUUCUCAAAAAACGAUUGAGCUGAAAUGUUUUUAAAAGGUCCUUUGAUAGGAAUUCCCCCUUCUAGCCUAUUGUGAGACACAUUAAGUUGUUUGAGAUAUGAGAGUGCCUCCAUCGACUUUGGAAUUUCUCCAGAGAGAUUGUUGCUAGGGAGAUCCAAAGAUUCCAACCUUAUCAAACUACCAAAUGAUUUAGGGACCAGACCAUAAAAUUGGUUUCUAGCCAAGGACAAAGUUGCUAGAUCUUUGAGGCCACCAAUACUUACUGGUAUAUCACCUGAUAAUUGAUUUCUUGAUAAAUCAACUCUAUUAAGACCUUUAAGUUUUGUAUAUCUGAAGAUAGAUGACCACUUAGAGAAUUUGUUGACAAGUUUACAUACAAGAUGUACUCAGGAUUCCACAAGGAUGAUGGGAUACUAGAAGUGUGCGUGUCGUAGCUAAAAAGAGNNNNNNNNNNNNNNNNNNNNNNNNNNNNNNNNNNNNNNNNNNNNNNNNNNNNNNNNNNNNNNNNNNNNNNNNNNNNNNNNNNNNNNNNNNNNNNNNNNNNGGUUGCGUCAGUUCAGGAUAAACUAGAAAUUCUGGCUUCUCGUCAAGUUAAAUUAGUGGCAGAUAUGCUUAUUGAUGAGGCAGCUAAACUUACGUAUGAUUUGAUUGUCUUGCCAGUAAGUGGGGUUGCUAACUCUUGCGUCAUAGUCUUUACCAAAUUAUUGACUUACUAACUACAAUUUAUCUAUGCACAGGGUGGACUUGGUGGUGCUCAAGCUUUUGCGAAGUCAGAAAAAUUGGUAAAUAUGCUAAAGAAGCAAAAGGAAUCAAAUAGACCUUACGGUGCUAUAUGUGCAUCCCCAGCACUAGUGUUGGAGCCCCAUGGCUUACUCAAGGUAUGACCAUUUCUGCUUAAAUAUUUACUCUUGAUUUGAAUCACCUAAUCUGAACUUGAUAAAACAUUGUGAUCUUGUGUGAUUUUAUGAACGUGGUCUUAUCUCAUGUAAGUCUGUAAUGAAUUUAUUGAAGUUUGCUGACAAAUUACAAACUCAAAAACUGCUGCUGCUUCAUUAGUUACUGUAGAGAUUUACAAGCUUUAUAGAAUCAACUUGAACAACCUCUCCCAAGAUCCCCAGACCAGAAUUCCAAGAUGAACCAAAGAAGACUCGAAAGUUACAAUGAUAGAAAACAACCUAAUAGCAGAUUAAACCAAACAGUAAGCAAUCAAACAGUCUAAAAGAAACUCAAGAACAACUCAAACACAGCAAGUUACGUGGUUCAGUCAAUUCACAUUGACUUACAUCCACGGAGGAACAAAUAGAUCAGCUUUAUUGAUAGAACAAAGUCUCUUUUACAAUCAGAUUUUACAGAGCCCUUCUCAAGGAACAAGAACGCUCUUUUACACAAGCACUCUCUCUCUCUUGAAUCCUCUGAAAUCUUCUCAGUUUGUUAUAUCAGAAUCAGCUCCAGCCUCUGAGUUUAUAACGACCCAGAAACAAUCCCAGCUAGGCACGUGAGCAGCAGAUGACAAUAACGGCUUUAACAGCCUUCACACGUCAUUUAAAAAGUCACGUGCGUUGCUCAUGAUUCUAAUAACCAAAACGAUAGAAAUCUAGGUCGUUUUGUAAGGAUAAUCAAAGGUAGCAAGAAACGCCGAUAACUGUGUCGUUUUGCUUUGUUGUUUGCAGAGCCAAAACUCCAAGCUUCCUGUCGUUUCAUUAACCUUUUUUUGAUUUGUUUCAUUUUGGUCCAACAUAACUCCACCUUGAAGCAAAUCAACCCUGAUCAACUUUCUCCUCAUCCCUCUGUUUCAUCAGAGGCUUUCAACACCAGCCAUGUUCAAGCAAGCUUUGAACUUGGCUGUAGGAACAACUUUAGUUAGUAUAUCUGCUGGAUUAUCAUCUGUGUGAACCUUUACCAUCUUGAUUACUCCUUUGGACACUUCAUUUCUUAUAAAGUGUAGCUUGACAUCAAUAUGCUUGGUUCUUUCAUGAUGAGCUGGAUUUUUACUUAGGUAGAUGGCACUUGAGCUAUCACAGUGGACUUCAACUGUUUUCUGGCUCACCCCCAAUUCUUCAAUCAUCCCUUUGAGCCAUAGAGCUUCUUUGACAGCCUCUGUGGCUGCAGUGUAUUCAGCCUCUGUGGUUGACAGGGCAACCACAUGUUGGAGACUUGCCUUCCAGCUGAUGAUGCAUCCAUUUAGCAUAAACAAGUACCCUGUUAAUGAUCUCCUUCUGUCAUUGUCUCCAGCAAAAUCCGAGUCUACAUAACCCCAUAGACCAUCACAUCUUCCUUCUGAUCUCCCAUACAGCAGUCCAAUUCUGUCAGUGCCACUCAGAUACCUUAGUAUCCAUUUGACUGCUUGCCAAUGCUCUUUCCCAGGUGUUGCCAUAUAUCUGCUGACUAUGCUCAAAGCAUAGGAAAUAUCAGGUCUUGUUAAGACCAUGGCAUACAUCAUACACCCUACAGCAUUGGCAUAUGGGAAUUUUUCCAUUUCACAUCUCUCAUCAUCUGUCUUAGCACAUUGUAAAUUGGAGAGCUUGAAAUGAGAGGCUAGUGGUGUUAUUACAGACUUACAGGUUGACAUACCGAAAGUCUUCACUAUUUUCUUCACAUAGCUCCCUUGUGACAGAAACAUAGUGCCUUCCUUCCUGUUCCUCAUUAUAUCCAUGCCUAAGAUCUUCUUGGCAUGUCCUAAAUCCUUCAUAUCAAAUUCUGAACUCAGCAGCUCUUUCAAUGCUUCAAUCUCAUCUUUUAUCUUACAAGCAAUUAACAUAUCAUCUACAUACAGCAACAAGUAUAUGUAAUGAUGUGUCUCAAGCAGCUUGUAAUAUACACAACAAUCGAAACUGCAUCUUUUGAAUCCAUUUGAUGUAAUGAACUCAUCAAACCUGAGGUACCACUGCCUUGGGGACUGUUUUAAGCCAUACAGUGAUUUCUUAAGUAGACACACAUGUGCUGGUCUCUCUGGAUCCACAUAUCCCUCUGGCUGAACCAUCAGAAUUUCUUCUUGUAAUAUUCCAUGUAGGAAUGCAGUUUUGACAUCGAGUUGAUCAAGUUCCAUGUCAUAAACUGCUGUCAUAGCUAGCAAUACUCUAAUUGAAGUAUGUCUAACUACUGGUGAAAAAACUUCUUUAAAGUCAACCCCUUCCUUUUGAGUGUAGCCUUUAGCCACUAACCUAGCUUUAAAUCUCCUAGGUUCUGAAGCUGUCAGGCCNNNNNNNNNNNNNNNNNNNNNNNNNNNNNNNNNNNNNNNNNNNNNNNNNNNNNNNNNNNNNNNNNNNNNNNNNNNNNNNNNNNNNNNNNNNNNNNNNNNNAAAUUUAUGCUAGGGUGUGAUUGUAUGGUAACCAAUUGUGAGCAACAGAUCCACAUAGUAAUAUAGACUGAAAUUUUGCGUCUUAAUCCAUGAAGAUAUAUGUUUUGGCAAAUAUUGUACAAGCACUGGGGGUUACCUUAAAUAUUCUGGACUUGUCAUUAAUAGAGUUUCUAUUACUUAGUUAUUGAUAUUUCUUUCAAUUUUCUAUUUUACUGAUACCAUAUAUACAAUUUUAGGUGGCAGGACAACUUUCGAUUUCUAUUGAGCCUGAAAACCUGCAUCUCCCAUCACCUCUGUCUACUUUCGGGGAAUACGAGGUUCCUAUGCGCUUACCCAAAGCCAUCCCUCUACCGGAAGGGAAGGUCCAGUGGACUCUCAAUGUUAAAGUCCGCGGCAAAUAAUGCCAAGAUAGAAGUUUAUUAAUAUUUCAAUGAUAAAUAAUGCAUCUCCCAUCACCUCUGUUUGUUUUCCUCGGCUCGGGAUCCAAAUUCCAUUGGAGAACAAUUUUUGAGUUUUUCUUCAUAUAACAUUCUGAAGAUAAUACAGCAGGCAACAUUGUUUGCAACGCUACAGCUAAUUUACAGUAGCAUGAAACAAUCAGAAUUUUGCCUUUUUCGUGUAUAAAAUUUUAUUUUUUUAAUUGUGAUAUUACAGUUUUGCCCAUGAAGCAUUAUGAAGCUUAAUAUUUGGAUAAAUGUUAGGUUUAAUCUAUAAAUUUUAACUUCAGUGUUUAUUUAAUUUUUAUAUUUUGUAAAAUAUCUCAACGAAGCCCUAUUAUCAAAUAUUGACUUGAUCCGUAUAUAUUAACUUCAAUGCUUAUUUAGGUUUUAUAUUUUGAAAAAUACCUAAAGGCAGUCCUAUUAUCAAAUAUGUUGUACUCUUGCUUUUAUUUUUUCUUUGUUUUUAUAAUAAUACUCUGAUAACAAUAUUUUUUUACAUUAAUUUUUUAAUCAAUAAAAAGGUAACUAGCAAAUUAACUGAUAAAUUAAUUUGUUAAUUUUUUUAAUCAAUAAAAGGUUAAUUAAUAAAUUACUUGGUAGCAAAUUAAAAAAUAAAUAUUAGCAUAAAACAAUUGAUAUUUUUCAUUCUCUUACAACAAUUGAUAUUUUUCAUUCUCUUACAACAAUCUUACUAAUUAUUAUUUAUAAAUUAAUUAAUACAAGUAAUUUAAAGUAAUGUUUAAUAUUCUUGCAACAAUCUUACUAAUAAUUUUUUUAUAAAAAAUUAAUUUAUUAAAUUAAUCCUUAAAAGUAAAAUAAUAAUAAUUAAUUUGUAUCUCACUUUUAAGGUUAAUUUUAUAAAUUUAAUUUUUUAAAUUAAUAUCUCCAAAAAUAUAGUUGCAUGAUAUUAUUGCGAAAGUAAAAAAAAUAAAUAUAGGAUUUUAAUAUAAUUGCAACGAUAUUAUUACAAAAGUAAAAAAAAUAAAUAUAGGAUUUUAAUAUAACUGCCAGUAAAAAUAACUUGAAAUAUUUUUUGAGAUAUAAAAAUUAAACCAACACUUAAUUAAAAAUAUAAAGAAUUAAAUAAACAUUUAUCUUCUAACAUUUCAACCCACUGGCUAAUGGUCAUACAAUCGUGGUGUGGUCCGGGAUGCCUGGCCCAGCCCAUCAUGUAAAAAGCCAUGUCACCCGUAUUCUUAGGCUGCUACUGCAUUACCACUUUGCCAGUUGCCACGAAGCUCCCCACAUCACACCACACUGAUGCCAGAAAACUAACUUAAAAAAAUGGUAUUAAUAAGCGUACGCCACGUCACUCCUCACUCUCUUCUUCGUCACUUUCCUCUCACUCAACACUUUCUACCCAAACAAAUUCCUUCUUUGAAAAAUCGCAUUUUCUCCUUCACAACAACAGCUACAAUGUCUUCAACUUCCAAAAAGGUAAUUUUUUUUUUAAAUUUUAUCUUUUGUUUAUUUUCUUUCUGUUGCCUUUUUGUUUCGUUUUUUGAAUUCUCUGUGUCGUUUUUUUCCCCCAAGGUUUUGGUGCCUGUUGCGAACGGGAGUGAGCCGAUUGAGGCCGUGAUAACGAUCGAUGUUUUGAGAAGGUCUGGAGCUGACGUCACGGUUGCGUCUGUGGAGAAACAGCUUCGUGUCGACGCGUGUCAUGGUGUCAAGAUUGUCGCUGAUGCUCUGGUGUCUGACUGCCGCGACGCCGUUUUUGAUCUUAUAGCACUUCCCGUAUGUAUUGCAGCUCACCUCAGCUCAUGCUAAUUUAUGUGAUGUUUGUAUAAUUAUAGAUGAUUACAGCUGAUACUGAAUGUUAAGCUAAAUAAUUCGUUCUUAAGUCAUCUUCAUUUAAUUUUCGAUUGAAAAUGAAAAAAUAAUAAUUUUAAGCAAAGAAAAAUAUAGAAAAUGUUUAUUUUGUUUUAAUUUUAUUUUUUAAUUUUCAGGGAUUUCCUUAUUGUGACUGUUAUCAUUCAUUAUAUGGUCCUAGUUAAAUGUUUCAAAUUGUUGUAGUCAGUGAAAUUCUUUUCCAUAUUUAUUCUGGCAUGUAUAUUUUUCCUUUUCAAUUUCUUUUGUUGCUGAUUCUUUGAUUAUGUUAUAUCCUUUUUUGUUUCCUUUGUAGGGUGGCAUGCCCGGUGCUACCAAUCUGAAGGAAUCUGAAGUAUUAGAAAGCAUUGUGAAGAAGCAGGCCUCAGCUGGGCGUCUUUAUGCUGCUGUCUGUGCUUCACCUGCUGUGGCAUUAGGGUCUUGGGGUCUGUUGAAGGGAUUGAAGGUAAGAGUUAGAUAAGCCUUUUUGAUGUUUUGUGGUCUUUUGGGAAUUGCACUGAUAUUUUUGUUAUAGUUCAGUUUUCUUCUCGCUGAUGAUUGUUAAGUUCUAAUUUAUGUAGUUGUUCAUUUUUCGUAGGCUACUUGUUAUCCGUCAUUUAUGGAGCAAUUAGCUCCUGCUUGUGCAGCAACUGUUGAAUCAAGAGUACAGCAGGAUGGUAUAGUUGUUACGAGUCGUGGACCGGGCACUACCAUGGAGUUUGCCGUUGCACUUGUUGAGCAGUUGUAUGGGAAAGAGAAAGCUGAUGAAGUUUCUGGGCCACUGGUAUUAACUUUUAUAGAUAACGUUGUUUAAAAAAAUUAUGAGUUAUAUAAUUUGUGGAAGCUUCAGAUGCUAAUAUAUUCAAGAAAAUAAGUUCAGGGGAAGAGUAUGACGUUUUGCAUUAGUGAUUCAUUAGAUGAAAUUGUAUACCUGCUGGUCCAUCAUAAGGUGGUGAAAACAAUGUUUGAUUUAAUUAAUGGAAUCCUGAAAUAUGCAUUUGUUGAGCUUCAAUGUCUCCACUGAUAAAAUUCUUUUUAAUGUAAGUUCUUUCUCUUGGUAUUUGUAUUUGAAUUUUCUGUUCCUCAUGCUUUCGUCUUUACUGUCACCUUGUGCCUAGGUAAUGCGUGCAAAUCAUGGAGAUGAAUACACUAUUGCUGAGUUCAAUCCAAUUCAGUGGACAUUUGACAAUUCUCCUCAGGUGAGAUUGGACUGUUAGUUUCUUGUAUUUGUUUUUCUUCUUCCAUGUUUUGAGGGAUACCCAUUUGGCAGUAAAUAAAAAUCUGUGAUAUCUUCUAUACAUGUACAUAUACAUCAUUGACUUCACUCAUUUGUGAACAUAUUGGAGGUAGUAGAUUUAUUGUUAUGAUAUGUCUAAUAAAAUCCAAAGUUCGAUGCAACUACAAAAGAAGUAUGAGCAGUGCUCGACCAGAGAGGAAAAAGAGGUUUUUUCUUUCUUUUUUUUUUUUUGGGGGGGGGGGGGGGGUGGGGGUUGGUUGNNNNNNNNNNNNNNNNNNNNNNNNNNNNNNNNNNNNNNNNNNNNNNNNNNNNNNNNNNNNNNNNNNNNNNNNNNNNNNNNNNNNNNNNNNNNNNNNNNNNNNNNNNNNNNNNNNNNNNNNNNNNNNNNNNNNNNNNNNNNNNNNNNNNNNNNNNNNNNNNNNNNNNNNNNNNNNNNNNNNNNNNNNNNNNNNNNNNNNNNNNNNNNNNNNNNNNNNNNNNNNNNNNNNNNNNNNNNNNNNNNNNNNNNNNNNNNNNNNNNNNNNNNNNNNNNNNNNNNNNNNNNNNNNNNNNNNNNNNNNNNNNNNNNNNNNNNNNNNNNNNNNNNNNNNNNNNNNNNNNNNNNNNNNNNNNNNNNNNNNNNNNNNNNNNNNNNNNNNNNNNNNNNNNNNNNNNNNNNNNNNNNNNNNNNNNNNNNNNNNNNNNNNNNNNNNNNNNNNNNNNNNNNNNNNNNNNNNNNNNNNNNNNNNNNNNNNNNNNNNNNNNNNNNNNNNNNNNNNNNNNNNNNNNNNNNNNNNNNNNNNNNNNNNNNNNNNNNNNNNNNNNNNNNNNNNNNNNNNNNNNNNNNNNNNNNNNNNNNNNNNNNNNNNNNNNNNNNNNNNNNNNNNNNNNNNNNNNNNNNNNNNNNNNNNNNNNNNNNNNNNNNNNNNNNNNNNNNNNNNNNNNNNNNNNNNNNNNNNNNNNNNNNNNNNNNNNNNNNNNNNNNNNNNNNNNNNNNNNNNNNNNNNNNNNNNNNNNNNNNNNNNNNNNNNNNNNNNNNNNNNNNNNNNNNNNNNNNNNNNNNNNNNNNNNNNNNNNNNNNNNNNNNNNNNNNNNNNNNNNNNNNNNNNNNNNNNNNNNNNNNNNNNNNNNNNNNNNNNNNNNNNNNNNNNNNNNNNNNNNNNNNNNNNNNNNNNNNNNNNNNNNNNNNNNNNNNNNNNNNNNNNNNNNNNNNNNNNNNNNNNNNNNNNNNNNNNNNNNNNNNNNNNNNNNNNNNNNNNNNNNNNNNNNNNNNNNNNNNNNNNNNNNNNNNNNNNNNNNNNNNNNNNNNNNNNNNNNNNNNNNNNNNNNNNNNNNNNNNNNNNNNNNNNNNNNNNNNNNNNNNNNNNNNNNNNNNNNNNNNNNNNNNNNNNNNNNNNNNNNNNNNNNNNNNNNNNNNNNNNNNNNNNNNNNNNNNNNNNNNNNNNNNNNNNNNNNNNNNNNNNNNNNNNNNNNNNNNNNNNNNNNNNNNNNNNNNNNNNNNNNNNNNNNNNNNNNNNNNNNNNNNNNNNNNNNNNNNNNNNNNNNNNNNNNNNNNNNNNNNNNNNNNNNNNNNNNNNNNNNNNNNNNNNNNNNNNNNNNNNNNNNNNNNNNNNNNNNNNNNNNNNNNNNNNNNNNNNNNNNNNNNNNNNNNNNNNNNNNNNNNNNNNNNNNNNNNNNNNNNNNNNNNNNNNNNNNNNNNNNNNNNNNNNNNNNNNNNNNNNNNNNNNNNNNNNNNNNNNNNNNNNNNNNNNNNNNNNNNNNNNNNNNNNNNNNNNNNNNNNNNNNNNNNNNNNNNNNNNNNNNNNNNNNNNNNNNNNNNNNNNNNNNNNNNNNNNNNNNNNNNNNNNNNNNNNNNNNNNNNNNNNNNNNNNNNNNNNNNNNNNNNNNNNNNNNNNNNNNNNNNNNNNNNNNNNNNNNNNNNNNNNNNNNNNNNNNNNNNNNNNNNNNNNNNNNNNNNNNNNNNNNNNNNNNNNNNNNNNNNNNNNNNNNNNNNNNNNNNNNNNNNNNNNNNNNNNNNNNNNNNNNNNNNNNNNNNNNNNNNNNNNNNNNNNNNNNNNNNNNNNNNNNNNNNNNNNNNNNNNNNNNNNNNNNNNNNNNNNNNNNNNNNNNNNNNNNNNNNNNNNNNNNNNNNNNNNNNNNNNNNNNNNNNNNNNNNNNNNNNNNNNNNNNNNNNNNNNNNNNNNNNNNNNNNNNNNNNNNNNNNNNNNNNNNNNNNNNNNNNNNNNNNNNNNNNNNNNNNNNNNNNNNNNNNNNNNNNNNNNNNNNNNNNNNNNNNNNNNNNNNNNNNNNNNNNNNNNNNNNNNNNNNNNNNNNNNNNNNNNNNNNNNNNNNNNNNNNNNNNNNNNNNNNNNNNNNNNNNNNNNNNNNNNNNNNNNNNNNNNNNNNNNNNNNNNNNNNNNNNNNNNNNNNNNNNNNNNNNNNNNNNNNNNNNNNNNNNNNNNNNNNNNNNNNNNNNNNNNNNNNNNNNNNNNNNNNNNNNNNNNNNNNNNNNNNNNNNNNNNNNNNNNNNNNNNNNNNNNNNNNNNNNNNNNNNNNNNNNNNNNNNNNNNNNNNNNNNNNNNNNNNNNNNNNNNNNNNNNNNNNNNNNNNNNNNNNNNNNNNNNNNNNNNNNNNNNNNNNNNNNNNNNNNNNNNNNNNNNNNNNNNNNNNNNNNNNNNNNNNNNNNNNNNNNNNNNNNNNNNNNNNNNNNNNNNNNNNNNNNNNNNNNNNNNNNNNNNNNNNNNNNNNNNNNNNNNNNNNNNNNNNNNNNNNNNNNNNNNNNNNNNNNNNNNNNNNNNNNNNNNNNNNNNNNNNNNNNNNNNNNNNNNNNNNNNNNNNNNNNNNNNNNNNNNNNNNNNNNNNNNNNNNNNNNNNNNNNNNNNNNNNNNNNNNNNNNNNNNNNNNNNNNNNNNNNNNNNNNNNNNNNNNNNNNNNNNNNNNNNNNNNNNNNNNNNNNNNNNNNNNNNNNNNNNNNNNNNNNNNNNNNNNNNNNNNNNNNNNNNNNNNNNNNNNNNNNNNNNNNNNNNNNNNNNNNNNNNNNNNNNNNNNNNNNNNNNNNNNNNNNNNNNNNNNNNNNNNNNNNNNNNNNNNNNNNNNNNNNNNNNNNNNNNNNNNNNNNNNNNNNNNNNNNNNNNNNNNNNNNNNNNNNNNNNNNNNNNNNNNNNNNNNNNNNNNNNNNNNNNNNNNNNNNNNNNNNNNNNNNNNNNNNNNNNNNNNNNNNNNNNNNNNNNNNNNNNNNNNNNNNNNNNNNNNNNNNNNNNNNNNNNNNNNNNNNNNNNNNNNNNNNNNNNNNNNNNNNNNNNNNNNNNNNNNNNNNNNNNNNNNNNNNNNNNNNNNNNNNNNNNNNNNNNNNNNNNNNNNNNNNNNNNNNNNNNNNNNNNNNNNNNNNNNNNNNNNNNNNNNNNNNNNNNNNNNNNNNNNNNNNNNNNNNNNNNNNNNNNNNNNNNNNNNNNNNNNNNNNNNNNNNNNNNNNNNNNNNNNNNNNNNNNNNNNNNNNNNNNNNNNNNNNNNNNNNNNNNNNNNNNNNNNNNNNNNNNNNNNNNNNNNNNNNNNNNNNNNNNNNNNNNNNNNNNNNNNNNNNNNNNNNNNNNNNNNNNNNNNNNNNNNNNNNNNNNNNNNNNNNNNNNNNNNNNNNNNNNNNNNNNNNNNNNNNNNNNNNNNNNNNNNNNNNNNNNNNNNNNNNNNNNNNNNNNNNNNNNNNNNNNNNNNNNNNNNNNNNNNNNNNNNNNNNNNNNNNNNNNNNNNNNNNNNNNNNNNNNNNNNNNNNNNNNNNNNNNNNNNNNNNNNNNNNNNNNNNNNNNNNNNNNNNNNNNNNNNNNNNNNNNNNNNNNNNNNNNNNNNNNNNNNNNNNNNNNNNNNNNNNNNNNNNNNNNNNNNNNNNNNNNNNNNNNNNNNNNNNNNNNNNNNNNNNNNNNNNNNNNNNNNNNNNNNNNNNNNNNNNNNNNNNNNNNNNNNNNNNNNNNNNNNNNNNNNNNNNNNNNNNNNNNNNNNNNNNNNNNNNNNNNNNNNNNNNNNNNNNNNNNNNNNNNNNNNNNNNNNNNNNNNNNNNNNNNNNNNNNNNNNNNNNNNNNNNNNNNNNNNNNNNNNNNNNNNNNNNNNNNNNNNNNNNNNNNNNNNNNNNNNNNNNNNNNNNNNNNNNNNNNNNNNNNNNNNNNNNNNNNNNNNNNNNNNNNNNNNNNNNNNNNNNNNNNNNNNNNNNNNNNNNNNNNNNNNNNNNNNNNNNNNNNNNNNNNNNNNNNNNNNNNNNNNNNNNNNNNNNNNNNNNNNNNNNNNNNNNNNNNNNNNNNNNNNNNNNNNNNNNNNNNNNNNNNNNNNNNNNNNNNNNNNNNNNNNNNNNNNNNNNNNNNNNNNNNNNNNNNNNNNNNNNNNNNNNNNNNNNNNNNNNNNNNNNNNNNNNNNNNNNNNNNNNNNNNNNNNNNNNNNNNNNNNNNNNNNNNNNNNNNNNNNNNNNNNNNNNNNNNNNNNNNNNNNNNNNNNNNNNNNNNNNNNNNNNNNNNNNNNNNNNNNNNNNNNNNNNNNNNNNNNNNNNNNNNNNNNNNNNNNNNNNNNNNNNNNNNNNNNNNNNNNNNNNNNNNNNNNNNNNNNNNNNNNNNNNNNNNNNNNNNNNNNNNNNNNNNNNNNNNNNNNNNNNNNNNNNNNNNNNNNNNNNNNNNNNNNNNNNNNNNNNNNNNNNNGGUUCAUUACCAGCUCCAGUGUUGUUUUAUAAAGUGAUGACAAUUCUUCAUUCAUGACUGCUGCCAGUCAGUUUGGUAUGAGCUUUGGAUUGCUUCUUAUACACUUGGGUCUUGUCAUCCAUCUCUCGUGAAGUGGCAAGUGCAUAUGCACUAAGAUCAGCAUAGCCAAAUCUCUUUGGGGGUCUUAUUAUUCUCCUUUCUCUGUCUUUAGCUAGGUGAUAAUCUUCUGUAUGGGUUCUUUGAUGUUCUGAUCUUGUAUCCCUAUUACCAGCAACUUCUUCAUCUGAAUUUGAAGCUUCUCCAGACAUUUUCAUUGCUGGAUGCUCCACCUCAAACUGUAUAAUACCAUCAGUUUUGUUCUGAGGUCCAGCAUUCUCAACAGGUUUCUCCUCAUUGUGUCCCAUCUGCUCAUUGAACACCACAUCUCGGCUGACUAUACAUUUUGGAGGUGAUAAGUCUGUACACCAGAUUUUAUAGCCUUUUACUCCUUCUGGAUAUCCUAUAAACAUCCCCUUUAGAGCUCUUGGUGCUAACUUUCCUUGGUUUGCAUGUGCAUAGGCAGUGCAGCCAAAUACUUUCAGCUUGCUGUAGUUUGCUGGUUUACCACACCAUUUCUCAUAUGGUGUUUUGAAGUCUAAGGCUGAGGAAGGGCUCAAAUUAACCAGCACACAAGCUGUCAGUAGUGUCUCUGCCCAUAGCCCUUUAGGUAGCUCAGAUUGUAUCAUCAUGCAUCUGACCUUCUCCAUCAAAGUCCUGUUCAUUCUUUCAGCCAGGCCAUUCUGUUGUGGUGUUAGUCUCACUGUUCUGUGUCUAGCAAUGCCUUCUUUUGAGCAGAAUUCAUCAAACAUCUUAUUACAGUACUCUAGUCCAUUGUCAGUUCUAAGAACUUUCAGCUUCUUCCCUGUUUGGUUUUCAACAAGUGCUUUCCACUCUUUAAACUUCCCAAACACCUGAUCUUUGGUCCUGAGUACAUACACCCAAACCUUCCUAGAGUAAUCAUCUAUUAUUGACAUAAAAAACCUAUUCCCUCCCAAAGAUGGAACCUGUGAAGGUCCCCACAGAUCUGAAUGCACAUAAUCCAGGAUACUUUUGGUCUUAUGGACAGAUUUCUUAAAGCUAGCUCGUGUGGAUUUCCCUAGGACACAAUCCUCACAAAAGUCUAGUUCCUCAAUCUUGUCGGCUCCCAAAACUCCCUGUUUAUCUAAUUCUUUAAGACCCUUUAGGCUUAUGUGUCCUAACCUCAGAUGCCAAAGUCUGGUGAUAUCAGUAUUAGCCUUCACAGACACACUAGAUUCACCUGUUACUACUUCCCCAUCCAAGACAUAAACCCCAUUCUUCCUUUUACCUUUCAUAAUCAGUGUUGAGCCAUUUAGGAUUUUUAGUUCACCACACUCUAAUUUCAUACUACAUCCAAUCUGAUCAAGCAUCCCUAGAGAGAUUAAAUUUCUCUUAAGGUCUGGAAUAUGCCUGACCUGUUUUAUCAGUCUUACAGUCCCAUCAUGUAGUUUUAGAUGUAUGUUUCCCAUCCCAGUGACCUUACACACUGCAUUGUUUCCCAUCAUUACCCUUCCCCCAUCAUAUUCAUGAUAAUCAGAAAAAUAACUCUUUUCAGGGCUCAUAUGAAAGGUACAGCCAGAAUCGAGGAUCCACUUACCUUUCUGUACUUCAUUAGUUGCCACACACACUCCAGCUGAUUCAUAUCCCUCAUCUUCAACAAUUGCUGCAUCUCCAUUCUGAUCUUUCUUUUUUAGCUUCUUUUCAGGGCAGUCUUUCUUGAAGUGUCCUUCCUUGUGGCACUGGAAGCACUUCAGAUUCUUGUUUUUAUCUUUUCCCUUUCCUUGCUUCUUUUUCUUUCCCACAUUCUUGUCAUUUCUGCAUCUCACAGUCAAACCCUCUCCACUCUCCAUGUUAACUUGCUUUUCUUGUAGACCUCUGGUAUUUAAUGCAGCCUUAACCUCAUCCAGAGACAAGGUCUGUCUGCCAUACAUCAAGGCAUCUACAAAGUUGGAGUAUGACUGUGGUAAUGAGCUUAUUAGAAGUAGAGCUUUACCUUCAUCAUUUAGACCCUCAUCAAUGGUCUCCAAAGUGUCACAUACUCUGUUGAACUCAUCGAUAUGUUCCUCAAGAGAAGAUCCCUCAGCCAUUUUUAAUGAAAACAUCCUCUUCUUGAUAUAGAGCCUAUUUGCCAGUGACUUUGUCAUGUACAGAUUUUCAAGCUUAGUCCAUAGCUCUGCCACUGUUCUCUCCUUAGCCACUUCUCUGAUAACUGAGUCACUCAGACUCAGAAUAAUUGUGCUUCUUGCUUUCUUGUCGAUCUCAGCAGCUAUUUCUGGAGAUUUUGAUGAAGACCCCUCAUACCCUUCUUUCUUGGUUGUUGGUUCUAAUGCUUCUCCCAGGCCUUGUGUUAUUAACAAUGCCUCCAUUUUUACCUUCCACAUAUUAAAGUCAUUCUUCCCAUUAAACUUUUCAAGAUCAACUUUAGGAGCUGUCAUACUUGUAUCUGAUCAAGAAAUCCAGCUCUGAUACCAAUUGUAGAGAUUUACAAGCUUUAUAGAAUCAACUUGAACAACCUCUCCCAAGAUCCCCAGACCAGAAUUCCAAGAUGAACCAAAGAAGACUCGAAAGUUACAAUGAUAGAAAACAACCUAAUAGCAGAUUAAACCAAACAGUAAGCAAUCAAACAGUCUAAAAGAAACUCAAGAACAACUCAAACACAGCAAGUUACGUGGUUCAGUCAAUUCACAUUGACUUACAUCCACGGAGGAACAAAUAGAUCAGCUUUAUUGAUAGAACAAAGUCUCUUUUACAAUCAGAUUUUACAGAGCCCUUCUCAAGGAACAAGAACGCUCUUUUACACAAGCACUCUCUCUCUCUUGAAUCCUCUGAAAUCUUCUCAGUUUGUUAUAUCAGAAUCAGCUCCAGCCUCUGAGUUUAUAACGACCCAGAAACAAUCCCAGCUAGGCACGUGAGCAGCAGAUGACAAUAACGGCUUUAACAGCCUUCACACGUCAUUUAAAAAGUCACGUGCGUUGCUCAUGAUUCUAAUAACCAAAACGAUAGAAAUCUAGGUCGUUUUGUAAGGAUAAUCAAAGGUAGCAAGAAACGCCGAUAACUGUGUCGUUUUGCUUUGUUGUUUGCAGAGCCAAAACUCCAAGCUUCCUGUCGUUUCAUUAACCUUUUUUUGAUUUGUUUCAUUUUGGUCCAACAGUUACAGUACCCAAGGAGUUAUGAUAGACAUCCCAAACUUUUUAACCCAAAUUCCCUCUCAAAUGACAUGGUAAUUAUUAAGUGGUUGGUAAUUUUUUAUAAGAUAUAAGUGAAUUAAUUAUAUUAUUUAAUCAACCAAUUGAUGAAUGUCACACGCCAUUUGAGAUGAAUUUUUGGGAUGUGUAGCAAAACUUUAUGCUGAUUUGUUUUGGCUACAUUCAUGUAAAACCUUUUUCCCCAAUUCCCAAGAACUUCCCGCAAUAUCAUUCCUUUGUAUUUGUUUUCCCCUUUAGACAUGUUUAACUUUGGUUCAGGGUAAAAAAGCUACGGCUUUUCCUGCCAUGUGCAACAAGCUAUCAGAUCAAAGUGAAAUCGAAAACAGGGUUGUGGUUGAUGGCAACCUUGUCACCAGCAGAGGGCCAGGAACUUCCGUGGAGUUUGCACUGGCAAUUGUGGAGAAGUUUUUUGGCCGCAACAAAGCACUUGAGCUUGCAAAGAUAUUGCUUUUCACCCGCACCUAAAAUUUGUACCAGGACCUGACUAAUAUUAAACUAGAGUGUUUAUUUCUGUAUUACUACUGCUUGUAGAGAGGCGAAAUGGAAACUUGAAUUCAUGUUUGAAUAGGGAUUCACUGUGCGGGUUUGUACAAGAGCUUGUUUAUAAAUAAAUGAGUUCAUAAAGAGUCAUUUUAAAUAUUUGGAAUAAACGUGAGUUGCUGUUUAGUUCUGUUUUCAAUGUUCACCGUUCAAUUGUGAUCCAGAGCAAUAUAACUACACUCACUGGGAAUUUUAAUUAUGAACCAAGAACGAAGUUGAACCGAGAAUUUGAUACUUUAUAUAUUCCAGUUACCAUAUUUAAGAAAGAGUAUUGAAAAGACG